AAUAAUCUUAUUAAUGGACGCUGAAUCUACAAUACAGUUUCAAGGAAAGCAAAGAACAACAAAGAAAAAAAUUGCCAUCAGAUGCCCAAAACUUGACAGCCAAAAUGAGUACACGCUGUCGAAUUCUCAGCUCGACAAUAGAACAAGGCUCAUUUUAAUGUUCUCAAAGGUAAGUGCUGUAUACAUCUUAGACCGCCAAGACUAUACAACCAAAACAAUGAUGAAACAGGUAAAAAUUUGGCAAAAUACAAAAACAAUCAUCUUAAGCAUUCAUUUUGAAGACCCAAGUGUGACACAGGAGCAGAGAAUGAAGACAACGCUAUUCUUAACACCAAUCAACCAUCCCAAUUCCUUUGCUCCAUAUUCCUCGUGCAAUAUCAUCCAUUUACAGCAACAAUGUUAUAGUUGACUUCACCGCACAAGCAAACUCCAUAUUCUACAACCACCUCGUUUCACAAUUGACACCUCAGAAACCCAACGAAAAAUAGCACAACGGUGCUGAUCUCAUCAGUGUCUUGCCCAAAAUCAUUUAUCUUCUACAAAAUAUGCUGCUUUUAAAGAGUUCGAUCUCACAGAUAAAGAAUGAUCAAGCAUUUAAAAGAGCUCCUCCGAAUUGAAUUUGUUCCAGGCUUCCUAUAUUGGACACAGAGAACAGUAAGAAAGAUAUUUACAUGCUGUAAGAAAUAUCUCACAGUAGUUUUGAGCAAGCAGUAAAAUAUCUUUUCACCAUGUGCAGAGACAUUUACAUGCUGUAUCUUAUCUCCCAGUCACCUCAAGCUCAAAAAAAAUACUUUUACAUUAUAAAUGCAUACAUAGUGAAUGCAAAAGUGCAAAUUCUACCAACACCAAAAUUCCGUAUUCCACCUCAUUUCAUCCUCCAAAUAUGGCAUUUUUGGGUUAACAGGUUGAGGAGGACUAGGAGAACUAGUUUAAUGUUGUUUGCUGGUGGGGUUGGAAUUUCGGCCAAUCCCAAUGUUAGGAGGAGUAUUAGGCUUGAAUGUGAAAAUAGGACUAGCAUGAGUGUGAAUGGUACAAGGCACACUAAAUUAUGUGAAUUUGUUGAUUGUUCAAAUGGGGUUUGUGAGCAUGAUCCGUUAAGGGUUAUGAAGCCAAUGUUGCAGGCUACUUUUUGUUUGCAGCCUCCUGGUGAUACACCAACUAGGAGGCCAACUUUUGAUGGGAUUCUUGCUGGUUGUAUGCCAGUGUUUUUUGAGGAUUUGUCUUCCAAAAAGCAGUAUCAAUGGCAUUUGCCUGAGGAGAAAUAUGAGGAGUUCUCUGUUUUUAUACCAAAGGAAGAGGUAGUAUACGAAGGGUUGAGGGUUUUUGGAUGUGCUGAUGAGCGCACCAAGAGCUGAAGUUAGGAGAAUGAGAGAAAAGGUUUUGGAAAUGAUGUAUAGAAAGCCUCCUAUGGCUUGGCUGCAAAUUAAUUUCCAUCCAUGAUGAAAAUAGUUAGCUCCCCUGAAGUUAGUUUUCCAUCCAUGAUGAAACGACCAGGGUCUGUGUCUAUUAUGGGCUUACUGUUUGGUCUGCGGAUUACUGGACAUUCGUACAUAUAAUUCAAAAAACUUUCAUAUUUCAUAUAUUUUAAAAAUAUUCUGAAAAGUAUUUAUACUUUUCAAUUAACUAUAUAAAAUAUGCAAUAAAUUAUUUUAUGAAUUAUACUUCACAAAUUAUACUUUAAUUUUUUUUAAAAAAAAAUUAAUUUUGAGUAAGGACAGUGACUUAUCUUCCUAGUUACGUACAAAAUAGCAACGACAUAUAGCAUAAUUCUAUAAAUUUUGUACAUAUUAUACAAGUAACAAUUUUAAUAAAUUUAAGGUCUUAUACACGAGGAUAAGAGUUAACAUUAUUGAUAUAAAUGCAGCAUAAUCUUUGAAAAAAUACAGUAAAUUUAACAGUAUGUCUAGUUUCAUAAUUUUCAAAUAUAUUCCUACUACUGUUCACGUACAAACUAAUAUGCAUAAUUUUGCACCAAACUUCUACUCAUACUCCUGAAAAGAAUUUCGUACAACAUGCAUACGUAUGAUAAUAUCUCGUGCCAUACCCCGUUUUGUAUUUUACCAACUAUGGUUGAUAUAGCUAGUAGCUAACUGCCGCCAUGAAGGGAAUCAUUUUGAGGAGAAUCGAUGAAACCGUAUAUGAAUGACUAAGCCUACAUAAAAUUCUCGAAACAUCUAAUUAGACCAUAUGUACGUAACGAGAUAAAUACACGAAAUUAAUUAGAAAGGUGAUGUUUGGACAUCGCCUCAACGCAAUGUUGGAGCCCGGUAGACUUUUCUUUUAUAUAUUCAGGCAUUAUAUUCUCCCAAUAAUUCAAUUGUCCAACACGUUAUAUUCAGGCCUUAUUGCUUUGAUCAAGAGAGUCGAUCCAAACGCUAGGACUUGGGAAAAUUUAUGAAUUCUCAUGUUUGGGGUUUUGGAGGAAACAAAAUUUGCUGCGAGAAAAGUGCCAGCUAGAGUGGUGGGGGAUUUUGAUUAUCAUCAAAAUCCCACCAUUAUAUUGUGAAAAAAGUUGGGAUUUUGAUUCUCAUCAGUUUGAUUUCUUGGGUAAUAGAGAUAAAGGGCUCCACCUUCACAUGUGCCACUUUGCGUGGAUGGGAGACUGCUACAAAAGAAUCAAAGGUAGAAAGACAACAAAAGAGGCGGAAAUAUUCCGGCUUCUUCUUAAAAGGAAGAACAAGAAAACUGGAAAGGGGGCAGAAAGAGUAUAGGUCUCUCAUGAUUCUUUUCUUUUGGACAGGAGCGGAUAGAAAAUGACGUGCAACCGGUAUUGGUGGGUUGAUGAUGCAGGUGGCAUGUUAACCCCAUUCUGCAAGAGUCUUGGUUUUGGUGAUGGAAAUUUUCGAUGAAAAUGAAGCCUAAGUUGAUUUGCUAGUCCCACACAAAAGUGUAUAUAUUCCUAUUUUUCCACGAGGCAUUGCGACUUUGUAGUCAAUGAAUUAUUUUUCCACCACAAAGAAUUAUAAGUUGAUUUGCUAGACCCACUAAAACUCGACGAGUUGCGUACCCCCGCAUGCAUACAUGAGGACCCAUGCAAACCCCCACCACCCCACCACAAAGAAAGGUGCUGGGUUAAAAACUCAAUAUCAGUAUACAGAUACCAAUAUGUAUGAAAUUUAGAAAUUGGAUGGGUUACAAAGAUUCUCUCGUGUUAAUAUUGCCAUUCAAGAGUUGAAUCUGUCUGGUCCAUUGUGACAAACCUUGCCUCUACAAGGCUAAUGAGUAAUAACAUACAGGAAUUAAUUAAGCUUCUUUAAUCAGUACCAAAGAAAUGGAGGAGGAUCUAAUUUUAUAGAUGUCAGAUGAUUAAGAUUUCGUUUUCAUAAGAAAAUAUAUACUAGUAUUAUCGUCUUAUGAACCUGGAAGAAGAAACAAAACUUCUCAAAGUGCACCCACCCUGUUCUAAUACUUUAUCAAUUCACACUGGAUACUGUGACCACAGUUCUCUGCAGUCUUACUUACAUCAGUUGGAAGUGUCAAAUAAAAGAAAUGUGCCUUUCUUAAUAGUUAAUAGAUAUGCUUUCUUAAUCAUGGAGCACCAGCUUUCAAAAAAAGUAGACUCUGAGCUGAGCUAACCAACUGGAACUACAGCCACAAAAGAAUGUUCAAGUAUAGCCAAAAGAGAAAACAUUAAAAAGGUGUUCGUGUUAAAGCCAAGAGAAAGACAGAGUUUGGCGAACAGUGCAAAUUGCAAUUAUAAUCAAUAUACAUAGUUGAUUAACGAGGCUAGAAAAAUUUGCUGCAAGAUACGUUGCUGAGGGCCGCAAACCUCCUCGUAAGUAACCAGCUUAAUAAAAUCAAACUUGAUAGACAUAAGUAUUUAUUUAAACAAAUAUGUUCCGUUAAUGUUGUAACAAAACUUGCCUACGGGCUUAGCUGAUGAUGUCCUCCUGCCAUCAAUCAAGAGGGUGAGCUGUGAGAGUGGCAGUAACUAAAAGGAAGAGACGCUUGUGCCAAAUUGUAGUGAAAAUCCAUGCAGUGUACGUAAUGACAAAUGAGCUUUCCCCGUUUUAGAAACUAUAAUCACUGUCAAUGUGAAAGAAGGAACUGCAUGGCCGGCACAUUAAUUGACUGAGUAUUAGUUACUAUACUAGGCAGUUAGCUUCGUUUUUUGUGAUCGAUCACCAUUAUUAUUAUCAUCAUCAACAUGUUUGUUUCUAUUUUCUGACAUGCAAACUAGUAUUCUGGAUUGUUACCAUAUCUAGGCAUCUAACACUAGCGUCCUUUGAGUUAUGAAAUAGGCUACCUGUGACUUAUUGGCAUAUGUUAGUUCCUUUUCUAUGCAUACGGCUGCAAAUUCUUAGUACUUAGGCUGCAAAAGAGACCGUCCAAGUAUGAUUUUUUCCCCUUUUCUCUGAGAUCAAAAUAUGAAUUUGGUUAUAAUAUCAUUUGAUUUUCAAACCAAGGCCACAAGGGAACAACCUGGAAUACCUGUCUUUAAAUUAAGGGCCGCAACUGACAUCAAAUUCAAAGUUUGACAACGAGAUGGAUAUUAAUAAUUGAUCCAAACUUUUUUCUAGGUUUUCUGCGCAGAAUUGGAUUCUUUACUACAUAUUCCAGAGUCUUUUUUAUUCAAACAGGAACCCAAAGGAAAUGCUUUAACCCUCAUCUUUUGCGACUUGAUCAGCAAGUAAUUUAAGCCUCUUUCCUCUUGACGAGGAUAUACGAGACAGAUGCUGCAAAGCUUUCCCAUGGUUCGCUGUUCAGCUCACGCUCAUUACCAUCCUCCUUAUACUUGGUGUAGGUUAUGACCGGACGGUCUGCUCCCCCGGGAAAAGUACGAAAGCCCCCGCCAGACUUUUCGAUCACAUCCAUCUCCAGCAGUGUGUACUUGCCGCUGAACAUGCUAAGAUCUAUCUUUUCUGCCAUGAAUGUUGAUCCACGUUCAUAGGGUUUUGCUUUUUGACCUUGAAGAACAACAUGCCUCCGAGGACCAUUUGUUGGCCUUCUUCGACCAGCCAUCCUGCAGAAAACCGAAAGUGUAAGGUUCAUUACUAAACGAACAAUGUACCCUUCCCAUUUAUUUUCAAGACGUGUGUAGAAAAGAAACAAUAUACAGCAGUGACCGACUCGUGUGCAUGCCGGCUUUUGCGUGAAGCAGCACCUGAUCAUCCAGGCACUUCAAUCACGAAUGAAUUGAUGAUUAUACUGACUUACCCCAAAAGCUGAGCCCUUAUAGAGUGGAGUUAGUCAAGAAAGUUCUUGCACCAUAAAGGGUCGGAGAUACUGCAAUUACUUCUAAGGACCUCACAGCGCAUAAUGAUGAUAAAGACCCAUUGAAGUGUAUAACUUAAAGCCAGAUAGAAGAACAAGAAAGACUAAAAAGAGACCGAUAAACUUUAAAAUUUGCCACGGAAACUUAAGGCCUUUGUUAUCUACUCCUCCUACGUAUGGUAACUUCGUAAGGCUCAGUCAUCAACAAGUUUGUCCAUCUCAAACUAAUAUAAUGAGAUCAAGCUCGUAUAGCCAUUGAAGGGUGCAUGUGGCACUUGCUCAUUUAGCAUAAACUUGUUCUUAAUCUUAAUAAAGGUGCAGUUUCAGAUGUGUGCCCUUCAAAGUUUCUUUCUUCUUCUUCUGAGACUUGGGAGAUUCCACUCAACACUGUAUAUCAUCACAAGAGACUACUCCGGGGCAAAAUUUUCCCAGAAGCAUAAACUCACUCACAGUUAGAUUUGGAUUGCAAUUUUUCUUACUUUUACAUCCAUCAAGCAGGAAAUAGUGAUGUCACCAUGAUUUCAUUACUCAACAAACAGAUAUUCAAAUAGAAGCAUCAAAACUGGGGUUUUUCUUCAGGUUUCUAUGUCUACCGAUUGGUGACAUAUUUGGAGAAUUUCCUGUCCUCGAAGGACCUCAUAGUGCAUAAAGAUGGCAACUUUAUUUGAAAGUCCUAAUAAAGACCCAUUGAAGUGUAUAACUUCAAGCUGGAAGAAUAAGAAAGACUAAAAAUUGAUAUACUUUAAAAUUUGCCAUGGAAAUUUAAGGCCUUUGUUAUCCUAGUCCUCCUAUGUAUCAUAACUUUGUUAGGCUCAGCCAUCAACUAGUUUGUCCAUCUCAAACUAUUAUAAUGAGAUCAAGUUAGUAUAGCCAUUGGGUGGUGCGUCUGGAACCUGCUCAUUUAGCAUAAACUUCUUCUUGAUAGUUUAGAAGAUCUCACCUAAAUAGAAUGUGCUAGUUGGUGAACUGGUGAUGGAGAUUCCUGGAGGGGGGAAAAGGAUGGGGAGCACUUGGAAAUUGAGGAAAAUUGCUUGAUUAGGAGAACCGUUGCUGCUCAUGCUGCUUAUAUCCAUACCCAGAAGCCUAAUAAGGGUAUAGUGUUUGUUGGGAGGGAAAGACAUGGCCUUUUGUUCAUCUGCACUUUUGGAGCGAGCUAUGUUGGUCAUGCCCAGAAGCCUAAAGGUAUAGUGUUUGCUGGAAGGGGAAGACAUGGACUUUUGCUUUUCCUCAUUCCUCACCUUUGUAGCUAACUAUGGUGGUUAUACCCAGAAGCCUGAUACAGGUACUAUGUUUGUUGGGAGGGGAAGAAGUGGUCGUCUGUCCAUCCUAAUACAGGUUCCCAAAAAUAAAGAAGCUGCUUGAAAAAGUGACAUUGAGUAGAUCUUGUAGAACUCGGAUAUUGAUGAUGAUGGUGGUGGUGGUUAUGGAGAGGGAGUGAAAGAUGCUGGCGCAGCUUGUAUGGUUUGCUUUGUGGCUGCUCUUCUACUUUAUUCUUCUCUUAUCAUAUGUCCAUGAACAAUGUUUGGAGAAGCGAAAGAGAAGAAGGAGAGGGAGAGGAAGGACCGGGAGGAGUUUAAGAAGCAAAAAGGUAGGAUAAGGAGGGGGGAAAAAGCCUUGGCGGCUUCCCUUGAACCAAAAAAGCAAAAAAAAGAUACAGUUUGUUGGGAGGGGAAAGACAUAGCCUUUUGUCCAUCUCUACACUAUCAGCUAUCUAUGGUGGUGGCGAAUAUUAUGACAAAUGAGUCGGGUCAUUACGCAAACUGAAGUUUCCUCUCUUAAUUAAUGUCGGGUCUGAGAUAGUUAGUCCAUCUCAGCCUGCAACUCUUCCCACAUCUUUCAAGGCCUAGCUUGAAGACACUGAUCACUUCUCAAGAGGAGCAAUUUUAAGACAAACUUGAAAAAAUAUUGGAUGAGGAAUACAAGAUUACCUGAACAAAGCAAGCGUGGACGUGAAUUCAGCAACGCCGUACGAAAACCUGCAAAUGAACGAGAAAAAUGGCAGUUAGGAAUAAGGGUUGGUGGCGGAGAAAUCAGAAAUGUAUUGUAUGAAAAGAUAUUGGGAAAUUACUGGGUUGACGGAGAGAGUAUAGAGAUCUAGAAUUGCUUGGAGUUGGAGCUUCAGAGCCCCCCACUGAUGCUUUUAUAGACAAAAGGAAGAAAGGGAGGUACUACAGUUUCAUUCCUCUUCUUAUUCUUUUUUUUUUCUUUUCUUUCUUCCUUUUUCUUGAAAAGAAAAAAUCUUUCUGGUGGUAGUUGGUUGCGGCUUGUACAGUAGGUCGGUCAGAGGUCUUGGGGAGAAGAGAGAGCGUACCCACCCUCAUGUAUAAGUACAGCAAGGCCGUCUGUAUUCUUAGUUUGUGGAAUGGAGGUCAAUUGUCCUCCAAAUAUCUUAGACAUCCUUGUAAAGGAUAUAAUUAGAAAUUGCUUUUCCUUUAUUUCCAUCUUGUAAAGAUAAAGAGCACUGGCCAAGAACUUUCCAUAAACGUUGAUUUCAGUCUGGAAAUUUUAUUUAAAGUUGUAAACUAUGACCAAAGCCUAUUUAAUUAAUUCUUUUGCUGUUGAGGUAUUAGUAAUUCGUGGCGACACAUGAAAUGAAAUGUCAGGUGAAUGAGACAUAAUCAUUUUUUAAUACGCUACUCUUAAUCUAGUUGAUCUUAGCUUUAUAAUUUAUAUUGCUCUUCUUAAAGUUGUCAUAGAUUGGAAUAUGGGGUUCUGUUAUUGUUGUUUUCAUGUUGUCAUUUAUGUUGCCAUCUUGUAAUGAAUAACAAACGAUUUUAGCAGAAAAUUUUUGCCAACAAUAUAUCCUUAGUUUCUUCUUCUAAUUCUCAAUGGAACAUAUGGGAAGCCAAUCCUCAAUUGCCAUUGCCGGAUGUGUUUUUGGCUUGAAGAGAGGAUUAAUGGCAAUCUGUAGAGUCAGCACUCAGCAGUUUAUUCUAAUUAUCCACAGGCACGCCAUGUCUUCUUUCAUUUAACUGUUUUGAAUUUGAGCUAGCUAGCUAGAUUUGCCACAAACAGAAAAUUUGUUCCCAAAUACCUCAGCUCUCAAGGCUGUCUCGUGGGGCAAAUCUGACGCCAUUUAUGCAGUCUGUUACAGUACAUGUAAAAAUUCUACUAUCCUGCGCAUGCAGGCAGCUAGUGGAUGGAAAUUAGCAGCGAUUAAAACCCUAAAGUCUCCUGUUUACUUUAAUUAAAACAAGAAACGUGGGUUUUCUCUAGUAUUCUUUUUCAAGAAGAAUGGAAGAAUAUACACUGUAGUCUGUAGCUUUGUUUCAUUAUCGUCUACUGGGAUUUCCAUCCAAAAAAAAAGAAAGAAAGAAAGAAAAUACUCAACUAAGAAAGUGGCCCCUAACUUUGGUGGGAUGGAACUGUGGCAUAUCUAGAGCUUUGACAUACACGUCUCAGAUCCCAUGCAUUAUAAUUUUAUAUUUGGUAUAUGGUUAAUGUAUUAAUCUCAAUGCAAAGUCUGAUGUUAUUUAAGUGCUCUCUUAUUUCUUUAAGGCAACCAGGAAUCUGAACAAAUGGCAAAGUUUAUAUCUAGCAGCAGGAAAGGGAAAAAAAAAGGUUACCUUUAACCCAAAAGGGGAGAAAAAUAUCCAUAUCUUUGUUUAAAUAUACCUUUAACGAAAGUGAGGUUCAAAUAUAUUUAAACAUCAUCCCAACCAUUUGUUUAUCCAUAUCUUCUAACUACUACUACUUUGAGAUGCAAAUGCUGGCUUAACUGAUACAGACAAGACAAAUCCAAUUGUUGAUUGGUUUGGCUUUGUGGUAGUAUUAUAUAUGAAGCUGAGAUUAUGGGAGUAAUAGAGACACUCCUGCAUGCAUGACGGACCACUGCUUGCACUACCCUUAAUCUUCUUCUUUGUUGAGAGUCCGGAUCAUUGACCGACAUAAAUUGCCUCCGGCAGGCAAGCCAGUGGAGUACAUCCAAAGUUCUUUUAGUUUCAACUUGAUUCUUUGCCAAGUUUUAUAAUCCAUUCGACUAACUGAAUGAGGGUUUUUUUCUAAUUAAUGCUUGCUAAAUUUGCAUGAUUUGGUAAAUUAGGAUCUCUCUCUCUCUCUCCAUCUCUCUGUGUUUUUUGGUCGUUUAAGUUUACCAAGGCAUAAUGCUGGUAUGAUAAAUUCUUCCGGUAAAAUAGGAAGUAAAAUAAGCACCUGGUUGGGAACCCUGGGGCUGAACCAACUGCCAAGUGCAUGCAUGGUCGUUAGGUGGUACUUAGUAGGUACUACGGUCGCAAAAUUUUCGCUUGUCCCUCCUACUAUUAUGGAGUUACUCUACUUUGUACCCUCAAACUUAUUUUGAUCGCUUUGUGCUCUAAAUUUUGAUUUGAACAUUUUGCAUUCUAAAUUGUCAAAUUUUUAAACUUUGGAUCCUAAACACUCAAGUUUAUUCUAAUUAAGUCUAGUUAAUUACAACAUUAGCAAAAUUAAGGAAUGAAGGAUCACACAAAUCAAUGAUAACAUGUUAAAAAUGAGCAAAGGGAUAGUAGCUUGCCGGAACAAACUACGUAAAAGUUCAUCCCAAAUAAUAACGAAUAUUGUUAACAAAAUAAACGGGAUGGAAGACGAUUCAAAUUAAUCCUGACAGCGUAUCAUUUUGUUCUAGUUUCGAAUUCUUUACUCCCUUUGACCACUUUAAGUAUGUUAUUGUUGAUUUUUAUUAUAAUUUAUUCCGUCAGUGUUGGCUACAUUAUUAUUAUUCAUGGACUUAAACGAGACAAAUUUGAGAAUUAAAAAUGGAAAAAAUGUCUAAAUUAAGAGUUUAGAAGAUAAAAAUGUUUAAAAUUGAAGUUUAAGUUGCAAAAGCUAAGAAGGGGUACAAAAAAGCAAAGUUAAAAAGUGGAGUUAGGCCUCCUACUAUAUAGUGUUCUUUUGGAGUGGGUCCCCUAGCACGUAGGACCAAAAGUGAGGUACAGGAUGGAUCAUGGUAGAUUCUCGUACUAACUGAAAGGAAGGCGGGGCUCGCGGCGGAACUCGUCCGACACAAGUGACAAAAAAAAAAAAAGCGCGCAUUUCACAGCACAUACUGCCCGCUUUCAAGCGUUCUGGCAAAAGUUGCCGCUUGAGAUGGCUUAAUUACCUAAGACCAGACAUAGAACAUGGUCCUUUCACUCCCGAGGAAGACAACUUAAUUUGCACUCUCUACAGUAAAAUGGGAAGCAGGCAUGUUGUUGUUUGCGACUCAGGUUCCAUUUGAUAACACUGAAUCUGAAUUCUGAAUUCUGAAUUCUAAAUUCUGAAUACUGAAAUAAUUAAUUUGCUGAAUUUUAAGCACUGAAAAGAGAUAUAUGAAUGUCUGAAUUUUAAUGCUGAAUCUAUUUAUACUGUUUGAUAAAUAUUCAUAACUUAAUGCUUAAUAAGCUAAAUUGUACAAUUUUGCCCUUCUAUCUUUUAAUCCAAAAAGGAAAUAGAACUUAUGAUUUAAUUAACUUAAAAUUGUCAGGUAUGAAAAUGACAAUGACAAUGUUUCUUUGUGUGUGGGAAAAGUGUAUGGUUUCAUCGUUUUGAGAAUGGGAAAACGAGCUUUUAAUACUCUAAAAGCACGUUCAAUUACAUUUCUCAAUCUUGCAUGUAUUUGGUUAAAGCGUUCUUCUUUUGAUCUCGGACAAGAAGCAUUUCGAAAAUCAGACAACCAAUAUCUAAUAUUUCGAUAUGGUGUCAUAAAGCCACAUGUGUGUGAAUAAACUGCAUCACAUAAAUAAUAUUUAUCUGCACAAAAAAUAUAUAUAUCAAAAUAUAGAUGUUUGUGGAUGAAAAUUACUGCAAAAAAUACUAUUGUUAAAAAAAAUUUUGAAUAGAGAAUAUCAGGAUGUUUUGUUUAAUUAUAUAAGGAUUUUGAAUAGGGAAUAUUAAGUUGUUUAAUUAGAUAAGGAUUUUGAAUGUAAUUAACAAACAGAGAUAUAUUUGGUAGAUAAGAUAAAGUAGUUGAAGUAAAUCUCUUGAUUCUUAUCAAAUUAAGCAUUCAGCUAAGAUUCUUGUGCUGAAAAAAAUACAUACAAAUUCAGCACCACUUAAUAAGUUCAGCAGGUGAAUUUUUAUUUAUCAAACACCCACAACAUCUGAAUGUCUGAAUGAAUUCAGUUUCAGCACUUUUUUAUGUUAUCAAACAGGCACUCAUUGUUUGUAAUAUGUAGCAAGUAGUAGCUUAAUUCUAACAGGCCUGCUUCUUUUACCUCAACAAUUAGUACAACAACCCCAUAUUCUGUGGAGAAAGAUUGAAGCUGGAGCAUUUCAUCCCAAUUUUUCUGCCCAUCUAUCAAAUUUGAGUACACUGAAGAUUAUACUGACAUCAUUAGUGUGUCAGUACUGAAGGGUCAAAUUAAAGUCUGCUCAUCAAGCUCCAAAGCAAAGCUCUCUCGUUUCAGACAAAAAUCACAAAGUACAAUCUUUUGUUUUCGUUACAAUAAUUAAUAAUAAUACAGGUAGGUUUGUUCUGUUGUAUUACUGCAUAUAUAGCAGAACUCGAUGGAGGCGACAACAUCAUCAUCUUAAUUUGCAGCACCACAAGUCUAAUUAGCCAUUCCAAUUUGAAUUCGAUUGAUAACACAAAACUCACUUAACUUGUCCAAAACGUCUGCAUCAUCGCCUUUAAUUUCCACAUUUCUAGAAUUUUGUGUUCAAUAGAUCGAAUAGACCGCUUCUCUCGCGUGCACAAAGAAUUUGCUGAUUUCAAAAGACGAAAAAUUGCCAUUGCAAGUAUCAUGGGAUAAAUUACAAACUAGUUCUACGGUCAAAAAAUAUAUAUAUAUAUAUUUGCAGUAAAGAGCAAAUCGAAAGGUAGGUACGUAGAAAACGUCAGAGAAUGUAACAGCUACAACAUUAAUUAUUAAUUCUUGGUUGCUUUAAUUCCAUCUUAAUCUCAGACAUGAACCGAAUUAAUAGUUUUUCACAAUUUGAAUUAUUAAUUGAAAGGAAACCAUGCACCCCGGUUUCGGUGACUCAUUUUCACAUAAGGUAAAUUGUUACCUGUGAAUUAAUGCCUUCCGAAGAAUUGGUUUCGUAUGAAUCUUGCAGUUUAGUAGGGUUACUUUUAAUGUAUACUUUUUGCUUGCUGAAUUCAACAUUUUUACAAUUGCAGUACAAAUAUUGUGAGCGUAGCAGAACCUCUUUUUUUUUUUUUUGUUCUUGACAAAUUUUUUUAACAUAAGACUGAAUAUGUGAUUAGAGAUAAAUUAAAUUUAACCAUUCCUACAACUAUGUCUUAGGAGGGUCUUUAACUCUUAAUCCCUUCAAACUGGAUGGAUCAGCGUGAGUUGCGUCACGCUACCCAAAGCCAGGGAAUAUGGUGUCAAUGAGUUGUGAUUUCUAUUCUUGCUUUCACCAAAAGUGAGUUUGGUACGGAUUAGUGUAAUUUUGUAGAAUUCUCGCUUAUAUUUUAGCGUCGUCAGUUUUAAGUAGUAUGAAGAUACCAUCUUAUUUAUUUCAGCAGGCUAAAAUCUUGACUUUUAGAUUUGAAACUCUCUGCUUUAAGUACGUACCUCGAGCAUGUAGAGCUUGCAGUGAUAGGCUCUCUGCAAGUGCAAGAUUGGCGGAGGCCAAACCGGCCAAUACAAUUAAACUAACAACCACUACUGUUCCUACCCAUUUACAGCAAUCAAUUAGAUACAGCUUGUAAUCAUCAUGAACGUCCUGAAAUCGAAAAAAGAAUAUAUACGGCCCUCUCAAGUACCAUAAUCAUAUACGUAGAAUUCCAUUUAUCAAUUUUUUUUGUAUAUGUCUAUCUCAUUCCAAUGAGAGUUGUUUCACCAAAUCUACAAACUUUACUAUCGAUCUUAUUUUCAUCAGAUCCUUUCCUAAUUUCAUAAUUUACUUCAUCAAUCCAACCUUUACAAUUAAAUUCAAUUCAUGUGCACCGCAACGAACGUGCAUAAAUCCACUUUCACAGAUGAUGAAAGAAUCGUCAAACAAACAGGAAAUAAUAAUGUUGCAACAAUCUAUCAUUGUGUCUUGUAUUAUCUAGAGUGAUGGUAAAAAAGGAGGAAGCAAUCAGUGGAACAUAAGUAUCAAACGUUUGAUUCAUACGAUAUGCCUCUGCAAAAUGUCCUAUUCUCGCCAUCUUGUGCUUGGAACCAGCCACGGAUUUAAGGGGGGGCUGGUGGGGGCUUAAGCCCCCCCCCCCCCACGAAUUUUUUUUUUUAAUCCUACAGGUUACUUUAUAUUGAAAGAGAUAGUCAGAACAUGGAGUUUUUACAUCAAUGAUGUUGUGUUCUGGGUCAUUUCAAUCACAUGCUUAUUACUGGCAACCAGAAGUUGAGGUGGAACAUGGAGUUUUUAACACCUAUGCUAUGCCACUACUUGAAAUUUCUCACUGAUUAAGGUAAUUGUACUCCUUAAAUUUUUUUUUCAAAUAAAAGUUAAAAUUUAUUAAGUCACUUGAAAAUAAGUAUAAGAUGGAGCAGAACAUAAAUGUUACCUCCCGAUUCUAAUGAAGUUCAAAAUUUUUUAUUUAUUUAUCUUCAAUUCAAAUGUUUUGGUUAAAUACCAUUUAUAUGCAUUACAAGCAUGAGUUGGUUUGUUUAUGUGAUAAUCAAUCUAUAAAGGGCAAAUUCCACUUUACCCCCCUGUGGUUUAGCGUUUUUUCACAUAACCGCUCUAUGGUUUCAAAAGCUAUACAUAACCCCCUUAUGGUUUGGAUUAAAGUGUCAAAGUAACGAAAAUAGUCACUCGUAACGGCGUCAUCUAAAAUGUCAAAAAUACCCUUAUGUAAGGCUGAAAUUUAUGUAUUAACCAAGGGGGGUUAUGUGUAUAUUUUGAAAAUCAUAAGGGGGUUAUAUGGUAAAGUAUUAAACCAUAAGGGGGUUAUAUGGUAAAAUAUAAAAAUCAUAGGGGGUUAAUGUGUCAUGUAUUUAUAAGGGUAAUUUCGACAUUUUUAGAAGUUCCGUUACGAGGGACUAUUUCCGUUACUUUGACACUUUAAUCCAAACCAUGAGGGGGUUAUGUAUAGCUUUUGAAACCAUAGGGGGGUUAUGUAAAAAAAGGGUAAACCACAGGGAGGUAAAAUAUAAUUUACCCAUCUAUAAAUCACCAUCGCACUGUGGUUGAUUUUUUUAGAUAAAUUUUCUAAAUCAUUUAGGCUGAAUAAUUGUUUAGGCCUCUAUUGCCGAACAAGUUAUUCUUUGCCAAAGUUGAUCCACCACAGGUAUUAAGACAAGCAAAGAAUAUAAUGUGGGGUACUCACUGAUGGCGCCACCACCAAAGUUGAAAAGGCUCAAUGCUCAACAAUAUCAGAAUCUGAAUUACAAAAUAAUUAGAAGCCUAAUAGCUUUUUCUAUUGAGAAACAAAUUAUGUUCUAGCUAAGAAGCAAAAUCCAACAGAGUUAGUGCGGGUGCGUUAAGACCAAAUCAACUACCAAUACUUCAAGUGUUAAUCAAUAACAAAUUUUUGGGUAUGUAUAAUUAUAUGUUUUUAUUAUUUUUAUAAUUAUUGAUUCUAAAUUUUACUUAUUAAAUAUAUUUAUUUCGUCACAAAAAAAAAUUUUUAAUACACUUCAGCCCCCCCAAAAAUAAAUUUCUGGCUCCGUCCCUGCUUGGAACGAAUAGUCAAAAUUACCAAUUUAAAGACAUUAUUAACAUUGGAACGAAUAUUUGAUCUAACACUGUGAAGCAGCUGGAAAUUAUAUGAUGAGUUCACGAAAGUUUUCAGUUUAAUUACUUUGGUAGAAAGAAAGAAAGAAAAUUUGACUCCAACCAAAAAGAGGAAAAUGCUUGCACUCUGAUGGAGUAUUAGUUUUAAAGAACUCAAAACCUAUAAACACAACUAGGCUAGAAGGCGAAAAAAAAAAAAAGGAAAAUAAAAAAUCUUACAUUAACAAGUGAAGAUUGCAAUUAGUUUCAACAUUUCAAUUUACCGUAAACCUAGAAUAAUAAUAAUAUUAACCAAUUCCUCAUCUCGCAAACCAAUUCUAUUUCGUCUGGUUUCUGUUGGUGUACUAAGUGAAGUAAGUAAGUGGAAGUGACAACCCAUUGAACUUUUCUACUGCGCUCCACUUUCCCACACCCACAAGUUUACCACUCCUAUUUGAAUCUUGCUGUCCACGAUACCACAAAACUUACUACUAAACCAAAAAAGUCUGCAUCAGCUUCUCCAUAUUAGAAUUUGCAUACUUAUUGUAAUCACAUAUUGACACAUCUUUAUUCCAUCUCUAAACAUAAUUAUAUUUAUAUUGACACGUCUUUAUCAAUCAAUUCAUAUUAUUAACUAAUAUGUAAAUAAUAUGAAUUGAUUGAUGAAGAUGUGUCACAUAUUUGCAUACUUAUUGUAAUCACAUGAGUCCACAACUACGUAUGCCACUUGGUCAAUCUCGACAUGCUCCUUUUUCGAUCUCUCAGGGUCUUAAACUAAAUCUUGACCCCGUAUGCUUCAAAAAACAAAAAAAUCUUGACCCCGUCAAAUCCAAACUCGACCAUUGAUUGCUUCACUCCACCCCACUAUUUGCUGCGUCACAAUCCGCAUUCACACAAGGAAGAAAACCGGAUUUUGUGGGACCAUUUCAAUGAGCUGUGAUUUCUAUUCUUGCGUUUACCCAAAACAUAAAGUUUAGAGUUACUAUUUAUUUCUAAUUUCUUAGGAGAGUAAAAGCAAAAAAGUGGGUUUGGUACAAAAUUAUUAUUAUUUUUUUUUUUGUUGUAGAAUUCUGGCUUAAUCAUAUAUAUAUAUAUAUUUCAGCCAGCGUCAGUUUUUUUUACGUAUGAUGAAGAUGCCAAAGCAUGUGUAUUUCAGUAGGCUAAUUUAUUUCAGUAGGCUAAAAUCUUGACUUUAUUUGAAACUCUUACCUUAGCCUCAAGUAUACUGCUCAUGCAUGUAUAAGAAGGGUGUAGUGUGUGAAAGCCUCUACUCCUCCACUAGCUAUAUUAAUUAAACUAACUAACGACAGCCACUCUUAUCUAUUUACGACGAUUACAUCUGAUACCGUCACAAAUUUCACUAUUAGCUCUACCUUUGGUAGAAUUUGAUUUUCUCUGUGACAAGCAACAGAUGAAUGGUCCAACUGCGAAUUUUGUCUAAAGUCACUGAACUAGUUGCUGCUCUAUGGACCAGGGCUGAUGUUGGAGUAAGUUGAGGAAUGUUGUUGGGCCUGACUAGUGUUUAUGUUUCCCUUCUGGUGGUCGGUGGUAAAUAAUUUUUCUGAACCCAUUUCCAAAUUCAGCCGCUGCCGCAGGGAAGGUGGCUGUCCAUGCCUUUCCAGUCCAAUAAUGGACAGGGGCCAGCAGCUACCAAGAGAUAAACUCCCAAAAAACCUUGAGAAGUGAUCAGCGUCUUCGAGCUAGGCCUUCAAUAAUGGCUUUAAGUUUGUUUCCACCAGAAAUAGAUCCAGUUAAUUAUCUGGUAAUUAAUGUUCACUUUUUUUUUAACCCAAAGACAAAAAAAGGUUUGCUACAUAGUUCAAUGCUACUUAUGACGGAUAAGUUUACUUAUUGGGUGCAAAAAGAAAAAGAAAAAAAAAACAAAGUUACAUUACUGAAAUCCCCUGAACUUUUAAUUACAAUAGGCUACCUAGUUUCUGCCUGCCUAUAAAAAUCACAUAUACACGAUUGAUGCAGUAUUCAAACAAAUUGAUGGCUGCCAGUUUUAUCAUAUAAUCCUUGGCGGAUCCAUUGAUAUAACAAAGCUUCCUAAGAGGCGAGACGCCCCAAAAUUAAUGAAAUCAAUUAUGGGAAGAGAUUGAGGAAUUAAGAUGCUCUUUACUAAACAAACAAAAGAGAGUGGAAUUGACAUGAAGAUCAAUGUGUUCAUGAUCAGAGAAAUCUUCUGUUAUUUAUUACAGAGAUUGAAGGGACAAAGAGUUUGCAUACCCGCAUCCGCGGAUGACAAAGCAUUAGUCAGUUCAAUACGGUAGAAAUGGAAAUUAUUUAGACAUUCAUAUUCAAAUAUCGUUGUCGAUGUGAUAAUUGUAUGGACGAGUGAUCGAUAUGAAUUUCCGCAAACGGCUCGAGAAACAUGUUUUAAUCUGUAACAAUGAAUAGGGUCAUAUGCAUUAAAGUUCUUAUUCCCAUCAAGGGAAAAAAAAAGGCCUUUUAGACAAUAAAAAGGAGUCAAGGGCAGUACUAUGGGUGGCAAAAUGGAAAAUGACUUCGCCAAUUUUCUUCUAUGGUAGCGGGAAAUUGAAUCCUGAUACUCUGCUAUUUUCAUGCAUUACGCGAAAAUUGGAUCGACUUCUUUCAGAUUCUGGGACGAAAGGACAAAUGCGCUAAUGGGUGUCUUUUUUCUUUUUUUUUUUGUCGACACAGGGGUGCCCGGGUCAAUCCUUAUGGGGUCCGAUUAAUCCCCUAUGGCCCGGGCUCGGCACCCCAACCUGACCCGAACACAUUAAGUGCGCGGAGGAAUCCAGCGGAACGGAGGCUCAAACUCGUGACCUCAAGAUUCACUGGUGAGAGGCGUUGCUACUGGACCAUUCACGCAGGGGCGCGCUAAUGGGUGUCACCGAGUCAAAAAGAGAUGAAAAAGAGCCCAACUAACCCACCAACUAGUACGUAUUAUUUGAUUUUGUGAGGUUUUUGCUACUCGCUUCAAUGGAAUUAGCAAUGGAAUCAAGCUGUCCCCAAUCUGAUGCAUCAAAAAGCACCCCUCCAACGUGAAAGACGUUGCUUCAAGUAAUUUCAAAUCACAAUCUCCACAUAUCAAUAAUAUUUAAAAAAAAAAAGAAAGAAAAGAAGAAAAGCAUAUUCAUGGUAAAGUUUUUGAUAAUCUGUUUGUACAGCAAUGGAAAAGAGAAUUAAGAUGCUCCAAAAAAAUAUACACUAUAUUGGAGGAAGAGGAUAGCUCAACAGGGCUGCCAACGAUCAAACCUCGUAAAGAUACAAAAAUCCAACCCACUCCCAGAUCCGAAACACUCCUCCUGAUAUUCGCACAUUUUUUGACAUUAUUGUGCGCUCCAUUGGGCCAGAGUUCCAAACUUUUACUUGCUAUAUCGGGAUCGUGUGGCUCAUUUUAAACUUUCAAGCCGAUUCCGAUACGAAAUUGCAAGGAAUAUUUUUUAUUAAUUAAAAAUAUAAAAUAUAACAUCUAAAUUAAUUAAAUAGCAUGAAACUUCCUAGAAAAAACUUGAUCUCAACAAAAAGUAAUAGCUUAUUACUUAACAAUUUGGUAUCUUACGGAAUUCAGAUUUCAAAUUUUAGUUUUUAUUUUUCAUAUUUCAAUUUUAUUAGACACACCUUGAAUGUGUUUAUUUUGUUUAAUGCUACAAAAAAGAAUCUUUUCACAGCUCUCUUCCUAAUCACCAUUUUGACACCUACUUUUCUAAUUCCUUCAUAGUUGAUGACAAUGAUGUUUAGGGUUACAAGUUGACCAAAUUACUCUACUUGAAUUCGCAUACUCGAACUUGCAAGUAGCUCGAUCAACUACUCGAUUCGAGUUCAACGUUAACAAGGCUCAAGUUAAGUUCAAGUUGUACGAUAAUACACACGAGUCGAGUUAGAGUAUUAUAUUCUUAAUUUCGUAGGUUCAACGGGUUUAAUCGAGCUUUCAAUAUAUAUAUAUUUGUUAGUGUGAAUGUCAAUUAUAUCAUUGUUUAAAAUUAUAAAUAAAAUAUUAAAUUUUAUUAGGUGAGAUUGAUUAGGUUAAAAUAGAUUCAAUCGAACUUGGUUAUAUUCUAUCAGUCUUGAUUUGACUCAAACUCAAGUAAAAUGAAUUGAAGUCGAGCUAAAGAUUCGACAAGUUCAAACUCGAAUUCAAAAUAUUAUUUUAACUUAAAUUGAACUCCAGCAAUGCACUGUUCCAACUUGGCUUAACUCAAAUAUAGCUCUGCUCGUAUCCUCGUUAAACUUUCCUGAACCAGGGUGAUGUAGGUAAAAAAUUUCUACUGGCAUAAUCAAAGCACAGCAGCAUAAAACAGACGAACGAACAAAGCCUAACGGCUCAAAAUUCAAGAAGAUAGGGGGCCGGAACUGAGAAGUGAGGACUGGCGUCUGAGGCCAAGAGACGGUCCCGCUAAGCUGUCUCCAACGCCACCACCACGUGCUCCUUUCCACCGCACAUUCGCACAAACAACAGGCACACUCACUUCGCUACUACUCCACUGUACUACUACUUGUUACGACAUUUGCUGCUUGCAUUUCUUCGCCAAACUACGGCUACAGCAAUUUGCCACUUUUUGCCACCUCCCAAAAAUCCCACCAAGAUUCUGUCUUGGGAUCGCUAAAACAAAAGCCAUUCUAAUUCGUCAAAGAAGUCUAAAGAACAGCUCUGCAAAAGUGUUGGCCGAGAAAGAAGAACAGAGGGAAAUUCUUAGAGUCUCUCUCUUGUUCUUUUGGACAACCAAUUCCCAUGUACAUUUCCUCCUCCUCCUCCUCCUCCAGCUGCUAUUGCUGUAUCUUUUGGUUUAAUUGGGUUCUCUGCUUGAUUAGCUUUAGCUCAGCAACAGAUCCUUAUGUCUUCUUUGAUUGGACUGUCUCUUAUGUCACUGCUUCACCUCUUGGAGUUAAACAACAGGUUCUUUAUCCCCUUAUACUACUGUUUCAGAUCUUCUUUUAGUUGUUUUUCAGAUAAGGCAGUUGGUAGUAUUAUUUGUUUUGCAAAUGAGUUUAAAGUUCUUGUUUUAGCAAGAAUUCAACUUAAUUAUUUUUUUAGCACAACAAUUGGGGAAAUUGGAAAAUUUUCCCCCUCGUUUUUUCCUUCUUGCAUUGUAAUUUGUUUUCUUACUUGGAAAGGUUCUUCAAGUGUGGGUGCAGGAGUAAUAGUACCGAGUUCUUACUGGUCGUUGAUCAUUAAAAAGAUUGUAUAAUUUUAUCCUCUUGAAAACAUCAAGAUUGUGUUUAUAGUUGUAGCACUAUAGUGUUUAAUCACCCCUGCUAUAUUCGGUGGAGAAAUAGAGUUCUGGAUGUGUUGUUUGAAAGAUAUAUUGCUGAAACUCGCUAACGUUGCCCUUUAGGAGAUUAAAUGAAUCGUUGGACACUGGUUAAAGUAAUCAACUUUUUGCUAUUUGACUGCCCACUCAUGCUCCUGCUGCAAUAAUUAGUUGCUAGUAAAUAAUUAGCUAAACACAAGGCAUCAAGCUAAACUAUCCUAAGAAAAAUUUGUUUCACGAGAGAAUUGUUUCAGGGCAGGAUGUGAAAAUUGGUGUGCUUUCGGAUGUUAGUCGAUUGGCAUCUUUCAUUAGGUUUCAAAAUUCAUAAUUGAAGUUCAUUAAUUGUUGGUCUGAUAAGGUUGGACAUCUUUAACUUUCUUUGAAUGUUGGUACUGGUUGCAUGGGUGUGCUGGGCUGUCAAUAGCAAUAGGCUUCGGUUUUGAGUUCGCUUGAAUUUCAAUGUACACCUUAGGUUUAUAUUUAAAUGGAGCAUUCAUCCAUCCGAGCAACCAAGAAAGGUCUCAUAAAAGCUUAAUGCAUGAGCUUUUCCUUCUCUUCUUUUUAUUAUUUUGGAAGAAAAUAAAAGUAAACAAACAUGCAGUCUGGGUGUUAAUCAUCUAAUUUGUACUUCUUUAAGCAUAGUAUAAAACUUGCAAUAUGCUAUUUCUCGGUAGAGUACUUUGAUGAUCAGUUGAUGUCAUUACCUUCGCCCUAACUAUAUUGGCACAAAGUCUUGCUUCCAAUGAAGUUGAAUUGCUAUCCACAUUCAUACUUGCUAGUUGGUUAUCCUAAAUAUGCGGAAAAAAGACCCUGUAGAUAAGUAUUUAUUGUUUACUCAUUUUUCUUAUUCCUUUCAUGCCAAAAAAUAGUGAGUGAACGAUCUGAACUGAUAGCUGACUUUGGUUUCCCUGCUAUUACACAUUAUCUUUGGGGACUGCCUUCUUUUGGCUUUCCUUUUUCACUCUUAUUUGUCCAAAUCUGAUGAUUGUUUUACUAACAUUUAGACCCAAUUUUAGGUGAUUGGAGUCGAGGGACAGUUUCCUGGACCAAUUCUCAAUGUCACCACCAACUGGAAUGUUGUUGUCAAUGUCAAGAAUAAUCUUGACGAACCUUUGCUUCUCACAUGGUAUAACAUGAAAUUAUUAAAUAUAUCAAAUUAAUGACAGUGAUUCUGAUUCAACUGAAUGAAUUUAACUGCAGGAAUGGUAUUCAACAGCGGAAAAAUGCUUGGCAAGACGGAGUCUCUGGCACAAACUGUCCCAUUCCUGCUGGAUGGAAUUGGACAUAUCAGUUUCAGGUCAAAGAUCAGAUUGGCAGUUUCUUUUAUUUCCCUUCCCUAUACUUCCAGAGAGCUGCUGGUGGAUAUGGGGGAAUUGUUAUCAACAAUAGAGAUGUUAUUGCAGUCCCAUUUGAAACACCAGAUGGAGAUAUCACUCUGUUUAUUAGUGACUGGUAUAUCAAAAGCCACAAGGUUGGUGCUAAAUUCUAAAUCUUUUUCAGCCUCUCUAUACAAUUAGGUAUGCUCUUUUGCUGAUUGUUGUUUACUUGGGGGUAUUUUUGGGCUAUAGGAACUCAGAGAGCAGGUUGAAAGUGGAGUUGGCCUUGGUGGACCUGACGGUAUCUUAAUUAAUGGAUUUGGUCCGUACCGCUAUGAUAGUGCAGUUGUCCCAGAUGGUAUUGCUUUCCAGACAAUAUAUGUGGAUCCAGGUAUUUUUCAUAUCUCUAUGUUGUGCAAUAAUAUGUUCAGUGACACAUGCUUUGCAUUAGUUACAACCUUGACGUAGGGCAUCACCCUUACUUACGAGUCACGAACCAAUCAUUUUGUAAUGGAAUCAUUUGAAGAGCUGGGAUCGUUUGAAGAGCAGGACCUUGAAGACUAGUCUUACCUAGAUAGUUUCCUCCUCAUAUGCCACGGGCAUUGUGCAGUAUCUAUGGACAUAAAAUGCAACUGAAAUCAUUUAUUUAAAUGUUGCAACAAUGCCCUGGUCCACUCCUGAAGGUGUCCAUACGAUAGUCCUUUUACAUUUCACUUUAGGUGAUUCAAGCUUCGAAGCCUCUCUGAAAACCUAUAGAAUCAACAUGCCAUGGCGGGUUUAUAUAAAAGGAUAUCUAUAGGAGUUCCAGAGAGGAUGGAGAACAUAAAAAGAUAUUGAUUUUUUAAUCAUCUGCAGAAGUGACAUUGUGUUUGUUUUGAGUUAUGUUUAUUACGUUGAGUUUUUGACGAAGUGUGCAUUCUCAUCAUGCAAUGCAACAGGGAAAACAUACCGUAUACGUGUACACAAUAUUGGUAUAUCUACUAGCUUGAAUUUCAGAGUCCAGAACCACAACUUGCUUCUUGUGGAGACCGAAGGAUCAUACACAGUACAACAGAACUACACAAACAUGGAUAUCCAUGUUGGUCAGUCGUAUUCAUUCUUGGUCACGAUGGAUCAAAAUGCUAGCAGUGAUUACUACAUUGUUGCCAGCCCACGUUUUGUGAAUUCCUCUGCUUGGACCAAGGCUAUUGGGGUUUCUAUCUUGCACUACUCAAAUUCACUUGGACCUGCAUCAGGUCCUCUUCCAGACCCUCCUAAUGAAUAUGACACGUAUUUCUCAAUGAAUCAAGCAAGAUCCAUAAGGUUGUAGUGAAACAUGGAUUUAGAUAUUAGAAUUUUUUCUGAGACUUUGCUUCAUUUUAAUAUUACACUCAAUUACUAACCAGCAACGUUUAUUGGAAAGGCCCUUCACAAUCACCAGCAAUGCACAUUUUUGCAGCUCUUUUAUGCAAUGCUUACUAAAACCAGUAUCCAGAGGAAAUGUUUUUAUCCUCCCAACUUUAUCUGCUUCAUACCUUCUCCAUCUUGGCAUUCUCUUGUUUAUAUCUUAUGUUGGUACUCUGACUUUCGUCCUUGUUUUAUGGUCUUAUUGUUCUUGCAAUAUAUCGACAAUCUUUUAUAGAUGGAAUGUUUCUGCUGGCGCUGCUCGCCCAAACCCUCAAGGAUCUUUCAAAUAUGGCCAGAUCACCGUGACUGAUGUGUAUGUGAUCCUUAAUAGGCCUCCUGAGCUUAUAGAUGGAAAGUGGCGUACAACUCUUAAUGGUAUUUCUUACUUAGCACCUUCAACACCUCUCAAGCUUGCCCAGCAAUUUAACAUUCCGGGGGUGUUCAAGCUUGACUUCCCAAAUAGACUGAUGAAUAGACCUGCAAAAGUUGACACAUCUGUAAUCAACGGCACUUUCAAAGGGUUUAUGGAAAUAAUAUUCCAGAACAAUGACACAACUGUCCAGAGUUACCACUUGGAUGGAUAUGCUUUCUUUGUUGUAGGGUAAGCAUGCAGGUUUGAUGAAUAUGACCUUUUUCUAGUUUUUAGAAUACUAAAGAUUGAGCAGUAUUGUCUUUCCAUGAACUGCAGGAUGGAUAAUGGUGUGUGGACGGAGAACAGUAGAAGCACUUACAACAAGUGGGAUGGUGUAGCUCGCUGCACUACCCAGGUAUUCCUAGUCUGAAAAUUUUGACUUUGAAGUGUCUUAGAUUUCACGACUUGGCGUAUAUUAGAGACUCAAGUUCAAAAGCUUUUCCGCUGCUGGAUUAUACUGUUGCAUAAAGAAAAUGAAGUCUUUGACAAGGGAACUGGAAAAUUGCCACUUUCAUUGUUAGGCCAUUGGGGGUUCUGGGCAUGGUUAUAGCGGGCUUCCAAAGAUGCCACGUAUCUAUACAUGCCAUGUAGUAUUUGGAAAAAAAAUCCUCAAUGCAGAUUUAAUAAGUCUUUUGCUUCUGAUUAUGUCAAGAAAUAUAUAUAUAUAUAUAUUUGUUUUUUAGCAUUGGCAGUGCAUGAGAAUUUCUGCCCAGACUUGACAUACAUAUCCAACAUAUUUGCAUCUGGACUAAUUAGUGGUUAAAAGAUUUUAAUCUUAGUAUGAAACUAUCCCCCCUGCCACCCCUUAUUUGGUUGAUAUAUGUUUGAUAAGUAUAGUUGCAGUGGCUAAAAUUAAAAUCUUCCCUGUCCAAUAUUGGUGUAUGACAAUUUCUGAAUGACUUGGAAUUCCGAUAAAUGGGUGACUUCGGAACAGGUUUUUCCGGGAGCUUGGACAGCCAUAUUAGUUUCUUUGGACAAUGCUGGUAUUUGGAAUCUUCGUGCACAGAAUCUUGACUCGUGGCACCUAGGUCAGGAAGUUUAUCUUAGCGUGGUGAAUCUGGAGAUGGACAAGAACGAGCUUCCUUUGCCAGAUAAUACAAUAUAUUGUGGUGCACUCUCAUCAUUACAGAAGUAAGAUGAACACCUUUACGUUUUCCUUGCCUCUGCUUAAAUUCCAUCACUUUUGUUUUUGGGCCAUUGAUCUUCAGAAAGGUUAGAGGCUAGUAUAUUUGGGUAUAGAAUAUAGCUACUGGAUAGCCUUGAUUUCAGUUCUGGUCUCAAAAGAUGUUUACGCUUACAGUGCAUGCAUUACAUCCCUUUUAAUUUGCUUGUUUACUUCAUCCCCGUCUUCUAAUCAGAAUCCUAGUCAUAUUGAGCUGGCUGCGCAAAGGUUUGAAGAACAAUACUGAGUUCAGUUUAUCAAGAGAACACAUGAGCAGGCAUGGUAUAGAAACUUAUGGCAAAUAUUUUGCUCUAAUAGUACCACCGUCUGCAUUUGGAUUUUGCAGAGACCAGGCCCAGAGGGUCAACUUCUCUCGUGCAUCUCGCUGUCCUGUGGCAAUGAAAACCAUUCUGGCUGCAGUUUUUGUGGCACUAUUCGGAACCUGCUUCACGUAGUAAGUGUGCAGCAAAGUAGAAGCAAGCAAAUCAAGCCCAAUAGCACGAUGGCUAGCACAGAUGCAUUCUGUAACUUGACUUUCAUGGGAAAAGAGGAGACAUCACAUGAGUGGUCGUGCUCUUAACAAUUUUUUCUUAAAGAGUUUCUUUUGACUUUAUCGUAUUUACAUUUUCAGUUUCUUGUAUAUCUUGUAUAAUCCAACCUACCUCUACCUGUGAGCAGCAUAAUGAGGGAGGGAUGAGUUUUGAGUGUCAUGGCACAGGUUGAUUUCUUUGAAAAGGCAAAUGAGAGCUGAUAAAUUGAUAAUUAAUCUUCAGGAACUCUGGAAGAAAUAUGAAGGUCUUGAUUACUGAUAGUACUGUUGAGUAAUUUACAUAUAUUGACUUAUCAGAAGAAAGUACUUAAAACUACCGCUUCCUUCAGUCUUCAGUCCUCCUCCUCCUCAUUAUUAUUUUUCACUUGCUUCACCCGCCAUUAAAAUGUCGAGCUGGAAGCUCGGUUCGGUCAGUCCAGUCGUUGAUUGCGCAUGCAGUCAUCACAACUUGGACGAAAGUUAAGAUGGCGGGAGAGAGUGGGCCCGCCAUCAUCGUUGGCCUACACAUGCUGCCAACUUUAACUUUUGCUACCUUGGGGCUUGGGUUGGGCCCAUUCCCCCGCUUCAAUCAUCGUCACUCACUCAUAUUGUACUAUUAAUAUUAAUAAAGGGGAGCUAGCUGACCAAACUCAACCUCCUGUGGGCCCUCUCUCCCUCUAGUACUGGACACGUCCUCCUUAGUCAGUUGGGCCCUGCCCAUUUUUCAGGCCCCUUAAAAUAAAAAGGCUAUUCGCUCUUUCUUUUUAAUUUUACUUUUACUUCAAGUUGGUGGCGGAGAAGGAUCCUUCCCCUAAAAUUGGGAAAGAAAAGCAAGGCGUGUACAUUUUCCUGUCUUAAAAGGCAAUUACUUCCAUCUUUGAUGUAAAAAAAUGAAUAACGAAAGAAAGUUUUUUGUGGGCGGGGGUAAAUAUCUAUUCUGUAUUGUCCUCCAUGCUUCGCUUUGCGCAAAACAAUAGCAAAAUGGUUUUAAAUGUUAAGAGUGCCUUAACUAACUGCCGAAUAAAACCCAAACCACUUUAUAAAAGCUCAGCUGGUUUUCCAACUAUUUUAUUCUUCCUAGAAAUCUACGUCCGUAAUUUUUGUAGUUUAAAAAAGAAAAAGAAAAAUCUUCAUAUUGGACCCACUGGUACGAAUUAUUUAAGGCACUCAGUACUAGCACCCACUGGUACAAAUUGCCCCGGAGAUCACCAGACCACGAGCUCCUGAAAUCAAUAUGGCUGGGAAUGCUGUCGUCUUCCGCUGCUUCACAUUGCUACUCAUCUGUGUAGCGGUUAGCUUUGUGAGAACACAAUCAGCGCCUGAAAGUGCACUCAUAACAUCUAUUCCUGGUUUCAAUGGCACUCUACCUUCUAAACACUAUGCAGGGUACGACUCUUUUUCACCAUUUCUCUUGUAUUGUAUUGCAACUGUCAAAGUAAGUUUCUUGAAAAUACUUUGAUGGGAUUAUGCUGGUUCUUGGUUUUCUCGAAUGGGGUUUUUUUUUUCCUUACAGGUAUGUGACAGUUGAUGAGAGUUGUGGGAGAAAAUUGUAUUAUUACUUUGUUGUUUCUGAGAGGAAUCCGUCACAGGAUCCAGUAGUUCUGUGGCUCAAUGGUGGUCCUGGUUGUUCGAGCUUUGAUGGAUUCGUCUAUGAACACGGUAUUGAUUGAAUUGUUAUAUCUUCUUCGAGUUGAGAUUAGCACGUCUUAAUUACUUACUUUGAUAGUUAAUUAAUUGAAGACUGAAUUGAAUUCUGACACUGGCAAAUAAGCCAUGUCUUGUAAAAUGCUCAUAUGGUACUUCUUUUUCUAACUUGACAUACUUUUAUUGGAAGGCAAGCAUAUAUGAUAUUUUACGGUCUAAUUUCUGUUUCCAUUCGUUGAUUCUUAUGCUCUCUAAUUCUGCUUCUUGACCCGGUGAAGUAAAGGGGUGUAGAUUUUUCAUAUUAUCUUUUCCCCUGUUUGUAACCAUGAUGGCUAAUGGAACUUCCCUGCAGUUUUCGAAUGUAAUGGUUAUCUGUUAUAACGAGACAUAAAUUGGCACUGUAUAUAUGGGCGAUGUAACGAUUUAGUUCUGCAUAUUCCUUGCAUACUUUUGGUUUUUAUGAUCUUAACUAUCUGAAGAAAAGAAAAAAGAAUAAGGAGACGAACAUAAGGAAAAAGGGGAGAAGAUGACAUUAUCUUUAUCUUAUGUCCGUGACUUGAUAUCAAGAAUUUUCAAUUGUCUUUCAGGUCCCUUCAAUUUUGAGGCAGGAAAGACCCCCGAUAGCCUGCCCACCUUGCAUCUCAAUCCAUACAGCUGGUCGAAGGUUGUGAUUCAUGUCUCUGAAGCAUACAUAUCCAUAUAUAGGAAAUUCAGUGUGUUUAAUUCCAUAAGACUCAAAUAAAAAUGAUAAUGCUUGUUCCUAAAAGGAAGAAUACACACACACACACACACAUACAUAUAUAUAUAUAUAUAUAGAGAGAGAGAGAGAGAGAGAGAGAGAGAGUAUUUUAGGCAUUUCCUUGCAUGUUAUCAGUUGAGAUCAACAAAGAUCAGUCUUACUCAUCAGGUUUCCAACAUCGUGUAUUUGGACUCUCCUGCUGGUGUUGGAUUUUCUUACUCUGGGAACGAAUCUGAUUAUAUAACAGGAGACCUAAAGACUGCUUCUGAUUCUCACACAUUUCUAUUCAAGGUAUUAACUUGAAAUAAUUCCUUUAUCUGACAACACUGAAUACUCACUCUGUGGUCUUAUCCGAUUGUUGCUAUACAGUUAUUCUUUGGUCCACUAAAUUUUUCAUAUUUUAAAAAGUUGUUGCUGUAUUGCCAGUGGUUUGAGCUCUAUCCAGAGUUCCUCUCUAACCCAUUUUAUAUUGUUGGGGAGUCAUAUGCUGGAGUAUAUGUGCCAACUCUGUCUUAUGAAGUUGCAAAAGGUAUAUCUUAUGAUAUCUGAACUGCAUACAUUUCAAGGAUGAAGGCUAAUUUGCUCAUUCAUUAUAAUCUUCAGGAAUAGAUGAAGGUGUAAAGCCUGUUCUCAAUUUUAAGGUACAACAUUCCCCGUACUUAAGACACUGUUAUUAUUCUUCGUAAAAUAAUUGCACAGCCUGCAGGGUUAUAUGGUGGGAAAUGGAGUUACAGAUGAUGAGUUUGAUGGCAAUGCUCUUGUUCCUUUUGCGCAUGGGAUGGGCCUAAUCUCAGAUGACCUAUACAAGGUAUAUAUGAGUAUAAUAGUGCCGAUAAGGCCUGUCUAGUGGCUAAAGUUGAGGCCCCAGAAUUUAGAGAUCUUGGGUUUAAAUCCUCGUUCCCCUCCCCACUCCUUAAAUCCCAUCACUCUCCCGCUAAAAAAUAAAAAUAAAAAAAUAAUUGUAUCAGCACUGCACAUUUUAAUUCCCUACUCUUGCAGAAAUCUUUCUUUCCUACUAAAUAUGUCAGGCUGUGGAAAUAGAUAAAAAAGAUCAUUAUCUGGUUUGUGAUAAUCUAUUUCUGCUUUUCUUAUGAUAUCCUUCUUAGUCUUCCUUUAUAUUUUUUUUAUUAACUUUUUUCUUCUUCUGAUGCAGGAAGUUAUAUCUGAGUGCCGUGGAAACUAUUAUAACCCUGCAAGUGACAGUUGUGAAAGCAAGCUUGAAAAAGUUGAUGAAGUAGGAUAGUUACUUUCUAUGAUUUUGCAUAAAGAGUUUGUACUUAUUUAUUUUGAGGAUUCUAAUUCUUCUUUUUAAUCAGGAUCUUGAGGGAUUAAACAUAUAUGACAUUCUGGAACCAUGUUAUCAUGGUCCAGCUACGAUUAAAAUGGUAAAUGGCAAUACUAAGUUGCCAGUGAGCUUCAGGAUGUUAGGUGAGACUGAAAGGCCUCUUCCUGUGAGAACAAGAAUGUUUGGCCGUGCAUGGCCUCUCAGAUCUCCAGUGAGAGAUGGACUUGUCCCAACUUGGCCCCAGCUUCUCAAAACCACGAGUGUUCUAUGCACCGUGAGUGAAUCUUACUACUAGUAUUUCCCUCUAUACUUUUUUUGUGCUGCAGCUUUUUAUUGGACCGAUAAACAUUGGCAGGAAAUUCAUAUCAUCUCAAAAUGUGACACAUUACACCCCGCUAAGAUUAGAUAUUUCAGUAUUUUACCACCACUACUUCAUGUUUGCAAAGUAUUUUUUCUGCUUCCUUCCAGGCAUGGCUUAUUAAUUUCUCAAUCAUCUAACUAUUAUAAACAGAGAGUUAGGUGUAUUAAAAAAAUUUUUUGACCAACAGAUAGUUUGGUAUAUUGAAUGCUUCGAUAAUUGCGAGGUGGUCGAACUUUUAUGUUGUUCUAAUUGCAAACUCUGAUACAUUAAUAUGUGGUAUAUUUAGGACUUGCAAUUACAGUCAUCAGCUUAAAAUUUCCACUCAGUGAAAGUAUUGAAAGAAUAGGAGGUGGUCUGGACAUAUACUGUCCAGCUCAAUCUGUUUCCUGCACCAUCAUCUUCUGCGAAAGCAUAAACAAGAGAAGGCAUCCAACCUUGACAAGAACCUACUAAUUUGAUUAUUUACUUGUGUAAAUCUAGGUAAUUAUGGUGGCACCAGUUGGCAUGGCAAUUGCCCUUUGCUUUUCAGGGAUGAAAAAUGCAAAAUCUUGUGUGUUUGUGUGUGUGUGUUUUUGGGGGUUGGGGGGAGGAUGAGGAGAUGCGGGGGGUGAGGGAGAGUAGGGAUGAUAUCCUGAAUCUAGCUUAUCAGAUUCUAAAUGAAUAUAGCAUCCUUCAUUUUUCAAAAUUUGAUUCUUUAAUUUCCUAAUUAGCCUUCCUAAAUUCUAAUUCCUAUAUAUUGAGGUGCUUGCAUCAUUUGUUCCUCAACUAGCUGCCUUGUUUGAGUUAUUGACAUGAUUGAUAUUGAAAUGGAAACUGCAGAACGAUGAAGUUGCUACAGCAUGGCUAAAUAAUGAAGUAGUUCGGCAAGCAAUUCAUGCUGAAUCCGUAAGAUUUCUUGUCUACCUUCGUCAUGCCUUUUGAAGCAGAGAUUUAUGAUCUUGUGCUGCUUUAGGUAAAUGUGGCAGACACUUGGGAGUUAUGCACAGGCAGAAUUCAGUUUCAUCAUGAUGCUGGGAGCAUGAUCAAGUAUCACAAGAACCUAACCUCCAAGGGGUAUCAAGCACUUAUAUUCAGGUAUAAAAGCAUGAGUACUGUGUCCUAGUAUCAUUGCUGGUAUUUUUAUCUUCUCAAGAAUAAUUGUUGUACUUUAGCCUUGCUUGAUCAACUAGCUAUCAGCAUACAUGGUCAAAUGCCAUUACUUAAUGCCGUAACAAUAGCUCAAAUCCUGAAGCAUGUCAAUGUACACUUGGUUCUAACCUUCCAGUGUACAAAUCUAUAUAUGAUGGGUCACAGGAUUGAAAAAAUUUUGUAAGCGGUGAUUAGUUGCAAAUAAUAUCCAUAAAUUUCUUUUGUAGAAAUGAAUCCUUAACAAGUGUUACGUUCCUCUCUCUCUCUCUCAAUUGCUUGGAAACUCAUGGUAUUCUGGGCUUGAAUGGUUGCAAGACUCCGUCUUGACUAGAAGAGGUCUAAUAAUUCAGGCUUGUUUCGUAUACUUAAUGUGAUGAUGGUGAUGCUGCUUUUAUCAUGUUGGAAUCAAUGUGCAUACCAUGUCUACAAAUGCGUCAGUGAUUAAUGGAAAUUAUGUUGUGGCAGCGGAGAUCAUGAUAUGUGCGUUCCAUUUACCGGGAGUCAAGCAUGGACAAGAUCAGUUGGAUAUAAGAUUGUCGACGAGUGGAGGCCUUGGAUUGUGAAUGAUCAGGUUGCUGGGUAUGUUCUUGCUGAUUAAAUUGAUUCUUAAUGAAUUCAAAGUAACUAGAAAAUUACUCUCUUUGAUUUUUAGCAUAAAGGUUAUAUUUGUCAAUCGUCAAAGUGCAGGCAUUUGCCAUCUUCAUUUCUGCUGCCAUGUGCAACUCACUGUAACUGCUCUUUUGCACUCUGCAGAUUCUUACAGGGUUAUGACUAUAAUCUCACUUUUAUCACCAUCAAGGUUAGUACAAGCAAAAGCUUUUCGGCCCUGAUUGUUGCUGGACUCGCUAAAUCAGUCUCUAAAAGAAUAUAUUUCUUCAUGUGUUUGAGUCUUCUACGAAAAGAUUAUUUAGUUCUUCAUGAUGAUGCAGGGUGCUGGACAUACCGUCGCAGAGUACAAGCCACGUGAAGCUCUGGAAUUUUAUACUCGGUGGUUGGAUGGGAGGAAAAUUUGAAGCUUAGACUGGUCGAUAACAUGUGAGGAGGGAAGGGAAACUAAAGAAUAGUGCAUUAGAAUGUUUUAGGCUACUCCAAGUUUGCCUUCAACGAGGUCAGAAUGAGGUUUGCUUGUAUUGAUGGUCCCCUCACAGUCAGAGACGAGAGAUACAAGGGGGCACAAAGACUGGUAGAACAAUGGUUAGGACACCGGAAAUGUAUUCUUUUAUGAAAUAUGCCCAUGGUCUGUGAUGCUCCGUUUCUUCCUUGCUUUUCUUAGUGUAACAAUAAUAACUUGCUUAGUUACAUGCUGCUAGUAGAAACAACCAACAAAAUACAUGGAUAAGGCUGCAUGUCGAAUGAAUAAUAGAAUUUCCUGGUUUUAGCUUGCACAGAUACGUAUGCAGGCAUAGCCACUCCCCAAUAUUCAUAUUGCACUUGUGUAUGAAUCAUAGGCCCAUCUCGCAAAUUUAGCUAUUGAUUUGUUAGUUCUCGUACACAUAAUCAAGAAUAUAAAGUAAAUUUGCAGAAGAUUUAUGUACUAUUGACCAGUGGGGUUGCAGGAAGAAAAUUUCAGAACUGGUCCAGAUAUUUAGAGGAAGUAUUAACCUGGAGUAACAGCUAAUACUUCUGAUUUUCAAGCAUUGCCUUAAACUAACAAUGUUUCUACAAUACCCUUAUUUGGGCUGAUAUUUUGGCUAAGUUUACCUUGUAUAUGGAGUUAUUUAGCUACAAAAGUAAUGCAUCAUAGAUAAUUAAGGACAAGCAUGGUGAAGCUCUGUAAAUUUCAGUUUCAGUAUCCUGUAUUCUCAGGCCAGCUGUAUUUUUCCUUGGCCAUCUUGAAGAAAUAACUCCAUUAAUGAAUUCUUCAGAGUUGUCGCCUGGAUUUCCUCGCUGAAAGCCUUUCAGGGGAAAAAAAUAUAUAAAAUUAAACAUGUUACCAUUCCAUAUAUCUCAUGAAAGGAGAUGAAGGAUCAACUAAUUGGGUUCUUUCGUUGUUAAAUUGUUUGGCUGGAUUACCAAUGAUAAAUUAAUAUUGAGUUAACCAUGCUUAGCAAUAGAUGCAAUAUUUCAAAAAGUAUCACCUCUGCUUUGAGAACGUUCAAGACCAAGCCAUUAGAAGUUGUGACAUUGGCAUCAGUCACUUGAAGUCCAAAAGAAUCCAUAGCCUGCAUUAACCUCAAAAAGCAACCUCUUUUUUGUGUGCAUAUGAUCUUCACCAAGAAAUCCCUUGUGCCAAUCUGGCUCACUUCAAUUUUCACCUACGCUCAUCGAAACAAUUGCGGAAAGGGAUAAACUUAAGCAAACUUGGGAUGAUAGUCUCAAACUUUUAUGAUUCCUAAAAAAAUACAAGCUGUUUAGAGAUCAACAUCUAUACUUUGAAUGUUAAGGGACCUUCUCACCUUCCCUUGUUUUUUGUCAUUGGUGCUGGAAUGGCGUCUGCUGUCACCUUGCUCAAUUGUUGGUUGAUAAUCAGUUCUUUGAAUUUCUCUGCACGACCUUGGGACCUCUUGUUCUGAACUGUACAUGUUGGCCUCCUGCUCUGCCAAAUCUCGGAGUUUACCUUGAUACUCUUCCACACUUUUCUGCAACUCUUGUAUGUAAUCAUAUGCAUCCGCAAGCGUUGAAGCUUUAUCCAUCUAAGUAAAACAAAAAGAUCAUUAUGAAAACAUGUAGAGCAGGAAAAAGUCUUUGCUUUUGGCGUUUAAAGGAUAUCACCGCAGAACCUUGGAAAUAUUGGGAACUAAUGAACGAAGAGUUAAGAGACCAUGGUUUAUCCUGUGCCUUCUAUUCCUCUCUGUUAUGAGGUUCUUGGAGUGGUAAUUGUCUCUUUCUGUCUUGUUUCUGCCUCUCAGAUUUUCAUUUGUCUCAGCAGCCCAUUUAGCACUUCCAAAACCACAACUAGGAUCUUUCAUUCUUCUUGAAUCCAAAUUUCCUGGAUGUCUUCCACUCGAUUUUUCAGGUGAAGUGGAACAAGAUGCUGAACCUGAACAUACAUUAAGCAGUUGGUAAUCCUUGGGGAGAUCGGAACUGAUGGAAGAUCCUUCAAAGCUAGGAUGAUUGCUCGAAUUGGGUAUAAAGGUAGGAUACUGAAGAUUAGGGACAGAUAUCAUGUGGCAAACAGAUGCUGGCAAGUUAUUGAAGCAAUCAUCAAGAAACGGUCUGUGCGAUGGUUCUGCGGCAUUUAAUUCUGUACGCCGAUGAGAAGCCAUGGUUUCCAGUUCAACAGGAACGUACUGAGCCAAGAUAAAAUCAAUUAUCUGUUGAGUUUCCUGUACCUACAGAAUCACAAUAACGUAAUUUGCAGAUUAGAAAGAAGAAUUCAGUUUGUUAUUGAGAAAUGGUAAGCAAGAUAAACUCUUACCAGGUUUGUGCUGAAGAGUUCAAUCAAACCACCCGCAACCGGUACUAAAACUUGGGUUCCAAUCCUGCGGUGCCAGACACAACUAUGCUUAAAUUCCUAUUAGCCUUGUAAUUUGUUUUAGUUAGAAUUCUAAAAGUUAAGGAGUGUCUAGAUCACAAGCAUGAAGUCCAAUUGCUCCCAAGAUGAUACCCUGACUUGAAAGCAAAUUCACCAAUUGCGACUGUUGUCUUUCAUCAAUCAUGCCCAGGUAAAGGGGAAAAAAAAUUCUUUAUGAUGGUGAUGUUGGAAAAGAAGUGAUAUCCUCUGUUGCAUUUGACUACGAUUAAAGAGCAAGACCUAGAGAGCUGCAGGCUUUUUAGUUUUUACAACAAAAGACCGCGAUCAUUAGAGAGGAAAAGAGAUUAAAGGGCCAAAAGAAAAGAAAAAAAAAGAAAAAAACUCACGCUUCAUCCGAAGAAGUGUUGUUGGAAUUCACGUGCCACCUUGCUCGAUUUGACAUUACUACUUCCCCAUGAAUCCUGCUUUGAUUCCCACAUAUUAGAAGAAUGGUUCAUCUUAGGCUCUAAACAGGCAGUAAUUAGAAAGAAGUAGUUUUUAUCUUUGCAAAAAAUACCCAGAGUACAGUGGUAUUGAUAAAGGAAAUUUGGCGAGUUUUUCACAAGCCUUGGUUCUUAUUGGAUGCUUAAAAUGUCCAUCCCUGCAUUGAGCAAACAAAUACUGAUCUUUGCCACUUUCCUCUUUCACAUUCUCGAGCCAAUUCCCACCACUGCAACAGCAACCUCUCCAUUCAAUGAAACUGCAAUCAAUAAAAAGAUCCACAAAUCGAUAAGCAAGAAGGCUUCUUUUCAAGCAGAACAGAAAAAAGCGUAGAGGGCAACUGGAAUUUCUAGAGGAUAAGAGUGAAAAUUGUAGUACGAAUUGCGAUAAUUUUACAUUUAACCUUGAAGGGUCAUCUCCCAAUUUCCAGACAAUACAAUAGUCCCAUACAUUGUUCUUAACAAGGACCCUUAGUCUCUCCAGUGCCUGGUCCAAAGCUGCCAUGUCCUUGAACCUUUCGAACACUUCUUUGUAUCUAUCUGGGGCUUGCCCCUGCUGGCUGGUGCCUCUGAUGGUUUUGCUGCUGCAGCUGCUCUUAGUACCCUUCUGUUGUUGAAGCAUUUCGGGGGGCUAUGUAUUAAUUGCACUUCCACACGACAAUCCUAACCGACUUUACCAAUGCAUUGUACUCCUCCCUCAGCACCACAUCUGUGUCAGAAGAAUCAAAUACGAGCAGCUUUUUACCCAGAGUAAGGGCCUACGAUUAUGAGUUACAAUUGCCUACUACUUGUAUCAGUUGUAUGCACCAGCACAACAAUUGUAUACGCUAACACGAUAAUUGUACACACAAAAUAGCUGUGUACGAAGGACUUGCGCUAAAAGACAAAGAAAGAAAGAAAAAAGAAUAAAAGGAAAUACGGGGAAAAGAAUCGUUCAAAAGUUCAAGAAUGGUCCAAUAACUGCAAUGAAAAUGCUGACUCCGUUUUGAUACCCCUUUUGUGGAAAGCUUAUUACCACUUUGCUUUAUUUUGCUGUCUAGCCUGUCUUUCAUAUUAGUUCUAGCAACUUCACAGUAAAUUUUUCUCUUCUUCUUUUUUCCGGUUACUUUCUCCUCUAACAAUUUCUGAUGUUGCUGCUUACGCUGACCGAAUCAAAAAGGAAAUUGCUUUGGAUAGUUGUUUUAUUUGGGCGUGGUAAAUGUGGAGAUUAGCCAACAACAAUAUCAGGGUACGGAAUAUUUGCAGUGUCAGGGGCUCAAGGAUCAGGGUAUAUGAUGUUGCCACUUUCAUCUCAUUAUUGUAUUCUUCUUUCCUUCUUAACCCUUUGUGAUAUUUCUCCGUAAGAUGAUGACUUAGAUACUGUAUGUAAAUAUGUAGAAAUAUUUACAAAGGGCUAAAACUAGAAAAGGAAAAAAAAUGGAGAUGUAAUUGAGCUCAAUUUUUGAUUGAUAAGAGGAGGAAAAAGUAGGAAAGCAAUCCAUUUCCAGUUAGUUGUAAAAGUGAAAAUGAUGUUCCAAACUCCAUAUUGAUUUUGUGGAAGCAUUAAUCUUACAGCUUGAUGAAGAAAAUAAUAUCAAAGAUGUAACAAACGCAAAAAAAUGUAAAACAAUAAGUAUGUUUUUUCACGGGCAAGUCAUACUGUAAUUUCGUAUAAAUUAUAAAAUUUUACGAGUUUGACAUCAAAAAUUCACUCUAAUAAAUAUAUCUUGUCCCAUCUUAAUCUAUAUAUAUAUAUAUAUAUAUAUAUAUAUAUAUAUAAAGUUUUUAUUCACUAGCAAGUGUGAAUGUAUGUUAUUAUGUAAAAAAUAAAUUUGUAAUUAGGUAGAUAGGUGGUGCAACUAGACGAUAUAAAUUCAAUGUGUAUAGUUCUAACAGGAUAUUCAUAGUUAUUUUGCAAUUGAUCCUAAGGUAUCCCCUAAUCCGUUUCAAUUCUCAUCAAAGUAUUUGGCAGCACUCCCGUAAAUGUAAUAGCCCAAACCCACCAGCAACAUAACCAAUCAUUUCCCGCGAUCCUUUGGAAAGCUCCAGGUCCAGCCAGCUGAGACUUCGGUUUUGAUUUUAUAACGUACGUAACCUUCCAUGUUCCAUCAUCAGCCGGCAUCAUACCUUUCCGCUUCCCUCACUCCCAACAGUAGCAGUCUUCACUCUGCUGCCUUCAAACACAUGGCUUCGAUGCCUCUAAGAAUCGCCUCAAACUCCUUUUCGAGUCUUCUAAAUCUAACAUUUGAUGGCCCUUGUCGUUUAGCUUCGAAUUCAGGUUUUUAUGGUCUCCCGGACCAGCCGCUGAAUAAUAUACCUCUGUCUACUUCAGCUUCAGCUAAUAGAAGGACUCGUAGAUUUCUGUCCCAAGUUCCGCUCCAUGCUACCAAUGCGCCCAACCGGGAAACUAUUAAGUCCCAAUCCUCCCUUUCCUUCGACGUCGUCAUCAUUGGCGCCGGAAUCAUCGGGUUGACCAUCGCCCGACAGUUCCUCCUCUUUUCGGAUCUCUCCGUCGCCAUACUUGAUGCUGCCGUCCCUUGUGCUGGUGCCACUGGAGCUGGUACACCUCUUUUUUUUUCCUUAAGAUAAGAUGAUAGAGCAUGUGUCGUGUAUCUAUUUCCGGUGCGGCUUGAUGAUUGGUUGUAGCUAGCAGUCUCUUUGGUGAUGUUAACGUUGAGGGUGGUUCUAGGGCAGGGGUACAUAUGGAGGAUAAACAAGACACCUGGAGCUGAAAAAUGGGAACUAGCAUCUAGAAGCCAUCAAUUGUGGGUUAAUCUGGCUGAGAGCUUGCAACAUCAGGGCUUGAAUCCUUUGCAGAUUCUUGGAUGGAUGAAGACUGGUACUAAUUUUAACUCCCAUCCUUCCCUUCCCCAUUGGAAAUGACUCCACAAUGGUGGCCUGCAGGCAUUUUUCUUUAUAAAGUCUUUUCUGUUUUUGUGUUUUCUAUGACAUUUUAAUGUUUCUGCUUUAAGUUAAUUGUGCUCGAUUUCACUCUUUUGCCCAUUUCUACUGUAUUUUUUCGAGAUUACUGAAUGCACUGACGACAUAAUAGGCGUAAAAGUUGAAAGGUGGUAUAACAAUGUUUGUUGUGGAUGGUGGAAUUGACUAGCUUUUUGAAUCGUCAACUGAAUCGAAUGAUGUGCUGCAUUUAGCUGGCAUGCCCCAUCCAAUGAGAAUUAGUAGGGUUCAACUCUAAAUUAAUGAGUUACUAUGGUGAAGCUUAUUAGUGCUCGCUUGGUCAUUUCUCCUAUCUAAUAAGUUGUUAUAUUUAGUGAGCAUUUGUUGCACUCAACCCUAUUUUCUGGAUUUCUAAGGUGAAGCUUCUCUGUGCUCACUUGGCUCAUUCCUCGUAUGUGGCAUAGUACAUAAAUCUAAUUGGAUCAUAUUGUUUGUGAAUUGGACACUUAGAGGGAACAUUACCUGUCUUCACUCGUGCAUGAACCAGUUUUCAUGAAAUAUAAAGGAGGAUAAGAAAAACUUGUUAUGCAUUAACAAACAUAUUGCUUCUUUGAAUUAUCCUCAAGUGCUAAUUAUCUAUAGAACAUUGCUGAUGUUUGAUAGGAAGUUUAUUGGUUGGUAAAACGAAGGAGGAAUCUACCUUGUUGAAGGCGAAGGUGAAGCAACUAUGUGAUGCUGGGUUGGAGGCAGUGUUCUUGUCCAACCAAGAUUUGCUGUUGAAAGAACCUGCGCUUGUGCUCGGAAAGGAAGGUACGGCGGCUUAUUUACCUGAUGACUGCCAAUUAGAUGCUCGAUGUGCAGUUGCAUUCCUUGAGAAGGUUCUUUUUUUCUCUCACACUCAGUGCUUCUGUUUUUCCCCCCUUUUUAUUUUGGGUUAGACAGCUUCAUUGGAUUUAUUGUGUACUUAAUGUUUUAUGCGUAGGAGAACAGGCAUUUUGCCUCUGAAGGGAGAUAUGCUGAAUUUUAUCAUGAGCCGGCAACCUAUUUGUUGAGGUUUGUUGGUAGAGUACUCUCUAUUUUGCAGAACUUUCUCCCAGAUUUAACUGAUGAGUUUUUAGUUAACCGGAACUUGAACAGAUCUGGCAGCAGUGGAGAGGUUGAUGCCGUUCAGACUUCGAAGAAUACAAUUUUCAGCAAGAAGGCUGUUGUUAUGGCAGCUGGUUGUUGGACUGGAACUCUGAUGCAUGAGUUGAUUAAGAGUACAAACAUUAAAUUGGAUAUCCCCGUAAAGCCUCGAAAGGUCAGAAUAAGAUAUGUGAUGCAGAUUUAAAAGCUUGGAAACUGAGUGAUUAAAAGUAGGUUCUGCUGUAGAAUUAGGCACAAUGUAAGAGCAGUGGUGGUAGAUGUGCAUUAACUAGAUUUGCAGUGAAUGAUCUUCAAAGCAAAUGCAAAUUUUGCUAGCAAAGUUGAUUAUAUAAUGUAGCAGUACUGGUGCUUCUUUUUUUUCUUUCCUCCAGAAUCUGUUGUGAAGUCAAACAUCUUUCUAAUGUGUUUGACAGGGCCACCUGCUUGUGGUUGAGAAUUUUAAUUCCUUCAAACUAAAUCAUGGUCUCAUGGAGGCCGGAUAUGUUAAUCACCAAUCUGCAUCUCUGCCAUCCACUGCUUCUCAUAAAAGGCCCCUCUAUGAUGCCCAGGCUACAUCUGUCUCAAUGACAGCCACUAUGGAUACCUCAGGAAACCUAGUUCUCGGUACUUUCAACUUCAACUUCAACUUCAUUCUACUUCUUGAUUCCUUCUCUCUGUAUCUGUCUGUGCCCAUCUGCAUAGGAGCAUUGAAUUCCUUUGAGUGUCUUUGUUACAGGUAAAGUAAGUUUAUUGAUGCUACUGAUGGUGCACCCAAAAGAUUAUACUUAAAAGCUGCAUAUUCUGAUUGAUAGUAAGAGAACAUCCCUAAGUCAACCAAAAUAUAUAACAACAUCCCUGCCUCUUGUGUUGUCCCAGGAAGCAGCCGGCAGCUUUUAGGGUUCAAUGUGGACGUAGAUGAGUCCAUCAUCAACCGCAUUUGGCAGAGGGCUGCAGAGUUCUUUCCUGCAUUGACAGAAAAAUCUCUGGAUGAGUUGAAGAAAAAUAGAGCAGUGAGAGUUGGACUAAGACCUUACAGUAAGUACCAAAGAAAAAAAUAAUAUAGAAUUCUUAUUAUUGUAAAUGUGUACAAUUAGAAUCCCACUGAAAGAUGAGUUUUAUUAUGGACUAAUCAAUCAUGUGUUCUAGUGCCUGAUGGGAAACCAGUGAUUGGACCUGUUCCUGGAUGGUCAAACUUCUAUAUUGCUGCAGGGCAUGAAGGUGAAGGACUAACAUUGGUAAUUUUCAACUUCUCUCCUUCUGGUGUGAUGCAUAAAAGCACAAUCUAGUAUAACAUAUGAAUAUGGCUUGUGGAUCCUGUAAAUUCGGGCUAUGUCGGAUGCAGCUGAAGCUACUUUCCAUCUUUUUCUUUUUGUUUUACUUUCUUUUACUGUUAUAACACAUGACCUUGUCUCUGUCCAAUACUUCUUUUCAGGCUCUAGGGACUGCUGAAAUGAUUGUUGAUAUGGUGUUGGGCAAUCCUGGGAAGGUUGAUCCCAAACCAUAUGCUGUGGAUCGGUGUUGUACAUGAAUAUGAAUAUGGGGAGAGGGACGCUUUCAUUUGCUAUUUUAAUCAGCAGAUUUGAAAACUUGAUGCUUGCAUUGAAGGUUGGCCUUGAAAAGUUCUUGCUUCAUUUCACUGGCUCAUUGCUUCAAGUGGAGCUGAAUUUUGCGUGUAGUUGCACUUGUAUGUCUGACUUCUACCACCCCCGGCGGCCCCAAAAAAAAAAAAAGAGGAGUAACUUGUAUCUCCAAGUAUAUGUGCCUAGUAGGUUGGAUAGAGUCGAACAGGACAUAUUUGACAGUCUUGUAGACGCUGCAAGUUAUGCACCAUCUUAUGUGCCUCUAAUACAACAUGAUGGUAUUUGUUGUAUUCUGUUGUAUAGGUGCUUAACACUGUAGAACUGAGAUUCUUGCUUCUAAGCAUCGAAUGAUAGCCAGGUUUAUGGAUGUGCGUUGUGCAUAUGGAGAACAGCAUUUUGUUUGUAAUAUGAGUGACAUGAAGAAUGCUAAGCUCUUUUAACUGUGAGCUUUCCGCGUAUUAAUGCAAGAUGACGAUCAUCAAGAAUGAAAACCAGUUUAUAACUGAAGGAAAAUGCAUAAGAAUGAGCUUUGGGGAACUCUUGGAUGUAAUUCUACUUGGCAAAAAAUGCUUGGCGUAUAGAUUGGCGGACGCAUGAACGGACGGGUAGAUGAGUAUGCCAGUAGGGAUCCCUUUUCUGCGGUACAUAAUUUACAGUAUGGACUCGCUAAAUCAGUCUCUAAAAGAAUAUAUUUCUUCAUGUGUUUGAGUCUUCUACGAAAAGAUUAUUUAGUUCUUCAUGAUGAUGCAGGGUUCUGGACAUACCGUCGCAGAGUACAAGCCACGUGAAGCUCUGGAAUUUUAUACUCGGUGGUUGGAUGGGAGGAAAAUUUGAAGCUUAGACUGGUCGAUAACAUGUGAGGAGGGAAGGGAAACUAAAGAAUAGUGCAUUAGAAUGUUUUAGGCUACUCCAAGUUUGCCUUCAACGAGGUCAGAAUGAGGUUAGCUUGUAUUGAUGGUCCCCUCACAGUCAGAGACGAGAGAUACAAGGGGCACAAAGACUGGUAGAACAAUGGUUAGGACACCGGAAAUGUAUUCUUUUAUGAAAUAUGCCCAUAGUCUGUGAUGCUCCUUUCUUCCUUGCUUUUCUUAGUGUAACAAUAAUAACUUGCUUAGUUACAUGCUGCUAGUAGAAACAACCAACAAAAUACAUGGAUAAGGCUGCAUGUCGAAUGAAUAAUAGAAUUUCCUGGUUUUAGCUUGCACAGAUACGUAUGCAGGCAUAGCCACUCCCCAAUAUUCAUAUUGCACUUGUGUAUGAAUCAUAGGCCCAUCUCGCAAAUUUAGCUAUUAAUUUGUUAGUUCUCGUACACAUAAUCAAGAGUAUAAAGUAAAUUUGCAGAAGAUUUAUGUACUAUUGACCAGUGGGGUUGCAGGAAGAAAAAGAACUGGUCCAGAAUAUUUAGAGGAAGUAUUAACCUGGAGUAACAGCUAAUACUUCUGAUUUUCAAGCAUUGCCUUAAACUAACAAUGUUUCUACAAUACCCUUAUUUGGGCUGAUAUUUUGGCUAAGUUUACCUUGUAUAUGGAGUUAUUUAGGCUACAAAGUAAUGCAUCAUAUAUAAUUAAGGACAAGCAUGGUGAAGCUCUGUAAAUUUCAGUUUCAGUAUCUGUAUUCUCAGGCCAGCUGUGUUUUUCCUUGCCAUCUUGAGAAAUAACUCCAUUAAUGAAUUCUUCAGAGUUGUCGCCUGGAUUUCCUCGCUGAAAGCCUUUCAGGGGAAAAAAAUAUAUAAAAUUAAACAUGUUACCAUUCCAUAUAUCUCAUGAAAGGAGAUGAAGGAUCAACUAAUUGGGUUCUUUCGUUGUUAAAUUGUUUGGCUGGAUUACCAAUGAUAAAUUAAUAUUGAGUUAACCAUGCUUAGCAAUAGAUGCAAUAUUUCAAAAAGUAUCACCUCUGCUUUGAGAACGUUCAAGACCAAGCCAUUAGAAGUUGUGACAUUGGCAUCAGUCACUUGAAGUCCAAAAGAAUCCAUAGCCUGCAUUAACCUCAAAAAGCAACCUCUUUUUUGUGUGCAUAUGAUCUUCACCAAGAAAUCCCUUGUGCCAAUCUGGCUCACUUCAAUUUUCACCUACGCUCAUCGAAACAAUUGCGAAAGGGAUAAACUUAAGCAAACUUGGGAUGAUAGUCUCAAACUUUUAUGAUUCCUAAAAAAUACAAGCUGUUUAGAGAUCAACAUCUAUACUUUGAAUGUUAAGGGACCUUCUCACCUUCCCUUGUUUUUGUCAUUGGUGCUGGAAUGGCGUCUGCUGUCACCUUGCUCAAUUGUUGGUUGAUAAUCAGUUCUUUGAAUUUCUCUGCACGACCUUGGGACCUCUUGUUCUGAACUGUACAUGUUGGCCUCCUGCCUGCCAAAUCUCGGAGUUUACCUUGAUACUCUUCACACUUUUCUGCAACUCUUGUAUGUAAUCAUAUGCAUCCGCAAGCGUUGAAGCUUUAUCCAUCUAAGUAAAACAAAAAGAUCAUUAUGAAAACAUGUAGAGCAGGAAAAAGUCUUUGCUUUUGGCGUUUAAAGGAUAUCACCGCAGAACCUUGGAAAUAUUGGGAACUAAUGAACGAAGAGUUAAGAGACCAUGGUUUAUCCUGUGCCUUCUAUUCCUCUCUGUUAUGAGGUUCUUGGAGUGGUAAUUGUCUCUUUCUGUCUUGUUUCUGCCUCUCAGAUUUUCAUUUGUCUCAGCAGCCCAUUUAGCACUUCCAAAACCACAACUAGGAUCUUUCAUUCUUCUUGAAUCCAAAUUUCCUGGAUGUCUUCCACUCGAUUUUUCAGGUGAAGUGGAACAAGAUGCUGAACCUGAACAUACAUUAAGCAGUUGGUAAUCCUUGGGAGAUCGGAACUGAUGGAAGAUCCUUCAAAGCUAGGAUGAUUGCUCGAAUUGGGUAUAAAGGUAGGAUACUGAAGAUUAGGGACAGAUAUCAUGUGGCAAACAGAUGCUGGCAAGUUAUUGAAGCAAUCAUCAAGAAACGGUCUGUGCGAUGGUUCUGCGGCAUUUAAUUCUGUACGCCGAUGAGAAGCCAUGGUUUCCAGUUCAACAGGAACGUACUGAGCCAAGAUAAAAUCAAUUAUCUGUUGAGUUCCUGUACCUACAGAAUCACAAUAACGUAAUUUGCAGAUUAGAAAGAAGAAUUCAGUUUGUUAUUGAGAAAUGGUAAGCAAGAUAAACUCUUACCAGGUUUGUGCUGAAGAGUUCAAUCAAACACCCGCAACGGUACUAAAACUUGGGUUCCAAUCCUGCGUGCCAGACACAACUAUGCUUAAAUUCCUAUUAGCCUUGUAAUUUGUUUUAGUUAGAAUUCUAAAAGUUAAGGAGUGUCUAGAUCACAAGCAUGAAGUCCAAUUGCUCCAAGAUGAUACCCUGACUUGAAAGCAAAUUCACCAAUUGCGACUGUUGUCUUUCAUCAAUCAUGCCCAGGUAAAGGGGAAAAAAAUUCUUUAUGAUGGUGAUGUUGGAAAAGAAGUGAUAUCCUGUUUGCAUUUGACUACGAUUAAAGAGCAAGACCUAGAGAGCUGCAGGCUUUUUAGUUUUUACAACAAAAGACCGCGAUCAUUAGAGAGGAAAAGAGAUUAAAGGGCCAAAAGAAAAGAAAAAAAAAGAAAAAAACUCACGCUUCAUCCGAAGAAGUGUUGUUGGAAUUCACGUGCCACUUGCUCGAUUUGACAUUACUACUUCCCCAUGAAUCCUGCUUUGAUUCCCACAUAUUAGAAGAAGGUUCAUCUUAGGCUCUAAACAGGCAGUAAUUAGAAAGAAGUAGUUUUUAUCUUUGCAAAAAAUACCAGAGUACAGUGGUAUUGAUAAAGGAAAUUUGGCGAGUUUUUCACAAGCCUUGGUUCUUAUUGGAUGCUUAAAAUGUCCAUCCCUCAUUGAGCAAACAAAUACUGAUCUUUGCCACUUUCCUCUUUCACAUUCUCGAGCCAAUUCCCACCACUGCAACAGCAACCUCUCCAUUCAAUGAAACUGCAAUCAAUAAAAAGAUCCACAAAUCGAUAAGCAAGAAGGCUUCUUUUCAAGCAGAACAGAAAAAAGCGUAGAGGGCAACUGGAAUUUCUAGAGGAUAAGAGUGAAAAUUGUAGUACGAAUUGCGAUAAUUUUACAUUUAACCUUGAAGGGUCAUCUCCCAAAUUUCAGACAAUACAAUAGUCCCAUACAUUGUUCUUAACAAGGACCCUUAGUCUCUCCAGUGCCUGGUCCAAAGCUGCCAUGUCCUUGAACCUUUCGAACACCUUUGUAUCUAUCUGGGGCUUGCCCCUGCUGGCUGGUGCCUCUGAUGGUUUUGCUGCUGCAGCUGCUCUUAGUACCUUCUGUUGUUGAAGCAUUUCGGGGGGCUAUGUAUUAAUUGCACUUCCACACGACAAUCCUAACCGACUUUACCAAUGCAUUGUACCUCCUCCCUCAGCACCACAUCUGUGUCAGAAGAAUCAAAUACGAGCAGCUUUUUACCAGAGUAAGGGCCUACGAUUAUGAGUUACAAUUGCCUACUACUUGUAUCAGUUGUAUGCACCAGCACAACAAUUGUAUACGCUAACACGAUAAUUGUACACACAAAAUAGUGUGUACGAAGGACUUGCGCUAAAAGACAAAGAAAGAAAGAAAAAAGAAUAAAAAGGAAAUACGGGGAAAAGAAUCGUUCAAAAGUUCAAGAAUGGUCCAAUAACUGCAAUGAAAAUGCUGACUCCGUUUUGAUACCCCUUUUGUGGAAAGCUUAUUACACUUUGCUUUAUUUUGCUGUCUAGCCUGUCUUUCAUAUUAGUUCUAGCAACUUCACAGUAAAUUUUCUCUUCUUCUUUUUUCCGGUUACUUUCUCCUCUAACAAUUUCUGAUGUUGCUGCUUACGCUGACCGAAUCAAAAAGGAAAUUGCUUUGGAUAGUUGUUUUUAUUUGGGCGUGUAAAUGUGGAGAUUAGCCAACAACAAUAUCAGGGUACGGAAUAUUUGCAGUGUCAGGGGCUCAAGGAUCAGGGUAUAUGAUGUUGCACUUUCAUCUCAUUAUUGUAUUCUUCUUUCCUUCUUAACCCUUUGUGAUAUUUCUCCGUAAGAUGAUGACUUAGAUACUGUAUGUAAAUAUGUAGAAAUAUUUACAAAGGGCUAAAACUAGAAAAGGAAAAAAAAUGGAGAUGUAAUUGAGCUCAAUUUUUGAUUGAUAAGAGGAGGAAAAAGUAGGAAAGCAAUCCAUUUCCAGUUAGUUGUAAAAGUGAAAAUGAUGUUCCAAACUCCAUAUUGAUUUUGUGGAAGCAUUAAUCUUACAGCUUGAUGAAGAAAAUAAUAUCAAAGAUGUAACAAACGCGAAAAAAUGUAAAACAAUAAGUAUGUUUUUUCACGGGCAAGUCAUACUGUAAUUUCGUAUAAAUUAUAAAAUUUUACGAGUUUGACAUCAAAAAUUCACUCUAAUAAAUAUAUAUUGUCCCAUCUUAAUCUAUAUAUAUAUAUAUAUAUAUUAUAUUAAUAUAUAUAUAUUAUAUAUAUAUAUAAUAAAGUUUUAUUCACUAGCAAGUGUGAAUGUAUGUUAUUAUGUAAAAAAUAAAUUUGUAAUUAGGUAGAUAGGUGUGCAACUAGACGAUAUAAAUUCAAUGUGUAUAGUUCUAACAGGAUAUUCAUAGUUAUUUUGCAAUUGAUCUGUAAGGUAUCCCCUAAUCCGUUUCAAUUCUCAUCAAAGUAUUUGGCAGCACUCCCGUAAAUGUAAUAGCCCAAACCCACCAGCAACAUAACCAAUCAUUUCCCGCGAUCCUUUGGAAAGCUCCAGGUCCAGCCAGCUGAGACUUCGGUUUUGAUUUUAUAACGUACGUAACCUUCCAUGUUCCAUCAUCAGCCGGCAUCAUACCUUUCCGCUUCCCUCACUCCCAACAGUAGCAGUCUUCACUCUGCUGCCUUCAAACACAUGGCUUCGAUGCCUCUAGAAUCGCCUCAAACUCCUUUUCGAGUCUUCUAAAUCUAACAUUUGAUGGCCCUUGUCGUUUAGCUUCGAAUUCAGGUUUUUAUGGUCUCCCGGACCAGCCGCUGAAUAAUAUACCUCUGUCUACUUCAGCUUCAGCUAAUAGAAGGACUCGUAGAUUUCUGUCCCAAGUUCCGCUCCAUGCUACCAAUGCGCCCAACCGGAACUAUUAAGUCCCAAUCCUCCCUUUCCUUCGACGUCGUCAUCAUUGGCGCCGGAAUCAUCGGGUUGACCAUCGCCCGACAGUUCCUCCUCUUUUCGGAUCUCUCCGUCGCCAUACUUGAUGCUGCCGUCCUUGUGCUGGUGCCACUGGAGCUGGUACACCUCUUUUUUUUUUUUUUUCCUUAAGAUGAUAGAGCAUGUGUCGUGUAUCUAUUUCCGGUGCGGCUUGAUGAUUGGUUGUAGCUAGCAGUCUCUUUGGUGAUGUUAACGUUGAGGGUGGUUCUAGGGCAGGGGUACAUAUGGAGGAUAAACAAGACACCUGGAGCUGAAAAUGGGAACUAGCAUCUAGAAGCCAUCAAUUGUGGGUUAAUCUGGCUGAGAGCUUGCAACAUCAGGGCUUGAAUCCUUUGCAGAUUCUUGGAUGGAUGAAGACUGGUACUAAUUUUAACUCCCAUCCUUCCCUUCCCCAUUGGAAAUGACUCCACAAUGGUGGCCUGCAGGCAUUUUUCUUUAUAAAGUCUUUUCUGUUUUUGUGUUUUCUAUGACAUUUUAAUGUUUCUGCUUUAAGUUAAUUGUGCUCGAUUUCACUCUUUUGCCAUUUCUACUGUAUUUUUUCGAGAUUACUGAAUGCACUGACGACAUAAUAGGCGUAAAAGUUGAAAGGUGGUAUAACAAUGUUUGUUGUGGAUGGUGGAAUUGACUAGCUUUUUGAAUCGUCAACUGAAUCGAAUGAUGUGCUGCAUUUAGCUGGCAUGCCCAUCCAAUGAGAAUUAGUAGGUUCAACUCUAAAUUAAUGAGUUACUAUGGUGAAGCUUAUUAGUGCUCGCUUGGUCAUUUCUCCUAUCUAAUAAGUUGUUAUAUUUAGUGAGCAUUUGUUGCACUCAACCCUAUUUUCUGGAUUUCUAAGGUGAAGCUUCUCUGUGCUCACUUGGCUCAUUCCUCGUAUGUGGCAUAGUACAUAAAUCUAAUUGGAUCAUAUUGUUUGUGAAUUGGACACUUAGAGGGAACAUUACUGUCUUCACUCGUGCAUGAACCAGUUUUCAUGAAAUAUAAAGGAGGAUAAGAAAAACUUGUUAUGCAUUAACAAACAUAUUGCUUCUUUGAAUUAUCCUCAAGUGCUAAUUAUCUAUAGAACAUUGCUGAUGUUUGAUAGGAAGUUUAUUGGUUGGUAAAACGAAGGAGGAAUCUACCUUGUUGAAGGCGAAGGUGAAGCAACUAUGUGAUGCUGGGUUGGAGGCAGUGUUCUUGUCCAACCAAGAUUUGCUGUUGAAAGAACCUGCGCUUGUGCUCGGAAAGGAAGGUACGGCGGCUUAUUUACCUGAUGACUGCCAAUUAGAUGCUCGAUGUGCAGUUGCAUUCCUUGAGAAGGUUCUUUUUUUCUCUCACACUCAGUGCUUCUGUUUUUCCCCCCUUUUAUUUUGGUUAGACAGCUUCAUUGGAUUUAUUGUGUACUUAAUGUUUUAUGCGUAGGAGAACAGGCAUUUUGCCUCUGAAGGGAGAUAUGCUGAAUUUUAUCAUGAGCCGGCAACCUAUUUGUUGAGGUUUGUUGGUAGAGUACUCUCUAUUUUGCAGAACUUUCUCCCAGAUUUAACUGAUGAGUUUUUAGUUAACCGGAACUUGAACAGAUCUGGCAGCAGUGGAGAGGUUGAUGCCGUUCAGACUUCGAAGAAUACAAUUUUCAGCAAGAAGGCUGUUGUUAUGGCAGCUGGUUGUUGGACUGGAACUCUGAUGCAUGAGUUGAUUAAGAGUACAAACAUUAAAUUGGAUAUCCCCGUAAAGCCUCGAAAGGUCAGAAUAAGAUAUGUGAUGCAGAUUUAAAAGCUUGGAAACUGAGUGAUUAAAAGUAGGUUCUGCUGUAGAAUUAGGCACAAUGUAAGAGCAGUGGUGGUAGAUGUGCAUUAACUAGAUUUGCAGUGAAUGAUCUUCAAAGCAAAUGCAAAUUUUGCUAGCAAAGUUGAUUAUAUAAUGUAGCAGUACUGGCUUCUUUUUUUUUCUUUCCUCCAGAAUCUGUUGUGAAGUCAAACAUCUUUCUAAUGUGUUUGACAGGGCCACCUGCUUGUGGUUGAGAAUUUUAAUUCCUUCAAACUAAAUCAUGGUCUCAUGGAGGCCGGAUAUGUUUAAUCACCAAUCUGCAUCUCUGCCAUCCACUGCUUCUCAUAAAAGGCCCCUCUAUGAUGCCCAGGCUACAUCUGUCUCAAUGACAGCCACUAUGGAUACCUCAGGAAACCUAGUUUCGGUACUUUCAACUUCAACUUCAACUUCAUUCUACUUCUUGAUUCCUUCUCUCUGUAUCUGUCUGUGCCCAUCUGCAUAGGAGCAUUGAAUUCCUUUGAGUGUCUUUGUUACAGGUAAAGUAAGUUUAUUGAUGCUACUGAUGGUGCACCCAAAAGAUUAUACUUAAAAGCUGCAUAUUCUGAUUGAUAGUAAGAGAACAUCCCUAAGUCAACCAAAAUAUAUAACAACAUCCCUGCCUCUGUGUUGUCCCAGGAAGCAGCCGGCAGCUUUUAGGGUUCAAUGUGGACGUAGAUGAGUCCAUCAUCAACCGCAUUUGGCAGAGGGCUGCAGAGUUCUUUCCUGCAUUGACAGAAAAAUCUCUGGAUGAGUUGAAGAAAAAUAGAGCAGUGAGAGUUGGACUAAGACCUUACAGUAAGUACCAAUGAAAAAAAAAAUAUAGAAUUCUUAUUAUUGUAAAUGUGUACAAUUAGAAUCCCACUGAAAGAUGAGUUUUAUUUGGACUAAUCAAUCAUGUGUUCUAGUGCCUGAUGGGAAACCAGUGAUUGGACCUGUUCCUGGAUGGUCAAACUUCUAUAUUGCUGCAGGGCAUGAAGGUGAAGGACUAACAUUGGUAAUUUCAACUUCUCUCCUUCUGGUGCGAUGCAUAAAAGCACAAUCUAGUAUAACAUAUGAAUAUGGCUUGUGGAUCCUGUAAUUCGGGCUAUGUCGGAUGCAGCUGAAGCUACUUUCCAUCUUUUUCUUUUUGUUUUACUUUCUUUACUGUUAUAACAAAUGACCUUGUGUCUGUCCAAUACUUCUUUUCAGGCUCUAGGGACUGCUGAAAUGAUUGUUGAUAUGGUGUUGGGCAAUCCUGGGAAGGUUGAUCCCAAACCAUAUGCUGUGGAUCGGUGUUGUACAUGAAUAUGAAUACGGGGAGAGGGACGCUUUCAUUGCUAUUUUAAUCAGCAGAUUUGAAAACUUGAUGCUUGUAUUGAAGGUUGGCCUUGAAAAGUUCUUGCUUCAUUUCACUGGCUCAUUGCUUCAAGUGGAGCUGAAUUUUGCGUGUAGUUGCACUUGUAUGUCUGACUUCUACCACCCCCGCGCGGCCCAAAAAAAAAAGAGGUGGUGUAACUUGUAUCUCCAAGUAUAUGUGCCUAGUAGGUUGGAUAGAGUCGAACAGGACAUAUUUGACAGUCUUGUAGACGCUGCAAGUUAUGCACCAUCUUAUGUGCCUCUACUACAACAUGAUGGUAUUUGUUGUAUUCUGUUGUAUAGGUGCUUAACACUGUAGAACUGAGAUUCUUGCUUCUAAGCAUCGAAUGAUAGCCAGGUUUAUGGAUGUGCGUUGUGCAUAUGGAGAACAGCAGUUUGUUUGUAAUAUGUGUGACAUGAAGAAUGCUAAGCUCUUUUAACUGUGAGCUUUCCGCGUAUUAAUGCAAGAUGACGAUCAUCAAGAAUGAAAACCAGUUUAUAACUGAAGGAAAAUGCAUAAGAAUGAGCUUUGGGGAACUGUUGGAUGUAAUUCUACUUGGCCAAAAAUGCUUGGCGGACGCAGGAACGGAUUAUGCACCGCAUAAACCGGUUAGAUGAGUAUGCCAGUAGGGAUCCCUUUUCUGCGGUACAUAAUUUACAGUAAUACUUCUCCUAUAACUACAAAGAGUACAAGAGCAAAGAAAACUUUUCACCUCCCUGCUUUUCUUGGCUGUACUGCUUAUUACAAGUGGCAAUAACGUUUUCUUAUUGAACUUUUUCUCGAAAAAAUAGUGUUUAAUUUAUACCUUAUUCACGUGCACUGAUUUACUUAUAUCGUUAAUAUAUAUUUUUUUUAUCUAAAAUACAUUACAUAAAAAAUUUUACAGUAUAUUUUAAAAAAGUUAUUUUAGAUACUCCCUCCAUCCCACUUUGAUAGUCAUGUAUUCCUUUUUCAUUUGUCCCAAAUUGUAGUCCACUUUCCAAUUGAAGAAUGUAGUUGUAUUUUAAUUUUCCUAAAAUAUCCUUAUUCAAUGUAAGUAGUUGUUACUAUAAAUCUACCUCAUUAAUGAGAGUUGAUCCUUUUUUUACCAUCAAUUCAAGUUCCCAUAAAAUUGUACCAUAUUUAAUAUGAGGGUAUUUUAGAAAAAUAGCAAUCUAAAUUUAUUUUUCUAAUAAAAUUAACUAUUUUUUUUUUAAACUGUGUGAAAAAAGAAAAGGACUAUCAAAGUUGUGGACGGAGGGAGUAAUUUUCUAUCCAGACGCGGCAAGUCGUUUCCAAAAAAAGAUGUCGCACGUUCAACAAUUUUGGGAUUGCAAAAACGAUGUCGCACGGUCUGCAAUUAUGAGGACCAUCAAACGACGUAGUAAUAGACGACGCAGAGAAGAAUAUCAAAUUGCGCGCUUUUAACGAAGGUAAAUUUCCCAUUUUAUGAAACCCUCGGACCUUCUUCCAGUCCUCCAACAGCAACAAUGGCGAUCGCAGCUCUGCAGAGACUCGCUUCUCAGGUCUCCAAAAGCCCCUCCAUAUCCUUUGCUCCAGAGCCAUAAUCAACCGCUCUUCCGCCUCCCUUUCCUCAUCCCCUCAGCUAAGGUUGCGGAUCGCAUCGUCAAGCUUUCCGUAGUCGAUCCGGACGGCAUUAAGCGAGAAGUAGUCGGUCUCUCGGGUCAAACUCUCCUAAAAGCUUUGGCUAACACGGCUUAAUCGACCCGGCUUCCCACCGGCUUGAGGAGAUUGACGCUUGCUCGGCUGAGUGCGAGGUCCACAUCGCUCAGGAGUGGCUCGAGAAGCUGCCGCCUCCUACUUAUGACGAGCAGUAUGUGCUGAAGAGGAAUUCUCGGGUUAGGGUUUUGAACAAACACUCUCGGCUUGGAUGUCAGGUGGUUCUCACCCUGAGCUUCAGGGGAUGGUCGUUGCUGUGCCGGAGCCCAAGCCAUGGGAUAUUCCGUAAAGGUCUCUUGGUACAUUGACAAAUGGAAGGCAUUUUCUGUAAGGUUGAUUCACGAAAUGAAAACUUAAUGCUUCUUUUUUCUUUGUGGAAAUAAUGUGUAUGCAUAUUGGGGGACACUUAAAAGCUGAGAUUUUGGUGGAAUGUUUUGGACUGAUUUGGCAAAUUUGGGUAAAAGUUUUCUCCAAUUUGAUGUAUGGAGAAUUACUUCAAGUUAUGUUUAUCGAACGCUUAGUCCUGACAAUUGGCUUGUUCAUUCUGAAGUUUUCUUCUUUCACUUCCAGUAUUCAGUGGCUCUUAGUUUACUUUUUCUUUACUGUUGCAUCACAGACUCACAGUUGUAUGUCUUCCUAUGUUAUCUAGAAUCUUUUAGAGAUUUGCAUCUGGCCCGCAUUUUCCACUGUUGACGUUAAAUGAAAGGAGAGUUUGCCAUAGAAGAUAAAGUAGUGAAGCUGUCGAGUUUGUGUAGUUUGCUCUGCUUCUGAGAGUUUUGAUGCCUAUGUGCUCUGGGCUAGUGAUUGACGAGUUUCAGUCAGCUUUUUGUUGCACUGAUUACAGUAGCCAGUUGAAUGUGAAAAGGGAGAUUUUUUUUUUUUUUUUUAGAGUUCACCAUUAUAAUUGCAGGUUACCUUCUUUGGAAUUCAUUCUAUGUAUAAGUUUCUUUUUUUCUUUUCUUCCUGAUUUUUGGUUGUAGAGGCUCUUCUUCUCUUCUAUCUGGGUUUAGUUGUUAGGUGCGUUGAUUGUUGGUAAAAGAAAGGAGUGGGGGAAGAGGAGAUCAAAGUAUGCCAUCUCUAUUUGCUUGCCAAAGGAAGUUCUAUAACAAUCUGAGAAUCUUAUCUUUCACUAGGUAUUCAUUUGUAAUCUGGGUUCUCAUGACACAUUUUUCUUAGUAUUCCUAUUUAAGGCUACUGCAACGGUACAAUGAGAUGUCUAUACUGGUUAAAUCACCUGGCACCCAAUGUAUCAUCCAUUUUUAACUUGAUGGAGUAGGGUUUGGUUUAAAGACAAUUGAUGAACCUUUUUCCUCAAUGUGUUAUUACAGUGAACCAGUAAGGAACUUGGGUAGCGGGUCACAAGAAUGCGGGUUUUCAGCUAAAUUUGCUGUAUGUUAUGCUGCAUAUGCCUUUGGAAGAAGUUUAUGUGUUAAAUAGCUCUUUUCUCUCUCUCUCUGUCUCUCUCGCUCUAGCACUACUUUUUCCCUGGAUGGAUUUGUAUGCACUCUUGAUUGUGGUUAAAGAUACUAUUUGUUUUAUUUUCUUAAAAAAUGUUUGUAACAAGUAUGGUGGAGGCAAUUUAUCCUUAUAAUUGGUUUAGGGAGAAUUUUGAAGAUACUUCUCUGCAUUGUAUUUGACUAUUGUUUGUGGUAUGGAUGGCUUGUCAUGAAAUUGCAUUAAAGUUUUCGAAAUUCUCUUCCUCUACUGCUUCCACCCUCUUCUCUGUCUCUUUUGUCUUCUAUUUAAGUAGCUUUACCCUGAAUAUUAGUAGGCUAAUCGAUGAGUGGGCAUAUAUUUGCUGUGUUUAAAGCUGCAAGUUACAUUGUUGCAUAUGUUGUAUAUGAGUACUAGCUGCCAUUUGAGAUUGAGUUAGGCUUUCCGUUUAGCAGAUGUGUUUAGUUUGUGAGCUUUCCUGAUCUUAAAGAUAGUCUCAUCCACCUCAUCCGAUGGAAUGUGGUCUUUUUAGCGCUACUAAUUCUUUUAUUUCAUUUUCCUUUUUAUUUGUCUCUUUAUACAUAUUUUGCUCCUCUCCUUUGCCCUUGGUGACUAUUUCUCCUUGAGCAGUGGUUUUUUUGAGCAGCUCUUCAAAGAUGUCCUUGACAUUGUGAUUUGCGAAUUGUCUCUUGUAAACAAGAAGCAGAGCUUCUGCGGUUAUCCAACUAUCCAGACCGAAUGUUCACGCUAGCAUAGAAAUUAAAGAUGACGGGUGGUUGAAGGCUAAUGUAUGGAUAUUAGAUAGGUUCACACUAGCAGAGAUAGGUUUAAUAUUAAGUCCCGCUUGAACCUCAUCUAUUGAAGGCUAAUGCAGUUGCCAACUUUCAACUCGCAAGAGAGAGCAUAUGUUCGGGGUGUUCCUGCUUCCCGUUCGUUUUGUUUCGACUUGAGUACUUUCUGGGUCGAAUGAAAUAGUAAACUUUGGAUGAUGGUAUGGCCAACCGCAGUGCUGUGCCUUUAAAAAAUAACAAAAAAAGAUGUCAAUAGUGAAAAUGGUAAUUUGUGAACAUCCCUUCCAGCUCGAUUCUUAAUUUCCAGUUAGGAGGAGAUUAACUACAAAGCUAUUAACCUCCCAGUUGGUUGCUACUCUUGAAUGGCAAUGGCAAUCAUCAUGGAAAGUUCCUCAUUGGAAUGGGUUUAAACCAUUUCUUUCAAGCGUUUGAUUUGGGGAAGCAAAUGGGAAUCAUUGUAAAGAUUUUUGUUUGGUACGCACAGACUCAUCAAUAAGAAUGGAAGACAAAUUCCAAUAGUAUUUUUCCUUAGCACAGAAAUAAAGAGACGCUGAUCUCAUUAAUAAUCACCAUACCGUAUUAUAUUGAAGAUGUCUAUUUUGUUCAAAAGACUUCUCGGAUAGAGCCAUAGUUGUGUGCUAAUAAACAUGGAAAAAUAGACGGAAGCCAUUAAAGUUCAUCUCAAACUUUAAAUUUAUUUUUGUUUCAAAUAAUAGAGAAACCAUAUUAAACUGCUCGUGUGUGUUGAGAAAGUCAAAGCACUUUUUAUCACAUUCUAAUAUAGUUCAUCUUUUAAUUAUAUGCAUGUUAUUUUUAAAUUUUAAAUUCAAUUUUUAAAUUUAUGGUGGUAAGAUUAAAAUGAGAAGUGCAAAUAUCACAAUUAAAUUAUUAUUUAAAAAAUUGAAUUGGCAGAAAGAUGACAAGUGAUUGGAACGAAAAGAAUGGCUUGGAAGCAAUAAUUGUCCAAAAAUGAAGGCCCAAAGCAUGCUAGCGCCUUCCAAUUUAAUCCCAACAAAAAUGGGUCGAACUAAAAAAGCCCAUCUGAAACGUAGAGCCCUAAUGUCCGCCGUUGUUCUUCGGUUGUUAAAUGUAUUCCCCCUGUAUUCGAUGGUGGGGCUCCUUCCUCUAUAUAUCCUUUCGCCGGAACCAAGUUUUGAACCGCUGGAGCGGCAUCAGGCGUAAGCUAUGUUUCUCUUUUCUCUGAUAAGUAGUCAUCUCCCCUUCCCUUGUUUGUUAAUUCUUUAUUAUGCGUUUAGCUUUCUGGAAAAAUACCAUUCCUAGUGUUUGCCUGGUCUUAGCGAGGGAAAAAGACGAAAAAAAAAAAAGAGUUUUUAUUUUCUUUUCUCUAUUUUGUCAUUUGAAAAAAAAAACCAUCAAAACAAAGGAAGCAAGUCAGCUUCUUGGCUGGAUCCGAUUGCUAAAAAGCGGGCCAGGCAAUUAAUUUCAAAAAAUCUUGCGAUAAGAAAGUCGCCAGUAUCACUCGCCUGGAUCUGAUGCUUAGCUGAUUUUUCAGGCCCUUUUUCUACUGGUACAUGCUGCUGCUUUACUUUUACUCUCUUUUUUUUCCCGUUUUUCUUUUGCUUGGUAAUACUUUCUAAGGAGGAAUUGGAAUUGGGAGUUUUUGGUCUUUUUCUUCUUUUUUCUGGGAAAAGGUUGGGGGCGCUUAAGCUUGUAGGAUAGGUAGUUUGUUCGGCAAGCGCACUCUGUCCCAAAACUGUAUGCAAGUGUUUUGUGGCAAUUUCUUCGUUUGCCAAAUUAAAAAAAAGGCGGAACUCUUAUUUGAGCUCUGUGAUUCCAAUUAGCUCGUCCAUUAGAUCUUUUCUUCAAAUAGAUCCUAUGAUCUCAAUGGACACAUGGUUGGAUUACAUUUAUCCAUUCUUUUCCUUAAUCAUCAUUUGUUUCGCUGUUUGAUCAUUCAUUCUGAGAUGAGCCAAAUAGUUAUUGCGAUUGGAUUCCUUCAAGAUGGGAAUUUUGCUGCUCUGCUUAACAAACAACUUAAAGCUAACUUGAUGGCAAAUGUUUCCCACUUCCCACAAUCCCAAAAAGAGAAGGUCGGUCGAAAAUGGGAACUUUUAAUUGCUCGGUGAUGAAUCAAACGCGAAGAAGUCAUGCCGCCCGCAAUGGACUGAAUAUGAACACUAUCGAAUCCGUAUUAUACAUACACUGUACUCCACCGCGUACUCCAUUAUUACAAAGCGCGGUUGUGCUGACUCAGCACAGGGCACCAAAAUAUUUAUUUUUUUGAAAAAACUUUAAAAUAGACCAGGCAUCAUGUUGGGUGGGUUAACAGAUUUUUUUUUUGAUAAUUUUAAAAAAUGGCCAUUGGGUACUCUUCGCUGAUCAACGGCUAGAUCAUCAAUUAGUGCCCUGUAAAGCUCAUUUCUCAGAACUUUCCUAUCUCUCUCUAAGCUUGCUCUUUUUCUCCUCUCUCUCUCUCACAGAGCUUCUUCGCUGCACCGUACGGGACGCUCUUUCUCCUUUCGACUCUCUCCCCUCUACCAAAAAGGAACUCUCAUUCACAUUCACAUUCAGUAAGGUCAGCUAGAAAGGGAAUCCGUCUGCUCCUCUCGCGUCACCACAAAACACCCCGUCAUAUUUUCGAGUGUCAGGCACCACAAGGCAAACAAAUCUUGAGGCAAGUGGAAUACUUGUUUAAUUAUUAUUUGUAUGUACUUUAUUGAUUGCCUUAUUUAAUUUUAUGUAGUUGGUUUUAAACAGAGAAUGUAUUCUUUGUUAUUGUAUGGUAAAUUUUGUAAUAUUGUUUUAUGUUAUGUUGUUCUAGUCCAACCAUGUAAAUUAACAGUUAAUAAAUUUAAAAUAAUAUGGUUCAUAACAAUAAAAUAAUUUAGAAUUAAUAAUUUAUUUAAUGUAUAUGAUAUUGAAGAACAAAUUAAUAGAGUAUAAAUAUUUUAUUCGUACUUUUUUUUUAUAAAUAAAUAGAUGAAAUCAACGUAGUAUUAACGUAAUUUUAUAAUAUUAAAAUUUUUAAUUGCCCAUGUGAUUAGUUUAAUUAGUUACUAAUUUAAUGGGCUAACUACAGGAUUAUAAAUAAAUUAAUUUAGGUGUAAUUAAUAUAGUUUUGACUUGUAAAUAAAUAAAUUAAUUACAAGAAAUUUAUAAUAUACAUAAGUGCAAUCAUUGUAGUUAAUCAUUCAAUUAAGUGUAAUUAAUCAGUUAAGACUUCAAGUAGGUGUAAUUAAUGUAGUUAAAACUGGUAAUUAAUAUAAUUAUUUGACCUCCUGCUUAGUUAGAUUGUUUAGGUCAUAAUUGAAUUGGUAGAAUAUGGGAGUAAGAAAAAAUUAAUGCAGGGGUAAUUACUGUUGUUUUAAAUGUAAUUAAUUAUGCUUAAUUAAUAGUGCAAAUAGGUGUAAUCAAUGUAGUUAAUAAUUUAAAUAAGUGUAAUUAAUCUAAUUAAUUAUUUAGAUAUGUGUAAUUAUUGUAGUUAUUGAUUUAACUUGGUGUAAUUAAUGUAGUUUUAACAUGUAAUUUUAAUUGAUAAUGAGAUUAUUAAUUUAAUGUUAUGCUAGAUUAGGUGGAACAUGUCAAGCGAUAACUCCUUGGUAAUUCAACUUUAUUGGGGAGGCAAAAUUAUAUAUGCCGGAGGAUCAAUGUUUUACGAUCCCCCGAUGCCGAAAAAGGUUAUGUUCCUUAGAGAAAGGGUAGGCUUUAAUGAGUUGAUAGACAAAGUAUACAGCAUUAUGGGUCUAGACCAGAAUCGACAUAAGAUUAGUUUGAUAUUUCGAAAUUGUGUGCAACAUGGUGUGUUUGGUGCGAUGCCUUUGGUAGAUGAUAAUGGAGUUGAUGGAAUGUACUUUUUAAAAGCCAAAAGUGGGCAUGCCACUGAGAUUUACGUGGAGGUGGAGGAGCUCUUAGGUUUGAGACAAUGUGAUAAUCAGACCUUGCCAAUAGCAAGUCCACAUAGAGAUGUCCAACAGGCUCAAAGAGGACGAAAAAGAGGUAGUGAGCACCGUAUAGAGAAGGAUUGUCCCAGUAGUAGUCACAUGCCAACAUUGGAGACUCGUGAUUCGAACACUAAUGCAGCUACAGUGCUUGAUGCUGCAACAAAUACUGAUAUUGAGUUGGUAGAUGUGGAUGUGGACUCUGAACCAGAACCAGAGGCUGAUGAUUUUGGUGAUAAUGACCAUGAAUGUGAUACAUCUGGGCAGGCAGGCAACUCAGGCGAAGGGGCUACCACUGAUGAUCACGCAAGUCCUAGUGUAGCACCACAUCUACGUUCUAGAAGCACACUUGAACCAGAACCAGAGGCUGAUGAUUUUGGUGAUAAUGACCAUGAAUAUGAUACAUCUGGUCAAGCAGGCAACUCAGGCGAAGGGGCUACCACUCAUGAACACGCAGGUCCUAGUGUAGCACCACAUCUACGUUCUAGAAGCACACCACCUCCGCAUCCCGGUCCGAUUGAUCCGAGUGUUUUGUAUCUGCAGACGCAUCACAGAUCCACUGCGGUCUUUCAUGGCGCGGGCGACGUCCUUGAUGUGAGACGUUGUGAUAAAAAGUUUUUUGAUAUCUUUAGACAUUCUGACCCUCGAGUAUCUCACUACAUUGACAUAGCUGGUUUUGGUGGGGUACGUAGGGCGGGUUAUCUUCAGGUAAACCAUGGCUUGAUCACCGCGCUAGUUGAGCGGCUGGAGACAAGAGACACACACAUUUCAUCUUCCUGUUAUGGGUGAGGCGACUGUCACAUUGCAGGAUGUUGAGGUACUAUGGGGCUUGCCCGUGGAUGGGUUGCCGGUUACUUUGAUCCACGUUAAACGAAGUCCACUUCAGCGCAAACAUCUAGUUCAAGAGGUUUUGGGAUUUUGGCCAGAGGAUAAUUGUUUCAGGGAAGGGCGGCUAAAGAUGUCAUCUAUGUAUGCACGACUAGGAACACAAUUACCGCCAGAUGCUCCGGAUGAGAUGGUUCGCCAGUAUGCUCGAAUGUGCAUUCUAAUUUUAUUAGGCGGGUUGCUAUUUGCAGACUCAUGUGGUAAUGUUGUUAGCCUUAACUGGCUCGAUUAUGUGCGUGAUUUAGAGGCCAUGAGUAAGUAUAGUUGGGGGAGUGCAGUACUAGCCUGUUUAUACUCACGUAUGUGUCAUGCAUCGCAUGUGGGGCAGAAUACCACUGGUGGACCAUACUUGUUACUACAGGUAAAUAAUUACAUGCUUAUUACAUAAUACAUCAUUUCGUACUAUUGGAAUGUGCAUAAGAGUGUUCGUAGCUUCAUGAUUUUAUUAAUGUAACAGCUAUGGGCGUGGGAGCGGAUUCCGACAAUUCGUCCUGACGUAUCUCUUCAACGAUUGACUGGUGAUUAUCCUAGAGGAGGGAGAUGGUCAGCCGAGCGUACUGGGGUUGACCCUCCUAGUCAGGACGUAUCAUAUUAUCGAGAGCAACUAUCUUUGCUACGGAUGGAUCAAGUAUUUUAGCAAUUCCACUCAAUUAACAAUUAGCUAUUAUAAAUUAUAAAAUUCAUAAACUCCUUACUAGUUUACUCUUUUGACAGUUCAUCUGGAUGCCAUACCCUGAUGAUGUACUAGCAUCUCUGCCCGAAUAUUGCAGACGAGGCGCACGUAUAUGGUCUAUCAUCAACCUAUUCUCCUCAAAACCAUGAGUUCCAUUACUGGAGACAAAGGUUAAUUAAGCUUAAAUAAGCAAAUACACAUCUUGAUGGCAUAAUGAUGCUUUUCAUCCAGUCCUGAGAACAAGGCCAACUCAAUAGUUCGUCCAUGAGAGAGAGAGAGAGAGUACCUGGUUGAUCAAAUUCUUUCCACAACCUCGCCAAGGAACUUUAUUAGGAGACAUCAAACUGUGAUUGUGCUCUUUCACGAACUUUGUGACUACCCACUUAGCUCCAUCUUUAAAAGCAACCCUCAGCAUGGCAGGACAACCUUCACGAGUGACAGGCGGUGGAGGAAGAACUCUAUCUUUUCUCUGCACAUAUUUCUUUUCACGAAAACCUUCUUUGGAACAAACAAAAUCUUGACCAAUAACCAUGUUAUUGAUGCGUGACCGGCGGUUAUGAUGAAUGCGGACAGUAAAGCCUGUCUGCCUGCCAUAAGCAACAUAAAAAUCUCGAGCAUCAUCCCUUGAAUUAAACUCCAUGCCUAUGUGUGGCUCAAUCAAAUUCUCAGUUAAUGGCAUAGCCAUAAGCUGUCCAACACAUUUAUCAUCUUCGCCUAUACACAAUUCCAUGCUUGUUGAGAGCUCGUCAUCAAGAAAAACAUUGCCAUUACUGUCAAUAGGCAAAAAGCUUUUUCUUUCAACAGAAUUAAAUACUUGACUUGUUGAGUUAUCCAUAGCGCGCACAAACCUAUAGAAUCUGCAAGUCCAUCAUUGUUGUGCUGCAGCAUGAGGAAAUGACCAUCAACAAGUGGCCAAGGAAAAAAGCAAAAGUAUAACAUAAAUUUUCUGAAAAUUGGUCACAAGAUGCUUGAAAAUCUCUCUGUGGUCCGCUUUUAUGAUUGAGAAACCUCAUUCUAUUAAUGAGACUGCAAAAUUAAUAAGAUCGAGACAUAUUUUUGACAAAUAAAUCAACGUUUCGAGAAAGCAAGGGUUAGACACCAGCUCAUAAAUUUGUGGGAAUUGAGUGAGCAAAGUCCAUCCUCUUUGACACCAUUUGUAUGAAUGGAGGCUCAUUAUCCCCAGUAAAUGACACACUGACCAUACUCCGUCAUUCUUAAGUGAAAUCAUAAAAUGGUGCUUUUCCUGUGGGAGUAACAACAGGGAUAAAUCAGCGGUGGAUGGACUCUAUAACACCGACCUACUACUGCCAUUCGCCAGACUGGUUUUUUCCCUACAUAUAAGAUCUCCCGUAUAAAUGCCUCUCUUACAAUGCCUAAUUUAUACAAGGUCGUGUGAAUAAGUUCACAGAUUCAAGCUUAACAAUGGAAGCUUGUGGACAAUUGCUUCAAUUGAAAGCGGGGUUUUCCCUCCAAAACAUCAGAAAAACGAACCCUUCGACCGUAUCUGAAGUAUCUCCACACUCCAUUUUGACCCAACAAAGUGAUAAUGCUUCUCAUUCUUCUCACUACCGACACCUUCUUCAUUCAUUCGCUCAUUCAUCAUAUUAACUAAGCCGUAGAAAUUUAAGAAUUAAAAACAAAAAUAAAAAGCGUAUAAAAAUUAACGAUUAAAGAAACUUAAAAAGAAUAAACAGUUGAAGAGUCUUAAUUAGUGGAUUUUAACUCCGUAAUAUGAGGUUAAUGAUUCCAAAUUCAGGAGAAGUUAAUAAAGUCAGUUAAAAAGAAAGGAAAGAGGAAGAAGAACGUACCGAAAACAGAAACCCUAACUACUUGUGAAAGAAAGCUUGGGUUAAACGUUAGCCGGCUCAAUCAGAUGAAUUGCGGUUGGAUUUGAUUUGAUGUUCCCGCUUGCCAGCCGGCAACUGGAAAUAUUUGCCGCCUAUUUUCGGAAGCUCUGGAAAUGGAGAAAAAUGAGGAGUGCGCCGUACGGAGAGGUCUAUCAGGUCUCAAGGAUCUCACCCACACGACGUUGAGAUCCCCCGGUCACAACUUCGUGACGGGUUUUUUAAACCACAGUCUCCGGGCUUUUUAAUUAUUUGCGUCGCGGACCAUAUCUAAUUCCCCACGCACUCCACUCUCCCUCUCUCUCUUUUUUUGUUUUUUUUUUUUAACUUUUCAUCUCAAUCUACUUUAAAAAUUUCGGGAGAUUUUGAUUUUUCUGUCAAUCAAUGACACUGAAUCGAAUCAUAAAGUCCGAUUUAACAUUUCUAUAAUGCUUGAAUUUGAUAUAAAUUUUUUUUUAUAGCUUCGAGCCAGUACUAUUGUGACCGUUUCUUAGUUGAAAAUCAACACUUGCAACAAAACUACCAAUUGCCUCUCAAGACAACAUUCUAAAUUUACAAACUUUACUACUACUAGCAUAUGCUCCCCCAAAAAAAAAAAACAAAAUGCGCUUUCUGGUGGAAGAGGCCUCCAGUCUGUUCUUAGAUCAUCUUCUUCCUGACUUCACAAGAUGGCACAUUUUAUUUAAAUAAAAAAAAAAAGGGGGGGGGGGCCAUGUAAGGUGCAAACAACAGUUUGGUAUCCGGUGUUGGAAAUAUGAUGCCGCAUUCAACAGAGGAAGGUUACAUAAUUUCACCCACCUAUAGCAUCAAAUGAGUAUUGAGCCAGCGAAUCCCAAUCUGAUCAUUUCGCACAAACAGAAAUCGACUUCAGUUUGUUUCUCCAAUCUACAUUUCUAUUACACCAGCCCACAAGCCAGGUCCUUAUUCCCAACUCAUGCAAAAGAAGCCUCUGACCAGGCUUUCUCCCUCCUUCCUCUUGUACAAAUAGGGGAAGGAUGCACCCCACAUUGCUGAAUAGCUUGGCUGUUCUGCCAUUCAUUUACAGUAACUCUGCCCAUAUACAUUUGAUACUGCUUAAUGCCCUAAUAUCCACACCCAACAGCCGCAUUUCUUUUCCCAGAAGUAGUAUGCUGCAAUACAUGAAAGAAAUAAUUUAGCACUCCAGAGAAGAGAAGAUGCCAUAAAAACAAAUUUUCAAUUGAUAUCUCCUCAUUAUACUACUAUUAUCUAAACAGUCAAUUUUCACUCAGCCAACUACACUUGAAAAAUCAAAAGAACCAACUUUAAUCUAACAUAAAGAAGAGCUCUCUAAAAAAAGUAGUAAAUUACGUAUCUACUGAAGAUGCGCUUGUUGCAGGUUUGAUUGUUGUUUAGCUUCUGCCUCCAUUUCCAUGACAUUCUUAACAGCAGCUUCAAUCUUGGUUGACAGAAGCCCAGUUUCCUCCUCUACACUUUGCAAGAAUGUGAUUAUCUGUUCAUGAUAAAGAUUACACAGUUUGUCCUGGCGCUCCAACUCCAGUGUCAGUUCCUGUAUUUUCCUGUCCUUGUGAUCCUACAAACAGAACCACCAAGCAGCUAACUAUGAAAUGCAACAUUUGAAACUCUACAAGGAACUACAAUAAGAAAGGCUGAUGAUCUUAAUAUUUACAAAAUAUAACAGGAAGUUUAAUCCAAAUGAACCAGUUUAAGUAGAAAACAUUCUAGAACUCCACAGGUAAUGUUGUUUCUUUGAAUGAAUGAUGCAACUUUCUCAUCUCCUUGCAUAAUUUAGUCCUAUGACAAAAAUAUAGUCUACGAUGACUAAAACCCAAGAGAACCAGUUACAUGCCUAAUCCUAUUCAGGAUUGCAACUAAGUCGAUGCCUGUGAGAUGUCUCAUCAUUAAAGAAGUCAAACAGAUGCCAGAGCUUCAGCACAGCAUCUCUGUCAACUAAACACUGGAAUAAAUAAGUUGGGAAAGUGACAAUUGCUACCUUUCUCUGAGACAAGAACUCACCAUGGCAGUACGACAAGUUCGACUAGAAGCAACCAAUGGAUGAGUGUGGUCCUUCACAAAUCUGGUUACCACCCACUUACCAGACUUAUUAACCUUUACCAACAUCAUUGCCUUGCAACCUUCUCUAGUGCUGGAGCGUGGCUUCCGAACUGGACCAUAUUGGUCCUUCAUUUUGACAUAGUAACCCUGUUUAUUACAUGAAAGCCGCCGGGAAAGAAUCCUCUUGUCAACCUCUGAACGCCGGCACUGAUCAAUACGCAUGACAAACCCUAGAUGCCUUGCAUAAUCAUCGUAAAACUCCUUUGCAGCAUCUUCAGAAUCAAACUCCAUCCCUACAUAUGGUUCUUGAACUGAGAUCUCUUCGCUUGCACCAGGCUGCCUUUCUGCGGAACUGUUCACUGAAGCAGCUGCAGCAUCCAAGCCUGCCAGCAGGAAAAUCAGUUUAAUUACUGGGUAAUUGGUAAAUCAAACGUACAGCUUAAACAAUAGCUUCCACCAUUAAUCCAAAACUCAACCCCCCCUUCUCAGGCCUCCACCAGUUGGGCAGUAUGGCUGGAAGUUGUUCAUUGUCCCAGCUAUUCACAUUAUGCUGUGUUUCAAGUUCGAUCACAUCAUCCCACUUCAACCCAAAUAAAAGUAGCGGGGGUGGGGGAAUUGAAUAACAACAUGUAAUAGUAAAACAUCGACGCAAGACAUCCCCGAACACAAGGCAUAGAAAUCCAAUUGUUGUAAUCAGAUAGUUACAUAAACGCAUUUUUUUAUCAUAUCUGAGCUCAGAAACUGUGAGCGUAUAAAAUUUUGAAUUCUAUGCAGAUUCGGGUUUAAAUACUACACAGCAUUACAAACCCAAUUGUAUUUUCGUCUUAAACAGUAGUACAGUGCAUUUUUGUACGAAAAGCAGUGGCUAGAUUGACAAUUAAAUUCUCCAAGAUUAAAACAAUUAAUUGGGGUGAAGUAUACAAAAGUUGCAAGCUCAAAUUUCAAAAUUAACAAGGGGAAAAAAAUAGAGAGAAGAAACUGUUAGGGUGGGUGGUGAGCAGAAGGAAGAAUGCAAGAAACUUACUGGUUUGGGGUUGGGCGGCGUCAGGCAGCCCCCCAAGCCAAGGCCGCCUAUCUGCGCUGGCAGUUGCCAGGUUAUCUAUCGGUGUAAAGACGGUUACCAAUCAAUACUAGCGCUGAUCUCUCCGGCUUUAAUGUCCGACUAAACGGGCAACCGCCAGAAAUGGUUUUAUCUGUCAGUCGCCGUUGAAGUUUUUGCCUUUAGACUUUGAUAAACCUUUCGCGUCAAAUCUUGUAGUGACUGUACCUUUUACUCGCGCCCGAAAUUACCGUGCUUGUUUCUAUGGCCUUGAAGUUACUAGUAUUGAGUAGCAAUUUGGUUUUUUUUUUUUUUUUUGGUGAAAAAUAUUUGUUGUCAUUUACCCAAAGUUGGAGGAAUUCCAAGUCUUUUUCCUUCUUUGGAAUUUUUCUAGAAUUUUUUCAACUUACUAUUCCAGUAUUUUAUAACUCGACUUCCUCUGCAUUGUGAGGAUUUUAAUCUGCAUAGGGAACCCUGAAAAAGAAAUCACUCCGUUCUUUAUUUUUAUUUUUCUUGGAGCUAAUACAGCUUUGCCAAUUUAUUUUGUCAAAGUGACUUCUAUUUUUAAAUUUUGUAUACGGAUAAGAAAGCAAUUAAACUGAGAAGAAGCCUGCAAGUGCGAAGUCUACAUAUUCGGAACCAAUAUUUGCAUUAAAUGCAGAUUUAAGAGCAUGGACAACAAUCAUCUUGUCCGACAGGAAUACUGCAUCCCAGCUGCGCAGGCAGAGAACAGGCGAUUCCAAGUGCUGUUAUAACUUUGCUACUAGCAUCCACAUUCACAAUCCUUCACUCUUUUUUUCUCGGAUCAAAAGAGAAGCUUAGAGAAAGACAGGUUGCAUGCACUACUAGCAUUCAAUAAGAACAAGUGCAAAUCAUAUCUAGGACAUGACGGAAUUUACCAAAGUAGAUCUACAAAAGGAAGAAAAAGAUAACAGGCAACUUGUGUUUGUUGGCCUCACCACAGGAAAUCCUGUACAAAGCUAGUAUCAUCUUUUAAGCUGAUCAGAUAGCAUAGGAACAGAAUCAAAAGACAUCGAAACAAUACUGAAACUAUCAAUGGCAUGAUGAUUUCUGUAUCUCAGCUUCAAUCUUCUUCACAUUUUCGAUAACACCAUUAAUUUUUGAAGACAGGUGCUCACCUUGCUCCUCAACACUGGCCAAAAAGUUGAGUAACUUGUUUCUGUAUGCUGUACAGAGCUGGUCUUGACGCUGCAACUCCAGAGUAAGCUGCUCAAUCUUCUUAUCCUUGUCAACCUAGACAUACAUAAGACGCACAAAUACUUUUUUAACUUUACAUUUGCAAGCAUGGAUUUCAUGUGAAGCACAAAAAAGAAAUGAAUUUGAAACUCUAUCCUCUGGAUAUAUUCCGUGGACUAAGGUCACUGGUAAAAGUCACUACAUAGAAUCCCUUACUUCUAAAAUCCUAAUCAUAUUCUCGUAUUUUUUCAUGGACAAAACAGCUUGCUAAGCAUUUGUUUAUUAUCAAAAGCUAUACAGUGAUCAAAAGUAAAACCAAAUGGAGGUAACAUGGUGACAAAUAUACGAUUCAUGUUGAUGCUGCAGAUACAUAAGAUCAUCAUUGGGCUCGAAGAAAGAAUAACUUCCAGAGAAACAAAUCCCAUGUGGUACUUCAUAUUUGCUUUGCAGGGAACAAUUCAAGUUUCUUCAAGAAAAAAUUAUGCCUCACAUCAGAAGUCCUUAUGGGCCUCCAAAGGUAAGAGUUUUAUCACCAAACUUAAUCUAAUGCCUAUAAAACUUGGGCAUAAGCAGUAGCUUGUAGCAAACACAGAGACGCAGGAAUUAUGCAAAUUUGUUAAAAUCAGCAAAAGCUCCAGAAUCUUUCAAAACUGAAAAACAAAAAUGGAUAAAGGCAAAAAAUACAUCAGGUAUUCUAUCCUUCCUAGGACCAAGAACCCAUAAAGGCAAGCAAUAUAUCACAAAUGGAGUAAAAAAGAGAAUAAGAAACAAUAUGUUACAUUUGGAAGAAAUCUCACUCCAUUACUAACUCCGCGAGCACUGAUGAUGAGUGGAUGGUUAUGAUCCUUCACAAAUCUUGUCACAACCCAUUUUCCUGACUUCUCCAUCUUAACCAGAAUAGUAGCCUUGCAACCUUCACGUGCACUACACCUAGGCCUUUUACCUGAUGCGACUGAACCUUGGUUAUUAGGAGAAAACCCCUGCUUAUUACAUCCAAGACGACGAGCAAGAGUUCUACCAUCAGUUUCUGAGCGACGGCGCUGCAUAAUACGCACGACAAACCCCACCUUCCUGGCAUAGUCAAUGUAAAAUUUCCUGGCAGCAUCUUCUGAUUCAAAUUCCAUACCUACAUAAGGUUCAAGAACUUCACUAUCUUUUAACUGACCUGUGUUGCCAUCAACAUCCAUGACAUCAUUUGCAUCCAACUCUUCAGCAUUUCCUUCGCCUACAACAUCUUCCCCUUCUUUCCCUUCACUGUUGUUCUCUUCCUCCCUGUUCCUAUCUUCCUUGUCCAAAUCCACUGGAUAUGAAAUAGACCACCAAAAAUCAAUAAAUUAACAAUAUGAUACUAAGAGAGCAUACAAUGUCAACCAGGUUUUGUGUUGUCACCCACACAUUCUGCUAGGUUCUUUGUACUCCACAUUAAGGUUACAUCGAGUUGCUAGGUUUCCUUCCUCAUUUGUUAUUGGUCAAACCAGUACACAUGGUAAGAAAGGGAUAACAAAAGCACUUGUCAUUCUAUAUAGGAACAAGUCUAUCAAGCACAAAUGCGGAAGACAAACACUGGAAAGUAUACUGAUAUUCCUGAAAGUUAGUACGAAUCUAGUCCGAAACCAUAAAAGCCAAACAGCUGCAGCUCAUUACCCCAUUGUUAUGGAUGCAUCAAAGUUAUCUAGUUUUUAAAGUCUGUGGGAGUACAGCUACAAUCAAUAAGUUAUAGUGAAAAGGCAACACAAUUGAGAUGGCUUUACAAAAUAUGUAAAGCGAGAUGGAGAAAAGGGGCAAAAAAUAUGAUGGUCUCUAUCGACAAAUUGCAGCAUAUAAAUUAUCCUUUCUCCAUGCGAAAAGUUACAAAAUAAGGGAAAAACAAAUUUCGAUAGAGAAUCAAAUAUAGCCAGGUUGUUAAGAAGAUCUUUUUUCCACGUUUCAUAUUGAUUCUCACCUUUUCCAUUCUACUUCUCAUUCAGGUGCUUCAAUUUUUCCCCUCCCGAACUAGAAGUUCAAAAUGAAGAAGAAAAUAAUUCCCGGAAUAAAAAAUGCAUUGCUAGGAAUUCCACAAAACUCUAAGUCUUUACCAUUGGCAAACUACACCAUCCAAGCCCAAUUGUUCGAACCCUCGUCUCUCUUCUUGGGUUGAAAAAUCUCUCUCUCUCUCUCUCUCUCUCUGACUCUAAAAACUGAAAAGAAUAGGCUGUGAUCAUACUAAUACCUGAUUCAAUCCCUAAACCUAAGAUGCCUAUCUAAUAUUUUAUCAGAAGAGAAAUUGAAAACUCAAAAAAAAAAAAAAAAGAUACUCUUUUGUGGGAUAAAUCAACUCAAUAAGUAAGGGACACAGUCAUGAAAGCAGUAAAACGUACUAUCAACGUAUAUAAAUAGGAUUAAAUAACAGCGCAAAACAAGAAAAAAAGGAGUCUACCAUAAGCUAUGAGUUCCGCAGGGGACAUGACAUCUCCACAGAAUUAAGGAAAAAAGAGGUACUAGCAGUACUUACUAAGGAAUCCUUCAGAAAAGAAGAAUUUUUUAUUUGGAGGGAUUGGGAGCAAAGGGAACGGGAAGCCAGUCCAAUGUUCCAAAAUCACAAAUAAUUAUGAAGGGCCCUUCGGCGCCUGCUGCCAAUCGCCCAGUCGGGCCAGAGCUCCUUUCAUGCUGGGUGAUGGGUCCGAAAUUGGAGUUGGCUACUAACAGUUGAUGAUAUUCUGUAGGUUGGUUGCACGUCCGUGGGCCGCGAGUGGAUCUUGACCUCAUUAUCAGCCUUUCGUUUUCCUUUUUCGGUAUUCAAUCCUCAAAUUCAGUGAGUCAUGGAUUUUUUUGCUUUUUUUUUCCCUCUUCCUUUUCCGUUUUCAUUCUCUUUUCACUCUAAAAAAAUAAUCUUGCAAUUUUUAAACAGACGUGGACUUUGUCAGGAGGGUUCUCUGUUAUUUAUUUUUUCCCUCUAAUAUUCAUCAUUUGUACCGAAAAAAAAAAUAGUUCGUUUUGAUUGAUAUAAAUAAAUUACAAUUUAUGCACAAAAUGUUUAGUGCCUUGCUGACAGGUUUUCUUCUGGAGCAUGGCACUCUUUAGUGCAAAUAGUUUUGACCCUAUACUGGUGGUUUUGGUAGAUUUUUCGAAAGUGUUAGCAAAAAAUCGACUUCUCCCUCAUCUGAAACCAAAGCGGAUAUUUCUUCUCUCAUCAAAAUUACGUUAACUCACACUUUGCCAGGCCCCAAAUCUCAUCAGCUUUCCAAUUAUACUGCGUACUUACCGCAGAAUUUGAAGGGGUGUUUGCUAGACUGACCAGCAUCUUUUUAAUCUGCUUUGGCAGAUUAGCAGCAUAAUGGGUAUCAAAUUUCUCAUAACUUCGUAGUAAUGUGUUCCCCUGAAUGCUCUGAGAGGGAAAAAGGGGGCUAAUUUCUUAGAUUAUAUGUUAAAAAAAAAAUAAUCCACCAAAUGUACCUCUGUAGUGUUUCUCAUUCUAUAGCGGCCGUGCUGAUUGGGCACGUCCACAUAAUUAAAAAUUCCAACAAAAACUUGUCUGCAAAAAAGUCAGGAGAGCAGCAGGUGUCAGCGCGGACGUGCUGAUUGGGCACGUCCGCGGCUGACUUCAGACUGAGCAUGUGUCAGACGCGGACGUGCUGACUGCGCACGUCCGCGGCUGACCAAAUUACAUCCGGAGAGUGCUCGGGCAUUGCCUUUUCUCUUUUUCUGGGCAACGUGGCUUGGGAAAAUUCCUUUAUCAGGCCUUCUUUUUUUUUUUUCUCUCUUUGACUUCCAUUUUCUGCUGCUCGAGAGCAGUUUGGCAUUUUGCAAAAGGGAAAUUAAACGAGUGUUUUAGUGGGAGGGAAGUAAAAAAAAAGUGUUUUUUUUUAAAUAAGUAAGAUGGUUUUUUGUGACCAUAAUUGUGAGAUUAAUAUAUUAAACUGCAAUUAACUCCACAUUCAGUGGGUAAAUGACAAAUUUAGCAUGAAUAAGAUGUUUCAACUAAUAUUCACUGAAACUCUUUGGAAAAGUUCAUUGAAUGUAUACCUUGUAUUGUGCCGGGAAUCUUGUAAUUAGUGUUUGGAGGAGGUUUUGUUAGUAAUGACAAGGGACUUGGCCGUUGCAUCAGCCUUUUUUUUUUUUUUUUUUUUGGGUUGUAGAUUACAAACAAUGGACGCAAGUCUCCCACAAUGACAAGUGGUAAAACACCUAAGACAUUAGCAAAAGUAAGGGAACGGUUUUUUUGUUUGGUUUGGUUUUUGUUUCUUGGUGAAAGAUAAGCACGGACUUAAUUGCGGCAAUGCCCAAGCCACGUUGCCCAGAAAAAGAGAAAAGGCAAUGCAAGCACUCUCCGGAUGUAAUUUGGUCAGCCGCGGACGUGCGCAGUCAGCACGUCCGCGUCUGACACAUGCUCAGUUUGAAGUCAGCCGCGGACGUGCCCAAUCAACACGUCUGCGCUGACACCUGUUGCUCCCUGAAUUUUUUGCAGACAAGUUUUUGUUGGAAUUUUUAAUUAUGCGGACGUGUCCAGUCAGCACGACCGCUAUAGAAUGAGAAACACUCCCUGUCAGAGGUAUAUUUGGCAGAUUGGUUUUUUUUUAACAUAUAAUCUAAGAAAUUAGCCGAGGGGGGACAUGAGCUAUUCUUCUUCUUCAAACAGAGUCGAAGACUACCUAUAGAUUAUGAUCUUGAAUUCCCUGUUCCUAAAUUUGCAACAUAUUCUGAUUGAAAAUAUGCAAAUUAGAAUGUGUUUGAAAUUCUAUUUGUACUAGGGUAUGGACAAUCCAAAAAUUGACACAUUUUUUCAUUUAAAUCUAGGAAAUGUUAAUUACACUCUACUUUUUGUUAAUCGCGCUCUUAUCAGUUGUACUGCCAUAUAUUCUAAUAUAUGAAAAUUAUAUGAUAAAAAUAAUAGUGCGAGUGCGAUUAACAACCAAAGGGAGGGCAGGCGCGGUGAAAUUAACAUUUCCCUUUAAAUCUUGAAUAAUUUCACCAGCUAAUGUGAUUUCCGAUAGGAUGUUGCAAUUGCAUUACACUUUGGCGUGCACGGUGGUGCGCUAACUUUCUGACUGACUAUUGUUUGCCCCUGAUUUAACAAGUGUUUGUAAUCUCCUCGUUUUGCAAUCAAUUUUCAGGAUGACAGAGACGUUGAAGAUUCUGGAAUUGACAGCUGAAUUGCACGAGAGAAAGGAAAAGAUCCCGCAGCUAUUCAACAACAGCUAGAUACGGUUUUGAAGGACAUGGAAGAGUAUUCAGAACAUCUUUCUGUCCAGAAACAUCGAUGAGGGUCAACUUGCCCCCAGCAGAUGACCAUCAUAUACGUAUUUCCUUUAUCUCGAUGCCUCUCCCCUCUCUUUUAAUUUGCAACAAUUUCCUUAGCGUGGUUGAUUUUUCAAAGUUUUGGGAUCCUUAAUUAGGGGUGGGCACGGGUCGGGUACCCGUCCCUAACAUGAUUUGGUUGACCCGACCCUAAUAUAUCGGAUCAGCCAUCCCUAAAAAAAAUUAUUUUCAAUAAAAAAAAUUAUUUUCUACUUAAUAUCAACAUGUUUUUCAAUAAAAAAACAUGCUUUUCCAAUUAAUAUUGGUAGAGAUAUUGUAAUUAAAGUCCAUACAUCACCAUUUUUACACAUUUCAUCCAAUAAUCAAAUCGAUCUCAUAAAUUUAGUACAUAUUAGAAUAUCUAAUGGACAAAACGAAGUUUCAUAAUAAUUUUGAGUACAUCACUAUUUUCACACAUUUCAUACUUCUACAACACAAUAAACACAAGGAUAAUAAGUAUUUGGUAACUUCCCCAAGGAUAUUAUGGUACAAGACCGCAUCUCAAAUAAGUCAAUUGUGAAAUCAAGUUCGGAAAAGAAUUGAAUAGAACUAAUUAUUUUUGAAAAAAAUAUAACCAAAAUAAUGUUAAAAAUCUUCCCCAACUUCUUUACAUCUUUGGAAUAGACCUUAUGGUAUUAAGGUGAUGAAAAAGAAAAAUAAAUUUCUUACACUAAAUAAAAGAGACAAAUUUAAGAGAUAUAAUUGCAAAUGAAUGACACAAAUAUUUUAAUUAUCUAGCUAACAGAAAUUUGAGACUCCAAACAAAAAUCUUUGAUUGAAUUGAUGCAAGAUUUGCAGGAAAGAUCGAUGGAAGUAGAAUAAAAAUAAAAAAGAUGAAAGGGAUGAACAAUUUUUAUAACAGAGUUUCACAAUUUUUUUUUUCAUUUUGUUCAUGCUUCACCGAGAAUAUUCACUUUCUUCAAAAAAAUGAGAAGAGUAGAUCAUAUAGGAUUAGAAUAUGAGGCUGCGAGCCACUUCACUUGCACUUAGGAUUAAAAAUUACAAAAUUAUAAAAUGAUCCCUACUUUUUUAAUAUUUAUAAAAUAUACCCUGCGGGUCGGGUACCCGCGGGUUUUUAUUUUUCUGAUCCGUAUCCGUACCCGAUUUUUCGGGUACCCGACUCUCAUCUGCCCCGCUAAGAAACAUCGGAUCGGGUAUCCUAUUUUUCGGAUCGUAUCGGAUCGGGUUCAUCGGGUUUUCGGAUCGACGAAUUUUUUUGCCCACCCCUACCCUUUAUCAAGUUGUAGGUUGAUAAAACCGCCAGUUAACCAUCUGAAAUGUUUGUAAUGACAAUCUUAGCAAUAGUUGCUGAUUUGGAACGUGGAUCACUUUCUUCAUGGUGUGUUUAACAGUAACUGCAGUGCGAAUUUGGGUACGGAGAGUUGAGACACCGCCUAGUAGAGGGAAUGAGGAAUGGAUUGGGUGGUAUCGAAUCGGGGCGUAAAUCUCUCAUUUACACUCUCUUUUGAUACCAAAUUCGAGAUCCUCCCGUUUACUUGAAAAAAAAAUGCAAAAGAUUUCAUACCAAAUAUAGUAUACUAGCUCGUAGAUUUCAUUAUCAGUAGCUGACAAGUCAUUACUAAAUGCUAAGGAAUAAAGAUAGGGUUAAUUAAGAAUAAUUUAUCCAUAAAAGUCUUCUAGAAAGCAAUUUUCAUUUAAAGCUCGGUUUAGAAUUGGUGGUUGGUAGGUGUAGGGUUAAUUAAGAAUAAUUUAUCCAUAAAAGUAUUCUAGAAAGCGAUUUUCAUUUAAAAGCUCGGUUUGGAAUUGGUGGUGGGUAGGUUUUAUUCUCGUUUUGCUUUUGAAUUUCACAAAAAGUUGAUUAUGAGAAGUGAUUAUGGAGAACAAUCAGAAUUAACAAAAGUCACUCUUUAAUAGAUUUUGAAUUUUAGCUUUUUGAUUAUUAAAAAAUCUAUAAUUUAAAGACAAAAAAUAAAUAAGAAUAUCAAUAAAAAUUAAUUAUUCAAAAUUAGAAUCAAUUAAAAUAAUAACCAGACCUAUAAUUAUUCGGAGGAUCAAUAAGUUACACGCAUCACCAUCUAUCAGUAUCAAAAACUAAUCAAUAAAGAAAGAGACGUUCUACUUGAAAAAAUUUGUCCAUAAUUUUUAGAACUGCCCGUCUCUCCUACGAGUAAUUGGUAACAUUUUUACCAAUAAUUGGUCGUUGGAUUAGUCAAUGACCAGUAAAAAAAAAAAAAAAAAAGGAAAAGCAAAAAGAAGAUAACAAGAGAUGUCAAGUGCUACACUGAUAUUAUUCAUUUUCCAAAAUCAGUAGUGGCGCUUUUGUCUUGUUCUUGACAUUUUCGGUGCACGUUUGAAUGUAAAGAUCCUUAAAGCGCACAUGGAUGGGCGGGAUCUGCAUGUCAUUGGCUGGAUCACCUAUUCUGACUCCUAAACUUUUACUAGUCACCACUGCUACGUACUAGUGACACUGUAGACUGUGGACCAUUUGUAACUCCUACCCAAUUUCGAUAGGACUAGGAGGUAUAAUCCGCGCGGUGCGCGGAGGUAUAGAAAAAGAGAAGAUGCCCAAGACAAACAUAUGAUAUGGAAGGAAAAUAUCGGAGGAGGAUAUAAAGCAAAAGGCAGAAAAAAGGAUGAAAGGCGUAUUAACUUGCUAAAUUGAUCAUUUUCUACAUCGGAAAUAUCAAGGCAUGAUAAGCCAAAUCUAUAAUAAUAAAGCAUCGAAUUUGCCACUACUCAUAUUAGACUUUGUUAGAGCUACUAAUGACCGACAAAGUUGCAGCAAAUCACUAACAUCUCACGGCAGCCUUUAAUUCAUAAAGAAGGAGCUAUAAAUAUUUGAUACAAGGUAGUCUCCUUACUCCUUUGUAGAUGGGCCUCUAUAUCUUUUUACUGGACGGUGCAAUGAUGUACUUUCCUCUUAUUUUCUGUUGAUUCUUGUCCACACAUUUUUUUGGUAUUUCCAUGCAGAUGAAGCCAAAAACACAUUACCAAGGAAUAUUUAGACAAAAAGUUUGGCUCCUUUGGUGUUUGCAAAUCAUAUUCAUCCCAAAGGAACUGCAAUGACUAAUUAUUAGUUAAAAAGAUAGAGAGGACAUCAAAGUAACCAAAGAAACUUUUCAAACAUUCACUACUAAAGCUUGAUGAGUGCAGCAAGUAGGUUAACAUCAAUUUUGUGGCUAAACACCCAUUAGCAAAGCCUGAAUUGCUAAACAAAUGCAAUAACUUGUUGAACAUUAAACUUCUAGUGCUUUGAAUGGAGAAAAACGAGUAAAAGCAAACCAAGUUGUUUUGUCUUGUUUCAUUUCUUGGUUUAAUGAAGUGCAGAAUAAAAAAAGUAAAUGAACAAAAAAACACAGUACAAAAUCUGCUAUGUGGAGCAACAUGAGACCCAUAUUACAAGACUUGUCAAUUUCACAAAGUUGAAACCUCUUGAAUUCAACGGGAACAUAGACAAAGAUAACAAGAAACCCUUUCAUUCAAAGGAAUCUAGGCUCUAAAUUCUUCAAUUUAUCCAUGUCUUCUCUAAAACCUGACGCAGCAUGCUCUUGCAAAUACACAUAAUGCUUAAAACUAUCAUUUUUCCCUUCAUUUGCCGAAGAAUAGGGCAAAAGAAACAGGGCUCAACACUUCCAAGCAGUUUUUUUAACAAAGGAAAAACUGUAAUGCAACCUCCCCAGCCAAAGUCAACUAUGGACAGUUCAUUUAUAUGGCUAUAGUUCAUUUAUUGCAAAAAACAGCCAAGAAUUUGGCAGUUACAAAUAAUCAUCCACAAAACAAAUUGUCAUAGAACGGAAAAGCAUCAUGUUCCAUAAAUAAUUAGAUACAUAUACAAAACGUAAGCCAUGUACAAACUGAAAUGGCAAUUGAGCCAUAUCAAUUAGCAACCUAGCUACUACAAAAGUUUCUGCAGUUAAGUUCUUUAACAAUGAUAGAUACAUAUUAGACAUUAACUAAAAACGUCUAAUAAAAUUGUUAUCUAGAAAAAGGCUAAAAAAAAAAUAAAAGAUUACAAUAAUCAAUUUAACAUUGAGCUGCAUUCCUAAUCAGAAAACAUGAAUGUGUCACACAGGCAGGACAACAGAUUCUUUCCUCUUAGCCGCCCAGCGACACGAUCACUCAAUUCAACGUUCUGUAGCAAAACUCAAAAGCAUAGUCAUAAACUGCAUAAGUAUGAACAAACAAUACAUUGCUAGUCUGCACACACUACUUAUUCACAGUCAAAAUCCAAACCCUUAGCUGUCUUACAAUAAUCAAUUUAACAGUAAGCCGCAUCCCUAAUCAAACCAGAUGAAUGCCUAACACAAGAUCACUUAGUCUAACAUUUUACAGCGAUAAAAACAGAGACAUAAACAUAACUACAUAAGUAUAAAUAAUCAAACAAAAUACAAAAUACAAAAACAAUCCUAAUAUACCUCAUGUUUAACUUCAUAAACAUGAAAACCAGCCAAGCUAAUCAAUCGCCCGGCUUAGCUGCAAAAAGCCAGAACAUUCACAAAGCCUAAAUCAGGAAAAAUCUCUUUUAGAGAAGAAAAUAACUGUUAGUCUGCCUAAAAAGGAUUAGUCCCACAAUACAAACCAUAAAAACCAUUAACUCAUUUCAUUUUUUCGUAAUCCAAAUUCUAUUCCUUCAAUAAAAGAAGAGAUACACACAGAAUUUGAGGUUUACACAAAAUCAACAGACAACAAGCACAAAAUUUCCUUCACACAUCACAAUCUCAAACACCAAAAGCAACUCAAAGCAAUGACAAAAUUUAACCGAUUACAAUAGUCACAAGUACAAAAUUUCUGAUGGAAUCCACUCAUUAACUGCAAAUGGCUGAUCCUUCAAGCCUCAGAACCACUAAGCACCAAAGCAAAACAUAACAAAAAAAAAAGAAAAAGACAGCCUCACAUGCACAGAAAUGAGAAGAGAUGAGGAAACCAAGCAAAAAAUGCAAAAUCACCCAAUUAAAGAAUCUCCCCGGGGAAAAAAUACAACCAACAAGUCUAGAUCAAAGCAACAAUUCAAAUAUUAAGCACAUAAUAAAAAUCCCCUCUGAGCAUAACUCAUUCCUGGAAAAAUGUCAAGACAAUUAAUCAACAUACAAUUUUUGGUACAGAAGGCUCGAAAAUUUCACAAAUCUUGAGGGAAAAUAUGUCCACCAUGGGAGAAUACCAAGAAAAUUAAUGGUGACUAAGUUUUACCUUUUAACUUUAGCUGCCAGAUUUUCGCUAAAGCUAAACACUCAAUGGAAUUGCUAUCAAAUAUACUGAAAUUCUUAACAAAAUAGCAGUUUGAUGUCUAAACUCCCUUUUUCAGGUUUUAAUCUAACUAAUGAAGUUAGUGAAGUUGCUCAAAUCAUAUGCCAAAAUCAUGAAUAUCCACAAACUUAGUAUCCAAACAUUUCUUGAUUAAAACAACUAACCAGUAAACCACAAAUCCAUUGUCAAAGGCUGAAAAAUUAGGAACAAGCUCUCUUAUUUAUUACAAUAGAAACCAUGGCAUAAAGCAAUACAAAAGAUAUUUUUUAGCAUAAAGCACCGAAAAAGGAUCCGUGGUUAAGUUUGUCAAUAGAAACCAAACUUUUUUAUUUUAUUUUGUCAUUCUCCUACAGACAACUUGUUAAGUUUAUUCAGGCCUUUAGUUUCAUUAAGGCCCAUAAAAAUUACACAUAAUACAUUGACAGGUAACCAUAUCACCAUACACGUAGACCAGAUAGUAUUAACCACAAAUCCUAACUUCAUGGUAUCUAAGAUUUGACAGUACCCUUUUUCAUUUUGGGGCAGGAAGAUGAUAGAUGAUAGAUGAAAGGUUGUGUCUUACUGUACCCUUAUGUUUAGAGUCCAUCAAUUCUUAGUGUAAUACGUAAUAAGAAAACGUAGUACGAAGAAUGAAGAAUGCAGUACGAAGGUAAAGGAACUGACCACAUGAGACAUGGAGUAAUUGGUUAGAUGGCAUGUUUGAACAUGGACCGCUAAAAGCUUUCUCGCAUCCAAAAUCUUGUUCGUCGAUAUUCCCUGCAGUAAAAUGUCCUCCAAUUGGUGCACUUUGGUGGUGUUAACAGAAUUGGCAGAAGGCUAGAACAUGAACUUACCUGUAAGUGUCACUUGUGAAUCCUCAGGUAUAUCUACUAUUAUUUCUAUACCUGUAGGCAUUACUGCAAGAACGGCCAAAACAGUUGUAAUUAAUCAAGACUGAACUAACUAAUUGGAAGACCAAAAAAGUGCAAAAAACUGAGGCUUGUUUAACACACACACACAUCUAAAGUGCUUUCGACCAACAACAUGACAAUAGGUAAUAGUGCCACAAAGCAGGAGUAAAAGGGAACUAAACUCGGUGUAUAAUCAGUGCAAUUGAGAAGUUUUGGCUCAAAAAAUGUUUUGUACUUGAUGCAAUUGUUAUGAUAAUAUGAAUACUAUUCUGUCAUCAUGGUGUUUGGACUAAAACAUGGAAAAGUGACCUUUUACAAUGCUAAGAACCAAACAACACAAGAAAAUCUCAGAAUAGGAACUUGAACUGCUCUUGAUUCGUGAUGCAGCAAUAGAAAAAUGAAACAGAAUUAUUCCCGAUGCCACAGAAAAGCUUACCCACAACAUCUUCUCAAUUGAAGGUGAGCAGAGAAAAUGACAAGCUCUUGCUUUCUCCUCAUUUAUACAUUGCUCAACCUAACGCACAGCUCAGCACCCAGAAAAGAAAACAAAAUAAAAGGAAGUCAAUAAAGAAUGACAAAUAUAGCAAAACUGAAAGACAGAGACAAAUAGAAUUUGCAAGAAAAACAAGAACAAAAAAAUUACCUGACGGAAGAAACUCCUAUCAGACCUCGCACGUAAAAGGAUCUGCAGAAAAGAGGAGCUUGUUAAAAAAAAAUAAAAAAAAAUAAAAAGAAGAGGGAAAUGGAGGAAAUAUUGAAAUACCAAUCUAAAGCAUAUAUCUUCAAGUGCUAGUACCCAACAUCCAAUUCUUGCAUCAAUAAAGUGGAAAUCUUUGAAACCCCACCUCACGGGCUCAUCCAAGCUACAGAAAUAAAAAAUCUAAAAAUUAAAAAGAAUAACAUAAUCCUCAUAAACAACAAAAUAGUAGUAGCAAUCAGAAAAGGGAAAAAAGCAACAAAAAAAAAAGAUCCGACAAGAACAGAUAGUGUACUCGUUGUCUAUUUUCAAAAAAAAAAUGCAAGAUCUGACAAGAAGAGACGGUAAGAUCUGACGAGAACAAGAAUGCACGAAAAAAAAUGUGGAAGAAAAUGAUGAUUAAAGGAACAGAGAGAGAGAAACGAGGACGGUGGAAAGAUCUGGAGAAGAGACGGCGGAAGAAAGAAGCGGCCGAGAGAUUCUUGUGUUUUAUGCGGCAAACCCUAAGCCGAGAAAGAAAAUGGACACACGAAGCGCAUCGCGCGAAAAAGAUGGGAUGAUCCACGUGCGCGGCACGUGUGAGGACGACGAAAACCAUUCCAGGUCAUCAGAGGCCUUCGGCUCUUUAUCUACUUAUGUUGAGAAGAAAAUGAAAGAAAAUAAUAGAGGCUUCCUUCAUUGGAGAGUUUGAGGGGGAGAGAAAACUGAAAAGGAAAGAAAUAGGCAAAUCUUUAAACUAACCUCCAACAACCCCUUUUUUCUUAUUUCUUAAUAAAAUUCCCAACUAGGCCUUAGAACUAAAAGUAGAAAAAAAAAACGAAAGAAAAAUAGAUUGGCAAAUGCGUCAAUUGUUCAACUAGUAUUAGUGUCUGUUUGAUAACAUAAAAAAGUGUUGAAAUUGAAUUCAUUCAGACAUUCAGAUGUCUUGGGUGUUUGAUAAAUAAAAAUUUUUCUGCUGAACUUAUUAAGUGGUGCUAAAUUUGUAUGUAUUUUUUUCAACACAAGAAUCGCAACUGAAUGCUUAAUUUGAUAAGAAUCAAAAGAUUUAUUUCAAUUACUUUAUCUUAUCUACCAAAUCUAUCCUUGUUUGUUAAUUACAUUCAAAAUCAUUAUCUAAUUAAACAAUCUAAUAUUUUCCAUCCAAAAUCCUUAUCUAUUAAACAACCUGACAUUCUUUGUCUAAUGGCUUUCUACUUCUAUUUUCUCCAUAUUUAAUGACUUUUUUUACAAUUUCUCCAUGCUACUCACAUCUGUCUAUUCCUUAUUUUUUUCCAUCUUUCUACUCUUUCAUAAUUUUGUCAUUUUUUCCUUCCAAUUUUUUUUAUUGCUACCGUACUCACCGAUCUCAAAUUCAUUAUUUCCAAGGUAGCGUUAACAUUUUUCCAUUGAAGUAAUUAAAUUUCUAUAUAAUUUGGUGUGAAUUUAAAACUUGUUUAUUGCAGCUUCCUUUUGCUUAUAUUUGGACUUUUCUUGUCAAAUUCUGAUUUAAAAAUAUAUUUGCACCGAUAUUUGGACUUUUCCAUAAUAUAUUUUUUCUUUUAUAUUACUUUGAUUUAAAAAUAAAUAUUGUCAUUUUCAUACCUAACAAUUUUAAGCUAAUUAAAACAUAGGUUCUAUUUCCUUUUUGGAUUAAAAGAUAGAAGGACAAAAUUGUACAAUUUAGCUUAUUAAGCAUUAAGUUAUAAAUAUUUAUCAAAUAGUAUAAAUAUGUUCAGCAUUAAGAUUCAGAUAUUCAUAUAUCUCUUUUCAGUGCUUAAUAUUUAGCAAAUUAAUUGUUUCAGUAUUCAGAAUUCAGAUUCAGUUUUAUCAAAUGGAGCCUUAGUCUAUUAGAUUAAACCUUUAUCCAUUCUAUUCCGCCACGAAUCUCCCUAACCACAUCAGAGAAAAAGUAUAGGCUUCGUUUGAAUUUUUCAUUUUUUUAAAAAACAAGUUUUUUAUUUACAAUAAUACAGUUAUAUACAAAAAAAAAUUAUUCGAAAAAUAUCACAUUCAUACAAUAUAUUAAAAGUAAUUCUAAAUAUAUAAAAAAAUUAAAAAAUUAAAAUUUACACUAUUUUCUUCUUCCCAUCUAUCACCACCAUCGACUAUCACUACUAUCACCAUCCUCUCUUUCCUCCUCCUCCCUUUCUAUUCUCGCCCCCUCUUUCUCCUUCCUCUCUUUCCUCUUCCCCUACCUUUUCUCUCCCUUUCCCAUCACAUCCACUAUUUUCCUUCCCAAUCUAGCUACGACCAGGUUGCAACCAGAUGCCUCGAUUUGGUCCAAACUAAAUUAAGGAAGGGGAGGAGAUGUGCAGGAAAGGGGAAGGGGAGGACGAAGGAGGAGGGAGAAAAAGAAAGAUAGGGAAGAAGAAGAGGGAGGUGGUGGUGGUUACGAUGGGUGGGUGGUAGUAUUAAACUUUUUUUAAAAUAUUCUAAAAGUUUUUGAACUUUAAAAAUAUUUCAAAUUACAUCUCAAAAACACCUUAAAAAUCAUCACUAAAAACAUUCAAGAUAAAAGUUCUUUAUAUAUAUUGUUAUAAUAAAAUAUUUCAAAACAUUCUAAAAAACAACUAAUCCAAACUAUUUCCUCUUAACUCGGGGUUUUAUGACUUGCCCAUCUUUUUCUUGUCUUUCCCAACGCCCAAUCUAUGUGCCUAAGUGUGAAAGGAAGAAAAAGAUCUUACAAGCAACAGCCUGUUGCUGGCUGUUAUCAAUUAAUAAUAAUUAUCCACAGUAGCGGAAUCAAAUACUAACUCUACUAAUCGGGGCGAGAGGAAGAUGGACUAAAUGACACGAAGGAGGGAGUAUAAUUAAGAGUUUUUGGAUUGAAUAUCUCCCACUUACACUGAAAAGGAAAGGCCGUGAUACGGUGAAAGAAGCUGUAGAUCUCUCGCUGGAAAAAUGAAAAAAACAUAAAGUUUGAUCCAUUCUUAAAAGCGUGAAAUAUUUUUAGGCUUCCAGCACAAACGCUCCUCUUCUUCUCGUCACUGACCUGUCAACCCUUUCUAUUAAAUCUCCAUAUCUCAACCCAAUUUCUACUAGACCUGUUAAAACUCAACCCAACCCUCGAUAUUGCCGUUGCCGAGGCCGACGGUAUUCUUUUCUCCCUUUCUUUCUUGCAUGUAUUUAUUGUUAAGACUAUGUGCACAUAUUUAGAUGACUGGCGAAGGAACUUCUUGUUUCGCUCAGCUACUGACACUAACUGGUAUUAGUCUACUGUUGUGACAAUUGCAGAUUAUUUCUGAAAGCAUUUGUUGAUUUGGGAAAGUAAAACAGAAGAUGGCAAAUGUGGGAGAAGUUGAACACCCAUAUGUUCCAAGGGAUUUGAAGUUGCCUGGUUUUGUACCUGCGUUCCUCCCCCCUUCCACUAUUGUUGGUGCUUAUCUGCUUGCUUCCCUACUCGCUGUGUCCAUUGUCUGGAUCGGUUCUGGUAAUUGAUUGUUCUCUCACCAGUCGCCGUUGCUAUCUUUUUUAGUAGUAUCUCAUAUAUAGUUGUUCUACUUCUUCCAUUAGUUGAUUGUAUUCUUGUCUGCCUUGUAUUGCUUGUUAUAUUCGGGCAGUAAGGAAAAUCGGAAGUGAAGAUCAGUUAGCAACUUAUGAUAAUCCGAAUCUGAAGCAUCUAAACGAUUCAAAAUGAGUACUAAAUCCAUCUCCCCUUGUAUUGGGUUAUUCUGUUUUUGUUUUUUUCGUCUGCUUUGUCAAGCAUACUUGUUGACUGGUAAUUAAAAUUGCUGAAGUGACUUAAUUUGCUGAAAACAUGUGACAAGUUCUUUUCUAGAAGUCAAAGUUCAAAACUUUGAUAAGUUGAUGCAGUCUUUUACAUUCCUUCAUAUAUUUCUUGUUGCUGCAAGCCCACCAGUAGAAUUUAUGUGAGAUCUCUGUAGGUUAGGAUGUAGAAAUGUGGUCAUGUUGAUAAGAGGUUGCUUGCCUGGGUAGUCCAACAAUGAAAAGUCUUGCUUGUUCCAAUCUAAUGCAGUUAAUCUGUUUGCCACACAAUAUUUAUUUAUCUGAGAUCCUGAAUUAUAUCAUAAUUCAUAUGGUAAAUGAAUUGUUUUAAUCUCUUCGUGGGAGCCUUAAGGUGAAUCAAUGUAAAUUCACUCUCAACAAUGUCUUAUAUAUGUUAAUUGUGAGCAGGGACACAUUGACAUAAGUUCACCUACAGCAACAGUAUGUGCUCCCUUGCAAAGACUUUUUGGGGUUUGCAUAGCUCCCAACUAUCCUUGAAUGUAUUGGACUUCGCCUGAGUGGUCCAUAAUGUGACUUAGUAAAUGAAUUACUUGAAAUUCAUUUGAGAUUGGAAUUCUGAGAUUGAAACCAUCAUUGAAUGUAUGGGGUUUGCCUGAUUUGUCUAUAGUAUAACUCAAUUAUGAAUGAUUAAGAACUCACUUGAGACUGGAGUUCUGAAACUAAGCAAAAUAAUCACUAAUCCCCUUGUUUUUCACUUGAUUCUUUACAGCACGACUUACAUCACAGGUCAUAAGCCGUUACCCAGAUCUUUGCCUUUAUUAUCUAUACCUGUAUUGAAUAAAUUGUGAUUGCUUGAUUGAUGUCUGGAUAAUAAUCAAAUACUCUCCUCAAAUCUGAUUUUUUAAAUUGUUAUGAUUUCAUUCAACAAGUAGUUGAACCAUUUAAUCAUCUUUGCCUAAUUGCAAUUUCCUAUACAAGUCAAAGGUUUAGUUAUUUAUGUACUGUGUUGACCAUAGAGUAGGAAAUUGUUGGAUCACAUCCAUAUUGGGCUUUCUUGUUUUAGGAUUCUGCUUAUAAGGAGGUUUUUACAUCUAACUCCUAGCUAUCCUUUGCCAACGUGGAAAUUCAUUGAUCAUUGCUUUAAUAUUUUACCAUCCUCAAUUAAUGGUAGGACGGAUCCACAAGAUAUCAAAGCUUGAUAGAAUACUCAUGUGCUGGUGGAUCUUCACGGGGCUAACCCACAUGGUCCUUGAAGGUUAUUUUGUAUUUACUCCAGACUUUUACAAGAAGACAACCCCAGUUUACCUUGCUGAAGUCUGUAAGUUUUUAGCUUAAUCUGUUAUUCAAAUCGGAAUCCUUUCUUUGAGAUUGUAAGAGAGUAAUUGCUUUAAAAUGGAAAAUGGCAGGGAAGGAGUAUAGCAAAGGUGAUUCAAGAUAUGCUGCGCGUGACUCUGGAGUUGUUUCUAUUGAAGGAGUUACCGCAGUAUUAGAGGGUCCCUUUUGUCUUCUCACCCUGUAUGUAUGCUUGGGUUCACUUAGUAUCAUCCAAGAGGAUACAAUCAUUAGUCUAUAUUUCUAAAUUUUUUUAUUUUGUGCUUACGAAAAUCUCAUCUUCACGAAUGCUCUAUAUUUUCCAGCAUAACAUUGUGGUUUAAUUUUGGCAGGUUUGCUAUAGCUGCAAAAAAGUCAUACAGGUAUGUGAUUCAGCUGGCCAUUUCUUUGGGGCAGCUGUAUGGCACCAUUGUAUAUUUCUUGACAUCCUACUUGGAUGGGGAUAAUUUUGCUGCAAGCUGGUUUUACUAUUAUGCAUACUACGUCCUUGCAAAUGCCUUUUGGGUUUUAAUCCCAACAGCAAUAUCGGUCCACUGUUGGAAGAGGAUAUGUGAAGCAAUCAAGGAUCAGGACCUGAAAAAGACCAAAACCAGCUAAGGUUGGAAUAACAAUUUUCAACUCAAAGCAUCUAGAUCUUGAACCAUCUUUAAUCGAUUCUAUUUGAGAUGGACAUUCAAUGACAUCUUCAUGAAGGAUAUUUGCAAAAAAUGACAGAAAAAAUUGAAUGAAGUUGACAGUAUCUGUAAUGCAUUCAGUUUAUGAAAGCCAUUUGAUGGGUUCAGUUAUCACUGGCUAAUUUGUUUCUUCGUUCUCUUGUUUCUUUCUGUAACUUAUGAGUGUCUUGGUUAAUGGGCCUCGUAAAAGUCUUGGCAUUGGUUUUGUCAUUGGUUAAAUAGGCAGAACUUCAUCAUCUGUGAUUUACGCUUGAUUUGGUAGGAAACUAUUUGUGGAAGCCGAAUAUUUUGCACUUAACCAACACUCUAGUCUGAGCAACUGUUCUCUGGGAUUCAUGUUUAGAAGGGUAUAGUACUGCAAGCCCUUCAGCUUUUUGUACUCGCUAUUAUUACCAUACGUACCAAUGAAGUACCUGAUCCAGAUAUCAUUCUUGUAUUGCCUUCCAGUUUUAUCCUUCUGGUAAUUAGGAGGAUAAAAAAUGGAUGAAUCAUAUUUAUACAUUGAGGUGAAUGCCCGACAAUUUAUUUAAAUUUAAAUUUAAAAUUCAAAAUUUACUUAUAUAUUAUACAUCUAAUCCUCUUAUAAUAUACAUUAUCAAUGUAUAUAAAAUUAAAUUAUAAAAAAUCGGUUUCUCACUCUCAAAGACGUGUACCAGAACAGCAGGAAAAAGGAAUAUCAUACUUAGUGUGAUAUUUGGAAUUUGAUUAAAAAUAAUCACAAAAAAAAAUGCCGAGUCUCUUGAAUUCUUCAUAGGUUCCAUGAAGCUAAACAGUAAAUUCACGCUACGCAGUGUGAUUUUACAGUUUGACGAACGACAUUUAUUUCAAUACUACCAAAAAAAAAAAAAGAGCAACAGACACUUAACUCAGUAAGUACUAAACAAGUUACACAUCUUCCUAAUCCAGAGCUCUUAUUUCUGAACAAAAAAACAAACGGACAGACAUAUCAGGAGCUGCUAUUGGUGAUGGCAUCAGCAUCAACUUUACUGUGCGUUCUGCUGUUGACAUAGGUGCAAGAAUUUGUGCAUUACACCAAAUGCAUAGCCUAUGCGAUGCUUACACGUACAUCUGCUAUGGCAAGAGUGUUUCACCAGCUUAAUCUGGAUGACAUGAAUGAUAGAAAUUAACUAGCUCCCAAAGCCUGAAGCCCAGAACCGUCUACUCAAUAGUUGGCUUCCAUCCUUGAAUCUCUUGGUAUAUAUUAGCAUCCACCUUCAUUGUCUUGUCCACUAGGCGUUGAGAAGAGGUACCAACUUUGAAAACCAUAAUCCAUCAACGUCUAGGCAGCUCAGUCUUGUGGUUGCACUCCUCUUGGUCGUCAAGGCUGCAUUGGUGAUGCUUGGCAAAUGAUACGAACACAAAUACAUCAAUAGUGAAGAAUGAAUUUACUCUGAAAUGCUUACCUAGUGGUUUCACUUUCUUUCCUUCCCUGCAACCAAUCACUUGGAGGAUUAUACAUAGUUUCCCCCACAUCCAUAACAAUAACAGAUCCUGCAAGGGCACGUAUACCAAAGGAGAAAAAGUGACAGUGAAAUAAGACUUAAUUUGCUGUUUCUGAUAUCUCCCUGUCAGUUCUACCGAUUCAGUUAAACCCACCAAAGGGCUAACAAACUCACCAAUUCACCGUUCUAAUCUGCAGAGACAUACUAGAGAGUAGUCACAAGGCAAUCUACUACACCACAAGAAGACAAUUUCCAUCCAUCACUUCAAGUCGCCCAUUUAAGAUGCCUUUCAGCCUUCAAAAGAUUUACACUCGGGCCAAAACGGAAAGCCCAAAGCAUGACAAGAAUAUCAAAAAAUCAUGCCAGAGUAUAAUAUUAGUUGUUGCAUGAUAUUUAGUAAAUUUGGGUUUGAAAAGAGUACUGCUCCAAGAAAAUACAAGAAUCAAUUGCCAACAAACAAGAAAAUACUAUUGAAGGAAAAAACUUUAACGUAAAUAUACAAGUCGCAACACCCCCAAUCCCUCAAAGAAAACAAGAAACAUGAAUGAAUUUAUAUGCUAACCAGAGGAGGAUUUGCAAAAGAUUACACAAUGCAGAAAUGUCAUUGCUCAAACAAGCGCUAUGACUGCAAAUAAAGCAGAAAACCAGAUACAAAAAUGCCCCCAAAUCCCCCUUAUUUUACGUAUGUAUUUAAGCGGGUUGUAUAAGAAGAGAGGAAGAAUGAAAUGGAAAAGUUUUCUUGGUUAGCAAUACUUGCUCAGGUGCACUGAACACAGCAAAUCACUUCUUCCUCACCACCCAUACUUUCCUUGUGUUUGAGCUUUGGUGAGGAAGCCUCUGGCACGUCGCUCUGAAAGUUCCAUCUCUUUCUGCUUCAUAUCGAAGAACAAGGACCCAAUCUGAUGCUUCCUCUUGUGCAGCUUUGAAGGCUUUCCUUUGGUUGAAGUAGGCUGCAGCCAAAGAAAACAACUUGCAUCAGCAAAGGAUAGAGAAUUAAAGCGGAGAGAAGAUUCUAUGAUGCUAAGAAAGAAAGGAAAUGUAAAUGAAAAUAGCUUCUGACUCCUACAGCUGGUUUCACAAGAACAUGUAGCUUCUCAAUCUCACAAUACAACCUUGGAGAUAAUUCUGGAUGUUACACUCAUGAAAAUAUAUCAAUAAUCCCCCCCCCCCCAAAAAACAAAAAGGGCAAAAAAAACACAAAAAAUCAGAAUGGGACCUUUUCUCAAGUAUUACAUGAACUUACAAAUUGUAGAGUCAAGUUACUACCUCCAGCUUCAUACAAUUAUACACAAGUAAUAUGCGACAAAAUUAUGUCUCUUUCAACCAAAAAACCAAAACACUAUAAUGGACAGACCGAUUAUACACCACAUGCAUUUCAUAUUAAAGAAGACACUACGUGUGCUUUGUAAAGGGCGAAAAAGAAGAGACAUGUCAACAAGCCAGAAUCACAAAAUUAUUCAAACGACUUGAUUAUAGUGCAGAAGUACAACUUCUAUUUACCUGGUAAGCUGGCCCAAAAGCAAUUCCAGUUAAUUUGACCUGGUCCUCCCUAGGCCGAUCCUUCAUCAACUCAUCCUGUUUCACCUCAACUAUUUCCUCGGGUGCAUUAUUCCUGCCUCUCUUACCAGACACUCUCCAUGCAUUCUCAGCAAAUCCAGACACCUCUGGCCCAACAGCUGCAGUAGGAACGUCAGCCCAGUUAUUCUCGUACUGCCCAUAAUUCGCAUAACUGCCAUAAUCACCAUUGUAAUUCACGGAAUCCCCAUUUCCUCCAUCCCAGUUCUGAUAAUCACCUGCAACACCACUACCACCAUUAUUUUCGUAGGCACCAUAACCAGCAUGAUUGGCAUAAUUCUCACUCCCGUGACCCCAACUCGAAUAAUCUCCGCCUCCAUUUGCAUAUCCUGACGAGUUACUAAGAUCUCCACCUGAGCUCAUCGACAUCUGAUCGUUACUUGAUUGGCCCUCAUAAUAGCCUAUACUGCUAGUACUAACACCAGCUUCACUCCCACUAGCAGCAUUCACCACUUUUGAGUCCUUCAAGCCCGGCACGUCAGCGUCAAUGGUUGACCUCCUACCCGACCCUGAAGCCGAAGGAAGAGCACCCAAAGUGGCAGAGUGUCUGGGCGCGGGGAUACUCGAUAGAAAAGACUUGACUGAAGCAGUCUGGACUACCGGUUGUUUCUUUUGCUCCUGCUCCUCGUCGUCAUCAUCGUCUUCAUCAUCAUCUUCAUUGCCGACAUUAGUGGAUGAAUAUACGGGAGGCGGUUUAAAUUGAACCACCCUCUUUCCAGCAGAUUGUGCAGGAGGCGGAGCUCGAGCAUCAGGAUUGAGGGUUUUGGUGGGCUGCGGAAGAGAAGAGAAAAGAGAUGACGUGGAAGAUGAUUUGGGUUGAGGAAGCGAAGCGAACAAAGAUGACGAUGGUUUUGGAAGCGAUGCCAAAUGUCCCGAACUUUCCGGAGUUAUUAGCAAUUGCUGCCCAUCCUCCUCUUCUUGAAGUACAUUAGAUUUAUGUGGAUUCAGGGUUGAGGAAGACGACGAGACAGGGGGCUUUGGAGGGUGAGAUUGGGGUGGGGGAAGUGGAAAGGAGAUGGAUGACGAAGAAGAAGAUGAUGAAGAUUUUGGGGGCGGCAGCGAGGAGAGGAAUCCAGCGGAUUUGGGAUUUGAGAGCUGUGGUUUAUCUUCUUGUUCUUCAUCGGAAGAGGCGUAGCUCGCUAGCAAAGAGUCCAUGACCAGAAGCAAAAGGGGAGCAAAGCCCUAAUUUCAGAACAGGGAGAGUAAAAAGGAUCUUCCUUUCUUUUUUUUGGGGGGGAAAGUGGAGGGGGGUAAGGGUGACGGGUUCCGACUAAUGAACCGAGGUGGAAUUAAUGACGGCGACGGCCUUAACCCGACCCAACUGAGUCAAACAGUAAUCAACAAUGGCUUUAUCUUUUUGCGCCUGUGGGGCAAAACUGCAAAAGUAGGUAGGAAACCAGGGGCUUAGAAAUAACACCUACAAGAUUUGGGCAAAUUUUGGAAAAAAAAAAGAUUUGGACCUAGAGAGAUUCAAUAAUUAUAAAUUAGAAUUUUACCCGUGCCUUAACACGCUCUCUUUUCUUAUUUAUUAUGAAUUUAUACAAAUAUAAAUAAUUUAAAUAUGAAAAUUAAUAACAAUCCUGUGUGCCCACUCUUGUUAACUUUGAAAGAUUAAUGUAUUCUAAAUGUUCAAUUAUUUAUUAAUUUUUUAAAAAUUAUUUACAUACUUUCACAAUAAUAUGAUAGUAUAUAUCAAAUAAUAUAUCUCAUAUCAAAAACUCGGUAGAUAUUCUUUUAUUAUAAAUAUUCUUUUAGAUAAUUUAAAUUUUUAUAAUGGCCAUAAAUCUAGAACUAUAUAUUCACAUUUAAUUAAGUAAAAAAGAUCCAGCAAUCCAGUUUUUUUUUCAUAAAUAAAUAUUUAGUUUCCAAUAAUAUUGGUAAAUAUGUCGAUGUAACAGUUAAUUCUCUUUUUUUGUACUAAAUUAAUUAAAAAUUAAGGGAAGAGAUGAUAAAUAAUUUGUAUACAAAUCAACGAUAUGGUGGUGAAAGGAAAUAAUUUAUGGAAUAUGUAAGAUUUUAAGAAUUGUGAUUUGAAAAAGGUUUUACUAUAAUUCUAUGUAAUAAUUUCAUAGAAAACAUUAAGUUAAAAUUAGUUAUUUUUUAAAGUUAUUUUAGAUAUCAUAAAGAUAAAAUUAGUUACUUUAAAAUUAGGGAUAGUUUUUAAACAUAUAAUAUAAUAUUCAAUAUCGGUAAAAUCCGAAUGACCCAUAACCCAUUAUUUUUCUUCAAUUAGACAUGCCACAUAAGAAUGAGAAACAACUCUAAUUAAAAUAGUUAUUUUCACACACACACACACACACACACACACACACACACACACACACACAUAUAUAGAUUACAUUUGUUCAAAAAGUAAAUUAAUCCUUGUGUUGCAGACAAAUGAUUACCCUCGAAGGAUUAAUACUAAUUCGACGUACAAAAUUGGAUGUUCAUCUGUAGUUACGGUACAUGCUUUUAUUUUUUUAUUUCUCUGUAAUUAUUUUUUUUAUUUCUAUGUAAGUGUUUGGACAGAGUAUUUUUCAAAAUAUUAUUUAAAAUAAUUACUAUAACAUUUUUUUUUUUUGUGAUGUAAUGUACGCAAGAUAAAAAAAUGGUUGGACAUAUAAAAAAUUUGAUUAGAAUAUAUAUUCUUAUGAUACAAGUGAUAUGUUAUUUGAAAAAAUUUAGCUAUCCAAACUACAUCGAUACUAAAGAAAUUUAAGUUUAAUGACAAAGAAAUAUGUUUCUUUUCUAAAUCACUGUUUUACAACAUAUGGAAAUUGCUGUUUUGCUAUCAAUGACACCACCAUCUACCGCAAUGAAUCAGCAAUCUUGUCCAUUAACGUAUAAGAUUUGACUGUUUUAUGGUUCCUCAUGGAAAUGGAUAAUUUUGUCUUCAAUUUCUUUAGUUUGCUUUCAAGUGACUUUUAUCUGAUUUCUGUAAAUCCUUUCGUUUCCUUGAAAAUUCCCACCAUCCCAAUAUACUGCACAUCCUUCGGAAGGGAACUCCAGAUUUCAUAAUCAUUGUGAUGUCUCCUCCUUGAACCUAUUGAGCAAGAAAAUAACAUAUGAAUAAUAGGACUGCAAAGUUGUCUGAAGACAGAGACGUACUACUUAGCUAAUCCGCUCACAUCACAUCACAGCGAGAUUUCACGCCCUGGUAACUGGUAAGACUUAGGAUCCGAGAUCUCCUCCCCAAACUCUUUUUCUUUUUGCUAUGAGACCAAAACCUUACCGGUAUGUAUCAAAAGAACAAGGCAUUGUCAGGCCAAAACCAGCCAGUAAUACUGAUGCAUGGUUGACGGAUCAGCAAAAGAAAGCACGACACGAAGUCACAAGUAGAUUCAUUACUGUAUGGCAAAUGGAGCUCUCCAAGUCGAGGCCCUAAGAAAUGCUAUACCAGUUGUUACAAACCCUAAGUGUUAUGCAAGAAAAACAGGGCAUGCUCAUCAUUUCAGCAGCAAAUGAAGGUAACUUUGUUUUCCACAUUUUAUUCAAAUGCGUAAACCAUGAACAGCCCAUUUCUUAUUUUAGCAGCAAAAGCAUACUUCUCAUUUCCAAAGCAUGAUAACUAACGCACAAUGUCCAUAUGAAUGCUGAUGCGCCAUGCUCUAAAGAUAUACCAUAUCCUGGAUGACUUCAAGUGUCUGUAUAGAGUACCUUAGCAUUUUCUGGUUACAGUUACUGAAUUGCUUAAAACCAAGCAUUUCAAGAUUUCUCUCUCUCAUUCUCAUAAGAAAUAAAAAGAGAUGGAUGGUUGAAGAUCUCAAUGUUAAGUCACUGUUAACAUGCGAAACAGCAAUCUUGCAACUAAACGUGUAUGUCAAACAACACACUAUUGGAAGCAAAAAUUGACCCAAAAAAAAAAUGCAAUCAACAAUACCAUCAGAAGAUAACUGUUCACAACAGUUGUAGAAAGCAGCAUCCAAGAUUUUAGUAUUUCAUAGUUAAAUAUGACCAGAUUAGAGUAGAUCUCUAAUCUUACUAUAAGACUUGCAAGGCAACUGUGUGAAUCACAACCAGCUCCUGGGAAAUAAAGGGAAGAAUAACUGAUCAAAAGAGAUUUGUCACAGAUAAUGUAGAUUCCUUCCCCAGAUGUAUAAUUUCAUGUAAGACAUCCGAAUCCAAUUUCACCUGAGGAAUACUCAUUGAGUAAGGUAGAAAUAAUAAAUUCGGAAAAUACAUGGUGAAGCAUUGGAUAUCUUCAUAGGAAGCACCAACUUUCUUGCAUCUAUUGGACAGAUUGCAGAUAAAAUUAGUAAAGCAACCAGAUCACUGCCCAUCCUUCUUUCAAAUUACGGUAGCUUAAAUUUUCAAAUGCUCCUCAAUCCUUCGUCAGCAAACAAUUGAAGUAGAUCAAAAUUUCAUCUAAAUAAAGGUGAUUUGUUUCGCAUAAAGUAACCGUAAGUGUCUGCAAUCAUUUGCUCUUGAAAUGUAGGACAGGAUAGAGCUUAAGUUUGUUCUCCCUUAACAUACUUGAGUUCAGAUGCACCAAAGCUUCAUGCUUUCACUGAAGAAUCACCUUUCUUUGACUUCAAAGACUGCAGCAUGUGAUAUGAUAAACUCGGCUGUUGGUAUAUCUAAAUUCAACCAUAAAACAGAUGGCCUUUGCAAAAGACCUAAUAGGUUGGAUAAAGAUGCUGGUUUUCUAUCGUGUCAAAGCCUAAUGUAGCCAAAAGAAAAGAGUAAGAAUUCUCACAGGAAACUAUCAUUUGCAGUCUACUCCUAAUUUGUGACAAUGCUGAAGUUUUACGCGAGCUGUUAAAGUUUCCACAAAAACUAAUUUAAACCUCAUAAGUAGUAAUCAUCCUCCUCUUUGUUCCCGAAUUUAUUCCUGUCCCAAGUGAAUGAACUCCAAGAAAAUCUAGGUAUGAAUCACAAACUUGAUUUGGCCAAAACAAUGCAAUCCACAAUGUAGAAAAGAUAAUAACUUGAUAAUUAGGCUCCAAAUCUAAAUGGUUUGACAGAAAAGUGAUGCAACCUCAACUCUACCAAAAACAUUGAAAGAACAAAACUUUUUUCUAAUUGCACUGGAAAUAACAGAUUACCUCAAGCUUAAACACAUCGAAGCAUCCGAAUAGUACACAAUAACCAGAAAAUACAAUAAAGUCAUAAACUUGGAGAUAAAAAAAAAAGACAGGUCACUAGUUUAAGCUAAUGCAGAAAAGCGUACAGAGCAGUUGAAAUGUAAACCAACAGAGCAGACGACACCAGAACAAUCAAAGCAGUAACAGCAUGAACUGUAGAUUUACUCCCACAAGACAACAUCCCCAGCCUUAUUUCAAUCACAUUCACCAUGGAAAGCAUCAAGAACAAGCACCCCAUUACUGAUCCAAUUGCAGAGCCCAACAUCCCAAAUCUCAGGACCCUCAAACUGAUGUGGGCUCUAAAGGCCUCAUCAACAUCUUUACUAUUCAAAAGAUUGAUGGCUAGCUUGAGGCCUUGAGCUAUGAGGGAUGAGAAGAGGAAGAAACUAAAGGACACGACCUCAAAUACAAGGAGUUUCUUGGCCACAUCGAUGCCGGCAUCACAAGCUGAAUUUUCAAGGCUGUGCUGGUGUGGGGUGGUUAAAGAUAGCCCCACAAAUACUGCUAUUGUGAAGAGUGAAUUAACAUUGACUAGGCCAUCAAGGGCUGUCACGUGGACACUGGUGGUGGAGGAGGAGGCGUAGCUGGAGGUGGGGUCUGAGGUGGUUCUUCUGGGUUCUUGAGAGUAAUAGUCUUUCGGAUAUGUCUCAGAUCUGUCAAAAUCAUGUAAAGAUACCAAAUUUAAAAUUUAUAACCACAUCAGAAGCUACAAUACUCGAAUUUAACAAAGUAGCUUGUGAAUGCAAAAAGAUGAUCUUUCAAAAAAAAAAAGGGCAAAAAGAUGAUGGGGAAAACCGAGAAGGAUAUUACUCUUCCAUGAUCGAGUUGCUGUAUUGGACUCCUUGAUGCUCCUAAAAGCAAAUGAUAAAAAGUUUGUAUCGAAUGAGGUUAGGUCUACUCUUGAAGUUGCUUGGCGGUUUUGCGAAUGUGUUUCCCGGAGGGGAAGGGAAAGUAGCAGACGGAACUGGAGAGCUGAGGGGACAAAGAUACUUUGCUGUAUUCUUUUCGACGUUUGGUUUUUAUGGUUUUGGGCGCGUAUUCGCGUUAGCUAUCCGUAAAGAGCACGUCUUCUUGUAAAGGCUGUAAUAAUUUCAGCAGAAGAUCUCCCAUUUCACAAUAUUUAUUAGGGUUAAUUCCACUUUAUCCUCCCAAACUUUGGAUAAUUAUCCACCUCAGUCCCUAAACUUUAAAAUGGGACACUUAAGUCCCUAAAUUUAUAAAUACCUCAUACUUAAGUCCCUAAACUUAUAAAAUGGAACACUUAAAUCCUUAAACCCUUAUAAAAUGGGACACUUCAAUCACCAACGGCAUUCAUAAUUUGUUAACAAUUUUCCUUAAGUGAGAGGUAUUUAUACAUUUAGGGACUUAAGUGUCCAAUUUUAAAGUUUAGGGACUGAAGUGAGUAAUCGUCCAAAAUUUGGGGGGACAAAGUGGUAUUAACCCUAUUUAUUAAUGAUACUUGAUAUAUACUUUUUUGACUGACGAUACCAAUAAGUAAUAACAGUUACUAGUACUAUGAGAGAGAGUAAAGUGUUGAUUUUUGUACAAGAAAUGAAAAUUUGUUUCAAAGGAUGUUCUAUUUUUAUCUUAAGGAUUAGUAGAUUUUAGGUUUUCGAGAUUUUCUUUUUGAAUGUCUAGUUAAUAUAAUAAUUUCUCUAGCCUUAGACAUGACUCAUGUCUCUUUGUGUUUCAUGUUCAUGUUCAUGUUGACGUUCUAGUUUAGAUAAAUAAAUACCGGGAAAAUUUUAAAAAAAAAUCAGUUAGAAUUGGUAAGACAAUUAGUAGUGUUUUACGUAAUUUCUAAAAUUACAAUGAAAAAUAAAAACUAACAAGUUAGAGUCGUUGGGAAGGGAGGAGCCGAAAUUAGAAGUAACUAGUAGUUGCAUGUGGUUGAAAUGGAAAAGCUUUAAAACUUGUUCCAUGUAUAGAACAAUUUCCAAACAAAUAAAGAAGUUACCCUUCAAACGAGGUAAAAUUUACGUCUAUCACAAUUUGAUCCAAUUAAAGCACUACUUAGUAGUGCCUUCAAGCAAGGGAAAAGGAAAAAAAAAAAAGGAAGUUUCAAUUAAUUCCAGUCCGCACAAUUUGCCGAAGUCCACAAACUUAACGAUUGUUUGGAUUGCAUUUUUCUAGAUUUUUUGUAGAAAAAUACUAUAGGGAUUUGAUAUAUGUAAGGUAAAAAGGUGAUUAAGAAAUGUGUUCCCGGAAACGUAGCAAUUUUUCUUUAGAAAAUUGCUGUCCAAACAAGGCCUUAGGCAACUAAUUACUCCAUCUUCAAAUGACACUGAAGGGUGAAGAGCUAAAGCUUGCUGACUAAUUGAAACCUAAACCAAAAUCCCAGGUACCACCGCAGUAAUAAAAAAUGCACACUGCUUGGAACUGUCAAUCGACUCCGACAAGACAAAGAUCCACAUCCACUAUAGGGAGCAUCAAGAACCCGCACAGCGCACCCGAUUAGAGACCCAACUGCUGAUGCCAACAUCCCAUGUCUCAUAUAGAUUCUCAAGGCUCAUCUAUAUCAUUGCUGUAUAGAAGAUACAUGGCCAGAUUCAGGCCUUGAGCUACGAGGAUGAAGAAGAGGAAGAAGCCGAAGGAGAUUACUUUAUCUAUAUCUACGUCAACGUCGGCAUCGCAAGCCGAACCCCCCAAGACUCUGCUGGCCGGCGGCGGCCUAAGAUAGCGCACAACACUGCAACCACGAAGAUGUAGUUGACAUUUAUUAUGCCAUCAAGGGCUGUCACUUGGAUGCUGCUGGUGCUGCAGGAUGACCUGGAGGAUGAAAGGGAAGAGGUGGCAGAUCCUCUGUUUGCAUCAUUUCCGUGAAGCAAGAAAACAAUCGCCUAAUAGCAUAUUACAGAAUCAGCUGGGCCAUUAGCAGCAUCCUAAACCGUGAGUAUGUCUGCUGUAAGACAAACUGUCCAGCAAAAGACGGAAAGGGAGAAUGCCGUCGCGGUUCCAUGAGUUCAUUACUGCUUCUUGAUUGGUGGAAAGUAAAUGGGAAGUCUAUACUAAUUCAUUGCAGCUGUGCUUGUUACGGUUGAUUUGUUGAACUUCAUUUAAAUCUGUCUCUAGACUGAAAGUUAAGUGAUGAAAGUUGGAAGAGGGUGAAUUCGUGACGAACGGUGUUUUUGUGUGAAGAUAUAUUGGAAAACCUUGACCCUGGAAAAUUCAGUAUGGUUGAUGUGUUAUAGAAACAGCAGUUAAGAUGCGAUGAUGUCCACGUCUGUGCCUCUGAAACCCUUGUAACCAAUAAAAUCGUGGGAACAACAGGUUCUGACCAAAAAUGAUUUUUUGUGAAAUCGCUUAAGCACUCCUGUAAGGAAAUUUUCUACCCAUGUUUCGUUCUGCCUCUAGGACACAAAUGUAAUAUGACAAACUCUUUCUUAUACACGAGAAUAUCAAGUUAGGCAUUAAUAGGAUUCAAGCAACAGAAAAAGGCAAAGAAAAGCAAAGAAAAGACAAAAAAAAAAAGAAGAAGAAGAGGACGAGAGAGAGCAUGUAUGAUAUAUCAUAUAUACAUAAACUGGAAUUAUAACAUCAAAAUAGAUGAAAAAUUGACUGCAGCUUACCGAGGCAGGCAAGUAUUGGUGUAGAUUCCGAGUUGUAUUAUCAUUCAAUCUUCCAUGUCUAACUCAAAAGUAACAAAUAUUCAUUUUUGUGGUUUAACUAGCAUAAAGGUUGUGAUAUUGCCAAUAUCCAAACCUAUUAGCUUGCAGUUUACUACAAUGCUGCACCUCGUUUGCAGCCCAUAUGACAGACGAUAGAUAUCUUCGCAACUCCCAAACACAAGCAAAAUACCUGGCAAUAGUACCCCCAAAAAAAAUUAGCAAAGAAGGGAAAAGGAAGAUUAAAAAUGGAAACAAAGGUCCAGUAUGCAUUAUCAUAAAAUCAAUAAUCGAAUGCUUAAUGGACCAAGCAACAAACAGAUAAGCAUCCAAACUCUUACGACAGGUUACAUUAGCUGUAAUGGAACUGCAUCAUCUUCUUCCACCUCCCUCACAUCCUCAAUUACUCCUCAAGUACAUCUAGUCACGUGGCCAAUGAUGUGCUACUAAUCAUCCAAGAGGGUGGCUAGAAGGUUUUAACUGAAACAGAAAGAGACAGAUACAACCACCAAGUCUACAAGUGUGACCAGAAAAUUUCCCUCUCCUUUCUUUUUCAUUUUUUGUCACCAAUAAUCACCACAAGAACAGAUACCAUUUUCAAAAUGGUGAAACCUAUUGCGAUCUCUCAAGACAAUAUUUCUCCCAGUUAUUUCUGUAAUGAGCUUGAUAGCAGAAUGGCAGUCACUGCAAACCCUCAAAUUUUUUACAACCCUUAUUGUGGUAUGUGGCUUGGUGGAAAUCAAUCCAUAGCAUAUUGCAAGCCUCUCGCUGUGUAUGGCUAAAGCCCACUUUUUCUCUUGAUCCCCAAUAUCCUGUGAAAUCACCUCUGUAUCUGGAGAAUAACCCUUUAACCUCAACAUCUGGUUCAAGUCCUCAAGUUUUUUGUAGAUUUCUUCCCUUUUCGGGUGUCUAGUGUCUCCCAGAAGGAACUCAUGAAUCUCAUUUUCCACUUCAAUAGAACUGCAACCUGGUUCCUUUCGUACACCUCCAUCCUGCAACUUUACCCUUGCUUGUGCCGCUGCUUCCCAUUUUCCCUGAGCGGCAUAGAAAUUGGAGAGAAGAAUAAAGGUAGCUGAAUCGGCAUCUCCAAUGUCAACUAGAACUUGUGCAACUCUUUCUCCUAUAUCAAAAUGCUUAUGAAUUCUGCAAGCGCUCAACAGUGAUCCCCAUAUUAUAUGGUCUGAGGUUAUUUUCAUACUCCAGAUGAACUUGUAAGCAUCCUCGAGAUGACCAACUCGGCCAAGAAGAUCGACCAUGCAUCCACAGUGCUCAAUUUCGGGUUCAAUUCCGUGUUUUGUUUCCAUGCUGUCAAAGAUGUCAAAUGCCAAAUCCACCAAACCACCAUGACUACAUGCAGUCAAAACACCAAUGAAGGUAAUGUUGGUUGGUCUGAUCCCUUUGGUUAUCAUUCCUUGAAACAUCUCAACAGCCUUUCCACUUUUCCCAUUCAACGCACACCCCAUAAUCAAUGAAUUGUAAGUGGUGACAUCUCUUUCUCGCAAAACAUUGAAGAUUCUCUCAGCUUCAUCAAUAUCCCCACACCGUGAAUACAUGGUGAUCAAAGCCGAGCCAACUAAAUGAUUAACAUCAAUAUCAUGCAUCUCCAGGUAAGAAUGAACCCAUUUACCAAGUUCUAAUGCUCCCAACUGUGCGCAUGCAGAUAAGAUGCAAACACAGGUAACUUCAUUUGGUCUCACACCCUCCCUCUGCAUACGCCUGAAAAACUUCAAAGCCUUGCUCAUUUCCCCAUUCCUUACCAAUCCAUCGAUUAUUGCAGUCCAACAAACCGCGUCCUUAAUCCUCACCAAAUUAAAAACAUCAACCGCCUUCUCGGCCAAUCCAUGAUCGCUAUAACACGAAAUCAUUACAGUCGCGGCGACCACAUCUCUCUCAGGCAUUUCACCAAACACCCUCUUCGCAUCUUGAAAUUCGCGGCAUUUCCCAUAAAGUUCUAUUAACCUUAACUUGACAGAGCGGUUUGAGCACAACCCAAGUUUGGUAGCCUGGCCGUGAAUCUCCCUACCAAAUUUCAAUUCCAUUUGAAACCCGCAUGCCUUGAGUACGGAACUGAUUACAUAGUUGUCCGGUAAAAUGAGAUCCUCAACCAUUUGACAGUAAAUUCUAAUGCUGUCAAGAUAUAAUCCAGAUAACACGACGCCAUCAAUGAGGACAGUGUAAAGAUAGACGUUGGGUUCCCGGAUAUGGUGGAAAAUCUCGAAAGCAUAGUUAAUUGAAUUGGUUUUGGAACACAUGCGAAGCAGCUCGAAUACGAUAAAGGGGUCAUUCUGGUGGCCAUUUUUAAGGAUAUUAGCGUGGAUUGGAGGAAUUUCUUUGAAAGUUCUGCAUUUCCGUAACAAAGAUAUGCUACUAAUGUUCUUACUGGCAUUAUCCUGGGAAUCAUUAGAAAGGGUGUUUGAGUAUGGCGGGGCAGGGAAGGUUAGCGCGCUCGCUUGCAGCGUUAAACAACUCAUUACCCAAAGGAUGCAACUUCUCCUUUAUUCCCAAAUUUGAACCAUAAUAAGAGUAAUACUCGUGCUAUCUUGAGGAAAUGGGAAAGGGGACAAAUAAAUUAGAAGAUGAAAUUUUUGUUAAAGGUAUAGUUCGGAAAGCAUGAAUAACGUAAUGACCAAAUCAUCCUUCCGGCUGUAACUCGUAGAAAAGUUGCAACCAUAAAAAACAAGGGAAGGGUGCCGAUUUUACCAGUACUCGUCUCUCCAGAGAGUCCUGUAUCCAUCAAAUGGCAAUCGCUUUCGCUUUCCGUCGUCGCCCAAAACUUUUCUACCUCUUCAAGCAAAUUUCCAUUAUCUCCUCCUUCAUAUCCAUUGACUUCCACCCGUACUUACCUCCACAACUUAUACCUUCUGUUUCUAGCAAUAUGCAGCAGCAGCAUACCACCACUUGUACAAAUCUUCCUCAACCCAAAGCCGUCAGCAUGCUAUGCUAGUCAGUAAUUCAUUCUUGCAUUCACUUGUUAUGAUUAAUCACAUCACUCGUAUGGUCUUAUGCAUGGUUGUUUGCUGUGUUCUGAAAUCACAGAUUUUGUCAUGACAAUUUCCCUUUUUUUUUUCUUGGGUUAUUGGUCAAGGUUUUGAUUAGAUAGCUGGAAGGAUGGUGGAUACAAAGAGGCGGAGAUCAUUAAUGAUUUGCAGCUGCCUUACUUCAGCCUUUAUUCUUUCUGCAGUUCUUCUUGUUGGGAGCGCGUUGCUUCUCACAAAUUAUAAUCAUAAACAAGUCAGUUUUUGAUACUAUUAUUCGCUGUAUUUGUAUUUCAUGGUAUAUGAGAAUGAUUUUAUCAAGAAAGUCACCAAUUUUUGCGGCUUUCCGCUGAGCAGAGUCAUGUUGGAUUGCAAACUAUUGGUGUUGUCAAUACUACAACCUUUCAAACCCCCUGUGAGGUUUGUGAAGAAUUUUCCUCCUCAAUCUUCGCGCCUCUUAGGGAAAAAGGAACUAUUAUUUUUUGUUGCUUUUUCUUAAUUGGUUUUCUUGCGAAUGUGGAUGUACGGUAUAGAAUCAAUGCAUGCCUGAUGGAAGUGAGACAUUGCCUAGAGGUAUUGUUACUAGAACUUCUGAUUUGGAAAUGCGGCAGCUAUGGGGCCCUUCCAAAAAAAAGGUGGGGAUUUCCCUUGCGUAUUGAAUAGCUUGCUUUUCUUUACCGCUCCAAAUCAUACUUGUAGAAUUCGGUUUUUAUCUGUGUUUAGGUUACUUCGCUUUGCUUUAUCUGACCCUGCAAUGCUCUUUAUCCCUCUCUAGAAUUCAAAGUCACCAAUGAACUUGCUGGCCAUUGCAGUUGGACUAAAGCAGAAAGGAAAUGUAGAUCAAAUUGUUAAGAAGGUGAGGCUAAAUCUUCUUGGUUAAAGUAAAUCAAGUUUUAGUUUGUGUCUUACCAUCAACUAUAUCUGAUUUGCAGUUUCCCCCAGCUCAAUUUGUCGUUAUGCUUUUCCAUUAUGACGGCAAAGUGGAUGGUUGGAAAGACUUAGAAUGGAGUAGUAGUGCCAUCCAUGUUUCUGCUAUUAACCAAACUAAAUGGUACUAUUAGUUAUCACUUAUAUGUAACUAACCCUGCUAGUUUUGCCUCAUGUAAGAUACACAGAUUGUUGGUUUUAAGCAACAAGGUGUUUUUACUCUGUCUCCAUUCCUCAGGUGGUUUGCGAAGCGUUUCCUUCAUCCAGAUGUUGUUUCUGAGUAUGCAUAUAUCUUUCUGUGGGAUGAAGAUAUUGGAGUUGAAAAUUUUCGUGUUGGAAGGUAAUCUUAUUUUCAACUCUAUAAAUAGUAAAGCACACAAACAUAUCCAGUAAUCGAUAGGCCUGAAGAUGAUAUGUAUGACUUGCUUCGUAAGUUUGAUACUAUAGCUUUUGGCAAAUUUAAAUCAUACCACUAGAUUCUGACUGAACUUUAUUGAUAUAUUGUUACCAAAGAGUACCUGAGGAACAAAGCAAAUAUCUGAUAAGUAUUUGGACUUGUUAGAAUGGUGACAACAAUCUAUGAUUAAUAUUUGUAACUGAUAGUCAUUACUUCUAACGUGAUGCAGAUAUCUAUCAAUAAUUAAAGAAGAAGGGCUUCAAAUAUCACAACCAGCAAUUGAUCCUGAUAAGUCGGAGGUCCAUCACAAAAUCACAUCCAGGGAAAAGAGAUUAAAAGUGCAUCGGUACUACAUUUCAGUACUAAAAAGUUAUUAGAUUGGAAUUUAGUGGCAUACUGGCAUGUAUCUUGUCUAUGCUUGGAUUAUAUGUAUCUUUCCUGUCUUCAAUCAACAUAUGCUCACUGGUUUUAUUCUGUGAGCAGAAGGGCUGUUAACUUAAGAGGGACUGGGAGAAGGUGUUACGAAAAUAGCACAGAGCCUCCCUGCACUGGGUAUGGUAUAGUGCAUCAGAGAUAUUCUGCAGUAUUAUUUAUCAUUGAAAAAUUUUCAGAUAUUGAAACAGGUUCCUAUACAUCCAUUAGUUAUAAAAGAGGAAAUAUGAACACUUCUUAUACAUUGGCAGGUGGGUGGAAAUGAUGGCUCCUGUUUUUUCACGUGCAUCCUGGCGUUGUGCGUGGUACAUGAUUCAGGUAUGGCAUUUGUAGAUAUAUCAAGUCAUCCAGAAAUCAGUGUGUGGCAGCAUAACCAUUGAAUUUUGUUGAUUAUGCCAUCUAGAUUAGUUUUGAAUUAUUAUUAGCAGAAUUACUCUUGCAUGUUCAUGAUCGUGUUAUGCCAUAGAAAUACGACCUUUUCUUACUGUUGUUUUCAACAGAACGACUUAAUUCAUGCAUGGGGGUUGGAUUUCCAGCUUGGUUACUGUGCACAGGUUUGUCACUGUAUAACAGAUAACUUCCUCUUCUUUUCCUCUUUUUUUCCUCUGGUCUCCCAUAUUAUUGUCUCACACUCAUUGAUAUCUCAAACUUGCUAGCUAUUCCUUUGGUAGGGAAACCGAACUGCAAACAUUGGGAUUGUUGACUCAGAGUACGUUGUCCACUAUGGUCUUCCUACCCUAGGGGGUUCAGCAGUAAAUAAGGUACAAUAUAGCUGGUCAUUUGUAUUUUUUUAGUUCUUUGAAAAGAUUUUUAAUCUUAAAUCUGUGCUUAUUAGUGCCUACAUUUUGCACAUGAAUGCAACUCUUUUAGUCUCAAAGUAAAAGAAUGAUAAAACCAAACCUGUCAUCACAAGGUAAUAAUUAAAAAUCCAAGGCAUGUAAACCAUACAGCAGUGCAACUUAGCCAUUCAUGGCAAAGCAUCUAUCUUUGGAUAUUGAAUAUGUAUAAAAUGGAAAAGGUUCAAAGUUUGAUCUCAUACUAUGGAAUUUAGACAUUCUUUAAUUAAUUGAACAUUGCCACUGUGCUUUGCAAGAAAAUGGACCAGCAUUUUUCUGUUUGAUAUUAUGAAAUAUUAUUUGUUUGCAAGAUUUGAAUAAAGUGGAAGUAUGGGAGAACGGAUUUGUGGUGGGAACAAACUCUGUAGGAACUGUAAUAUCAUUACCUGCAGGUCUCUCUUGUCUUGAGAAAAUUGAGUUGUUCUUGAACAUUUGCAGACAAGUGAAGUACAGGGCCAAGCUUCGAAACAUGGUACCUCACCUGACAAAGGAUCCAUGGUAUGUUUGUGGACAUUUAUGAAAGGGCCAGUGGUACCUUUCUUAAACUUUCAUACAUCCUAAAUGUACUGCAAAUAUUUCAGGUUCCGUCUACAUCUCAUCCUUCUGAUGAUAGAGAUGCAGUAAGUAUCUUUUAACAUCUUUCUAGAAGAAGCUCUGCUAGUUCCUCACCUUGUGCUGCCCCUAAAUUGCGGUCAUAAUUUUUUGGCUGUGAGCUAUAUUCGUAUCUAUUGUACACAAACGUCCAUUUAUCCAACUUUUGCAGGUUCGAAAGCGAUCUUACGCCGAGUUAGAAAUUUUCAAGAACAGAUGGAAAAAGGCAGUGAGAGAAGACAAAUGCUGGAGUAAUCCGUUUCAGUAGCCUGCAAAGCAGAGCAGGGGACUUCGUCUAAUGGAUGCUGAUAGUUCAAGGGAAAUAUACACAUGGAAAAUUAACACUAUAAGCUUGUACCUAAAUUAUAUGUAUUGAUUAUAACAUCACUGAUGACAGGAAAAUUAUUUAUUCGUUAUAGCAUCACUAAUAAAACGCAAAGAACGAAUAGGAAAAUCAGACACGGGGUUUUUGUUGGAUCUUGACAUCCACGGCUUGAAGUGUAUACGGGGUUUUUCUGCACUCUUUGAAGCAGACAGACAGGGAUAAUAAUUUUCUCAAAUUAAUUCUUCAUCAAGUUACAUAUCUACAUUUAUGGUUCCAGAUACAGGAGUCAGAUCACUUUAUGGAGUUCCCGGAAGAUUAAACAACGCAGCUUCAGAAAUCCUGCAAAAUAAGACUUUACCGGCCAACAACUUGAGCAAUAAGUUGCGCCACCUCUUCCCCGCUAUCCUCCUGUACAUGGUGCCCUGCCUGCAAAGGCAAUGGAGUAACUGCAUUUUUUAGUCUUCCGGUCCGGAGUGAGACAGAACAUGGAGAUCAUAACUAAACAUGCUCAUGUUUAAAAAGACCAUUUACUUUCUUCUGAACUGCUCUAAUUGGCCAAGCAGUAUUGCAAUUUUGGGCGUAAUGUUGCUAGUCCACUGCAUGAAAUUACCAUUGGAAGUCUUAUAAGUCGGUGCUUCGAUUCUAUGCAGAAUUCCUCGACUCCGUUGUAGCUUAGCCAGCGGUCUCGUUCGCCCCAAAUGAUUGUUGUGUUAACUUGCCAGUUUUCGUCCAUUAGUAUCCUUCUCAUCUCUUCAAUGUAGGGCUAGGACGCACAAAGGAAAAUAAAUAAAACUUUUGGAACACAAAAUUCGAUCAAAAUAGUCAUUGCAUCACAAAUCUAAUUGUUUUUCCCGAGGAGCUGAAAUCAAUGCAAGAAACAUGAAGCCUUCGAAACAGAAAAAUGUUUUUCCAGUUAGCGCUCAAAAUAAACAAUGACAGAUGACCUAGAUCAAGAACUAGAGAAUAUGAAAAGGUCUAAUUUAUUCUCAAGGCGCUUAAUUUAGAUGUCCCUUGCUUUUAAGUAUUGUGAAAUAGAGAUCUCUUUAUUUAUGCAUUCCAAGAAGUGGAUAAACUGUUACAUGCAUUAAGAAGUAGCAAACCCAACAAAUUUCCAUAUACUAAGAGCUGCUGGCCAUUUCCAUAUUUUAAUUUGUGAGAAAAAAGAGUGCACCUUAAGUUCUUUCUUCAUGGCCCUGCUAAUUGCAUUUAGUGCAAAUCCUGCAGAACCAGACGUGAGGUAAGGUCUCCUAUAAACCAUUGCGACGUCUUCUUUUAUUACGUAUGGGCCACAGCUUGUCAGGGCCUUAUCACUGGCUCUUAGAGGAUCCUGUUGACAGAGAAGUUGCAGUCACUGAAGUGAAACCAAGAAGCUGAUGUUUGCAUAGACUGUAACAUGGGCUCGGCUGGAAUGAUAACAGUCUCACUAACUUUUGUGGUAUCCAUACCUGAGAAAAAAUUUCCCCCAACAGAAAGUUGCUGAAUAUGGAUAAUGUGGACGGGAGAUUGGCAUGCUUGGCUGUGAGCUUUAGAAAGCAGAAACAAGAAUUCAUGAGAGACCUGCUAAGAUCCAUGAACUAAUAAUGAUGAUUGGUCUAUGGACAUCCUACUGUACAUAGAGAUACACGGACAGAGAUGCAUAAUUGCAGAUUCUCUUUGUGUUCUUAGGACACAAUGACAGAAGGAAACAUUAGAAAUCAACAGUAGAUUGGCAAAUAUUUCCAUACUGGAGGGUUGAGAAGUAUGAGAUCAGUAAUCUUUUCUUGACGACUGCUAGCAUAUUUGACCACAACAGGCGAAAAGUAGCCCUACAAAGGAAGUCCAUAAACCAAAAUUUCAAACCAAAUGCACAGAAUUUGAUAUAGAAUUUCUGCUGAGCAUUGGUCAUACAAAUUCUUCAAAAGUUAAGUACCUGGACAACUAGUGUGGCUUUACCCUUGGUGGUUUCAUCUAUAAUAGAUUCCAAGGAUGUCGUAUAUUCUGCAACCAUACAAGGCAUACAAUAGUUUGAGCAGACAGAAUCCAUCUUCAAUGUUACCAAGUUCAAUUUCUUUGUAAGGACAAAAAUAAGUGAUUUUCUCCCUGGGUUCUGAAUGCAAGUACCAUCCAGAGUGUAGUCAAAACCAUAUCUAGGUUGGGGCUUAUCAGAAAAUCCAAAUCCUGCAAGUCCAAGGAGCAUAACAAUUUUGUCAAACUUUAGCUCAUAAUCAAGAUAUUCUGUAAUAACUUCAUUGGCUCAGCAAGCAAAAAAGCAUUGGAAUAGGCAAUGCAGUUGAUUCAACUAGGAUGCAGCAUUUAUCAUAGUGCUAAUAUAAAACCAAUUUGGGAAAAACAAUACAACUGCAGGAAGCUUAGAAGAAGACAAUAUUCAAAAUUCAAGAAAGUAAAUCCUCAACCUCUGUUUGUACUGAAAGCAAAGACGUGAAGCUUACCAAGCCAAUCAAAUGCAAUAGCAUGAUAUUUCUUUGAAAGUAUUGGAAGGACUUUGCGGUAGGAAUAUGCCUGUAUCAGAAAAAAGUGAGCAUGGACGUCAAGUUUACGUGAGGAUUUUAAUAUCAAUCUACUUGUUACAAGGAAGUAAUUGCAUCAGUUGAGAACUCUUUCCACCAAAAAACACAAGGAUUGACUGAAAAAGUUGAUUUCAGAGAAACUGGUAACUAUUCCUCCGACUAAUAUUUUCACACUUUAUAGCAAGAAAACUGCUACCUAUAAAGUAAGAUGAGGCAGUGGGUUAAGAAACAAAUUCAGGCCUGGAAUUUGCAUUUUCCUUCAGUCUCAUUCUUGGGGGCACUUAUAUAGGUUACAUAACAUUUGUAUGAUCUGUAGUACUUGUACAAGACAAGCAUUUGGAUGAUCUGUAGUUUUCUAGAGUGUACAGAAUGAGUGUAAUUGAACACUAACCUGUGAAGGAAAACCAUGAAUUAACACAAUGGGAUGAUUGUCAGCACUUCCGCUGUCAACGCAAAACCAUCUAUUGUACAAAAUCAUAUACAGAGAGAGCAUGUUUCAAUCGGUAAUCCCUGCAAACAAUCCAUCCAAUAAAACAAUAUUCUGCAUAAGAUCGAGAGCUAUUCCCGUUACAGUGCUUAGCCAUGUUGUUUUUGCCUCCUUACCACACACUUUUGUACAAACUAGAGACUUUUCGAAGUUACCUGAAAAGAUCAGAUGAGGUUUGUGAACCACCUCCCAUUGCAAGACCAAAGAUGGGAUCCUUGGCCUUGUCACCAGUACCCCCAACAGGAUGUGCUUUUACCUGUAUCAGCAACAAGCAUUACCAGGUUUUGAAAUUUGAAGGGGUACUAAAGAUUCUAACUCUAAACGUGAUGGCCGGGAUUAUUAUGCCAAUUUCCGACAGGAAGAAGAGAUUAGAAACAUGCUGACUUUAAAAGAGAGCAUACAAUCUUUCCUUGCUCGAACCAUUCAUCAGCUGGACUUGGCUCAUCCGAAUAUUUUCCUAUGCAGAAGAAAACAAUAGCCAAUUCCUACUAGAACCAUUAGUUUAGUUCAAUAUAGCUUUUUGAUUGAUAUUCACGAAAGAGGGGAUGCAUCCAGAGUCAAUUUUAGAUUUUACCUCCACUAAAAGAAAAGCCAUCUCCUACUGAAACAGGAGCAUCCAAGUAAUAAUCCUGAACGAGCAUUGACAAACAAACUAAAUGAAUAAAUAGGAACUCUUGAACCAUGCAUAAUAAAAUGCCAAAUGAAGCACGGGACAAAUGCUGUACUGUACGGCUGUACCUCGUUGCUCUCAUCAUUGCUUGACCGGCAAAAAAGUAGGGAAUGCUUCUGCUUCUUCUUCUUGAGGAUACCUUGGGGCAUUAUUGUUGGUUUGAGAAACUGGUCUGAAGGGGAUGCAAUGGGAGAAAGACGGAGCAGUUGCAGGCUGCAGAGAGAAAGCAGAGAAGAAGAAGAAGAGCAGAGCUGCAGAGCCAUGAAAAGAUGCAGGGAAAUUCCAGAAGUCCAAGCAAAGAAAUUACUAAAGAGUAGGGGAUUUGAUUAAUGAUAGGAAGCGAGUGCUUCAGAGUUCAGAGUUAAUAUUGGCGGCUGUGACAGUUAUAUCUUUCGGGCAAAGUUUUUGCCUGCUACAAGCUGUGCCAAAAAUCGGUAGUAUGACUGGAUAUGGUGAAGCCAACAGCCCAACCAAUCUCUUGGACUUUGAUCAUCAAGACACCUUUAAAGUUUCGGCCGAAGUUGAAGGUCAAGGUUUAGUUCUUGCCUCCCACCAGCCACUAGGUGUGGUUUUCCCUUCCUUUCCCUUAGAUUAGAUUAGGAGUGUGCAUCGAAAUCGAUAAUUCGAAAAUUUGAAUUCGGAAUUUUUCGAAAUUUUGAUAUCUGAUAAUUCGACUGAAUUUGAUUUCGAAUUUACCAAUUCCGAAUUCGAAUUCGUACCGAAUUCAAUUUGGAAUUAGGUAAAUUUCGAUUUCACCGAAUUCGGAAAAAAUUAUAUAUUAUUAUAUAAUAUAAAAUUAUAUUAUAUUAUAUUAUAUAAAUUUUAUAUAAUAUUAUAUAGUAUAAAUUUUAUAUUACAUGUAUAAAAAAUAUAUUUAUAUAUUAAAAACGAAUUUGAAAUCAAAAUCGGAAUUCGAAUUCCGAUUUCGAAUUGUGAAUUCGAAAUCGAAAAUUCCGAUUUGAAAAAACUCCAUUAUCGAAUUCGAACCAAAUUCGAAAUAUAUGAAUUCGGAAAACCCGAAUUCGAUUCCGAUUUUCAAUUUACCGAUUUCGAAAAUUCCGAAUUCAAUUCGAAUUCGAUUGAUAAAUUGGAAUUUUUCGAUUUUGCACACCCCUAGAUUAGACUAGAAUAAAUUAUAUAAACUAUUAUUUUUAUGAGCCAAAAAAAAAAAGACUGGAUAUGGUGAAGGUUCUUCUUCUUCCUUUUUUUUUUUUUUUUGUUAAUAGAUAGGAGAUUUCUGGUUCUCAAUUGUUUAGAAACAGCAACAUCAUAGUACUGGCGAAAGACCUAACGUAAUUGUUAAACAACAGGAGGGGUAGCAUUAUUUGGUUUAUUCGUUGAUCCUUGAUCCUUUAUCAAAUUGAAUUACAAUCAUUUGCCCUUUUGAUCCUUUAUCUCAUGCAAGGCCAGAAUCAAUUCAAAUUUAUCAUAAAAGAGUUCCAUGGUACAAUAAAAGGUUUAUGAGUCACAUCGUUUCUGUCUAAGGAAAAAACAACGAACAUUUCCUAUCGUUUGCCAAAUAUAAAUAUUUUUUUAGAAGAAAUUUGGAUGGAUUCAGUUUCGAUUAUCAUCACGGAUCAGAACAUAUCAAAUAUAAAAAUGAUAUGCGUUGAUAUUUCCCCUAACUGUUGUUGUCCGCUAGUAAGUUUUGCCCGUCCGUGUAACCUUUAGAGUAUCUCUUAAAUAUUUAAAAAAAAAAAUCUUUCGCGUGACUCUACUCAAUUUUGUGAAAGUUCAUACUACAAACUACAUAAAUUUACUUCCAUAGCAUUGUAAAACAAUAAUACCAACAAAGGACUCAACAUAAGUUGAUUAAUUCAGUAAGGUAAAUAAAUACCUUUAUGAGCAACAUAUAAUAAUAUUAUUAAGAGUAUAUCUCGAUCCAUGGUUGAUCUUCAACUAUGAAUCUUCAGAGUGUAUUUUCUUGUUGAUCUUGGCAUGUAGAUUAUACUCGAUGUAAAAGAUCAAGAACGGCAAAAUUCAUCAGGCAUCAUCAAUGUCAAUUGUACAAAUGAUUAAUCCCUUAAUAUAAAUAUACAACUUUCAUUUUCCAUCGAGGAAUCAAAAUAGUUACAACAUCAAAAAAAUUACUUAAUGUAGUAAGGAAGGUCAAGGACAUAGAGAAGGAAGUAAGCCCAGAUGACACCAGAGAUCCCACCAAAGAAGAACCCUCCACUGAACUUAGCCCAUCCCUCAGCAGUCUGCAACUGGUCAGGCUCCUUCUUCCUGCCGGUCAAGGUCAGUCCCGGGGCAGUUGAGGGCUCACCCUCGUUGAAGGAUGCGAUGCCAUACAUUGUCAAGCAAAUGCUGAGGAUGAUGACAAGCCCAGCAGCUGCGAGUGAACCGGCUGGACCUUUGAUGUCGGUGUUCCUCAGCGGGCCUGUAAUCACGAACGGGCCAACCAAGAGGUACCCAUGGGCUAGGCCGACCUCAAUUCCCCUGAGAAGCGGGCUCACCGCUGUCCUGUAACCUGGGAGGUUGGAGAGGAACCAAGCGACUAUGGGGCUUGAUGUCACCGGGGUCUCAAGGCUUCCGAUGAACGGAUCGCCAUUCAGGGGCUGAAUUACUUGAUAAGUUGGCUGCAAUGCAAUAUGUGGACGAGGUUCAACAUGACACCAUCAAAUCAAAAUCCUUAAUCAAAGCCCAAAAUGGCAAAGUGUAAUUAGACAAUUAGCUUUUAAUUCAAUAUCAUUGGUACCAUAAAAAAUAAAGAAGGUGACAUGCUACUACUAUUGGCAAUCUUAACGAGCAAAAAUUAUGGUUCAGUUUUCAUCGAUUUUCCUAUAUUCAAUUGGGUCUUCAUCUUAUAUCAGGAUAAUGUAGAAUACUACAUAGAUAAAGUAAAUAUGGGGAAAAAAAAAAAGGAGCAAAAGAUGAACUUUCUGCUGAUGGGCUCCGAACAAUACUCUCUGAACUUUUUAACCCAUUGAUUUGUUUGCAGGCUAAGAUUAAGAAACCAAGCACAAAAUGAAGAUUCUUUACCUUCUCCGAUUGGAUAGCUUUGAUGGUGAAGCAAGACUUCCUCCUUGAGGGUAAGACUCUGAAUGGAGCUGCAGAGAUGCCCUUUGGGGUAGCCAACCUAGUUGUCAGGGAUGAAGCAAGGCUGCUCUGGAGCUGGCUGGCCAUGGUGGUGGAUGCAGCAGUUGCCAUUUGGAGCUGUUCUUAGAUUCCCUAUAUCCAGAACAAGAAUAUAACUGAGCAGCGAGCAGAGCAAAAGGGGUUUCGUAAUUUCUGACUGGGAAUUGAAUAUCUUUUGCUCACAAAUGCGUGGUUCCAAGUGAUGAAUAGCUUUACAUGGAUGAUUUUCAUUGGACAAAUGGGGUUUGGAACCUUAUCCCUUAUCCACAUUCUCAACUAUUGAACAGCUGACUGGGUUGCAUGUGGGCUGUGUUCAUUCACUGAUUCACUUAGCUUUCAAUUCUUUUUCAUUUACUUUCUUUUUUUCCUAUAAUUUGUUUGUCCCAAAUUUGUCCCUUUUUAAGACAAAAAAAAAAUCUUUAGAAAAAAUGGAGGGGGGGGGGGGGGGGAGGAGGAAAAAAAAAAGAAACCUAACAAUUGAGCACUUCGUACUGAAUAGGCUAAAAAACCUUUUAACAAUUUAAAAAAGAUACAUUUUGAUAUCUAUUACUUCUAAAAUUCAACAAUUAGCGAAUGAAAGGUGCUUGACUUAAACUAAUUUUAUAUGAUUUUUUUCCUAGUUUUCCAAGAUGUGGUAUGCUGACCAUCCCCUAUUAACUUUCUCAGUUAAAAAGGAAUGCUUAAUUUCACCGUUUCAUCCUAGGACUUUGUCAAAAACUACUUGCCAUCUCUAGUUCAUAGGAUAUAUCUUUAUUAGUCUUUUUUUUUUCACUAAUAAUUCGGCAAUGUCAUAUUGAAGGGAUUAAUAAAAUGGUUAUUUACACUGUUAGCCUCCUCGAGUUUCAAGUAAAAUGAUAUAUUUUGAAAUUGAGAAAUGUUAGUUGCAUUUUACUCUUUUUUUUUUUUGUUGAAACUUUUACUUAUGUUAUUGUUUAACUUGUUUUUCAAAUUGAGUCAUUCAUUUAGUGGCCUAGAGUUUAGGAAUUUGCUGUACGUUAGAGUCUUUCAGUUAUGACUUAGUCAGCAGAUUCAGUGGCUUAGUGGUCUAGUCUUUAGGAGUGGUGGGGUUGUGGAGAAGGUGCCAGAUAUGGGACCUGAUCUUAAGGGAUUUCAGUUGUGUGUUUUGCCUAUUUAAAGGCUCCAAAGCUUAUGAUUAAAUAUGACUUUUUGGCCACAGACUACUGUUAUCUUUGCUAUUUCUUAUCAGUGGUAUCAGAGCUACAAGAUUCCUGAGAGUGAAACACCUGAAAUUAUCUACUCUUCCCCGCUACCCUAUCCAAAUGGCCAAUGACUCAAAUUUUGUGCAAGCCGCCAUCCCUCGCUUUGAUGGUCACUAUGACCACUGGAGCAUGCUCAUGGAAAAUUUUUUACGGUCCAAAGAAUAUUGGUCAGUAGUUGAAUCUGGAAUUCAAGAACCACCAGCAGGUGCAACCGUGACAGAUGCUCAGCAAACAGACAUUGAAGCUAGAAAGCUCAAAGACUUGAAAGCGAAGAACUAUCUCUUCCAGGCUAUUGAUCGUCCCAUCUUGGAGACUAUUCUUUGCAAAGAUACAUCCAAGGAUAUUUGGGAUUCAAUGAAGAAAAAAUAUCAAGGCUCUUCUAGAGUGAAGCGUGCACAGCUUCAAGCCUUGAGGAGGAAUUUUGAAGUUUUGCAGAUGAAGGAUGCGGAAUCUGUUACAAGCUUUAUUGGAAGGACGAUGGAAAUCGCAAAUAAAAUGAGAUGCUAUGGAGAAGAGAUUAAAGAUGUUAACAUAGUAGAAAAAAUUCUGCGUUCUAUGACGCGAGAAUUUAACUAUGUUGUUUGCUCAAUUGAAGAGUCAAACGACAUAGAUGACCUCUCUCUUGAUGAAUUGCAGAGCUCCUGGUUAGUCCAUGAACAGAAGAUGAAUCGAAGCUGGACAACAGAGGAACAAGCUUUAAAAGCUUCUACCAACACUCGCUCCAACAGCUCAAGAGGAAGAGGUAGAGGCCGAGGAAGAGGAAGGGGAGAUCGAGAUCAUGACAAAUCUAGAGUAGAGUGCUUUAGAUGUCACAAAUAUGGUCAUUAUGCUUCUGAAUGUGUCACUGAACUGCCAAAGUAUAAAGAAAGAGAGGAGAACUCAAAUUUUGCAGAAGAAACGAAUGAACCAGAAACUUUGUUGAUGGCUGCCCAUGAAGGAAAAAAGAUUGAGUCGAAUAUUUGGUAUGUCGAUACAGGCUGCAGCAAUCACAUGAGUAGAAGUAAGUCUUCUUUUUCGAAUCUAGAUGAAAGCCUUCACUCUACUGUCAGUUUUGGUGACUUCUCUACUGUGAAAAUGAUGGGAAAAGGUGAUGUUAAGAUACAUACUAAGAAUGGCCUUGUGAAAACAAUUUCUAAUGUGUUGUAUGUUCCUGAUUUGAAAAGUAAUUUGUUGAGUGCUGGUCAGUUGCAAGAAAAGGGGUAUGUCAUUACAAUUAAGAAAGGCACAUGUGAAAUUUAUGAUCCUGAUAGAAGAAGUUCUAUUGCAACUGUCCAGAUGAGUUCUAACAGAUUAUUUCCAAUAGAAAUUGAAAGCAUUCAAUCUUGUUUGAUGGCUGAGGUAAAGGACCCCUCAUGGUUGUGGCACUUUCGUUAUGGCCACUUAAGUUUUGGUGGACUGAGGGCUCUACAACAGAAAACCAUGGUGACAGGGCUUCCGGAAAUUACUGUUCCCUCCCUAGUCUGUGAAGACUGUGUUGUCAGCAAACAACACCGUUCUCAGUUUCCCAAAGGAAAGUCUUGGAGAGCAAAGGAUGUGUUAGAGCUGGUGCAUUCAGAUAUUUGUGGCCCAAUAAACCCAUCGUCUAAUGGAGGUAAAAGAUACUUAAUUACCUUCAUUGAUGAUUUUUCACGGAAAACAUGGGUUUAUUUUUUACAGGAAAAAUCAGAAGCUUUUACUAUGUUUAAAAGGUUCAAAGCUCUUGUGGAAAAUGAAGCAGACAAGACUAUUAAGUCUCUUCGAACAGAUCGGGGUGGCGAGUAUUGCUCAAAAGAAUUUGAAGGUUUUUGCAUGCAACAUGGCAUUUGAAGAGAACUUACAGCUGCACAUACACCACAACAAAAUGGUGUAUCAGAGCGGAAGAACAGAACAAUUCUUAAUAUGGUGAGAACUCUAUUAACAAGGGGAAGAGUUCCAAGGACUUUUUGGCCGGAGGCUGUAAACUGGAGUAUUCAUGUUUUAAACAGAAGUCCAACUUUUGCCGUUCAAAACAAGACUCCUGAAGAGGCUUGGAGUGGAAGAAGACCAGCUGUAGAUCACUUUAGAAUCUUUGGUUGCCUUGCUUAUGCCCACAUCCCGGAUGCGAAAAGAAAAAAACUUGAUGACAAAGCUGAGAAAUGCAUCUUUCUUGGCGUAAGUGAAUCCUCCAAAGCCUAUAAAUUAUUCAACCCACUGACGAAGAAGAUUGUGACCAGCAGGGAUGUUGUUUUUGAAGAAGAGAGCACCUGGGAUUAGGAUGGGCAGCAGCCUAAACAAGUCUUUUAUGAUGAUGAUGCUAAACAGGAGCAAGUUCCAGCACUUGACAUGCCACAAAACUCUUCAGAUACAACUCAAACAACUACUGGAAUUUCACAACCAGUUGUUGAAGUAAAUGAAGAAGGAGCCCAGUCAGUUGGUCGAGUUAGAAGAAGGCCUGCUUGGAUGGAAGAUUAUGAGAUAACUGGGUUAAGUAAUCCAAUUACUCAUUUUGCUUUGUUCGCAGAUUGUGAUCCUACAACUUUUGAGAGUGCCGUCAAAGAAGAAAAAUGGCAAAAGGCAAUGGACGAUGAAAUCAAUUCAAUUGAGAAGAAUGACACUUGGAAGUUGUGUGAUCUUCCUAAGGGGCACAAAACCAUUGGUGUCAAAUGGGUCUUCAAGACAAAGCUAAACAAAGAUGGUGGUGUUGACAAGUACAAAGCACGCCUGGUGGCAAAAGGAUACAAGCAGCAGUACGGGGUUGAUUAUACAGAAGUAUUUUCUCCAGUUGCAAGACAUGACACGAUCCGAUUGGUGGUUGCAUUAGCAGCGCAAAAUUCUUGGCCUAUCUUCCAGCUAGAUGUCAAAUCAGCAUUCUUGCAUGGGUAUUUGGAGGAGCAGGUAUUUAUUGAGCAACCCCCUGGCUAUAUUAAAGUUGGGAAUGAGAAUAAAGUGUUCAGACUGAAAAAGGCUCUUUAUGGACUAAAGCAAGCCCCGAGGGCUUGGUAUAGUCGAAUUGAGACUUAUUUUCUUAAAGUUGGUUUUAUAAAAUGUCCUUAUGAACAUACAAUGUUUGUUAAGAUUGAAGAUGGGGGGAAGCUUCUCAUAGUUUGCCUGUAUGUUGAUGAGCUUAUAUUUACUGGAAAUUGUGAUACCAUGUUUGGUGAAUUCAAGAAAUCCAUGAUGAAUGAAUUUGAAAUGACUGAUCUUGAUUGGAUGCAUUAUUUUCUUGGCAUAGAAGUAAUGCAAUCAGAUGAUGGAAUUGUCUUAUCUCAAACGAAAUAUGUGGGAGAAAUUUUGAAUAGAUUUCAUAUGAAGGAUUGCAAUUCCGUAAGUACUCCAAUUGAAUGUGGCAUGAAGCUACACAAAGAUCAUGAUGUAAAGAAGGUUGAUAGCACACUCUACAAGCAAAUUGUGGGCAGUUUAAUGUAUCUUACUGCAACAAGGCCAGAUAUAAUGUACUCUGUGAGUUUAAUCAGCAGAUAUAUGGAAAGUCCCACGGAGUUGCAUUUGUUAGCUGCCAAGAGAAUCCUUCGUUAUUUACAAGGAACUCGAAACCUGGGGAUAUGCUACAGGAAGGGUGAAAAAUCUAACUUGGUGGGUUAUACUGAUAGUGAUUAUGCAGGAGAUCAAGAUGAUGGAAGGAGUACUUCUGGCUAUGUUUUUAUGCUUGGAACAGGUGCAAUCUCCUGGUCAUCAAAGAAGCAAUCAAUUGUCACCUUAUCCAGUACAGAAGCUGAAUUUGUUGCAGCUACGGCUUGUGCUUGCCAAGCCAUAUGGCUAAGAAGAAUACUUGAGGAAUUGCAGUUCAAGCAAUGUGGAGCUACUAUAAUACUAUGUGAUAACAGCUCUACAAUCAAGUUAUCAAAGAAUCCAGUGCUCUACGGAAGAAGCAAGCACAUUGAUGUGAAACUUUAUUUUUUGAGAGAUCUUUGCAAAGAUGGAACUGUUGAUUUGAUACAUUGUAAGAGUGAUGAUCAAGUUGCUGAUAUAUUCACCAAGGCGCUCAAGAGAGAAUCGUUUGUGAAACUCAGAGGAUUACUAGGUCUCUACAACCUAGGUUCAGUCAAGGUUGUAAACUGAUGUUUACUAACAUCAGUUUAAGGGAGGGAUUGUUGAAACUUUUACUUAUGUUAUUGUUUAACUUGUUUUUCAAAUUGAGUCAUUCAUUUAGUGGCCUAGAGUUUAGGAAUUUGCUGUACGUUAGAGUCUUUCAGUUAUGACUUAGUCAGCAGAUUCAGUGGCUUAGUGGUCUAGUCUUUAGGAGUGGUGGGGUUGUGGAGAAGGUGCCAGAUAUGGGACCUGAUCUUAAGGGAUUUCAGUUGUGUGUUUUGCCUAUUUAAAGGCUCCAAAGCUUAUGAUUAAAUAUGACUUUUUGGCCACAGACUACUGUUAUCUUUGCUAUUUCUUAUCAUUUUUAUCAUUGUGACACUCCACCAAUUAUCUUUUUUUUAUUAUACAGUCUAAUAAAUGAAAACCAUACAAUAAAAAUAUAAUCAAUUAAUUCGAGAAUGCCAUAGCAAAUUGAUGUAUAUGUUUUAUUACAGAGUUACUGUACAUGUAAAAAUGUAGAGGUGAAGAAAUAGAAGACAAAUUAGAAAGCAAGAAACUAGAGCGUAGCCGCAAAUUUGUUUCCCUUGAAAUCGUUUCAAUCUCACGACGCUUAGCCGAUUUCUCCAUAUAGCAGUUCUUCCAAGUAGCUGAGUUUGAACCGAAAUCGUGCCAAGCCCAGCAACAUGACUCGCCAGCCGAACGCGAGGGCAACCAAUUGUCUUGAGCUACCCCGCUAGACCCUAUCCGAAGAAUUUGUCUUCCCUAUUCCUUACCCUUUUUCCUCCAAGCUCCCUCCGCCCGCAAACAGGCCCACGACUACCCCAGCGCCUCCUCAAGAAAUGCAAAAACCUUUGUGAUGUUGUCUGCAAAAGCAGCUAUGUACUAAGGAAGAUGGCACACAAUAUUCUGAAGCUGCCGUUUACACAAAAAAAAUUUCUGAAGCUGCCCAUAUCACUCAAUUCUGGUUCUUUGAUUAAUUUAAGAAGGAGGAGCCUUUUCUUUUCGUCGAAACUACUCUGUCCUCUUCCACAUUUCUCCGGUACUUUCUUGUUUUAUGCUUUCCUCCCAACCCCUUUCAAUCACUCUUGCGCUACCCCACUUCGUCUUUUUCAAUAAUGCUAUUUCUGAUUUAUGUUCUAUGCUCUAAUAACUAUUGAUUUUUCUGCAAUAGCGAUAAGCUGGCUUCAACUUAUUUCGUCUUUCACCAAUAAUUGUUUUAAAAAUUCAAACUUUUCUGCAAUGCUUAACUAGUAUAGGGAAGUGUUCUGUUAUUAGUUGUUUCGGACCGCAGUUAAGACCUUCCUCUGGAAUCCCAACUGCCGUUUGGCACUGCUUGGCUUGAUUUUAGUGUUUCGUUAUAGCGUGUCAUUUUGACAUUAUAAUUGGGGCUAGGACUUCUGGAGGAUAGCUUUAGUUGUCUGUAAUUCAUGUUUCAGUUAGUUUGUUCUCUUGGUUCUGAGCGCUUCUCUAAUUGUUUGGAUCAGUAAAAUGGUCCAAUGCCCACAUGCAUUGUCGCGUCAGAGGCUUUGCUGCUGUGAAGUCGGGAAAGAUUCAACCACAGAAAAAGUAUCCUCUCGCUCUCUCGCCCUAUCAUCUUUGUUUAUGAAAAUCCUGCCAAUAUCAUGUUAUAACUUGAAAAGUCUUGUUGAUCAAACAAGAACUAGUUUGUACUUCUCUAUAUACGGUUGUCUUCCAAUUUAAAUACUUAAAACCUCCCCCCGAUUUUUCUGCCGCUAGAAGCAGCUCUUAACAAAUUAUUGUAAUAAACAGAAAGGACCACCCUUAGACAUUUGGCUUCACAGAUGCCCUUGAUUCCCUGAAAUUGAAUGAUCUGAAGGCUCAUGCUUAACACCUUUUUUAUGUGUUGGGUUUUGUUUACUAUUAUCUAAACGAAAAGCCAAGUUAUUUUUGCUAAACAUGCAUGUAUGAGUCUUAAAAUCCUUUUCAUACACUUUUCUUUAUAGCUUCAUUUCUCCAUUUUCAGGAAAAAGAGAUUGGAUGAAAUAUGUCUCGAAAGAUUUCAACAAUACAGUCGGACAUUCAUACAGUCAUGGAUCCUGCAAGGUUUGUUGCUUCCUUCAGCUGCCUUUUCUAUGCUUUACUGUAAAUUAUGAAAUUGCAUUUUCUUCUCAUGAUAUUUUGUUUCCGUUCUCCUUAGGUUUCAAUGAAUAUUCUUUUGUUCAAUUUGGCUGUUUUCAAAAUUUUGCAAUCGUUUUUACACCUAGAUUUUGAUCUUGUCAACUGACUAUUCCUCACACUUGAUUUUGCCAUUUACAGGCAAAGUAUUUGUUGAUGGAAAAGUUGUAUAUAAAGCUGGAACUCCCAUCCCUGAUAAAGCUGUUGUAGUGAUCAAGGCAGAAAUUCCUAAAUAUGUAUGUAGGUGAUUACUCCCAAACAAGGCAUCUUUUUGCUUCUGUACCAUGUGGUAACUUUUCAAAUGCCAUAUUACUUAUUUUACCUUUUCUUACCAUGAUAUUCAGAGCUGGACACAAGUUGGAGGCUGCCAUUGAACAACUUGGUGUUGAUGUCAGCGGGAAAGUAGCUCUUGAUUCCGGAUUGUCUACUGGAGGGUUUACAGAUUGCUUACUUCAGUAUGGUGCUUCUUAUGUUUAUGGAGUAGAUGUUGGAUAUGGACAGGUUUUCUUUCUAAAAAUCAGAUUUUUUGCUAUUCUAGGUCUUAUGCAUAAAAUAUAUACGAAAUUACUGAAUAGAGUGCUAAUACAUAAAAUUUCCUUGCAUCAUGUUGUUAUGCUCUGACGUAAACCUGAAGUCCACUAUAAAGUGACUUGUGCAUUGAUGGGUGAAUAGAGGAGAUUUGUGGGUAUAUGAUAGUUUCAAUUUUCACUUAAUCACAAUAAUCCAGUCAAGAUGAAGGCUUGUUGUUCUGUGAAAGAAUAGUAGAAUAGAAAGAUUACAAAGCUAUAUCAUUAAUGAAUGGUAAACUGUGAUGAAAAAUUGUGCAAAAUACCUCUAUAUUUCUCCUUUUUUUAGGUUUAUCCAUAAGCUAAUGGCUCCAAGUUUGAUGCCGCGAUAGCUUUUUUUUUGGUGUGUCUCUUUGCUGAUUGUUUGAUUGGUUGAAGUUCGUUGUUUUUGUAUUAGGUAGCAGAGAAAAUCCGCCAGGAUGCGCGGGUGUCUGUGAUAGAGCGGACAAAUUUAAGAUAUCUUUCGGAACUCCCACAAAAGGUUGAUUUAGUGACUUUGGACCUCUCGUUUAUAUCCAUACUCUUGGUAAGCUUGUUCUAUUGCUGCAUGACUUAAAUCAUGAUGUUUGACUGUGUAUUGGGUAUAGAUUUCCCAGGUUUGAUACAUGUUCAAUUCAUAAUUUUGUUUCCUUUCUCCAGGUGAUGCCUGCUGUGGUCAAUGUGAUGAAGGAAGAAGCUACUCUAGUUACUCUAAUUAAACCUCAAUUUGAAGCUCGUAGAUCCCAAGUAUGCGAAUCUUGAUUUUGUUUCUACUUGAUGUUGUGUGAUACAUGUCUCUGUAUUUAUUUAUUAUUAUUAUUUUUGGAAUCAGUUGAUUGAAUUUUGUGUCUAUUGAAAAAAUAGAUCACAAUUUGAUGAAUGGGGUCUAUGAUAUAUACUAGAGCUUUGAUGAAGUGGUUCUGCAUGGUAGGAGUUGUCCUGUUCAUUUUUCCUCUCUUAUCUUAAAUCUGGAUGAAAAUGGAAGACAUUUGAGCUUCAUGUGAUCAUAUCAGUGUUAGCGUGAUCCCUUUCCAGGAACUUUACAGCCUUGCUAUCUCUUGAUCCCUUACCUAUGUAUUACUGGUAGCUCUAUUUAUGUAAAGUCCAGCAUCAUCAUUCCUACCCUAUUUGAGUUUCGGCCAUCUUUAUGCAAAUGUUUUGCUAGUCUAUCUUGUUUGGUAUUUGUUUCUGAUUUUGGAGAUUCAACUGUCCUUCAGGUUGGAAGUGGUGGCAUUGUGAGAGAUCCAGCAGUGCAUCAAGAGGUACGUGUUAACUGAGGGAUAAAAUUGUGCAAUCAAUCAAAUUGGAGCUGAAAUUUUCCUUUAUUUUUAUUUCUUCUACCAUUUUGUGAACUUGUCUAUUAGCUUCUUUUGAAUAAUGGCUGAAGUCUUUUUCAUUUCUUCAUAUUUGCAAGUUCUCAUUGUUGAGCAAAUACAGUAGUUGAUCGCCCUGGUUCUGAGUUGCUGCGUCGUAUCUUGUACAGGUGCUUGACAAAAUCAUAAAGGGUGUGGAAGAUUAUGGCUUCAGUUGCAAGGGUUGGAUUGAGUCUCCCUUAAAGGGUGCGGAAGGUAAUGUAGAAUUUUUAGCUUGUUUUUGUCGAACCGCGGUGUAAUUCUGAUCCUUCCGAGCAGAGAAGCAACGCGAGGACUCAGCGUCUAAUGGGCUCUGCCUUAUUGACUUGCAUGACUGCAUUUUUCAUAUGGGUCUGCCAUUCGCAAUACAACCUCAUCUUGCUUAACAAGUCUGGGAAUAGGCAAUUACAUGAGGUCCCAUAGGUUGAUUUUUUCCCGUGUUUCAUUGUGGGGCUUGUAGUUCAGUAGAUCUGUUAGAAUUAUCAAAUUCGAGUCUGCUUUUGGAGCACUGAACGCAGCUUCAUUCUCGCAGACAAAUCCCAUUGUUUUGCAAUAUCAGUACAGUUGGCCUGUCUCCCUGGAAAUCGAUUUAUUACCUUUUUCUUGGCAAAAGAUUGAAUGCUCCUAUUAUUGGGUAAUUUUUUGCUGGACAACAUCAAACUAUGAUUCAAAAUUUAAACCAAGGAUGGGAAGUGUAAUCAUUGUAUAACGAUGUCUAUGUAACUACCACUGCAUUCAUGUCAUUUUUGGAACAACUUGAAUCAGCGGAAAUCCAUUUUGGGGCCUUUCCUUUGUGUUGGAAAGGAACAAAUGUAACAAAAGGGAAUGUAGUCUGGUUAAGAAGAUCAAACUGUACGAUUAGCUAUACAGGAUAAUUAGUCAUAUAACGUUUAAUUACCAAUGGAACUUAGCAUUUCAAAGGGUAUUUUAAGACCAAAGACUUGGCCAGCUACGGAGAACCAUGAGACCAGAUACUUGGCAACUGCAACUCCACCAUCAUCCACCGCAGGUUCAUGGCUAAAGAGCAUCUUCAUCCACUCGCUGGUUCCACAAGGAUGUAAUGUAUACCAUGGACAAUUCAAGUAAGGGUGAUCCUGCACUUAGUCUUAUAUUAUGAGCUACCACAAAGAAGAUAUAAGAAUAGUCUUCAAAAGAAUGAAGUUUUUUUAAGAAUCUCUUUCCGUUCAAUUCACCUUUAUUUGGAGAGAAGCUACUCAUACCAAGAAUGUACAUGAAACUAGAAAGCAUCAAACACAUAAUUCUUGAAAACAUGUCUCCCAUAAAACUAUUCAUACUUCAAGAAUUGGAGAAAGAAGAUUGAUCACCUCCUGAGUAAUAAAUGUCCAUUUAGAUAGCAUUAGGAGUUUGGCAGAGAUAGCAGGAAUGCUCUUCUCAACAUCAUCUAAGACCAGUGUUCGUCCAUCUACAUGCCCAAAGACAAUCCUUAAGAUCCUAAAAACUCAAAAGUUUCUGAACUUGUUUGUAGCUCAAAAUUUGUAAGAAUGAACUAACCACUGCAGUAGGCACGGAAGUAUAGCACUGGAACUCUAUAUGAAGCAUUGUAGACAACGUGGAAGUCAUAGUGAUGGCUUGCGUCAUCAUGAUUUUGCAACUGACGGAGUUGAAAUGAAAAUUUUAGUGCACAAACAAUAAAGUAAAUGAAUGCGAACAGCACAAAUGAUACAUCUUUUGUAGAAGUGGCAGUCCUCGCUGCUCCUUCAAUGAAGCUGAGAAACACUUGAACCAAUUCCUCAAGCUAUAUGUAAAUAAGAAGCACGUUGAAAUGAAAAGUUUAGUGCACAAAACAAUAAAGUAAAUGAAUGUGAACAGCACAAAUGAUACAUCCCUCACUGUUCCUUCAAUGAAGCUGAGAAACACUUGAACCAAUUCCUCAAGCUAUAUGAAAAAAAGAAGCACGUUUACCGCAUGGGUUAUUUACACCAGUAAUGCCAUUUGAGUUCAAAUUAAAAAAAAAAUUUGAUAAUUUUAUUCUAUUUCCAUAAAUAUAAAAUUUGACUUAUUGACUUUGAAGUUUGACCACGAAUGUCGAUUUCCAAGAAAUCUAUUCUCCUUUAUCCCCUUGGCUAUUUACAUUUCUCCUGCUUCUUCUUUUGCAAUUCCCACAACGCUCUCAUAGGCACAAUCAAACACACAUUACAUCCAUGUGGUGCACCACAAAUCCACGAUAACUAAUCCCAAUAACUGAGUGAUUAUUGACACACUAUUUUGUUUAGAACAGCUGGGAAAACUUUGGACCUUUCAUUGGAUUUGAUGGUUGUGAAGAAUACGAGGUUAGGAUCAUAUGUUGAAUUUACAGGAAACAUACUUUAGGUGCCAUUGCCAUAUACCACCUGAUCCAAAUCAAGAAUAAGGAUGAAAAGAAUGUUUAUAGGUGGAAAAGUUUUCGAGCAGUGAAAGUGUGUUGUGGUUCAAUUGUCAUUGUUUAUAAGGUUAAAGCAGCUGUCAAGAUGCAUACUUGAAUCUUCAUAUGCUUUGGAAAGAUUGUGCCAGAUGAUGCCUGAUGUGUUUGAGCAUAUUAGUGUGAGUAGCAAAAGAAGAAGAAGAAAAGUAAUGCGAAAGCAAAAGGAGAAGUCAACUUCUUCAAUAUUGACUCUAAAGUUGAAAUCUUCUUCUAUUCUUAUGGAACCCUAUUUAAAGCAUCAAAUUUCUUUAAUUUGAAUAAUCUAGCAAUUUAUUGCAAAUAACCCUUUGCCACAUCAUGUUUGAUAAUUACGGAAUAGUCAUGACAACGAAAAUUGAAAUCACUGAACAAACAACAAGAUCUUCCUAGUUUAUAGAGUGUAACUGAAGUUUUUGGACCAUUUGUUACGGAAUGCCAAAGAUACCACAAAAUAACUAAUGUAAAAACCGCAUAAUGUUAAUGAGGAAAGUAGUAUUGUAAAAUAUCAUCUCCAAGAGGAGAUAACAAUAUUCAGCUGGAAAUAGUGCUAAUAUUUACUUUUAAAAUGAGAAUUAAGUGUUGAGUGGAGCAAACUCUGUAAACAGGUCAAUGAACAUCCUUCUUUUACACCCUCAUUACAGCUUACAGCCGGAAAAAUCAACAAAAAGGGAAUAGAAGAUCCAACACAAACAUGCUAUCUAUGAGCAACAAUGCACUGUGAAAUUAUGAAUUAUGAGCAAAACUUAAACCCAAAGACAUUUUUUCUCUAAAAAGAUCAGAGCCCAAAAUAUUAAAAAAAGAAAAACAGAGAAACAUUCAGUUUUACCAACAAGGUCUAUGUGCAUACCAUGGUGGCACCAUCAAUGAAGUCAUCCUCUUGGGAGCGGGAGCAACUAAGUUCCUCUUCUCCCUCUUUGUCAUCUCCUCCGUAACAAGACUCCUACCAGAGGAAUAAUAAAAGAACAACGAAAGUAUACAUAAUGCCGGUACUGUUACGAUUAAGGAAAUGCUUUUAAUAAGUCUGUGAAAAGCAUCAAAAUUUACUCAAGUGCAAAUAAAGCGAAGUAUACCGCAGCAGGUGUUGGGAACAUAAUGACAUUUUCUACUGAUAAGUAACCCUCAUCCUAAACAAGAAUUCAGGAUAGAAUACACAAUUAUUUGCAUGGUAAUGGACACAAAUAAAAAGAAAAAGAAAAGGAAAACAAGAAAAGCUCCGGAAUUGGUGUGAGACCUUAGAGGUGGAAGAUAGGUAAGGUGAUUUUGGACGAGCAACCCAUGAACACUGGGGAAGGGCAGCGUUGAAUUUGUUCCAUCGCUCAGCAAAAGCACUCGCGGCUGUGUGGAAUUCAUGCUGCGAAAUAGUUCCAUCCCAACAAGAUAUAUCGAUUUUUCCCUGAUUUGAUAGAGUCGCCAUCAGACAAGUGCUAGAAAUCUGCUGAGAAGGUUCUUCCGAAUUGGCUUUUAUAUUCGGAGAGUAUGCUCCUUCCAAACGACGCCGUUAUCGAUUUUCUUAGUAUUUGCUUCUGAAGUCCUCGAAAAUGAAAGUGCCUUUGCGUAAAUAGGUAAAAGGCGCCAUCGUAUGUCUCUCUCCUUCCUUCUUAUCGUCUUAGCGUCUUUCCUCCCCUCCUCUCUCGGCUGCUUUUUGACAAAAUGGAGACUUUAUCCGUAGGACUCUCAACUUCUCCGCCUUCAUUAAACUACCCCAAUAUCCAAACUUUUACUUCCAAACCGAUUCUUCGAAUCCCCAAUUCAACUUCUCAGUCCCGCCAUUUUAUGCAAACUGUUUCCCCUCCCACUAAAGCACCUCGUCAAGUACCCCAGACUGAAUUUCGGAAUUGUAAGCUAACCAAAACUUUAACCACUCUUUGUAAUGGGGAUAUGUUAAGGUUUCAUUUGGAUGCCAUGCUUCUUAAAUCCCAUGUUUCCUUUCUAUCAAUGGGAUUCUUUUUCCCUCUUUCUUGUUUUGCUUCUGAAGCUGCUGUACCAACAACUCAAGAAGUCUCUAACAAAAUUAACUUGGAAGCUGUUGUGGUUUCAGUGGAUGAUUUCUUCAAUAAAAAUCCAUUCUUUGUUGCUGGGGUUGUCUUUAUUUGGCUUGUUGUAGUCCCAUUGGGCCAAGAAUAUUUUCGGAAGUAUAAGUUUAUCUCUGCCAUUGAUGCUUUCAGGAAACUCCGGGAUGACCCCAAUUAUCAGCUGUUGGAUAUCAGGGAUGAGAAGAGUUUGAAUUUCCUGAAUUCACCUAAUUUGAAGAUUUUAAAUAAGAGUGUGCUGCACGUGGCGUUUUCCGAAGGAGAUGAAGAAGGUUUUUUGAGGGAAGUUUUGGAAAAAUUUAAGGAGCCAGAUAAAACCACUGUUUGUGUUCUGGACAAGUAAGUUUUGGCAACUUUUACUGUGGAGCUCUUCUUGAGUUAUCUGAAAUCUAUGUCGUAAAUAUCAUAGACGUUUUGAGGUAUUGUAGUGAAUCAGUGCUGCUUUAUUCAAGACGGCAAUUACGACAAUACUAAAUUGUUGAGAUUUCCUUUUAACAAACAAACUGAUUGAGUCAUGAUUUUAGCAUGUUUGGCUAAAACCUCCAAUUAUAGUGGAAGAGAUGUGUAAGAUCUUGUUCUGCGUAGCUUGGUUCAUUCUGUUUCUUGCAACCAAGAACAAAAAAGGGGAUACUCUAUGAUGAAUAUUUAUGUAAGCAGAUGCCCCAUCUUCUUCGUUUUACCCUUUCCCAAUCCAAUGAUGAAUAAAGAUGAAAAAAAUGCCCCUACAGGCUGUUAGAGAUAUCAUUGUUUGAUCAUAUGAAAAUCGACUAAAUUGCAGACACAAAAAAUAACUAAUGUCAUAUUCUGCACAUAUCUUAGGUUUCUUAAGUUAGUUCUGUUACUAAUGGAGACAAUUAUCCCGACUAGUUCUGUUCAUCUAGUCAAAGGUAGUUAAAACAUUCGUAAUGGAUAAGAAAAGGUUAGAGGUAAAAAUUGCCCUUGACGAAGCAUUUUUCCUCUUUCUUUAUUGUAUUCUCCUUGUUUUUGUGCUGCUCAAUUUGUUAACCCACUAUCCAAGUUAUAGAAUAUCCAUUUCGUGUUUCUCUUUUGCUUCUAUUUGAAACUCCAGACAGUCCAAACCCUGAUAUAUUUUGCCUGUUCAACCUUUCCCUUGCUCAUACAUUCCAUGAUCCUCGAGAAUAAUUAAUAUUGCAGUCUCGGUAAAUGGGUCUUAUUCCUGCCACUUAGCAGAUAAUAAUAUAUACAGAGUUGUGCUAAAGCAUUUGACCAGUAUCUGUUUUACUCUCUUUUGUGUGGAAGGUAGUUUUGAUGGUAACUCCAUGAAAGUGGCUGAGUUAUUAGCCAAAAAUGGACUUAAGGAAGCUUAUGCAAUAAGAGGUGGAAUUAGAGGCAACAAAGGAUGGCAGGUACUUUUAUCUACUUACUUUGACAUAUUUUGAAUGAGAUCAAGUGUGAUUUUGCUCCACCAUAGUAUGCAUACUAUUCCAAUAACGGUUGUUCCUUACUAUUCUGUUAUGUACUUAUUUAGCAUAUGAGAAAAAUGCCUGUUAUAUUCCUCGUAUAUGUGGUAGUGACAGAAGAAAAAGUUGGAAGUGAUGAAAUGGGACUUCAAUUGGUAGUUUUUAGAGUCUAAUUGUUAUAUGUUGGCAUAAGGAUUUCAGGCUGGUCUUGCAUUACCGGAAUACUUAGAUGGAAGCCUGCAUGAUAUGCAGCUUUUUGGUCUAGAAAUUGAAUGUUGCUUCUGAAUUUGGAAAACUGCAUAUAAGUAUCUAUACAAGGAAGAGAGGUGGCAAUUGGGUUAAACAUUUUGUGUCAUUUUUUGAACUUCCAGUUUUGCCCUUAAAAAUAUUAAUUUUUACCUUAACCACCCAAUCACAUAUGCUAAUAUAAUCUCCCAUAGCUCCCUUAAAUAUUGUAACUACCAAAUUAACUAUAACUGCAUUAAAGAAAAAAAUGCUAAUAAAAAUUGCAAUAGUUUUAUGAAGAAUUUAUAUAAAAUUUAAUUUUGUAAAAACAAGAUUAAUAUAUUCAUAAAAAUUAAUAAUUAUUUCUAAACUGCACACACAUUGGGUGUGCCCUUAAAAGUAGUUUAACAUUAUUCUAUAGCUAGUUUACAUGUUGAGUUUCCUGCAGGAGAUACAAGAAACUCUGCUCCCUCCAUCUGUGCACAUCUACCCCAAGAAGAAGGCCAAAGUUUCACAGCAACCUAGUGGUAAUGGUGGAGUAAACAGCCAAACUGAAGGUAGCUCAUCAUCUGUUACCGGUCUGCUUGCCAACGAACCUGAAAAGAUCAGCGAUGAGUCUGUAAUCAGUUCUUCUGAACUGACCUCUGGGACAAAAUGUGGCCCUAGAUCAUCAUCUCCAUACCCAAAUGUAUGAACUCUCUCUCUCUCUCUCUCUCUCUGUAUGUGCACGCGAAAACGUGUGCAACCUCUACUUUUGUUAUUUGGUUAUCUGUGAUGCCGUUGCUGGUAUGCAAAUCCAGGUAUGAGUGCAUACACUUGUUCAGUUUGUGCCAUUCUAUUUUCUGGGGUUUGUUUCUUGUGCUGGCCAGGAAAGGGUUGCGGCUUGAGGAACUGGUAUUAAUUGUCAAGAAAAAUAGAAUUUUGAGCUAAAAUCUGUUCAGAUCCUUGUACCUGGGAAUGAAUUACUCUGUCUCCUGGUUUGUUUAUCGGUGAGAAAAGGAGGUUUUUUAAACGUUUCAAAUGUUUUUCCUUUGUAAUUGUUAAUUUCUUUGAUGGUGUAUGGGUCAGACAGCUCCAACGCUUCGAAAAUCCUGUGAUGGAAGGAUUAGGAAUGUUAUCCUCUUUUGCAGCUCCUUCUUAAUCCUUUCAACCAAACAGUGAGUUGAAGUCCCAUCCCUUCUUUAAUCCUUUUCAUCCCCGCCCUUCCCUUCUUUGUCUGUAUCAGACAGGCUCUUUUGGUUUCCUUUUUCUCAUUAGUCUUUAUGCCUUCUUUUUGUUCCUUUAGCCAUCCCCACUCUGCCCAUAUGUUUCCUUCUUUCUGUGGAAUGGCAAGUAACAUUUUGGUCAAGGCAUCUUAUACAGAAUUCAAGAUUGAUCCAAAAGCUAGGUUCUUUGAGCUUGUUUGUCUUUUCUGGUUAACUUUUGGAUUCCAUUUGAUGAUGGCUCUGCCAUGCAAUUAGCUUUGAUUUGUUAGGUUAAGAGUUUAACUUGAGUUGUUUUGAUACAGCAGAUUAGUCAUUUCUAUUUUAUACAUGCAUGCUUUUGUUGCGUUAGUCAUUUUCUCUCACGUAAGUGACUAACAGUUUACAUGCAUGCAGUAUCCAGAUUUGAAACCACCAUCAUCCCCAACACCAUCAAAGCCAGAAAUAUGAUGCAAAGCCUCACUGACUUAAAUGCUGAAACUUCGUCAUUGCUUGGGUAGUUUUUUCUGAGCGGUUGCUUCAACUUGUGGCAUUCCAUAAAUUUCUGAAGAGAGUGCAGAGUUUGGUUUGAUCCAUAGAGGGAAGCCUACUUCUGGAUUUUUUCAAUUUUAUUACUAUCACAGAGUAGCGACCAAUUGUUUUCUCAAGAUAAGAGAAUGAUCGAAGGCAGUUAUUGGAAAAGGAAUCCUAAUUGCCAAGCUAGACACUUCGAUGAUCAUGUAGUGCUGUUUGGAAGUAUGUGUGCAACAUGGAAUUUAUGAACACAAGUACCAGGUAGGAAUUUUUUUUGUUUUUGGUAUUACUGAUGUUGUUAUCUUUUGAGUGUUGCUUGUCUUCAUAAUAUUAAACAAUUAAUAUAAACAGCUUGGUAUGAUACGCUGUCCCAGUCUUGAUCUUGGUCAUAUGCAACCACUGUGUUACAGAAUAGAAAAUAUGUUUAAUUCGAAUUUCUAUGAUCAAUAGUAUAUUAUACGGGCGUUUGCAUUUUUCCUGAUAAUUAUCUUUUCUUCUUGUCAUAGAAAAGGAAAAAAUUCUACCUAAUUUUAUAACAUUAUUAUAGAGAUUAUAUGGUAUAAUGACAACGAUCUGUCGAAGUUAAAUCAAAUCAAACUGUUGCCAACAGAUACACUAGAAUGUGGUAAUGGAAGGUUGAGUGAUAUAUCCAGUUGUUCACUAACCAAUUAAGGCUUUGCUGGGGAAAUAUAGCAGCUACAAAUGGAAAUACUAGCAAACAAACCCUGUCUUCCCGUAAUAGAGAAACAAGAACCUUGAAGACAUUGCAGGUACAUUUCUGAACAAUAUGCAAGGGAGAUAAACAAAAAUUUGAAUUAUAUACAAGCUAUUCUAUGCUGGAAGUAAAAGACUAAAUUGGUUACUAUUAAUCAACUGUCCACAAAGAAAAUCUAACGUCACGACACCAUUAUUGGCCUGUUUUCACCAUUUCCGAGUUCAAGGAAUUUCUUCUCAUAGCCAGAAACAAAAUCUUCCAUGCAGGACCUAUAAGUUUGCAUACCUGGAACCUUCUUCGCCAAUUCCAACCCAAUAUUCAUCCACUUCUGUGCCACUUCAGUCUGUCCCAACCUCAGAGGAAGUGCUGCUCGGUUCCAUGCUGUCAUGGAAAGCCAUUUUGCCUCUUCAGUGGGAUACUCCCCUUCCUUCAAACCCACCAUUAUUCGGUAUGCUUGUUUGUAUAUGCUAAUUACUGCAUCAUCUGUAUCACCCUUAAAAAUAGUGCUUACAGAAAUUAAUUUCCUCAGAAUUAAAGCCACAUAUUGGUAAUCAGGAGAAGGGGAAGCAAGGAGAGCAGAAAGGCAAGAAUUCAGGGCAAAACCAGCUACUUCAGGGUUGGAUCGUGGUCCCUGUGAGGCAUCAAGACCGAUCUGAAGAAGAUGCAAAGGAUUGCAAGAUUUAGAACUAGCAAAGCUUUUUAUCAAAAGCAUCUGCUUUUGUCCCAUGUCACUUAGCCUUGAAUAUAGAUCGUAGGCACUCCAAGUGUGCAUAAAAAUGAAGUCAGACUCUGUGCUGGUUUCUUUAUGUUCAUCUUGCAAAGAGAUUGCCGAGCUUGAUAAUAAAAUCUGCAAUUAACAAAUAAACACUUUGUUACAAUCAAACAUUUGGUACCGGUGAAUACAACUUUCACAACCAUGCUCCUCCAGAGCGAACUUUAACUUAAUUUGACAGCAAACUUCUGAUCUCUGAUCAGAAGUUAAAGUUUUACUGGUAAAUUUGAAGCCAUGAAUGAUGAUUGAUUAUGUGUUUGGUUACCUUUCCAGCUCUAUCUGACAGUUCAAUGGCUGCUUUAACUUCAGUUUCUAGCAGCGUGCUAUUUGUCUGCUUUUCAUCAGCAAUAAUUGCAGAAACACACAAUAUCAAUGAUUUACAGACCAUUAAGUUGUAAUCCUCUAUGUCUGCAUCAAAUUUGAUGCUAUAGAACUCUGAUGCCAAUCUGAAAAACUGUGCUGAUAUUCCGUAACUUUUUUCUUUCCCUAUUUGCACCCCAAAAUUCCACGCAUUCACUGCAAACCAAUUCUUUUCCCGUUUUCCAACCUCACCUAUUCCAAAAAAGCAGUCAGCUCCAAUCUCAGAUACCCUAUCAAGAGCGCGUUUAAUGUAUUGUAGAAUAUCAGAUGCAUGGCCAGUCUCUUUUGUAAGAAUUGUUACUAAGGUCCGAAAAACUACAACUUCCAUGGCUGGCAUUGGCUUUCCUAAGGAGUAGAAGUUUAGGAGAUGGGACAAAGAAGCAACUGCAACAGGAAGAGAUUGGCAGGCAACAGCUUCAUGUGCCGAAAGUGAGAGGAAAUCAGGACUGAAGUCAAGACAGCUUGUCAUCGCUUGCACCUGAGCUAUUGCAUUACAGUGAUCCUUCCUUUGCAGGUAAAUUUUAAACUGCAAAAUGAGAAGCAUAUGAAUGCUGUAAGAAAAUAUUAACAUCACAAGAAGAUUAACCUAAUCUUCUGCUCUUUUAGGGAAGAGAUCUCACACCUUAAGGAAGGCACUAGCUAUAUCAGGUUGAAGCUGCAAAAUUAGAUAGACGUUAGGAUAUUGAGCUACACAACACAGAGAUUUUCUGAAUUUGGUGAAUCAUAUCCAAAUAUGUAUAGACCUUUUCUGCUUCAGUAAUGUACUCUUCAGCUUGAUCUAGUUGUGAAAGGCCUAAGUGACAGAGACAGAGAACUCUAAAGCCCUUUGCUCUGAGCAUUCUGUUCCCUAAGUCAUAAGGGACAUAGAGCAUAGACUUUUCAAACAGCUCAGCACUGAUCUGAAAAUCUUUGGAUCGAAAAUGUUCUGCAGCACUGCAAAGCAAUUUCAGGAAAGAGAAAGAAAAAAAAGGUUAAAAAAUCUAAUUGAUAGAGUGAAAUCCACAAGUUGUCACCAUCUCAAAAUUGUUCAGUUGUUCAAUGAAGCUGUGCCUCCUGUCAUCAAGUGCCAAGGGUGCAAGUGCAACAACAAAAACUCAUACCAUCUUUGGGCAGUGCCAUGUAAUAUGAGUGUUCUUCAGAAUUGGAGUAUUGAUGAAUGAAUGAAGCUUAUGAUAAGCAACAAAAACAGGAAGCUGGCUGUAGGGAGGGAGGAUCAAUUUGUCUUUAAAACCUCACCAAUUCAGUAUGCACACAGUGGCCUCGAUUAAAAAAAAAAAAAAACUGGAUAAAAUUCACAGGGCAGGACUUGCAUGUUCCUUCAAUAGGAGAGCAGUUAUAUCAAAAUGCUAUUUCAAUCAUAUAGUAGUAUCAAACUUUAGACAUCUACUUAACUUGCAUACUUUACAAUGUGGAAACAUAAAGCUGGAAAAAUGUAUGGAUUUUUACCAGUUCCAAAGAAGAGCAUGUAUCGCAGUCCUCUCUUUAGAUGCCUCUUCUCCAGCGAAAAGUGCCACAACCCUCUCAUCAGACACCAGUUCUGCCGCCACUUUUGCCCUCACUCUUGAACCUUCCCCACUGCCGCCUCCACUAUCUCCAACCACCCUGUUUACCACUCUAAAAGCUGAUCCAGCACUGACGUGGCACCUUCCUAAUAGCCCCAAAAACACGCUUUUUGCGGUAUCGGCACCAGCCGUGCCAGCUGCCUGAAAGAAUGAUUCAACUGCAGACACCCAAACCCCCUCUGGAAUCCCCUUAUUUAUUACCAUGCCUUUCAGCUCCUUCUCUGCUUCCCCAUAUCUUGCUAAUCCCAACCACGCCUUCAUGGCCAACACGCUCAAACUUGGGUGCUGGUCCCCGCCACCAUCCCUCAAAACUCUCACGCACUUGAGAACAUUAUCAAAUUCAUCCCUCUGCAAAUGAGCAGCGGCUAUGAAGCGCAGCGCUUUUGCCCUCAAAUCCUUCAGUGCUAAAGUCUCCUCUGUUGUCUUCGCAAUCCUCAACCCCUUUUCACACAACUCCAGUGCUUCAUUCAUCAAUUUCAACGCUUCAUUCACUCCAGAAACUUCAUUUUUCGACAAAAUAACUUUUCCGAACAUCAAAUACUGAGAUGCUAAUGCUUUGUAGUUCUCUGAAAUUCCAAACAGUGCAUUUUUUGACCGACUAAGUAACAUGAUGGACAAAUUCCUAUCAGAAACUUCCCAAGCAGUCCGGGACCUAGCUAGAUUUAGAUUUAACACAAGCUUGCGCUCAUCGUAAUCUGAAAUUGAACUAAUUUCAACUUUGGACACGAGAUCCGUAGCUUUUUCGAAGCAACUACUCGCGAGGUCGAAUUUGUUGAGAUCGUGCCAAACGAGACCGGUCUUGUAGAAGAGAGGCGCACUUGAAUGCCGGGGAAGGAAUACCGACGACGUCAGCUGCGAGGAAGAGAAGGUCAGCGGAGACUUGACGGAGCUUAGCGUGCUCUUCGGAGGAUUUGAUGCGCCGCUGGCGCGGAAAGGGUUGAGAGAUCGACGCAGGCAUUCCAGAGUCGGUAGCUGAGGUUUCAGAUGCUGAGACAAACUGAGUUCGGGAAGGGGCGGAGCUGUGGUCAGCUGAGUCAGGGCAGAACGGAGGUCGGAGGAGAGAGCUUCCGGUAUAGAUGGUGGAAGGAGAAUGCAGUUUCGAGUUGUUUAAUUGACAUCACUCGAUUUGUUGAAAGUGUGUGGAGAUGAGGUCCGGACUGUGAUCGUGGUCAUUCGUGCUGGUCGGCGAGGAGAUCUCGCUAUUCUCAUUUUUUUAGUCGCAGCAAUGAUUGUUGAUUACUUCUGGUCAAGUUUGGGAGGGAAGAAGAAUUCGAAAUGAACCAUUUUGAAUGAACAGAAUUAUGUCAUUUUAUUAUUGGGUUUUUGGCGGCGGGGCCCGGAGGGCUGGGGUUUGUUGGUUAGCAGAGCACCCGCGAAUUUGGAAAAUCCCAAUUUAGGCCCAAAAAAAAAAUAAUAAUAAUAAUAAUAAAGCAGGUGUUUUAUCAGUAGUACUAUGAUAAUUAAUCACUGGAGUUGUACAAAGUCCUCCUUUUUUAUAAUUUUGGAUUCCAAGGUGUGGUCAAUAGGAUCUUGAAUUAUUGAAUGGGAAAAACACAAGGGGAUUCAGCAAGACCGUAAUACUACACAGUCUACACCUCCUAUUUUUGAUAGAGUAACCGGAGCCUGCCAGAAACUACCAUAAAGUUAAUGGUAAUCGAGACCCCCUUCCGAGGUUUCCAUUCAACCUAAGCCGAUUCUUCGUGAAACAGUUUCAAGAUCUGUGAUAGUGCUGCUGCAAUCAAUAGUCGAAGCCAAAAAUUGCAAUCAAUAGUCGAAGGCUCGCCGUAGCAUAUGACAGCUUCCGACUAGUCCUUGAUAUCAUCAGCUCGAAAGCGGAGUAAAACAACACCAGAAGGACAAGACAAGGUCAUCAUCUAAGGAUUCAACCAACCUAAGAAAAGGGAAACAACCGCCAACUUCUGUAGACCUUGCUUGUGUAAGCAUCAAACCGGAACAACAAGGUGGAAAGAAAUAUACCAAAAUUGAAAAGCAAUAGACUAAUUAAUGCAUACAUAUACACAAAUAAGAAAACAGUAGUGCAUAUAUUAGAGGAUUAAAGUAUCAGAUUUUACAACAGAUUAAAAUUAACCAGGUUGAGUUUUUUUUUUUUUUUUUUUUCCAAUAUUAAACUUGCUCACGUGGUGCAGUACAACAGACAGAAAGGGUUAACACUAACAGUUAAAAGGAUCACGAUCAACGUUUUCAUCUUUCCUACUGAUUAGUGCAGGUACGGAGCCACCUGGUACUGGUAUCCAGCUCCGAAGAAGUUGCCAUGACUAUGGGGGAGGCUGUAAGCAGCAGUACCCAGAACUGGGGCGACGUGGUUGUCAGUUGGUCCAGAGUAACAGUAUGGUCUGUCAUAGAUGUACUGUGGGUACCUAUCAGUCAUCCUAGCAUAGGAGUUCUUGUCGGCGGCAACAUUAGCAACUCGUGGCCCAUAUCCAGCACCAUUAGCACGAGGCCUUUUGGAUUGAGGUUUUGCAACUUCUGUGGCUCUUUUCUUAUCUGCCUUUGCCUUCUCCAGCUGCACGACCCUUUUUUGGAGACCAUCCAGACGGUAAAGGUCCUCAAGCUUGUGCUCCUCGACGCACUUAAUCACAGCCUUAAGUGCAGAAAGCUCCUUUUCAUUGACAUCGCACUGAAACAAUUGACAAUGCAUUAUCCAAGUGAAUACUUCCACUCCCUCAUCAGAAAAAGGAUCUUUGUGGAAGUUUCAGCCUUAACGCACGAUAGGUUAAGAUAGUGUCAUGAAAAAAAUACUAGCAACUUCAAACUAGACCAUAUGAAAGUACAAAAUAAAUGACGCUAAUUCUUAUACAAAGCUAUGAUCAACAAGUUUUAGAUGAUAUAUGCACCACAAGAAAGUUCAUUGAUUUGAAUAUCACCAUCCUGGGAAAGACCCAAACAUGAAUAUAUGUCAAGAGUAAAUGCUUUUGCAAGCCACAGAAAAACACGUCAGAAGCAAUAGUCCUUCUUGUAGAUGUUGAGGAUUAGGGAUAUAAACAAACCUGUGCAGAAGGUGAUGUGUUUCCCAGUUUACUAGGUGAAGACAAUUUUGCUGCGUCGCUCAGGUAAGAUUUCAGUAAUAUAACAGGUGAAAACUGCUCUGUCAGGUCAAAUGCAAAAGCCAGAUUAACAGCAUCAAUUUGUCUCCCAUUUUUCACCAAAACAUCAAUGACACCUGAAAGAAAACAGAAUAAACUGAACUACAAACUCAUAUUCAUUUGGAAGCAAAUCAAAUUGCUAACCAUAACUCAGAAAAAUCUUAUAACUAUCAAAUAGCGUUCACAAGAAGCCAACCUGGCAUUUUGUCAGACAAUCCAAGGGAACGACACAGAUCAGCUGUCUGGCGACGACGAGAAACCAUAGGUAUUAGCUUGGAUAAGCUCUCCUGGUCAAAAUCAGAAUUGAUACCAAAAGUAGCUAGAAGUUGUAAGAAUGCAUGAGCCUCUAAGGAGUUCCCACUGCUGGCAUCAACAUCAAGAUCAUCUAACUUCGGCUUCCACUCUAUUGGUAGUUUUUAGAGUCUAAUUGUUAUAUGUUGGCAUAAGGAUUUCAGGCUGGUCUUGCAUUACCGGAAUACUUAGAUGGAAGCCUGCAUGAUAUGCAGCUUUUUGGUCUAGAAAUUGAAUGUUGCUUCUGAAUUUGGAAAACUGCAUUUAAGUAUCUAUACAAGGAAGAGAGGUGGCAAUUGGGUUAAACAUUUUGUGUCAUUUUUUGAACUUCCAGUUUUGCCCUUAAAAAUAUUAAUUUUUACCAUAACCACCCAAUCACAUGCUAAUAUAAUCUCCCAUAGCUCCCUUAAAUAUUGUAACUACCAAAUUAACUAUAACUGCACUAAAGAAAAAAAUGCUAAUAAAAAUUGCAAUAUUUUUAUGAAGAAUUUAUAUAAAAUUUAAUUUUGUAAAAACAAGAUUAAUAUAUUCAUAAAAAUUAAUAAUUAUUUCUAAACUGCACACACAUUGGGUGUGCCCUUAAAAGUAGUUUAACAUUAUUCUAUAGCUAGUUUACAUGUUGAGUUUCCUGCAGGAGAUACAAGAAACUCUGCUCCCUCCAUCUGUGCACAUCUACCCCAAGAAGAAGGCCAAAGUUUCACAGCAACCUAGUGGUAAUGGUGGAGUAAACAGCCAAACUGAAGGUAGCUCAUCAUCUGUUACCGGUCUGCUUGCCAACGAACCUGAAAAGAUCAGCGAUGAGUCUGUAAUCAGUUCUUCUGAACUGACCUCUGGGACAAAAUGUGGCCCUAGAUCAUCAUCACCAUACCCAAAUGUAUACUCUCUCUCUCUCUCUCUCUCUCUGUAUGUGCACGCGAAAAUGUGUCCAACCUCUACUUUUGUUAUUUGGUUAUCUGUGAUGCCGUUGCUGGUAUGCAAAUCCAGGUAUGGUGCAUAUACUUGUUCAGUUUGUGCCAUUCUAUUUUCUGGGGUUUGUUUCUUGUGCUGGCCAGGAAAGGGUUGCGGCUUGAGGAACUGGUAUUAAUUGUCAAGAAAAAUAGAAUUUUGAGCUAAAAUCUGUUCAGAUCCUUGUACCUGGGAAUGAAUUACUCUGUCUCCUGGUUUGUUUAUGGGUGAGAAAAGGAGGUUUUUAAACAUUUCAAAUGUUUUUCCUUUGUAAUUGUUAAUUUCUUUGAUGGUGUAUGGGUCAGACAGCUCCAACGCUUCGAAAAUCCUGUGAUGGAAGGAUUAGGAAUGUUAUCCUCUUUUGCAGCUCCUUCUUAAUCCUUUCAACCAAACAGUGAGUUGAAGUCAUCCUUCUUUAAUCCUUUUCAUCCCCGCCCUUCCUUCUUUGUCUGUAUCAGACAGGCUCUUUUGGUUUCCUUUUUUCAUUAGUCUUUAUGCUUCUUUUUGUUCCUUUAGCCAUCCCACUCUGCCCAUAUGUUUCCUUCUUUCUGUGGAAUGGCAAGUAACAUUUUGGUCAAGGCAUCUUAUACAGAAUUCAAGAUUGAUCCAAAAGCUAGGUUCUUUGAGCUUGUUUGUCUUUUCUGGUUAACUUUUGGAUUCCAUUUGAUGAUGGCUCUGCCAUGCAAUUAGCUUUGAUUUGUUAGGUUAAGAGUUUAACUUGAGUUGUUUUGAUACAGCAGAUUAGUCAUUUCUAUUUUAUACAUGCAUGCUUUUGUUGGCGUUAGUCAUUUUUCUCUCACGUAAGUGACUAACAGUUUACAUGCAUGCAGUAUCCAGAUUUGAAACCACCAUCAUCCCCAACACCAUCAAAGCCAGAAAUAUGAUGCAAAGCUCACUGACUUAAAUGCUGAAACUUCGUCAUUGCUUGGGUAGUUUUUUCUGAGCGGUUGCUUCAACUUGUGGCAUUCCAUAAAUUUCUGAAGAGAGUGCAGAGUUUGGUUUGAUCCAUAGAGGGAAGCCUACUUCUGGAUUUUUUCAAUUUAUUACUAUCACAGAGUAGCGACCAAUUGUUUUCUCAAGAUAAGAGAAUGAUCGAAGGCAGUUAUGGAAAAGGAAUCCUAAUUGCCAAGCUAGACACUUCGAUGAUCAUGUAGUGCUGUUUGGAAGUAUGUGUGCAACAUGGAAUUUAUGAACACAAGUACCAUAGGAAUUUUUUUUUUUUGUAUUACUGAUGUUGUUAUCUUUUGAGUGUUGCUUGUCUUCAUAAUAUUAAACAAUUAAUAUAAACAGCUUGGUAUGAUACGCUGUCCCAGUCUUGAUCUUGGUCAUAUGCAACCACUGUGUUACAGAAUAGAAAAUAUGUUUAAUUCGAAUUUCUAUGAUCAAUAGUAUAUUAUACGGGCGUUUGCAUUUUUCCUGAUAAUUAUCUUUUCUUCUUGUCAUAGAAAAGGAAAAAAUUCUACCUAAUUUUAUAACAUUAUUAUAGAGAUUAUAUGGUAUAAUGACAACGAUCUGUCGAAGUUAAAUCAAAUCAAACUGUUGCCAACAGAUACACUAGAAUGUGGUAAUGGAAGUUGAGUGAUAUAUCCAGUUGUUCACUAACCAAUUAAGGCUUUGCUGGGGAAAUAUAGCAGCUACAAAUGGAAAUACUAGCAAACAACCCUGUCUUCCCGUAAUAGAGAAACAAGAACCUUGAAGACAUUGCAGGUACAUUUCUGAACAAUAUGCAAGGGAGAUAAACAAAAAUUUGAAUUAUAUACAAGCUAUUCUAUGCUGGAAGUAAAAAGACUAAAUUGGUUACUAUUAAUCAACUGUCCACAAAGAAAAUCUAACGUCACGACACCAUUAUUGGCCUGUUUUCACCAUUUCCGAGUUCAAGGAAUUUCUUCUCAUAGCCAGAAACAAAAUCUUCCAUGCAGGACUAUAAGUUUGCAUACCUGGAACCUUCUUCGCCAAUUCCAACCCAAUAUUCAUCCACUUCUGUGCCACUUCAGUCUGUCCCAACCUCAGAGGAAGUGCUGCUCGGUUCCAUGCUGUCAUGGAAAGCCAUUUUGCCUCUUCAGUGGGAUACUCCCCUUCCUUCAAACCCACCAUUAUUCGGUAUGCUUGUUUGUAUAUGCUAAUUACUGCAUCAUCUGUAUCACCCUUAAAAAUAGUGCUUACAGAAAUUAAUUUCCUCAGAAUUAAAGCCACAUAUUGGUAAUCAGGAGAAGGGGAAGCAAGGAGAGCAGAAAGGCAAGAAUUCAGGGCAAAACCAGCUACUUCAGGGUUGGAUCGUGGUCCCUGUGAGGCAUCAAGACCGAUCUGAAGAAGAUGCAAAGGAUUGCAAGAUUUAGAACUAGCAAAGCUUUUUAUCAAAAGCAUCUGCUUUUGUCCCAUGUCACUUAGCCUUGAAUAUAGAUCGUAGGCACUCCAAGUGUGCAAAAAUGAAGUCAGACUCUGUGCUGGUUUCUUUAUGUUCAUCUUGCAAAGAGAUUGCCGAGCUUGAUAAUAAAAUCUGCAAUUAACAAAUAAACACUUUGUUACAAUCAAACAUUUGGUACCGGUGAAUACAACUUUCACAACCAUGCUCCUCCAGAGCGAACUUUAACUUAAUUUGACAGCAAACUUCUGAUCUCUGAUCAGAAGUUAAAGUUUUACUGGUAAAUUUGAAGCCAUGAAUGAUGAUUGAUUAUGUGUUUGGUUACCUUUCCAGCUCUAUCUGACAGUUCAAUGGCUGCUUUAACUUCAGUUUCUAGCAGCGUGCUAUUUGUCUGCUUUUCAUCAGCAAUAAUUGCAGAACACACAAUAUCAAUGAUUUACAGACCAUUAAGUUGUAAUCCUCUAUGUCUGCAUCAAAUUUGAUGCUAUAGAACUCUGAUGCCAAUCUGAAAAACUGUGCUGAUAUUCCGUAACUUUUUUCUUUCCCUAUUUGCACCCCAAAAUUCCACGCAUUCACUGCAAACCAAUUCUUUUCCCGUUUUCCAACCUCACCUAUUCCAAAAAAGCAGUCAGCUCCAAUCUCAGAUACCCUAUCAAGAGCGCGUUUAAUGUAUUGUAGAAUAUCAGAUGCAUGGCCAGUCUCUUUGUAAGAAUUGUUACUAAGGUCCGAAAAACUACAACUUCCAUGGCUGGCAUUGGCUUUCCUAAGGAGUAGAAGUUUAGGAGAUGGGACAAAGAAGCAACUGCAACAGGAAGAGAUUGGCAGGCAACAGCUUCAUGUGCCGAAAGUGAGAGGAAAUCAGGACUGAAGUCAAGACAGCUUGUCAUCGCUUGCACCUGAGCUAUUGCAUUACAGUGAUCCUUCCUUUGCAGGUAAAUUUUAAACUGCAAAAUGAGAAGCAUAUGAAUGCUGUAAGAAAAUAUUAACAUCACAAGAAGAUUAACCUAAUCUUCUGCUCUUUUAGGGAAGAGAUCUCACACCUUAAGGAAGGCACUAGCUAUAUCAGGUUGAAGCUGCAAAAUUAGAUAGACGUUAGGAUAUUGAGCUACACAACACAGAGAUUUUCUGAAUUUGGUGAAUCAUAUCCAAAUAUGUAUAGACCUUUUCUGCUUCAGUAAUGUACUCUUCAGCUUGAUCUAGUUGUGAAAGGCCUAAGUGACAGAGACAGAGAACUCUAAAGCCCUUUGCUCUGAGCAUUCUGUUCCCUAAGUCAUAAGGGACAUAGAGCAUAGACUUUUCAAACAGCUCAGCACUGAUCUGAAAAUCUUUGGAUCGAAAAUGUUCUGCAGCACUGCAAAGCAAUUUCAGGAAAGAGAAAGAAAAAAAAGGUUAAAAAAUCUAAUUGAUAGAGUGAAAUCCACAAGUUGUCACCAUCUCAAAAUUGUUCAGUUGUUCAAUGAAGCUGUGCCUCCUGUCAUCAAGUGCCAAGGGUGCAAGUGCAACAACAAAAACUCAUACCAUCUUUGGGCAGUGCCAUGUAAUAUGAGUGUUCUUCAGAAUUGGAGUAUUGAUGAAUGAAUGAAGCUUAUGAUAAGCAACAAAAACAGGAAGCUGGCUGUAGGGAGGGAGGAUCAAUUUGUCUUUAAAACCUCACCAAUUCAGUAUGCACACAGUGGCCUCGAUUAAAAAAAAAAAAAAACUGGAUAAAAUUCACAGGGCAGGACUUGCAUGUUCCUUCAAUAGGAGAGCAGUUAUAUCAAAAUGCUAUUUCAAUCAUAUAGUAGUAUCAAACUUUAGACAUCUACUUAACUUGCAUACUUUACAAUGUGGAAACAUAAAGCUGGAAAAAUGUAUGGAUUUUUACCAGUUCCAAAGAAGAGCAUGUAUCGCAGUCCUCUCUUUAGAUGCCUCUUCUCCAGCGAAAAGUGCCACAACCCUCUCAUCAGACACCAGUUCUGCCGCCACUUUUGCCCUCACUCUUGAACCUUCCCACUGCCGCCUCCACUAUCUCCAACCACCCUGUUUACCACUCUAAAAGCUGAUCCAGCACUGACGUGGCACCUUCCUAAUAGCCCCAAAAACACGCUUUUUGCGGUAUCGGCACCAGCCGUGCCAGCUGCCUGAAAGAAUGAUUCAACUGCAGACACCCAAACCCCCUCUGGAAUCCCCUUAUUUAUUACCAUGCCUUUCAGCUCCUUCUCUGCUUCCCCAUAUCUUGCUAAUCCCAACCACGCCUUCAUGGCCAACACGCUCAAACUUGGGUGCUGGUCCCCGCCACCAUCCCUCAAAACUCUCACGCACUUGAGAACAUUAUCAAAUUCAUCCCUCUGCAAAUGAGCAGCGGCUAUGAAGCGCAGCGCUUUUGCCCUCAAAUCCUUCAGUGCUAAAGUCUCCUCUGUUGUCUUCGCAAUCCUCAACCCCUUUUCACACAACUCCAGUGCUUCAUUCAUCAAUUUCAACGCUUCAUUCACUCCAGAAACUUCAUUUUUCGACAAAAUAACUUUUCCGAACAUCAAAUACUGAGAUGCUAAUGCUUUGUAGUUCUCUGAAAUUCCAAACAGUGCAUUUUUUGACCGACUAAGUAACAUGAUGGACAAAUUCCUAUCAGAAACUUCCCAAGCAGUCCGGGACCUAGCUAGAUUUAGAUUUAACACAAGCUUGCGCUCAUCGUAAUCUGAAAUUGAACUAAUUUCAACUUUGGACACGAGAUCCGUAGCUUUUUCGAAGCAACUACUCGCGAGGUCGAAUUUGUUGAGAUCGUGCCAAACGAGACCGGUCUUGUAGAAGAAGGAGGCGCACUUGAAUGCCGGGGAAGGAAUACCGACGACGUCAGCUGCGAGGAAGAGGAGGUCAGCGGAGACUUGACGGAGCUUAGCGUGCUCUUCGGAGGAUUUGAUGCCGCUGGCGGCGAAGGCGUUGGAGAGAUCGACGCAGGCAUUCCAGAGUCGGUAGCUGAGUUUCCAGAUGCUGAGACAAACUGAGUUCGGGAAGGGCGCGAGCUGUGUCAGCUGAGUCAGGGCAGAACGGAGGUCGGAGGAGAGAGCUUCCGGUAAGAUGGUGGAAGGAGAAUGCAGUUCGAGUUGUUUAAUUGAUGACUCGAUUUGUGAAAGUGUGUGAGAGUGAGGUCCGGACUCUUGAUCGUGGCUUCGUCUGAGCUCCGGCGAGGAGAUCUCUGCUAUUCUCAUUUUUUUAGUCCAGCAAAUGAUUCGUUGAUUACUCGGGUCAAAUUUGGGAGGGAAAGAAGAAUUCAAAAUGAACCAUUUGAAUGAACAGAACUUCAUUCAUUUAUUUUGGGUUUUUGGCGGGGCGGGGCCCGGGAGGGCGGGUUUGUUGGUUAGCAGAGCACCCGCGAAUUUGGAAAAUCCCAAUUUAGGCCCAAAAAAAAAAAUAAUAAUAAUAAUAAAGCAGGUGUUUUAUCAGUAGUACUAUGAUAAUUAAUCACUGGAGUUGGACAAAGUCCUCCUUUUUUAUAAUUUUGGAUUCCAAGGUGUGGUCAAUAGGAUCUUGAAUUAUUGAAUGGGAAAAACACAAGGGGAUUCAGCAAGACCGUAAUACUACACAGUCUACACCUCCUAUUUUUGAUAGAGUAACCGGAGCCUGCCAGAAACUACCAUAAAGUUAAUGGUAAUCGAGACCCCCUUCCGAGGUUUCCAUUCAACCUAAGCCCAUUCUUCGUGAAACAGUUUCAAGAUCUGUGAUAGUGCUGCAAUCAAUAGUCGAAGCCAAAAAUUGCAAUCAAUAGUCGAAGGCUCGCCGUAGCAUAUGACAGCUUCCGACUAGUCCUUGAUAUCAUCAGCUCGAAAGCGGAGUAAAACAACACCAGAAGGACAAGACAAGGUCAUCAUCUAAGGAUUCAACCAACCUAAGAAAAGGGAAACAACCGCCAACUUCUGUAGACCUUGCUUGUGUAAGCAUCAAACCGGAACAACAAGGUGGAAAGAAAUAUACCAAAAUUGAAAAGCAAUAGACUAAUUACUGCAUACAUAUACACAAAUAAGAAAACAGUAGUGCAUAUAUUAGAGGAUUAAAGUAUCAGAUUUUACAACAGAUUAAAAUUAACCAGGUUGAGUUUUUUUUUUUUUUUUUUUCCAAUAUUAAACUUGCUCACGUGGUGCAGUACAACAGACAGAAAGGGUUAACACUAACAGUUAAAAGGAUCACGAUCAACGUUUUCAUCUUUCCUACUGAUUAGUGCAGGUACGGAGCCACCUGGUACUGGUAUCCAGCUCCGAAGAAGUUGCCAUGACUAUGGGGAGGCUGUAAGCAGCAGUACCAGAACUGGGGCGACGUGGUUGUCAGUUGGUCCAGAGUAACAGUAUGGUCUGUCAUAGAUGUACUGUGGGUACCUAUCAGUCAUCCUAGCAUAGGAGUUCUUGUCGGCGGCAACAUUAGCAACUCGUGGCCCAUAUCCAGCACCAUUAGCACGAGGCCUUUUGGAUUGAGGUUUUGCAACUUCUGUGGCUCUUUUCUUAUCUGCCUUUGCCUUCUCCAGCUGCACGACCCUUUUUUGGAGACCAUCCAGACGGUAAAGGUCCUCAAGCUUGUGCUCCUCGACGCACUUAAUCACAGCCUUAAGUGCAGAAAGCUCCUUUUCAUUGACAUCGCACUGAAACAAUUGACAAUGCAUUAUCCAAGUGAAUACUUCCACUCCCUCAUCAGAAAAAGGAUCUUUGUGGAAGUUUCAGCCUUAACGCACGAUAGGUUAAGAUAGUGUCAUGAAAAAAAUACUAGCAACUUCAAACUAGACCAUAUGAAAGUACAAAAUAAAUGACGCUAAUUCUUAUACAAAGCUAUGAUCAACAAGUUUUAGAUGAUAUAUGCACCACAAGAAAGUUCAUUGAUUUGAAUAUCACCAUCCUGGGAAAGACCCAAACAUGAAUAUGUCAAGAGUAAAUGCUUUUGCAAGCCACAGAAAACACGUCAGAAGCAAUAGUCCUUCUUGUAGAUGUUGAGGAUUAGGGAUAUAAACAAACCUGUGCAGAAGGUGAUGUGUUUCCCAGUUUACUAGGUGAAGACAAUUUUGCUGCGUCGCUCAGGUAAGAUUUCAGUAAUAUAACAGGUGAAAACUGCUCUGUCAGGUCAAAUGCAAAAGCCAGAUUAACAGCAUCAAUUUGUCUCCCAUUUUUCACCAAAACAUCAAUGACACCUGAAAGAAAACAGAAUAAACUGAACUACAAACUCAUAUUCAUUUGGAAGCAAAUCAAAUUGCUAACCAUAACUCAGAAAAAUCUUAUAACUAUCAAUAGCGUUCACAAGAAGCCAACCUGGCAUUUUGUCAGACAAUCCAAGGGAACGACACAGAUCAGCUGUCUGGCGACGACGAGAAACCAUAGGUAUUAGCUUGGAUAAGCUCUCCUGGUCAAAAUCAGAAUUGAUACCAAAAGUAGCUAGAAGUUGUAAGAAUGCAUGAGCCUCUAAGGAGUUCCCACUGCUGGCAUCAACAUCAAGAUCAUCUAACUUCGGCUUCCACUCUUCAGCAAUAACUUUUGCCCGUUCCUUGGCAUCAGAUGAGAUCAUACCUGAGAUGAGUUCCUGAUCCAAAUUUGUGAAUGAAGUGCUAAGGCAUUCCAUCAGCAUGAUACAGCUUCGACGAAGGCCUAGGAGGUUUGAGUCCUUUUUGGCAUCUGAGCUAGGCAUUUCCAUGCUGUAGAAACCAUUGAGUGAGUCCAGAACCAGCGAGGCUGGAUCAUUUGCAGCCUUUAGUGCAUUUGGAAUUUCCUCCCUCAUAACAGCAAGGUUUUUACGGUUGUCUGAUAUAAAUUUGUGCAGGCCUUCUGAAUUCAUCUCCUGACACAACUUGACAAGCUCUGGAUACAACUUCACCACUGCAUUCUCAAUUUCAGAAGGUGCCGUCAACUGUCUUAUGUUGCUCUCAGCAGCCAUAGCAUCAGGAGGUUUAUCCUCCUUAUCUGGUGCCCCACCAUGGUCCUUGCUAUUAUCAAAAGCAGGUUCAUCAGAAGAUAACUUCCUAUGCUUCUCCAGAGCAGAAGUAAUCGCACAGACAGCAGCAUCUCUCUUCUGCUGGAGUCUCGCCAAUGAAGCCUGCUCCUUGGCCACAACAGUAGCUUGACGCCUCUCCAACAUCUCUUUAGAUUCAACUAUUUUUGUUUCAAACUCCCUUUCUUGGUCUUCCAACUCAGUGAAACGCCUCUUCAAAGACUUCUCAAGCCCAUGAAAAUGCUCUUCAAGUUGUUUCCAUUUCCAGUUGAGGGUAAUUGCACGAUGACUCUCAAGCUCAGCAAAUGCUUUUUGCAAUUGCUGUAUUUUGGAGCUUGUAGAAUCCAUGAGUGUAGCAACUGAACCAGCAUCUUCCAUGGUAGAUAAGGCUGUUCACCACAAACAUAAUAGCAUUCACUAAGGGAUAUUCACAUCAAAAAAUUACAGUAAUAGAGCUUACCAUCAGAUAAAAGACAUUUAAAGCACCCAAAAUAAUGAGUUAAUUAAGGUUGCAAAAUCAGGUAGCAACAACCAAAUAUCAUAUGUACUUUAUAUGAUGUCCAUGUUAUGCAGAGUGAGGUUUCAAGAAUAUAUAGUAAAGCAGCUUAAAAAUUAUCAGUUCAAGAAGAUUCAAGAACAAAAAAUCAGUACGAAAUGGUGUAUAGACAAGAAUAUUGCUCCACAAAACCAUACUCUUUAUUACUCUGAAUGCCUCCACUUGAAGAUAAACAAUCAAUACAAUUCUCACAGAUAGCAAAUGUAAACAAUCACAAACAUGUCUCCCGAAACCACAAGCAAUGCCUUCUCUCUGUCUCGAUGAUGGAUUUAAGCCUUAGGACAACAACCCUAUCAGUCCUGUUGUUAGCAGAUCUGUUAUAUAUCAAUCAAAACUGCUAACUUUAAGUCCAGUUACUGCAGAAUUUUCAUCUUCAGCAAAGCAACCAAUCAUUGUAAGCAAUUCCUGAGUGAAUAAAACACCAUCUAUUGGUUGUUUCAUUGAAAAAUGAAAAUCUCAUGAACGGAUUACCAACAAAUCUGUUUCCAAGAUUUCACUCCCGAACCCUUGAAAAUUGUAAUGUUAAAUCAUACACUGUUGAAAAGACGCCCCCAUCUAUGGUUAACACGUAACAAGAAAAACAGGUAGUAAUUGAGUGUCAUUGUGGUGGGGGAGGGGAGGCUCAGAAGGUCAAAAUCAACAAAUUGCUUCAACCAUCAGGGCAUAAAAUGAAGUGAAGUUAUAUAGCAGUAAGCCUCUGGUUCUAACUAAAAAGAAGAAGUUAUGCCUCUCAUUUUCAUUAAAGAAAGAAAAAAAAAACAAAUAAUUUCUUUCAAAAACUUUAACCCUCCAAAAAAAAAAAAGUCAGGCAUAUCCUGUGAUUCAAAAACUCGCACAAUAUUCCCCCCCCCCCCAAAAAAAAAACAAAACACAGAGGUAAUGAAAAUAGUGACAUAUCUGUAUGAGGACGGUACAAAAAAUAAGACGGACAAGCAACAUGUGGGUUAAUUUCUGACAGAAUACAUACUGAGGAUUCUGUUCCGGCAGAGGUCAACCACCUAAAAUUUGAGCACCUAUUAUGUUGUGGAUAAGCACGUAAAUUAGUAAACUGUUUUGCUACAUUACUGAAGCUAAUUACUAAUCGACCUCACUGAUCACUUAAAAGAAUUACUACCAUUUCGCAUACCCACGUGAAAACAUGUUGAAAAAUCCCGGAAAACGCGUUAACAACAGACCCAAAAAAAAAAAAACAAAGAAGAAAAAAACUCAGAUCAGUCGAACCCACCAGAAAUUUUAAAUUAAAAAGAAUGAAAAAGAAGCAAGAUUCACAAUCAACGGAAAGCGACGAGAUUACCAGCACAAAUCAGCUCGAGUAAGAAGACUAAAGCAGUAAAUCUCGGAUAGUGAGUGGAGCGCAAAUUACUCGAAGAGUUGCAGACGUAGGACAGUUGAUCUGGAAGGUAAAGAAAGGAGAGAGAUGGAAGGUGGACUUACCAGAUCGGGGGAGUGACAGGUGGAAGGAGGGGAUUGGGUGAGAAGAGGAAUGGAGACGGAGAAUCAGACCAUUUUGGAAGCUGGGACUGGGAGGAGAUGCGGAUUGGGAAUUUUGAGGGUUUGUUUGGAUGCGGGUUUUGUUUUGUUGAGGGAAAUGAGAAUCCCUAGAUACUCGUACGUGUACAAUACAGCCCCUUCCCAAACCCAACCCAGCUCAGCUUACCUAAUCAACCAAUCAGUCAGUCUGGACUCUGUAGAGUGAAGGAGAUAAUAAAGAGGAAGGAAAGUGGCAUUGGAUGGAUGGGAAUGACCAACGAACAGUUGUAUUUUAUUUUAUGACAGCCACCCGACACUGAACUCAGGCACGCACACCUUUGCCUUUUCUUUGAGCGCUCUAGAUUUUGCUACUGCCGCAUUACCUGUCCCGUGGAAAAAAAAAAAAGUGAUAUAUUUCCACUGCUUUUCUCUCCGGCUGCUUUUUAUUAGUAUUAGAGGAAACUUUCUUAUAGGCUCCUAAACUAUUUGCUUUGCACGGUUUUGGCCUCUCUCAAUCAUAAAUUAUCGCAAAUAAGCCCUUGAAUUAAAAAAACUACUCCACUUAGUUUAAGCCUUCAAGAACUUCCAUCAAUUUUGAGCAUUAAAAACCAACUAUAUUAAGCCAACUAAUAACAUGGAGUCCUUCAUCUUCUGCCUUUUCUAGUCUUACUAUGAUGAAAUAAUCAGUCAACGAGACCUUUUAGACUAUUUUUGUGGAUUGACUUUUUUCGUUUAGUCAUUUUGACCCCAGAUUCCUUCACCUCUAGCGGGCAAAAUUGGCAAAAAUAUCCUUAAAGUAAACUUUGUUUAAAGAGUUUAUUUGUGACAGUUUAUAAUCGAGGGGGCAAAAACUGUGCAAAAGACAAUUGUUUGGAGAGUUUGGAUAUAAUUUAGAAGCCGUUCACAAAGUUUCCUCUUAUUAUUAUUUGGCCAUAAGGUUGCAGAAUUCUCUUCAUUGUGAGUAGAUGGUUUGGUUUAAUUUUUGACCCGAAUUCAUGGAGUGUCGGAAGUCAUUUUUGGAAAUUAAAGUACGCAUUGCCCUAAAGCUUAAGGUUUCGCCAUCACUAAGAAAGAUUUGUUAACAUCAUUAAGUUGAAUACUUUACAUAGUAGAGGUCAUUAUAGAGAAUAAUGGAGUGAAAGGACUACCAGAUGUGGGAAAGUCAUUCAAAUUUAUAUACACAUGGGACCAGAAUUGUAGGAAUUGUGACUCGAAAAAAUGGACAAAAGUUAGCUAGAAAGGUAACACUGGGGGUGACGAUAAAUGGAGAUGUAAGUGUUAGUUGACAUUUGGGCCGUUGCUCCUUCGAUCGAUCACAAAUUCAAAUUGGUUUCAAGUAUCAACGCCGUUAUAACAAAGUAAUCACAAUAAUAAAUAUCUCAAUAAACAACGCUGGUCCUUGUGCUCAUAAUUUGGUACGUAAACGAGUUUUAUAGAAAAUAAAUAGCCGAUUUGGACAUAGUUAGGGUCCAUUCGGUGUUGCAAUAGUUUAUUGAAAAGUAUUUUUUUAAUAAAAAUAUUUAUUAAAUGUUUAAGUGUUUUUAAUAUAUAGUUUGGAGACAAUAUUCAAUAAGUUUUUAUUUGUAUUGGAUAAUAUGCAAUUCAAAACUUUUUAAAAGUGUUUAUCUCUUUAUUUGGCUCAUAAUACAGGCUAACAUGAUUAAAUUUGAUAUUUUAUUUUUUAAAUCACAAAAGCUACUGUAAAAGCCUCAAAUUUGAGUUUUUGUUAAAAGUGCUUUUAACACAAAAAGUUCAACUCAACUCCUAAUUUUGUGAGAUGAUGUUCAUCAAACACUGUAAAAAUACUUUUUAUCACAUAAAAGUUUUUUUUUUUUUAAUCAAAAGAACCGCAACCCCAAACAACCGGAUUUAAGACAUCCAUGCGUUAUUCAAUUUUUGUACCGCACAAUUCCAGUCCCCCCAAUGGAGACCUUACGCUUGGGUUGCAUUAAAAGGCCAGCAAUAAUUCUUCCUCCUAACAAGGCCGUCAAGUCCUUGAAAGUAGUGGGCACAACGUAAAUUUCCCUAAGAUGUUGGCAAAUACAGCCCACCGUGGUGGGCUAGACUUCGGUCCAUGAUAACAAAAUGACAGGCCCACAAACUGUUCGGAUGGGUGGGGACAAGCUAGAUGACAACCCCCAUUUUCUAGUUGGGAUAAUUGCAGAAACCUCCCCUGAGGUUUCUGACACUUGCACUAACCUCCCCUCUAGGUUUAGAAAUGGCAUUCAGCACCCCUGAACAUAAACAAUUCGUUGCAGAAACCUCCCCUGAGGCUUGAUGUCCCAUUAAAAAAUUAUUUGUAGAAGUGAGAUAAGAAAUUUCUUACGAUUUUGCCCUGAUCUUGCUUGACAAUUAGUAUUAACAAGGAAGGAGUAUAGGCAUUAAGAAUCAAUCAAGUUCAGGAAUAUAAAUGCAACAUAUUUUUCAUUCCAAUAUCUAGUUUGGUUUAACGAAUGUUUUGGAAUUAAAUGAAAUUAAAUUUCAAAAUUACUCAUGAUAUAACAAUUCUUAUAAAACAAAAGAAUUACACAUACGACAAAUUAACAUCUCCAUAAUUAUAACUACAAUAGUUAUUAACUUUUUGAUAAAAUAUAAGAAAAUCAUAAAUCAUAACAAAAAUUAAUACUAGAAAAUAAAUAUAGUGGUUGUAUUAAUAAGGAGUGGAUUACCAAAAAGAGAAAGUUUUUAAACUAACUUUCUAAAGGGUUGCGAUUUUUGAAUCUCUUCCCAAAGAGUGAAAAACGCAUCGAAGGAAUGCGUUCUUCCAAAUAAAAAUGCAACUUUCAAAAAUUUGUUUAAAUAUGAAAUAUUGGUUAAAUAACGCAUAACAUACCAGCUCUUUAUGAGAAACUGACAGGUUUUGUAGUAUGUUUUAUACUAGCUCUUUAUGGAAAACAUACCAGCUCUUUAUGAAAAAAAUUGGUUAAAUAGCGCCCAAAGGAAAACUAGUAUAUUUUGUAUUUAACAUAAAUUAAAUAUGUAAAAGUAAAAAAAACAUUUGCCCAUAACAUACCAGCUCUUUAUGGGAAACUAGCAAGUUUUAUAUUUAAUGCGCUAUUUAACCAAUUUUGUUGGCCUGUGAAGCUAAUUAACCAAUUAGCGAAUUGACUAAUUAGUUAAUUAGAUAAAUAAAAAUUAGUUAAUUAGUUAAUUAAUUAAUUAAUUAGAUAAUUAGUUAGUUAAUUAGUUAAGCAGUUAAUUAGUUUAUUAGUUUAACAUGUAAAUAGUUUGUUAGUUUCGAACAGACAACAGCUUUAGUUAAUUAGUUAAUUAGAUAAACAGAAAUUAGUUAAUUAGUUAAUUAAUUAAUUAGAUAAUUAGUUAAUAGUUAAUUAUAUAAUUAGUUAAUAAGUGAAACUAUGUAGAAAUAGUUUGAUUAGUUAAUUAGAUAAAUAGAAAUUAGUUAAUUAGUUAAUUAAUUUAACUAUGCAGAAAUAGUUUGAUUAGUUUAAUUUGUUUAACAAAUUAAACGUUGGUUUUGAUGAAAGUAACCAAACCUUUCAUUUAGUAAAGUCAAAUACAAUUGGAGGUACUCUAAUAAAUUCACACAUUUUUACCUUUUAAAUUAGUUCCAACUUUUUCUAGGAGAGGUUAAUGCUAUUUCAAAAUUGAUAGGGAAAGUCAAUGCAAAUAUCAGAAAUCUCAGGGGAAGUUUCUGCAAUUUUCCCUUUCUAGUUUCUAGUCAUCCAACUGCACCCAUCUUUAUUUCUGCCUUCUUUUUGUUGCCGUGCCCCAUGCGGCAGGCACAGUCAGGACAGAGUCCUAUCAUAUUAUUGAAACUCUGGUCUCUCUUUUGAAAAUUUCCUGCUUCCAUACUUCAAUCCAUCUGUCUAUGGUCGUUAAUGACUCUCUAUUUUUAUUUUCGUUUAAAGGAGACUUUAAAUUUUAUACUAAAAUAGAAAGGAAAAGGGAGAGAACUUGAAAGUUGCACUAAUAAAAGAAUAAAUCUUACAUAUACUGAUAAUGUGUAUAUUAUCACCGUUUGAUUCAUGAAAUGUGUGUAAAAAUUAAAUUUUAAAAUCAAAAUUUACGUAAUUAUUAUUCAUCUAGCGCAAUGUAUAUACUGAUAAUGUAAGAAAGAUUAAUCCUUAAUAAAAAUCUCAUAACUAAACCCUAUUGAACGGUUGGCCACCGCAUUAAGUGCUUUUGUGGAGUAGAGUUUGAAACAUGACUUUCAUUAGUUGCAACCUACCAAAAGAAGACAGAAAAUACACUACUACUUUUAUUGACAGUGUUUUAAUUUCCGUCGAUCCAUGAAAUGUCAAAAAAAAAAAAAACUAAUAAAAAUCUCCCGGUCGCCAUCGCUGUGCGGAAGAGUAUUUAAUGACACUUUUAGUCGGAGGAUACGUUCUUGGCCAUGCUGCUGGUACAAUUUGUAUUCUGGAUUUUGCAAUAGAAAAGAUAACCAAAUGAAUUUUCCUACGUCUUCUUCCACACGGAAAAUAUCGCAGAUGCAUUCAGGAAUGCUAGAAAUUGGAUGACUAGUCUGGCCUACGACUGCGACCAUCUUUAGUGCAUGACUUCAAACCUUAACUGAAAUAUGCAAGGCCUAAGUGUAAAAGAUGUUCCUGCUCUAUACAAAUUCUGGUAAUGUCCUGAAGUUCUUCAUCCACCCCCUCUCCCCAACUGCAAAUUUCGUCACAAGCCAAGUAUUAAGCACCUAAAUUUUUAGACUUAAAAAACUCAAUGGCCUUACUGUUGUCUCCUUUCAAACUUCUGAUGCAGCAGUAUUAAUGGUCUCAAGCAAUUCUUCUGGGUUUGUCAAGCAGGGGGUUCUUGAAUUUUGGCAAUUGAGUUAUUGGGCAGUACGAUGAGUAAAAAUUUUUACUUUACUAGGUCUUUAAAUCCAUCCAUUGAGGACCAAAGGGGAAGGAAUAUGAAAUUCGAAAGACCAUUCUUCAAUACCCUUUGCCAGUAACUACUUGGCACAUCCGAAUGAAUCUCAGUGUUUGAUAAUAUUUAAGUCAAGAAUGGUUAUAGAAUAAGAAAUUGUGUUUAUUAACUUUUUUAAACACAAGUCAAAAUUGAUAUAGUUAACGAAAAAAAUUUGCAUAUAAAUAAAUUGAGUGUGAUUCAGACUGUUUUAAGUUCUGCUUUAAUGGUAAGAAAGUCAAUCUCAAACACAAUUUUUAAACUUGCAAAAAAUCAUCAAGCUAAAUUUUUGUUCCAGAGUUAAACAAUUCUGAACUUGCAAAAUGAAACUCGUGUUGUCUCGAAUUUUUAGUGCACAUAGAGUGUGAAAGGUUCGAGGCAAGUGUGAAAGUGGGAAUUGGAGACGAUAAAGAAGGAUCGGCAGUCAAAGACUUUAAACACGCUUUUGUUUCGCAACCACUACCAGUACAGUACAAACGUAUGUCUAUUCCUAGCAGCAAAGAAAGUCAAGCACUCCAGUCUCCUUACCUUUCUUUCCUUAAGCUUCCUUUAUUGCACCAGUCUCGGUCGUCGCCGUGACUGUUUGUGUUUGUGUUUGUGUUUAUGCUUGUGUUUGUGUGUGUGAGAGAGAGAGAGAGGGGGCGGGGGGACAGAAAGAGAGAGCUUUGGAAAAACUAGUAGUACUGACAUUAUGGAAUAGCCUGAUAGGCAUUGCUUCUUUGACCCGAUCCCCUCAACAGUAAAAAUCCAUCAUCUCAAACAAAUCUUUCUUCUAGCUUUUCUUCCCAAAGACUUGAUCUUUUUUCUUGUCCAUCUGAACUGCAGUCGGAAGUCUGAAGACCCAUUUGCUGAAGGCCAUUAUAAAGAUUCACACCGGCUGUAAAUAUAUAUCUUUGCUUGCUAAUCUUCUUUUGAGGUAGCUAUUCUGAUUUUUCAGUUGUUUUAGUGCUUGUAUGCUACGCUGUAAAUUGUUUCUUGGAAAGCAAUCUGUAAUUGGGUUUGAAUCGUUUGAGUCAAGUCUUGCCUGUCCUUUCGGGAGCUAUAUUGUGUUGGUUGUGAAACUUGUGAUCAAUCAAUCAAGCUCUCAACUUUAUCAGUGGAGAACAAGAUUUCUUUUUUAUGUUGAUUUGAAGAAACCAUUCUUGCUUUUGUGGAUCCUUAAAUUUUCAGUUUAGGGCUCGACAGCGUCUUAGUUGCAGGUUUUGUCGCUAUCCUUUUAAUCGUUGUUUUUUUUUUUUUAAACUUCAUUUUUUCCCUAAAAUUGUCCUCAUCCAUGUGGAACAGAUUUUGCUCAUAACUUUUUCAUUAAUUUCAAGAUUUCAAAUGGAUGGGUAGCCUUAUGUUUGUUUUUUUCUAUAGUCGGUCUUUGCUGCAUCGAGCUGGCCUCCCCCCCCCCCCCCCCAACAGCCACACCACAAAAAAAAGAGCAAAAAAAAAACCCCCCGCCAAGGUUUUGCAUCACCUCAUGCAGUUUUCUGGGGUAAUUAGACAUAAUUUCCGUGGUCUAUGUAACAUGCUUUUACUAUUAUUGUUGAACAGACACAUGCCUCUGGUUUCUUGAGUUUGUUUUGAGACUGAAAUUAUAUGCAUUAGACUUAAGCGUUCCUUAUUUAUAUCCUUGUCUUGAUUUUUGGAUGUUUUGCAGAGUGCUGAUUUGUUUCUGUUGGUGUGGAUUUGGUUUGGGGACCUUAUGAGGCUUGGAGUUUCCAAAUCUGUAUAUACAAGUAUUCUGUGUGCCAAUCAACCAUAUAAGUAGUUUUUCAUCCCUUGGACUAUUUAGUUUCUGCUUGUGCCUUGACGAGGAUGUCACUUCAUAGACGAGCUCUUACUGCUCUUGCUGCUGUCCUUGCCUGGUUUUUUGCCAAUGCUUCUUUCAGUAAUGGUAAUCCGAGAGAUGUUGAAUGUCUGAGAGCUGUAAAACAGACGUUAGAAGAUCCGUUGAAUUCCUUAUCUACAUGGAAUUUUGACAAUGCAACCGAAGGUUUUAUCUGCAAGUUUACUGGAAUUGAAUGCUGGCAUCCAGAUGAGAAUAAGGUGUUAAAUGUACGACUUUCGAGCAUGGGACUCAAGGGGCAGUUUCCGCGUGAUCUUGAAAAUUGCUCAGCUCUGACAGGUUUAGAUCUUUCCAGCAACAACAUCAGUGGAAUUAUUCCAUCUGACAUCUCCAGUAUAAUUAAGUUUGUUACCACUCUUGAUCUGUCCUCCAACCAUUUAUCCGGACAAAUCCCAGAAGGUCUUGCAAAUUGUUCAUUUUUAAACAGUCUUAAGCUGGACAACAACCAACUAACGGGGCAUAUUCCUCUAGAGAUUUCUACUUGAUCGACUGAAGACAUUUAGUGUAAAAAACAAUCAGCUGACUGGGCCUGUUCCAGCGUUUAUAAAUGCUAGUGUUAAUGCAGACAGCUAUGCAAGUAAUCAAGGGCUAUGUGGGGGUCCGCUGCCGGCGUGCCAGGGUCCUUCAAAGAAACCACGGACAGGAAUUAUUGUCGGGGCAGCUGUUGGUGGGGUAACCAUUGCAGCUUUAGGGGUUGGUUUUGGAAUGUUCUUCUUUAUGCGUAGGUUGCCUGGAAAGAAGAAGGAAGAUGAUCCUGAAGGAAACAAAUGGGCAAAGAGCAUUAAGGGUGCCAAAGGCACCAAGGUAAGAUGACUAUCUGUGCCUCUUGCAGUCGUAUGAUUAUUUUUUUCCCUAUUUAAGUAUUUCGACAAUAUUAUGCAUUGGGCUAUUCGCCUGACAUCCAAAGAAUUUUCUGAAUGCAAGUUGCAUGCUAGUUUUAACUGUUUUGUGUCAAUGCUGUACGAGGUAUGUUAGCGCUUAACAAUCUCAUGAAUAACUGUACUGAUACUCAGUUGAACUAUGUCACAUAAUUGAUUGAAUAAGUUAGUGUUAUAUGGUAAUUUUGUUGUCCUUAUUAAUGACCUGUAAGUCCAUCAUUAUAACACCCAAUCCUCUUAUUUCCAGCUUUCAAUGUUUGAGAAAUCAGUUUCAAAAAUGAGAUUAAGUGAUUUAAUGAAGGCCACCAGCAAUUUUAGCAAAAACAACAUAAUUGGGUCUGGAAGAACGGGUACUAUGUACAAGGCAUUACUUGAGGAUGGAACAUCACUCAUGGUGAAGAGGUUGCAGGACACUCAGCACUCAGAGAAAGAGUUUGUUUCUGAGAUGGCUACUUUAGGAAAUAUAAAGCACCGCAACUUGGUUCCUCUCCUGGGUUUUGCAUGGCUAAGAAAGAGAGGCUUUUAGUCUACAAGCUUAUGCCGAAUGGAUCCCUCCAUGAUAAACUGCAUUUCCCACAUGAUGCUGACAAAAAAAUGGAUUGGCCUUUGAGGCUUAAAAUUGCUGUUCGAGCAGCUAAAGGUUUUGCAUGGCUCCAUCAUAAUUGCAACCCUCGCAUUAUUCAUCGAAAUAUAAGCUCCAAAUGCAUUUUGUUGGAUGUUGACUUUGAACCCAAGAUAUCUGAUUUUGGACUUGCUCGGCUUAUGAACCCCAUUGACACUCAUUGAGUACUUUUGUCAAUGGAGAAUUUGGUGACUUGGGUUAUGUUGCCCCUGAGUAUACAAGAACCCUAGUGGCCACUCCAAAGGGGGAUGUCUUCAGUUUCGGUGUUGUGCUUCUUGAGUUGGUUACAGGAGAGCUGCCUACCUCUGUGGCAAAGGCACCAGAAAGCUUUAAGGGAAACCUGGUGGAAUGGAUUUCCAAUCUAUCAAUCAACUCCAAACUUCACGAUGCAAUUGAUCAGUCUUUGGUUGCAAAGGGUUAUGAUGGUGAGCUUUUCCAGUUUCUCAAAGUUGCCUGUAGCUGUGUACUGCCUGCACCAAGGAGAGGCCUACAAUGUUUGAAGUAUACCAGCUUUUAAGGGCCAUUGGACAGCGAUAUAACUUCACCACAGAAGAUGACAUUUUGGUGCUUUCAGAAAAUGGAGAUGCAGAUCAAUUACAGGGCUUAUUGUUGCUCGUGAAGGAAUAGAGAUGCAAUAAAGGUAUGAGUAGGUGAGAUAGUAUUAACGAAACCAUAUAUAUGUAACUAUCAAAAGUUGUUCAUUUUCAAAUAAAUGUUGAUAAAUCGUGUGAGCCGUUUGGUUAUUAGUUUUGGGUAUCAUGCUGGAUCACUUAUAACGUGGCAUGUGAUUUUGCUGAAUAUCUUCUUAUUGUUGUGUAAGCCUUAGAUUAGAUCUGUGAUACCAGAUUGUUGGGUGAUCUGUGGGUUGAUUCUGCCUCUGUCUUUUGUUAUGGUAACUGUCUUAUCAUUCUUCUGGUAAAGUUUAUGCUACGAACCCUUUGUAAAGUUGUACUUAAUGCAACAUGGCCCUGCUUGCUAGACAACGUUCACCAAUGCACCUUCCAAACAAGAGGAAGUUCAUACCUCUCUGGGUUAUCAAGGUUGCUAAAAUAUAAUCUUAGCUAUGAAAUUCCAUUUGGCAAUAUAGUUUUCUUCUCUUGUUUGCCAUUUUCUCAUGAUAGUAUCAUUUAUUUAAAGUUAUUGUUGUGUAAGGCUCAGCAUAUAUUUGGAUAUUGCAGUUCUUCUAUGUUGGGUUGGGAUCAUUAGCUUGCCUGAGCAGUUUGUUUAUGACAUACUUUCCUCACUCUGUAGCUCUGUGUGGAUGUAUUCUUUCGCUUUCAUGUUGAAUUUGCUUUAUUAGCAUCCUAGACGAACUUAAGCAUGCUGUGCUGCGUUUUUUGUUUUUGUUGUUGUGCCUUCACUAUAUUUUUCCAUUUGUUUAUUUGCUUGUAAUUUCUGUUAGGCCCAGCUGGGGAUAUAAGCUAUAAUUUAAAAUCUUCUUGUGAUUCUGUAUUAAUGUACAGGGUAUGAAGUCCAUGGUUCCUUUUCUCCUCCUUUCUGGUUUCUGCUUGAGACCUCUUCUGUCCCUACUCUCUCUUCUGGAGUUAUAUGUAGAAUUCACCAGAAUUACACCAGCGUCAUUUUUUAUGUGUUUUUUGGUUUUUUUUUUGUGGGUGUUGUGUUUUUUUUGUUUUUGUUGGGCGCGGCGGGGAGUGUGUGUGGUUUUGGAUGGGAUUUUGAACCUGAAUCUCAGAUUCUUCCAUUCUUCAUGCACAUUGAUGCAUCCAAACUUACUAACUUGUGGAACCUAAGAAUAUGAUUCACCUGGAGCCCAUAUACGAAAUUGAAUUUUCUCUAGUGCUGUAUGAUGCAUGCUGAAACUUGAUUUAUUGUGCUGUUGUGUGAUGCAAGCUUACUGUUAACUAGUAUUGAAAGACGCAAUUUUUCAAGCAUGGUUAUCCUUUCAAAAAGGCUUGGAUAAUAUAUGGCACAACAACCAAUAGAGUCUCAGAUGGCCAUGACAGUGUGUAAUUUCAGAACAGCAGGGUAUUGUUUCAUAGUUAAAACUGAGAGAAACAAACGAGGCAUGGACAUUACAGGUUAUGCCCUCGUUAUAUCACACUCGUAUGUCUCCUUUAUUCUUCCUUCUUCCUCUUUAAUACCUCAUUCCCAAGAGAUAAUAUGGGUAGGGGUAGCUAAAUAUACCUCGCACAAGUGACAAAUUUCUCGUGUGUUCCCUGCCUUCCCUUUCGUCAGUAAACCUUGUGGUAAAUGUCCUACUACUUUAUUGGGAACUUCAUUAGGGGAGCAAGACAUGCAACGAUACACUUAGCGGACAGCGUCUAUCCUGCCACUCUGCCUAGUUUGAAAGCACACUUGCAUGGAGACAUGCACACACACACACACGAACAAUUAGAGACAUGCACAUGUACACGUACAUAAAUUGAAAGCAGUGAUUAAGCUGACCGACAGCAGUAAAAAACGGAUUACCUUUCCUGUACCUUUUUAAGGUUCAGUUCUUAUGAGACUGUUAUUUACUAACUCUAUAUUUUGUUAUCCUGUUUAUCUUUGAUAGAGGUUCUGAUAUUGUGAUUUUCUGUUUGGUUGUUGUUAUUAUAUUGUUAUUUGUUAUUCUCUGCCGAGUAGUGCUUAACCUUUAGCAUGCAUUUGGCUAGGCAAAGAAUUUCAAUAUCUUUUGUUUUGUGGUUUGCAGUACUUUUCCACUGUUAUGCGGGCAUUUCCAUUUUUCUUAGGACAUCAUAGGUUUUAUGGAACUUGUGUCUGUCUUCCCAAAAUUCUUCCUCCCUCUCAAUUUACCUGAAUCUGAUGCACAGGCUGAAGUUGCAUUUUCACUCGGAAGUGUUGUCUGAAACAUAACAAUAAUAGUAUAUCCAAAUCCACGUCUUUAUCUGCCGGAAGAAGUAUCUCAACUUUCUGGAAAGCAAAUAAUAUGUAGUCUUCGUUGAUAGUUAGUUAUAUAAGGGAUACCAAAUACAUUAUGCAGAACUUACCAGCCUUGCUUUUAAGAGAGGUAUUUGAGUACCAAAGCUAUAAGAAAACUCAGAUUCUCUGGUAACCACCAUGCCUACUGGUGUAGACGGUGGUCUUGAGUUGUUAAGACAGUUUUGUGCUAUAUUUAUAGCGUUCCUUUCCGAUUGAGAAUUUGCCAACUGAGUUUUCUUGAAGAGCUGUGUUGAUUCGAUUCGACCAUUUGUAUCCGCCCCGCCCCGCAUCUUCUUUCUUCUGAGAUGAGAAGAAGAUGGCACCUGGUCUUUUUCUCCUCAGCUGAUUUGGUUGACAGAGUGCUCAUCUGAAGCCGGCUGACGCUGUUCCAAUUUUGUGGUAUUGGUCGCAUCUACUGCGUUAGUUUACCUUUAAAAUCCGACAGAGUGUUAUGUUGUGUUUCUCCGACGAGCGUGGACAACAAACAUGCCCUCGAGUAGCCGGAAAUGGUCAAAUUGGUCACCGCCUAAACUCGCCGUUGUCGUCAUUUUGUGGCGUCAGCUCUUAUUGAUGCGGGCGCCGGCAACUCAGAAUUAUGCCACGUAAGCUGUAACGCGCGAAAGAAAAUAAUAAAAAAAAUUAAGAAAAAACAUAUAAUAGCUCAUUGAUGCUGCGGAAUCCAUCCAAGUGGCAGGAUGAUCAGAUGGCUGCUCCCAUGUCGCUCUCUAACCUUGUGAGGUUUAAAAUCUUCAAUAAAUUUAAAAAUGAUUCAUGGAUUUUGGUUUUAAGAGUCAGCUCAGCCGGCAGAGAUAUCAAUCAAUCAAUCAAUUGUGAGAUUCGUUCUAUUUCUUUAGUUCUUCCGUUCUCUAAUUAUUAAAUAGUACAAUACCUUAAACCUAUACUAGCAAAUCAAGUUUGCUUUUUUUUUUUUUUUUUUCGGAUGGUUUACUGACUAAAUUGGACAAAAUGAUUUUACAUACUCGUUUUAGACAGUCGAGCGACCUUGUUCACCACAAAAAAAAAAAAAUAUUGGGUAAUUAACUCGUGCCGUUUUGAAUAAUUUGGUGAUCAUUUUGGUCAUUUACUAUUUAAGAUAUAUAUUUCUUUGGAGAAUGAUUAAUACUUUUUUUUUAAAAAUUUUUAUAAAUACCUUAAGAGGUUUGUUUGGAUAGAGAUUUAUUAGUCAAAAUUUAUUUGCUUACAUCAUCAUUACAAUUUUCAACGCACCUUUUUAUCUUUCCAAUUAUCUUUUUAUCUCACAGACAUCACAUCACAAAAAGUGUUACAGUAAAAAUAUCUCAAAUAAUUUACAAUCCAAACAGAGCCUUGUUUCAUGCGAAGAUGAAUGGACUGAAGUGUGACCCAAAAUUGUUGAACCCCAAAAAAGUCUACAAUAUCUCUUAGAAGAAAAGUUAAAAGGGAAUAGGAAUAUGGGAUGGGAUAUGUUGUGAUGAUGCUGUCCCAUCUUUCAAAGUGAUCAUACUUUGGUUUGCCAAAAAGGAUCUUUUCAAGUAAACGGUCGACUUGACAAUCUUUCGAAGUAAUCAUAUAUCGCCCAAAACAAAAAGGAAUAAUAAUAUCUUUCAAGCAAGCACAGCAGCCGACUUAACGCUUGACAAUUACUACUAAUUAAAGAAUUCUUUGCUGACGGCGGGUGGUGCUUUCUACAUAAAUGAUUGGGAGCCGGAAGAAGACACGAGGACGUAGAACGGUGUUGGACCGGCGGUGCAAGGCUUGUAAUGAUCAGAAACAAUUCGACGGCCAACAUCUGAUCGGAGUCAUUUGUCAGUCGAGUCAAGUGUUAACUGUGUCUGUGCGAAGAUGUGACAUGCAUGAAAACCGAGAGGGAGUAGUAGAAGAUUUCAUUAACCGAUUACUUUGUAAACGAUAUAAGUAAGUAUUAACCGCAGUUAGCACGUAAUUUUUUCCUCUGCUAUAGUAUUCCCAUGCAUUAUUGUUCUUUUUUUUUUAUGUUAAACUUUCACAAGUUCGUCGCAAUCUCAUCGCACACAGCAAAAUACACGAGAGACAUUGCAAUUUACAAGCAAGAAAAAUAAAACUACUUUCUUUUCUUAAUUUGAGAAAAAUGAAAAACUACUAAACGAUGAUAAAGGUACAAAAGCAAGAACAAUGGAAAAUCUCCAAUUUGUCAAGCAUCUGGUUGUCCGGCACCGCUAAUUAAUUCGGCUACAAAUUCAUCAAUAUUCCUAUCAGAACUCCACCCUCAUCAAUAGCUUCCUUAGCUAAAGUCUUCCAUUUGAUGCCAUUCUCUUUGAUCUGCUUUCCCUUUCUCCCUCCAUAAUCUCCCUUAUACAGGAAACUAACGUUUCCCUUCUCACAAUGCCUUUCUCAUCAGCAGCAGCCCUCACACCAACCCCAAACGUCCUCAAUAAACUUAGCAUUGGUGGGCUGGUCCGCUAACUGCGGCGCUGCCACCACCGGCACUCCUAAACUCAAUGCCUCCAUCACCGAAUUGAGCCACAGUGGGUAACGAAACAUGCGACGGAUUCAUGUGCUAAUACCUCAAGCUGUGGACUCCAUGUCACCACCAACCCUCUCUCCGACGUCUCAUCAACGAAGUUGCUUGGUAGCUUUUCCUUCUCAAGCGCCCUCACCACCCAUAAGAAUCUGAAUCCGAUCUCCAUCAAAGCGGAAGCUAUUUCCUCGACUUGUUCUGCUUCGAUCCCUAUCCAGCUACCGAAUGCCACAUAAACAACCGAGUCCUUCGGUUGAUUGUCUAGCCAGUUGAUGCACAAGCUGGAGUCUGGCUUGAAGAGAUUGAUCCCAUAACCUGUAUCAUCCUCAAGGCGUUUAUCCAAGUACAUGGAUGGAACUGUUGGACCCACUGUCUUCACUCGCCAAAGUCUCGCCAUCCAAUUCACCGCCUGUUCAAGCAUAAUACACUAAUUGGUUGAUUUACUGUUACUGUGCAGUAGAUAUAACCAGCACAAGAGGAUGAAAAGCUUACAUCUUCCUCCAAUUUGUGGAAAUUGCUGAGGAUGACCCAAUCUGCUUGAUCAACGUUGGAGAACUGAUUGACAAGUAUGUGACGAAAAUCAGGAUACGAAUCGGGAAGGUAGAUAAAGGACGGAGUUUCCUUUGGUUGGAGCAGCGGCAAUCCAGGAAGGGAAAUAGGUGAGUCUGAAAGAGGGACCGGUAGAAGCCCAUGAUAAACAUGGUAGUAGAUGCUGUUUACAGCACAAGUUUGAGUGAAAAAAGCAGCCGUAACAAGUCCAAACCGCUUAGCUACAUCAAGAGCCCAUGUCAAGUGUGGAUCAUAAAUCACGGCCUGAACUGGUUCGCCAUCGUCUUCUAGUUUCGUGAUAAGAUCAGCCAAGGUUUUCGAGCCGACGGUGGCAAAUUUUUCCACGUAGGCCUCGAAGCUUUCAGCUGCUGCAUAGCCACCGUCGUCGUAGCCAUCUGAAAUGGUUUCAAAGUUAAUUGACCUCUUAGGAUCGGCGUGCAUAGACUUGGACAGGGAGACAGUGUUGGCAAAGGUGACUUUGACACCCUUUGCCUCCAAACGCUUACAGAAUUGGAGCAGGGGGUUUAUGUGGCCCUGGACAGGAAGUGGCAGAGCUAGAACAUGAACUUUGCUUGAUGCCAUCGUCAUUUCCUUCGAUUUUUCUGUGUAUUGCUGUCCGAGUACUGCGACUACUAAUGACUAACAAGAAUGCCGUUCUUACCCGGUGGACCGCAGCCGUCUGCUGGCUGCCAGAGUUGACUUGUCAGAAAGAAAAAGAUAUGGAAAGGAGCUAGGAAGGCAUUCCCCAUGUAUUAACUGGGGAAAAAAAAAGAACUGCCAGGAUAUCUUGAACGUUGGCAUAUGAUGAUCUUCCAAUUUCCAAUGGUUUUAGAUGGAAUUUUCAUCGUAACAUAUUUCGGGGACUGCUCUUGCAAUAUUGUAAUUCAUCCAUCAGUACUUUUUUUUUUUUUUUUUUUGUAUUAUCAAACAAACCAGUCAUUGAUUGGAUGAAUUUUCAAGACACAGUUAAUAUUUAUGAAAUGCUAUGCAGAGACUCGUCAAUUUUAGAAUGGACUCAUUCAGUAUGCAGUCAUCUUCCAAACAAGUUUUCUUUCUUCCAUUUUUUUUUUUGGGAUUUUUUAGCAUAUCUAAAUGUUUUUUUUAUACACAAAUUCAUUUUAGAAUCCAAAUUCAAAUUGAAAUGAUCUGAUAUAGAUCCAAACGACUCAACCUUCAACAUUAAUUUAAAGAGGAAACAAAUUUGUUUAUGUUUAAGAAGAAUGCCGUUCAAUUAUAGCGGCAGGAAUUUUAGAUGAAGAACCUCUUAGAACGGUCUUACUGUGCAAGGCUUGUAAUAAUAAUGAUAAUAAUUGAUUUUUUUUUUCCGGAAACGUUAGAAUAAUAAUUGAUAUUUGCAUGGGGGAGAUAGGUACGUGCUAUUCGACGGCUAAUUGGACUAUUGACCUCUUUUAUGUCUUCUUUUGCCAAAGCACGUUACCGGCUAUUGUCUUUUAUUCUGCCAUGGUGGGAGCCUGCUCUGCUGGCUUGCUAUUCUAGUGGUCAUUAGUGACGUUAGGUUAGUCGGCCCUUCUCAUCAAAAAAAAACUCCAGCAUCCUUUUGCCAUGUACUCUCUCAGCCAAGACAUGGAGUAUUAUACUUUGCUUCGGCCAACACUUUCUCAAUUAAAAUUAGGGUUUGGCUAAUGAAUGAUUGAAAAAUUCGUUGAAAUAGUUUCAAGGGUUAAUUUUUUGACGAAAGGUAAAAUUAAUUUGAGAAGGGAUAGUAAAUGUAAAUGUGUGCAUUGACGUGAUAAAUUAGUGUGUGUGUGUGUUUUUUUUUUUUUUUUUAAAAAUAACCUUAAAAUCAAACAUCAAACUUUACACUGAAUCAACAAUUCCCCUUGGAUAAUUAAUCGUCGCAAUAACUCGAUUAGAGUUGAUAGAUAGUUGGAUACCUAAAUUAUUUCAAAUAAUAUUUGGCUUGCAUCAUAAACACAUGCAUUUUCCAACCCACUUUUUUAUAUUUUCAACCAUAUUUUUAUUUCACAUAUAUCAAAUCAUAAAAAGUGCUACAAUAAGUAUUCUAAAUAAUAUUUCAAAUAAUACUCUAUCCAAACAAAUCUGUUAAUUAAUGGUCACGAUACUACUGCCUAUUUCUUUUCUUUUUUUUUAAAUCCCACAAUAAUAAUAAUAAUAAUAAUAAUAAUAAUAUUUCUUUCCCAAAAACAACAGAAGAGGAUGGGACUUAUUCUUAGUUGCAGCCGUCCUCAAUCUGGAAGCUCCAAUUGAAGCCUCUCUGUUCUUUUGUGGUCUUGUACGGAGCAAACACAACACAAGAAUAAGACAUGCAGUUGCUUGCUAAAAGCCAAAAAGAAACAAGAAUAUUUACAUAUGUGUUAGUUGCGUACCAAAACAGACAAGAGGAAGGGCCGGGGAAGAGAUGGAGACAGAGACGAGUUCACAAGAAGAAAAGUCGAACCAUACUUUUCUAGUAGAGAGAAGAAACUAAAACGAUUUUGAUGAAAGAAAAAACGAACUUCUUGUAGUCUUUUCUUUCCAUACAAUCAUAGAUCUUGUCUUUAAUUAUAUAUAUAUAUAUAUUUUUUCCACAAGCUCAUAGAAAUUAUUUUCUUCAUCCAACUUGAUAUUACUUUAACCGGAGCAUGAAUGAUUGUCAGCAGCUAGCUGUGCAUUACACCUACCAUAAUAACAUAUUAUUAGAUGAGAGUAUUGUACAAUUGCCCACCCACCCCUUGACCCACCUUUCAAGCCGAGCUCCUGCUUGACUUUUUUUUUUUUUUUUUUUUUUUUCGGUUGAAGGGUAUUCAGGCCUACAACUGAUUAGUCCCACCAACUCUGAGGAGAACGGACUCCACCGAUUCUUAGGAAAUUCCGCCGGAUUGCCAAGCUCGAGAUGGAAUCCAAACCGUCUCACCCUAAUGAGGACUAUACGACCGCUCGAGCAACCCGUUGGGGUGGCCCGUGCUUGACUGAGUCAGAAAUUUUGAAAAGAAAUGUGGGUGUUUGUAUUCUGGAUCGUUCCUAACUUAAAUUACGUACGAGGAAAUUUACUUUUGAAUCUUCUUUAAGUACCAUUAAAGAUGACAAGGGCCUUUUCCUUUGUAGUAUUUUCAAUUGGGAAGAAACUUGUGAUUCUUUCGUCCCCCCUGAAUAUCUUCUUUCCCAAAAUGCAAAUGGCUUUUUUCUUCCCCGUAAUCCCACAUGGAUUCAGCUUUCUCUUGGCCAAAUUGCCAGCAAACCUUGCUCGGUUUCAGUUCGCACGGUAGGAUCAAGUGUGAUUGGAUAGGAAAUUAUUUGAAAUAUUAUUCAAAAUAAUUAUCAUAGCAAGUUCUGCGAUGCGAUAUUUAUGUGAUAAAAAAUAAAUUUGUGAUACACCUUUUGCAAAAUGAUAUAUAUGAGAUAAAAAUGUGAUUAAGAAAAUAAAAAAGGUGCGUUGGAAAAAUGUAUUUAAAAUAUAGGUAAAUAAUUUUUUUUUUAAACAAAUAACUCCUAUCCAAACAUGGACUUGACUUCUCUUUAUUGGAUUUUCUUUGUUUUCUGUAGUGCACAUUUGGAUGCGUGACAGGUGUAUUUAUUUAUUAACUUUGAUGCAUGACAUUUAUAUCAUUUAUUAGCAAGGGUUAGGAUUGAUCAAAUAUAAAACCAUCAUGCCCUUUUCUAAUAAUGUCGAAAAUGUAGAGAGAAUCCACCACGGAGGAGCCAAAUUCAUCCAAACACACUCGAGAGAGGGAAAGACGGGAGGCUUCACCCGUAGAAAUAAGCACAAUUUUCUGGUUGAAGAAACUAAUAAAAUAUAUAAGUUGUCUCAUUUACUUCAUAUAUUUCAAAGAAACACGAAUCAUGACAUAGAAUUUAUCCGUGCAAGAAAUUAUUACAAAUAAAAAAGUACUAAAUUAUUUAUCACGAGAGUACUGUUUGGAGGACAAGGUACGUUGCCCUUUUCAGCGUAGCAUCUACGUCUAGUUCUUGGCUUUCUGGCCUGCUAAUCAGCAACAAAUUCAUCAAUGUUCUUAUCAGAACUUCCACCGUCAUCAAUAGCUUCUUUAGCUAAAGCCUUCCAUUCAAUGGCAUUCUCUUUAAUCUGCUUUCCCUUUUCGCCUCCAUAAUCUCCCUUAUACAGGAAACUAACGUUUCCCUUCUCACAAUUCCUUUCUCAUCCGCAUCAGCCUUUACACCAACCCCCCAAAUGUCGCGCGAGAAACUUAGCAUUGGUGGGCUGGUCUGUCCACUGCGGCGCUGCCACCACCGGCACCCCUAAACUCAACGCCUCCAGCACUGAAUUGAACCCGCAAUGAGUGACAAAACAAGCGACGGAUUCAUGUGCCAAUACCUCAAGCUGUGGACUCCAUGUCACCACCAAGCCUUUCUCGGAUGUCUCCUCAGCAAAUUUGCUUGGAAGCUUUUCCUUCUCAAAUGCUCUCACGACCCACAAGAAUUUGAAUCCGCUUUCCUUCAAAGCUGAAGCUAUUUCCUCCACUUGUUCUACGUCAAUUUCUGUCCAGCUACCAAAUGAUACAUAAACAACCGAGUCCUUAGGUUGACUAUUUAGCCAGUUGAUGCACAAGCUGGAGUCCGGCUUGAAGAGAUUUAUUCCAUAACCGAUAUCAUCCUCAAGGCGUUUAUCCAAGUAAAUGGAUGGAACUGUUGGACCGACUGUAAUCACUCGCCAAAGUUUCGCAAUCCAAUUCACCGCCUGUUUGAUGGUAACAACAAACAAAAAGAGAUCAAAGUUGGUAGAUUUAUUAUACUGCAUAGAAUUUAGGAUCCCUGUAAGUCAUACUGUUCUUGCUAAGAGAGAGGCUCAGUCGUAAGUAGGAAAGGUCUAUGCAGUAUAGUUGUAUAAGGGGAAGAAAUGCUUACAUCUUCCUCCAAUUUGUGGAAAUUGUUGAGGAUGACCCAAUCUGCUUGAUCAACGUUGGAGAACUGAUUGACAAGCAUGUGAAGAAAAGCAGGAUACGAAUCGGGAAGGUAAACAAAGGACGGAGUUUCCUUUGGUUGGAGCAGUGGCAAUCCAGGAAGGGAAAUAGGUGAGUCUGAAAGAGGGACCGGUAGAAGUCCAUGAUAAACAUUGUAGUAGAUGCUGUUUACAGCACAAGUUUGAGUGAAAAAGGCAGCUGUAACAAGUCCAAAUUGCUUAGCUACAUCAAGAGCCCAUGUCAAGAACGAAUCAUAAAUCACGGCCUGAACUGGUUCGCCCUUGUCCUCAAGCUUCCUGAUAAGAUCAGCCAACGCCUUUGAGCCGAAGGCGGCCAGUUUUUCAAGAUAGGCCUCGGGGCUUUCGGCUGCUGCAUAGCCACCUUCAUCAUGGCCAUCUGAAAUGGUCUCGAAGUUAAUUGCGCUCUUGGGAUCGGCGGGGAUAGACUUGGAGAUGAAGACACUGUUGACAAAGGUGGUUUUGACGCCUUUUGCCACCAAACGUUUACAGAAUUGGAGCAUGGGGUUUAUGUGGCCUUGGCCAGGAUAUGGCAGAACUAAAACAUGAACUUUGCUGGAAUUGAUCAUCAUGAAUUAAUCCCUUCAGCUGUUUCCUGAACCUUGAGUACUCUCAAGUUUCUUCUUUUUCCUCGCGAUAGCAACUCCAAGUCGAUCUAUAACUAUGGUUGCAUUAUAUAUAUAUAUAUAUGGCGAUGGACUAGCUCUCGUUUUCCGUAGGAGAUAUGGAAGGAUGGACCUUCGCACUGCUUUCCAAAUUUACCCCUUAUUAUUCCAUAUCAAAUGGGGCCUUUUGCCAUGUCAAACGGCGUCUUAUUAUUAGUGGUUGGCAUGUCAAAUUUGGCAAAAUCCUUGUGGCAGAAACCAAAUUGAGGAGCCACACUGUUUGCUUGACUUUAGAUGUGACGUGAGGUGCAUAAUUUGCACAGCUAGCUCCUGUCUUUCUUUCACUAGCAGAUAAAAAGGGCCAAAAUUGGAAUGCGAAUAUUGAAUAUUAUUGUCUGCCAAUAUUUAUUAGUCAGUAACACCAAAGAUUUGAGAUAGACAAAAAGGACAUUAUAACACUACUGUAUGUAUAUGGGUACUGAUGGGUCCGGAAACGGUAAUGCAUUAUCUCUCAUUAGUAUAAGAACAAAUUGUACAUACACUACACUUGAGAAAGAAAUUUCUCUAAAGUUAGAAAAUUUUUGGGAACUGCAAUAAGAAUGCAUAAUAAAUACUAUAAGUUAGGUUGCAUCCUUCAUUUGAAUUCUCGUGAGAUUUCAAGUAAUUUUUGCUAUUACGUAAAGAUAUGACAUUGUGAUGUGCUGAACAUGAACAGGAUGAUGAGAUUUUAGAAAUUGUAACAAUUAGUAGUGCUGCAUUUUUUAUUUUUUCGUAUUUUGUGCCCAUUAAAAAUGUAUCUAUUUGUCAGCUAGACUUUUUAAUAUGGAGCUAAAAUGAGUCUAUUUAAGGUGAAAAUUUUUUCUCAUUCAAAGGGUACUUUUGUCACCUAGGCUCUUAAUGGAGGAUAAGUCGGCCACUUAAUCAAUCACUUGGCUUGAGUUAUUUUUCUUCAAUCAUUUUUUCCAAUAGUUGAUCAAGGGCGUGAAGUGCCCACUAAAAUAGUUUUGGGGCAUAAAGUGUAAUUGACACAAUAGUUCAUGGAGGUUUCCAAGAAUUUUAUCCAAGAAUUCCUCUUUAUUCUUCAAGCAUAACUGGAACUGGAAGGAUUCUCACUCAGUAGGACCUAUUACCAAUAAAUUAAAAUUAAAAAAAUUUUUUUUGAGGGAAGCCCAAUUGCAGUUUUGUCAUAAUUUUGACGUCAGCAGAAGUUUACCAGCUAGUUGGAAUGAUCUGUAAUGAAUUUUCAGUGCCCUCCGGCAUCUGUUAACAAGAACAACAGGGCAACACCACAAUCUUUAUAACUUCCAACGGCCGAAGAUACCUAAACGUAAGCUGUCCUGUUGUGUUGCUGCUGAUUUCCUACUGCUUUCUUUCUGCUUAAAAUCCCACUUGCGAGUCGGGACUCCAUUUCUCUCGGCCGAACUUUCUAAUUUUCCCGGACCCUCCAAGAGAAUAAAAAAAAAAAAAAAAAUUUGUGUCAAAUGUUCGAUUAAAUUAGCAGCAACCCACCUCAAAUUUAAAGCUCAAACCUCGCACCUCUUUCCAAAUUUCGUCAAGAAAGUGUGGAUUUCUCAAGGCUCCAAUCUGUGAGGAAGUUUCUUGAAUUUCAAUGGAUCUCAGCUCCUCUCCAUCCCUUACCAUUCCUAUAGUAUCCACCCUUACUUCCCCUUUUGAAGGUUCGCCCAAGGAGAAUGAUCCAAAAUCUCUAACCAGAAAACCUCUGAGUUUGUGGCCGGGAAUGUACCAUUCACCGGUCACAAAUGCUCUGUGGGAAACGAGGUCUAAAAUAUUUGAGAGACUUCUUGACCCUCCACUUGAUGCACCUCCACAAAGUGAAUUGCUUACUAGGACUCCAUCUUACAGCAGGACUGCUAUUCUUUACAACUUUUCCACUGAUUACAUAUUGAGGGAGCAGUAUAGAGAUCCAUGGAAUGAGGUCAGGAUAGGGAAAUUGCUAGAAGAUCUUGAUGCUCUUGCUGGCACCAUCUCAGUCAAGGUAAUAAGUUGUUCUUGCCUGAAUUUUUAUCUAAUCUUGUGCAUCGUGUUCCUUUCCCUUUUUACCAUUAUGCCUGUACAUUGCUGUGUAGAUUCUAGAGUUAAUUCAGAGAACGCUGAACGAAGUUAAUUAAAAUCUUAUCUUGCUUAGCCUUUCUUUUAGGAUUCUACUUUCUUGGGUUUUGGUUGGUAUUACUUUCAUUGCAGAAUAGGGUCCUAUUAUUGCAGAGUAACACGGAGUUCAAUUGAUUUUUUAUUGCUAUAUACUAGAAUCUUGUUCUUCGUCUUUCUCUGCUCAUUGUUGCAUAAUUGUUACUCUUGAUUUCAUGGCUUUAUUAGGUUAAGAAACUUUGAUGCUUAUGAAUGUUGAUUUAACAAUCACUUCCUAAAAGUAAAUUGUUAUUCUGACGUAUGACUUGUAGCACACAGGAAAGAUUGUUGUAGUCUCCUCCUAGUAUCACUUACCUCACACAUAGGAUUUUGAGAACAAAGGUAGGUUUCUCUUUUUUUGGGUAAGUGAGAACAAAGGUUUCUCGGUUGAAAUUCCCUCCGCCCUGUUAAUUAUUUCAUGAUUCAGCAUUUUUAGUUAUCAGAAGAUCUAUCCUGCUUUUGCAGGGGUUAAGAUUGAUUAUGGCGCAGAUAAAAGUUUAUGCUGACUAGAUUACGUUAUCAGGAGAAAAGGGUCUAUCCAUCCUUUUCUUGCUUAAGCGUGGUUGAUGAGUUAUUGCAAUACACAACUUGAAGACCAUAUAUGGCCUUCUGGACUUAUUUUUUGCUUGUGGAUUAGCAUUGUACAGAUGAUGACAGCAUGACUAGACCGCUUUUGCUUGUGACUGCUUCUGUUGAUAAAAUGGUGCUGAAGAAGCCAAUUAGUGUUGACAUUGAUCUGAAAAUGGCUGGUGCUGUUAUUUGGGUUGGCCGCUCCUCUAUAGAGAUUCAACUUGAAGUGACUCAGCCUACAGAUGGUAUGGUUUUUGGCUCUUGCCUCGUCCAUUCAUAUUGAGCAGCAUUACAACUACGUCCAGCAACUGCGUUGGAGUUGCCUUAUUGGACUUCUCAAAAGCCACAUUUAGUUUUACGGAUUAAGAUUCCAGUUAUAUCGUUAUCUAUAUUUGACACAUGCUUAUGUUGGUAUUCAACAAUCACUGAUCUACUUUGCUUAAGAAAGUUAUUAUUACAGAAAAACUACUUUAAAUAAGAGAUAUUAAAUCAUUUUUGUUGGCUUACAAGUGUUCUUUCUGGGCUUGUGGUGUCGUAACCAAGUUAUUGUCUCAGCUUCAACAAAGUCUAUGUUGUCAAAUUUCCAACAGCAGAAUACAUAGAAAGUAAUCGAGUAGCAUUUUUGGGCUGCAUUCCCCUCAAUAUCACCCAAGCAGUUAGUUCCUCCUUUUAUACCGGUAUGAGGAUUGUGACAAAAAAUAUGCAUUUUUUACAUGGUGUGUGUUUUCAUUUUGUCAUGAGACACGUUCAUGCAAUUGAUUGAGUCUAGUUGUAAUGGACCUGUUUUCUCUCAUAAUGACUGGACAAGCUGCAUAUCUAGAGUUUAGAGGUUGAGAUUUUGAGAAGUGACAAUUCCUAACAACUGCAGCAUCUGUACUAUAUAUAAAGCCAGAGGAGUGGCAAUUGGCGUAAACUUUUUCAUGUCAUUUUUUGAACUUCCAAUUUCAUCCUUUAAAAAACUAAUUUUUACCCUAAUUACCUAAUCACAUUUUACCAACAUAACUACUACUCAUAAUCUCCCCUAAGUAUUGUAACUACCAAUUUACUAUAUCCUUAUAAACCAGUUCUUUAAUAAAUUUAUAUAAAUUGUAUUUGUGUGAAAAUCAAAAUUUAUAUAAAAUUAAUCCAUUUUAAUUAUUUCUAAAUUGCGCACACAUUUUGUGUGCCUUAAUACUAGUAUCUAAUUUUCCUCUUGUUUGAAUUAACGAGGAAUCUCCUCCAAUCUGAACUUACUGUCAUGGGUAAUGGCUUUUCUUGAGCACUUUUUUUUUUUAAUUUUUAAUUUUGUGUAAAUUUCCAAGUUCCCUCUUUAUUGAAACAAGAAUGUCUCUUAGGAACUGUAUACAUGACUUGUUGACUUGAGUGGAUGGAUGUAACAAAGGCGGCGGGUAAUUGUUGUUGUCAGUGGUAGGUUGACUAAAUGUCACCAGUAAUAGGUUGACUAAGGAGCAUGCUUCUUUUGCAGGAAAAUCUGAUGCUGCAGAAUCUGUAGCUCUGACAGCCAACUUCAUUUUUGUUGCUCGUGACUAUAAGACACGAAAAGCCGCUCUAGUGAACCGACUAUCUCCAGAAACUGAAAAAGAAAAAAUGCUUUAUGAAGCAGCAGAAGCAAGAAAUCAACUUCGGAAAAGGAAGAGGGUGGUAGACAGAAAGGAGAUUCAGAAUGGUGAAUUUGGUAGACUUGAAGCACUCUUGGGUGAAGGACGGAUAUUUUGCGACAUGCCAGCAUUGGCAGAUCGUGACAGCAUUCUUCUCAGGGAUACUCGCCUUGAGAACUCUUUAAUUUGUCAGCCACAGCAAAGGAACAUUCAUGGUCGGAUCUUUGGGGGAUUCCUAAUGCACAGAGCUUUUGAAUUAGCAUUCUCAACAGCUUAUGCAUUUGCUGGUGUGAUGCCUUGCUUUCUGGAAGUUGAUCAUGUUGAUUUUCUUAGACCAGUAAGUACCGUUUGGGAACCUCUCCUACUUCACGUCUAUUUUUUCCCCAGUUCCCCCACAUAUUCCCAUGAUGAGCGGGAAAGUUAAUUUAGGUUCUUCCCCCCCCCCCCAACCCCCACAACCAAAAAAAGCCCCAAUUUUUUUUUUUUUUCUAAUUAUGUGAUGAUAUUUUCUCAAAUCUCCAUGACAUUAGCAACUUUACAUGAAGGGUAUCUCAGAUAAUAGUUGACCUUUCGGAACAUGACCAAUUCGUUGGCAUUUCAGGAGCACUACAACCACCAAAAUUUACUGAUGAAGUAUUCUCUUUUCUGUUGUGCAGGUGGAUGUUGGAGAUUUUCUGCGUUUCAAAUCUUGUGUAUUGUACACAGAGCUUCAGAACACAGAUCAGCCUUUGAUCAACAUUGAAGUUGUAGCUCAUGUUACAAGGCCGGAGCUGAGGUCUAGUGAGGUACAAUGCAUGGUCCCCAUUUCUUUGACCGUAAGAGCUUGGUCUGUCAUCACUCAUGGUCAUAAUUUGCCAAUGGAUGUGCAAUAAUACCAGCUUGAGUAAACGGUCAAGGAGACGUGUAAAAAAGAAACUGGCGUGAAACUGAUUUCAAAACAGAGCUGCUAAUCGAAUGCCAAACUUCUCUUUUAGGUGACUUUGAUGUUAUAUAUUUUUAUCAUGCAGGUGUCAAACAGGUUCUACUUCACUUUCACUGUUCAUCCGGAGGCUAAGGCCAUGAAUGACAGGGUUAGGAUCAGGAAGGUGGUUCCAGCCACGGAGGAAGAGGCCCGCAGAAUCUUGGAGCACAUGGAUGCCGAUUCAUUUAAUCUAGUCUACAAAUCUUAAAAAUUUUACCAGAGGACUGGUGGGUGCCUGGGUGGUUUAGGUUUAUCAGUGAAAUAACAUGGAUCAGUGCAAUUUCAUAGGGACCCCUGCUUACUUUUCCUUGCUCAAAGAUACAUGUUAAAAUACUUCUGAUUAACAGCAUCCUGUCUUAUGCUUCUUUUUGUACAAUGUCAGUUUAAGAUUUACCAUCAGGCACACAAAUUAGAAAAUUUGAUGGUUUGAGGUCAACCUUAUGUUUCUGCUAAUCUCAAUAUGAUCUCAGACAAAUUUGAGCCAUUCUGGUAGAUGCCUCCAAGUCUGGUAGACCUCCUUCAGUGAACCAUAGCUAACUGGCAGCUAAUUCUUCCUACAUUGCAGUCGACAGCUUAAAUGUCUUCUUGUUUCUUUUCAUCAUGAUCGGUGGAUUUUAUACGAAUUUACAGUAAUCUGUACAGCAUAGUUGAAAUCUUCAACUUGAGCUUCCUGUCUUCAAGUGUUUUCGAAUCAAAGAACAGAAAAGGAAAAGUGUUUUUUUUCUUUUUCUUGCUGUCUUCCUUUUUCCCCACCUUUUACCCUUUUUCUGGUUUGAGCAGACGUUGGGAUUUUAUUCCAGCUGAUGCUUCAUGUUCGACGGGGACGCGACGAUAGAGUCUCAAGCUAUGUGACAAAAUUUGAUGCUCUCCAGUUUCCGUUGAUAGCAAAAGAUGAGCCUACUUUAAUGUGCUAGAAAAAAGAAAAAAAAGAAAGCAGGUUAUAGGAUAGGAUCCUUCUUCACUCGUAGCUUUUCAAUCCAACAAAAAUAUUCUGCCACCUCGUGCCUCGCCUUCACCGACUUUAGGACCAUAGAAAUAGAAUCAACCGAAGAGCAUUUCGAGGGAAGAAAAGGGUAAAGAAACUUGGAAAGAAAGAACAAAAAAGGGUGGAAUUACUUUGUGUUGAGCAAGUUAGUGCUAAUAACAACGGUCACACAUGCACUUGCUUUUGGCGCCUAAAAUGUUUUUUUAAAUCAAAGGUUUAACAUGUUAGAUCCAAAGGAUCUUUGCAAAACUCGAUUAUUCCAGAAUUGAGAAAAUGUAACAAUUCUCUUUGUAGUGUGUGCUUGAACAGUUUGGACGAAAGAUUUUUUUUUUCUUCGGUGUAAAGAGAUCUCCUCCACUAUAUAUAAUCCACAAAACGGUUUCCAAAAUUCGUUUACAUCAUAUGCUAUACUAAAUACAAUAGAGGGCAAAAAAGAUUACAUACACCUGAAGUGAUUGGGAGGCACUAUCCUAUACUAGCUCCUAUCCGGCCACAUUUAUAUGUUACAAUCUUUUUGGCCAGUAGCAAAAAAAAAAGAGUAAAAGGUACUCGAAGAACCAAGAACUAAGGUGAAGAGCACUCAUCAUCUGAAGAACUAUACCGCUGCCUUCCGGGAAAAGCACUGGAAAUUGGCUGCAGAUUAGGAUUCACUGGAAUAGGAAAUUUGUGAGCGGAACUAACUGUUGUUCGCUCAUUUAUCGUUCCGACUUCCUUGCAUACCCGAUCAAGAAUUGAUAGAAAGUCUCUCACAACCAUGAAUAUUCUGAAAGGAUGAGCCUCUUCCUUCGCUGAGUUUCCGUGAAAGUAUUCUGUGAUCUCCUUCACCAGCGUCAGUGCAACACUUUCUUGGGCUUGAAUCCUUAUAAUCUCCUCCUCGCCAUCUUCAUGAAACCACUCAUUGAUUCAGAAAAUUUCUGGCUGCUGCCCCCCUCUGACCUUCUGCUUCAAUUGAUCGUACAACCUCAGCAAUAUUUCCAAUUCCUUUCGACAGCUUCAAGACAUCACUAUUGAGCACUUCAGAAUCCAUAGCAGCAGCUUUCUUGACAUUUGCGAGUUCUGAACUAAGGCCCGAAACAACCUGAAGCCCGAGCUUCCGGCACUUCACAUCAUCAUUGACACUGGUACUGUGAUUUUGGUUUGCACUAGAAAGACGAGCACCUUCACUUCUUAUUAUCUCCUGAACAACAAAAUGCAAGAGAGUUGUUUUACCAUCAGCUCCCUUCACAUCGACAAGCUUCAGGAGCGUAUCAAGUUUGAAUGCAUGUGCAUCACCACGAUUAGUCCCAACAUUCAUACGGUUUCCUGUCUUCAGCACAGCUUCUAAAAGUUUCAAAAACAUCCUGCUAUUCCUCAGUUCUUCACAUGCUGCCUGUAAAUUUGGCAACAUAUAUAGCAUCACCAAUCACCUUAUAUCAAAAGCAAUAAUCUACCAUUGUAUCUUUUAGCAGAGUUACAAUAAGUUAAGGACUUGGCUCAUAUGAAUGCAAAGAAUCAGAAGCUUGAUUUUGUUGAUCUAACUCUGAGAAAGCUCCUAAAGAGAUGAGAGAUGGACAAUAUCCAUUUCGCAGCUGGUGCUUUUAUAAUUUCAGAUAUUUCCAUCAAUCUUGUCUCGAGCAACAAUAAUCUUAACAUGCAUUAGAUUGACCUGAAUUGCUGAAUUAACUGAACACAUUGGAACUACCCUGGUAAGUUUGCCCACUCAAAGUCAGAGACAAAACCUGUUUGAAAUUUUCAAACAUUCAACUGAUUAACAGGUGUUAAAUGAGUAUAUCUAAUAUUCAUAAAGGUAUUUAAGACAAUGUUUUACAGUAAUUAUGUCUGAUUGCAGACAGCAUGUACAGAUUCUCCCUGACAUUAAAAUUUAAAAAUUUCCAUCAAAGAGGUGGAAGGAGCUUAGCUAAGAGGUGGCUUCCAUGUAAUUUUAGGUUUCAAACAUCAAAAAGCUUCACAGAUACAGAAUGCAAGAGCAAUAGAAAUUAAAAAAAAAAUGUGAUACGUAAAUCAACUUUAAUUCUUUGUUUUGUAUUAUCAGUAACAUUUUUGGUGCAAGAUUUUGCUUCCUCAACUUUUGUCAACAGAAUCAGAUCGGAUAAUUUCACUUUGGUUUAAACUUGGCAGAAUUUGCAAGCAAUUUCAAUACACAAAAGGCCAAUAAUGAUGUAAAAUUACCUCUAAAGUGUCAAAUGACCUUUUUAGGUACUCAAUCUCAGAGUCAAAGCUUGAGAUGUAGAGCAUUGCAUCCACUCUUUUAAAUGCAAAAGGAACAUCCAGCACUGCCCUCAAAAAUUUUUCAGCUGGCCCAAGCUUAAAUGGAGAAUCAUCUUUAUACUCUUUCAGCUUACGUUCCUCUUCUUUUGUUGGAGCCAUCUUCAAUAAACUCUCAAGGAGUUCAGUUCCAAGAUUAUCCGCAUUGCCUGUGUAGAAGUUUUAAGGGAUUAUGAGCAUUGUGAUUACCAGAUGGCUUUAAACUAUGUAAAAUAAGAUAACUGCAUUUCAGCUAAUAGGAUGACAUUAGAUGUAAAAAAGUAAAUAAACAAACUAUUGAUAGAAAAUUGACAUACAUAAACUGGAGCAACACAGACAGCAACAACUAAUAGACUUUUCACUACAUCACUGGAAAAGAAGAUGACCAUUCUCAAGGUCAUGGUAAGUGGUAACCACAAAUUACCAGAAUAAUAAGGGGCAAGACAAAGACACAGAAGCAUUUGAUGGGCAGCAGCUAAGUCCGCAAAUAAUAAGAAGCAAUGCUAAGACAUCCAAUUACAACAAGAGUUCAAACAAACCAAUCAACCAUACAAGUAAUGGUCGUCAAUAUACAGAAAACCACAAACCUUUCUCGUCUAAACCUGCCUAAUGAAAAAUAAGCGUUAGCAGAUAAAACAUCUUGUAAUUAUGCGUUCUAUAAAUUAAGCUAUUUCAACUGGUAAGCUCUAUCGUGCAUGACUUAAAUGAAAUUACGCAAGAAACAACGUCAGCAAAAAUUUGCACAAUUUCGGAAGUUCGCAGAAAAUGAAAAAGAUUACCUUCAAUGAGAGCUUCACAAACUUCAUCUACCGUCACAUUGAGGGCCCUCAGUAAAAUGGCAAUAUUCUGCGACUUCUUGGGAUCAAGCACUCUAUUUUCUUGGCUUGGUGAGGGAAGGAUUGGCCUUCGAGUUGUUUCCUUGGGAACUUGAGUUGGAGUUUUUCACAACAAACAAUGUCUCAAUCAUCUCUUCGUCCAACCUGCAUUGAACCCAAUUCAGUCUGUUCACUUGAUAUGCAAGAUUACCACCCAAAACAAAAAAAAAAACUGUGCCAAAACCACUCUUUUUUAAGGAUUGAAUGUCAUCAUACUUGAAUGAGCUGGACUUCAGUUGAUCCCACACCAUUUCGCGAUCAGAACUUGCUCUGACUUUAUCCCAAUGCAAUGGCUUCAAUUUUGGUUUAGGGGUCUCUUCAUUUGUUUCCUCAUCUUUCACAACAUUCUCAGUAACAGGACGCCCCUGGGUUUCGAUGGUCUCCUCAGUCUUUUCAACAGCCUCCAAAUUUGAUGGCAGUUGCAUAGGUGAAAUUACUGUUGGGUUCUGCAUAGAUAAAGGCCUUAGAGGUGUUAUUAUAGCUGGUGGUUCGGUUAAUAUCCUAAUGGCUGCCGCCGAAGGUGUUGCGGGACUUUCCCAGUGUUUAAUUGGCGGUGGAGGCGGCGGAGGUGGUGGAAUUGAAACAACCGGAGGCGGUGGGAUUGAAACAGUGGGAGGCGGCGGCGGAGGAGGUGGUGGGGCUGAAACAGUUGAAGGCGGUGAUGGAAUGGAAACAGGCGCAGCUUGCUGAGCAGGACUGCAAAUAAUCAUUGGAGACUCCAAAUUCUGAUCGGAUACGUUUGAGAUUCUAGGGGAAGUCUCCCUGCUUCGACUAUAAACUCUUUCGGGCGAUGAUGAACUAGGAGGCGACGGAGACGGCGACAUGUCGAUGCCGAUAGUCUUUGGUCAACAAAAGGGGCAUUGAAAAACGAUAUCGGGGUGCUGGCGGAGGUGAUGGCGCCCGCGGGGGAGGCGCAGUCUGAAGAGCAACCAACUCUGGCGACUUGGGCCUCGAGGCUUUCGGACUCACACUCACCGGAGGCGAAAUGCUGAGGGAAACGGACCUCACCGGCGAGCCCGAGGCAGAACUAGAAGAAGAGUACGAAGCGGAGCUCGACCGACCAAAAUUCUCCACUUCUACAGCAGCAAAGGCCCUCCUGGACGCCGAUCCAGUGGCGAUCGAGCUGUCCCUGCCCCUAAAGACCCUCUAGGAGAGUAAAACUCUUCAUCUUCUUCGUCCCCAGCGGACCCCACUUCGGCAUUUUUGUGGUUUCGGCUUGCAUUCUGCUGGCCACUAAGCGGCGGCAAUGGCCGUAGCUCCGGCGAGUCCAACUUUCUGGAAUUGGCAGUACCACUGUCAGCAGUACUGCUGCGCGCAUUUUGCUGCGGACUAGUAUUACCAAUGGCCCAUGCGAAUUUACCAAGGUACCCAGAUAGAGGAACUCGGAGCUCGUCUGUGAUGGCCUCUGGAGCUUGGGGACGCUUCCGUUGGCGGAAUAAGUGGCAUUGGGUAGUGGAAUCGAGUGCUGUUGUCGGAUCUAUGGGUCUUAGCUUCGCUAGAAGCUCGGCGGUUUCUUUUCCGGCGGAGGUGCAGAAAGACGGCGAGGGAGACAACAAUGGCGGCAGCGACCACGGCUGCGAUGGCGGCGGCGAUGAGCUUGGAGAGGCAGGUUUGGACUUGGAAGACUGAGGAGGAUGAGGAGGAUGAUGUUAGCAGGGAAGGAGGCGUAGGAGGCUGGAGAAGGGGGCGGAGGGGGAGGGGAAGGAUGGGAAGAAUGGGUGUGUUUUGGGGGAAUUGGAAGUGGAAGAGAAUGGGUAUUUGGGGGUAGCGGGCGGGGGGUGAAGGGUUAGGAGGCUGUGACGGUGGGAGCGAGCCUUGCGGGAAAAAGGGUUGGUGAAGGAUGCGGCGGUUGUGGGUGGCAGGUGCGGUGGUGGCAAUAAUAUGUGAGGACAAUGGAAAAGUUGAGCAGGAGGAGAAGAGAGAGAGGAGGAGGAGGAGGAGGAGGAGGAGGGAUAAGGGAGGCAUAAUUUUGGGCUGAGGAGAUGAGGAAGAGUAAAUGCAGGGGGGAAGGAGGAUAUCUAGCUGGAGCAGGGUGGGCGGAUGCCUUUUUGGCUAGUGGGGACUGUGGAGAUCGGUGGUAGUGUGUGAGAGUGAGAGAGAGAGAGAGAGAGUGACGAGAGGAGAGAGAAAGAGUAGGUUAUUAGUACUAAACAUUAACAUCUGCAUGAGCAUGAAAUGAUGAUGAUGGUGAUGGAAGGGGCGAUGGUUGCAGGUAAAAUGACCGAUGAGGAGAGGAGAGGAGAGGAGAGUGCGGGAAGGAAAAGGUGAAAAUUAGAACAGCAGCAGAAAGCGGAGAAGAAGCCGGGAUCGCAUCACCACAAGUCCGUCCAGAGUCCAGGCUGCGGAGUGGAGGAGCAAUAGUGCAGUGUAGUUUGAGUAGAAGUAUUAUUAUAUGAGCUGGGCAAUAAUUAGUUAAAAAAUAGUUUUAGACAGGCCAGGCUUGACAAGGCUCCUCAUAUGCUUCCAGCUAAGAUUUUGCUAUUUUUUCAUUUUUUUGUUGGUGUUGGUGAUGGUGGGUAGGAACUUGGAAGUUGGAACUAGGAAGAAGAUGCCAAUACCACAAAUUCAAGAAUUCAUGUGUGGUCUCAAAUUCUUAUUAAUUACUGCUACUACUUUUCUUCUUUUUCACAAGAAGAAGAAAAAGAAUGGGAAAGAAUGUAGAACUUCUGGUAGCAUGCUUGCUAUAUACUUCAAAUUUAGUAGUACUACAGUUUAUCCGCUUGAGUAUUUUGAGAAAACUCAUUUCUUGUCUCACAAGAAGGCAUCUAUAGCUUAGUAAAAGGAGAGAAUGGAGCUCAAAAAAUCAUCUAACACAAUAAUAUGCAACUGCAACCACCUGAAUAUAUAAUUAUUUUUGGUAAAAAUUAGAUAAGCUUCCUAUAUGUUUGAUUUGCACGUGCAACCUAAGAGUGAAAUGGGAAUUAGGAUCCAAUAAAUUCUUAUACCCCAUCCGUACUUUUUUUUUCUUUUUUAGCUUUUAUUUGUUCAAAUGGAGAAAUAAUUAUGGUAAUUAAAGUUGUUGUUUUCACCAUUAUCAACUAGUCAACUAAACGAAAUUUUACUGACCUGACUAUUUAUAAGGAAAAUAUACAAGGAAAAAUAACACGACUGCAAAAUGUUACGACCACGAGGAUAAAAUUAAUGUUACACCUCGUUUCUUUCUCCAUCCUUUGCCCAAAAAAAAAAAAAAAUCGUGUCAUGAUCCUAAAUGUAUUUCAAACUAGAAACAUUAGAGAGUAGAUUUACUUUGGACCAAACUCUGGUGACUAGACUAGUCCUAGAGUAUCAACAUUACAUUUUUCUCUUAUACUCCCUCCCUCCGUCCCACUUUGAUAGUCUUCUUUUCCUUUUUCGUCUGUCCCAAAUUGUAGUCCACUUUCCCAUUAAGAAAUGUAGUAAUUUUUUAAAUUGUCUAAAAUACCCUUAUUAAAUAUCUUGUUAUUAAUACAUUGUUAUUAAAUACUAACCCACUACAUUGAAUACAUUGAGUUUUUCCAAUACUAACCCAUUAGCUAUAACUGAUAUUAAUUGGCACUCUUCGUGAUUAGCAUAAGGGUAUUUUAGGAAAUUAUUAAUCUAAAUUUAUGUUUCCAAUCAAAUUAAUUACAUUUUCUUAAUCUGUGUGAAAAAAAAAAUCAAGACUAACAAAAUGGGACGGAAGGAGUAAUAGAAAACGAAAUGACUGCAAAUGUUACAAACGCGAGAAGAAGGAAGACUAUGUGUGAAUCUGAAUGCAUAAGCAAAAUUUUAUGGGUCUUUCUCAAAAAAUUGAUAAUCAAGGGGCUGUCUCAAAAAUAUAAGUUUCAUUAAAAUUGUAAAAGAAAACAAAAAAUAUAUAUAUAAUUUUUUUUUUGAGGGUCAGUUCGUGGAACGAGAUUACCGACAGUCUCGCCCGAGAUUGGAGUCAACGAUAGCGGUGGGUUUUUCUCGCCACAUCAGUCGUCUGUCCCUGAUGAUUUCCUCCUUUGGGACUGUGAGUACCUUACUUUCACCGGCUGUGACUGUGUUAGCUCACUCAAUCUAUGGUUCAACAUACCAAAUCAUUUUUGUUCAACAUACUUUGCAUUCAAAGUCUUUUUUUUUUUUUUUUUUGUGGGUGGGGGGGGUAAUUAAAUACCCACUCUAAAAUAUGAUGAAGAAAAGGGUAUGGGUUUGGUUUUAUGAAAUUCAAAAGUUAAACCGAAUUUUCAUUAUUGUGAAAGCGACUGCAAAAAUGAAACACGUAUUAUUGUCCGAUAAAAUAAAACAAUUGGUGCAAAUUCAAAAAGGACACCACCACACCACCAAAUGAGAUGGCCGUUCUACUAUCACAUUGAUUCAUCAUGAUUGAUGGUCGCCCUCAAUUCAUAAAGAACAAUGAUUUAAAAGUUUGGAAUAUACUAAACUUUUUACGUUCUUUUCUUUGCAAUAAUAAUAAUACAACUAAUAUUAUUACUUAAAACUUGGAUCCACGUAUGUGUGCACCUCACGUGCUAGUUUCACAAUAACGGUCAUUAUCUUUGUCAUUAUUAUGGGAUAUAACAGUGGUAAUAAUAAUAAUUGUACUCCGUCCUUUAAUUCGUGGAAUUAAAAAGUCCGUAUGUAAGUUCUAUUUUCACUGUAGCACUUUUCUUAUGAUGUGAUGUAUGUGAGAUAAAAAAAUAUAUUAAAAAUUGUAAUGAUGAUGUAAGCAAAUAUAAUUAAGAAAAUAAUCAGCUGUCCAAACAAAGCCUACACGUGUUUGAAAACCGAGCAUAGAAUGAAUGCUAUUAGGCCUUGAUGGUCGGAGAGAUUAAAGUUCAACUCUUGUCUUCCAUUAAUUUGUCAUUAUAUGUAAUGAAUUUAAUUGAUUUUAUUUGAUGGAGUUUUUAUCCACAUAUAAUUCUCUUCUCGGAGCAAUACAAAGAAUCAAUUAAUAUAAUGUUGACAAAUUGUCACUGUCCUGGAGAUAGAUUGUUCAUUCCUCUCAACAAGAGAAGAAAAAAUAUCAUGCCAAAGAAGUUUAAUUCUAGUAGAAACACAAUAGUCAUUAUAUGGAAUUUGUCUUCUAAUAUAGGUCUUAGCAGGACAUAAUAGCAGGACAUAGUCAUUAUAUGGAAUUUCUGUACCUCAGAUAUAUGGACUUGAACAAUAGUAAGUAAAGGACUCCUCCAAAUUCUCAACUGCAACAUCAGAGGACUAAAAAAUUACAAAGAACUGUCUGCCUUUAAUUAGCCUGCUACCUUUAUCGCACCCAUCUCAUCAAUCUUUGAGCUCUUAUGCUGCAAGAUUUGGAAUUGUAAGAAGGCAACACAACUAUGAAGAAGCUAGUUCAAAUGACAUAAAAAAAGCAGAACAGGUUAAUAGUGACAGUCCAACCACAGGGAAAUAGAAUGAAAGAACAUGUCAACCAUGUACCUUACUUUUCUUGUGCUUGUGAACAUCACUGAGAUCUUCAUCCCCAUCAUGCUUCCUUUUCUGAAACUCAAUUAGGCAAAAGAGGUCUUAAAUUAGAUGUAGUACAUCAAAACGUAGAAAGAAAGAUAUGACAUCCCUACACAUACAAAGUUUGAUGGGUUACAGCAACUUGCCAAAACCAUCAACAAAAUUUACCCAGCAAAUUUGGGUUCUAAAUUCAUAAAUCACAUAAUUUGCUCAGUGAUAAUGGGCUAGUGAUCAUGAAAGGGCAAUCAAAUAAAGAAUUAACCAAUUAAAGUGAAAAUUUAUGGAGCAUUAUUACAAGUCGUGACACAUGACUUUCGUUAAGGCAUAGCAGUAGCAACAGAGCAUAACAUCCAAACCUUUUCAUGAUGUUUCUUUGAGUGCUCAGCACCAGAAUCAUGAUGGCCACUUCUAUCUUUCUUUUUCUCCUUGUCUUUAUCUUUACUCCGAUCUUUAUGACGAUGUUUGUGCUUCUUGUGUUCUUUAUCCUUGUCCUUGUCCUUGUCCUUGUCCUUGUGCUUUUUAUGCUUCUUUUCCUUGUCUUUAGACUCGCUUUUUGAUUUUGCAGCUAUGGUAGGAAUACCCUUCUCAGACUUCAAAACACACCGAUGAUGCGACGUAUCAGUACUCACCCAUCAGGUAUAAAAAGAGUAAUGAAGCAAAACAAAUAGAAAAAGAAUCUCGGAAACCCUUGUUUUAAGUGAAUCAACGACAUAAAACAAAGAGCCAUCGUGGAUCAUUAGCAGCUAAAUCAACAAACUAUAAUAAGUAGACUCUUACAGGAGGCAGAUCAACUGGUGCAGUCUCCCGUAAUUGGAAGGCUUCUCUCAGAACAUCUAGGUCAAAUGGCUGUAUGCGUGCAUUUGCCUCUCUUGAAAAGGAAGUGUCCUGAAUGAGCUGAUCCAAUUGCAUACCUUCACCUUUCCUAAUUUCUGUGUCUCCCACCACAUUAUGAAGAUAGUGUGUAUCGGAGAUAGACAAGGGUAGUGACUUCUUACAGAAGAAUUCGUGGUGAGGCAACAGUUUGUAGUGGCUUAUAAGAUCCACAGCACCUGUAAGUUCUCUAGGUCCUAUUAUCAUAAAUAGCACCAAAUAGUUAGACGUUACACAUUACGGAAACAAAUCUUCGACAUUUCAACAGACAAUAAACAUUUUAGGCAAACCUACACAUGAAAGUUUCAAGUACGUUACCAAACACUUUGAGAUACAUUCCAUAGAACAGAAUAAUCAAGUAAAAGAGCUCAUUCUCACAGUAGCACAAGGCCAGUCAAAAUUUAGAAGGGAAUUAAAUGGGGAAAAAACUAAGCAAGGAAGUCCGACACCGUAAUUUCCUCAAAAGCCUGCUCCAUUUGAUUCAUUCACAAGAAAGCAAAUAGCAAAAGAGCCAUCUUCUUAUUCAAUUCAAACCAACUUAUGAAAUGGAUGGCAUGCACACAAACUCUAGAAGUUAAAAAAAAAAAUCUCAAUCUCGAUCUGAUAGAUUGAAAAACAAAAUCAUGCCAAACAAGAAUGAAUACACCAUAAUAUGGUAAAAGGAAAUUUCACGCAACAUCUGAUCCUUAAAGUAUCUUACCUCUUCCAAACUUCUUGCUAUCAGGAUCCAUCAAUCAGCAUCAAAUAUGUAAGAAGACCAUUACAACCUGAUAUUUAACCUGCAAAAAAUGGUAUAAAUCAGCAACUAAAAUUGAAUAUAAAUCCUUAGUUAAAAGAGCAAAUGCAAAAGGCAACAUCAUGUUACUUAGUUCUCCUUCAUCAAAGUGAUUCAAAUGUUAACAAUCAGUAGUAAGUACCACCAUAAAAAGCAUGGGUAUCAACAAUUCAAAUGAAAAGCGAAGAUAAUACCCGUCCAUAUCACUUUGAUAGUCUUGCUUUUUUUUUUUCACACAAUUUAAGAAAAAUUUGUUAACUUUGCUGGAAGAGUAAAUCUAACCUACUGUUUUUCUAAAAUACCCUUACAUUAAUAUUAGGAGUGUGACUAAUCAUUAUACCUUUACAUUAAUUACAACAACAAUACUGAUGGAAAGUUGCACCGUUCAAGGCAUGAACCAAAGCAAUUAUUGAUAAAGAAAUUAACUAUAUUAAAUAAGGUAAGUUAUACCCACUGAUAACAAACAUAUUAAUAAGGGUAUUUUAGAGAAGUUAAUUAUAUUUUUCAAUUGGAAAGUGAACUAUAAUUUAGGGUGGAUAAAAAAGGAAAACAAGACUAUCAAAGUGGAAUAGAGGGAGUAAUUUAUAAGGACAAAUUGAACGGGCACCAUCCUUCUUUAAUAUUGUAUUGCCAUUUCAUAAUAGUGUUAGGGGCUCCCACCUUUCAAAGAAAAUACACAGGCACCAUCUCCAAGAUAAAUAAUUGAAAAAAAAGGAAAGGAAAACAUGCAAAAAUAACAUGAACCUUUGUUGCUCUAAUUAACUUCGUAUGCUAAACAAGUACAGGUUGCCUAGGUUGGAGAAGAUGUUGGGUAUACGAGUAGCGGACUACUUCAAAACUCAAACAAUCAAACAAGAUUGAUUAGAAAGAGCAGGGUAAUGUAGAUUGCAAUAUAGUAAGCUUACCACAAAAAGAGAAUUAACAAUGAAAGAAAAUGAGGGCAAUAAAGAAAGAAAAGAGGCUUUUGUAUAAAGCCCAUGGCAGCUUCAAAAGUACUCCCUCUGUCCCAAAUUUAGAGACAUUUUUUGGGACUGCAACUUUUUAUGUACAGUAGAUUAUUAUUGCCAGAUGCUUUACUUCCAAAUUUACCUCACUAGAAGUACAUUAGACAGCUGAAGUUUGUGUUUUUCAAAGAGUCAUAAUUCUAUGGGCCCCAUCUCAAUCAAAUGCAUCUCUUCAUACGUUAAAGACACGCACCAAUAUUAGCCUUAUAAAGUGGGAGUUGUCUUGCACACUCUUCUAGCUUCUCUAAAUGGCAAUAUAUAGUGGGUCCCACUAAAUUUCUUGAGACUUUUUUACACAUGCACUACGAGGUAAGAAUGAAACUGUGGAAGGGAAAAAUUUUAGCAUGACUCUAAUUUUGUGACAAUGAAAAAGGUGAAACAUGACAUUAAUAAUGGGAUUGAGGGAGUAUCAAUUGGACACAUGAAAUAGAUGAAUCUAAUUUCCUUUUCGUUUGUUUCAAGAGAUCCAUCGAUCACUUCCGCAUACAAGCUAAAAAUAAGAGGGGUCGGAAUAUAAAUUUUGAUAUUUAUCUUCUUUUUUUUUUAUCUAAUUUUUUCUGAGAAUUUCUUGUAUUUUCAUCACCUUACCUAGGCCUAGCAAAGCACGGGGAUGGUCUUUUUUCUGUAAUCAAUCAAGAGAAACCGAAACCCCUUUUUAUUAGUUUACCUAAGAGUUACUCACUGGGUGGGUUGGUUGAAAUUGCAGAAUAGGUAGAUGUUACAGACGAUAAACAAAUAUCCAAUAGUGCGUCGAUCAGUUAAUUCAAUUAAUUCAAUCAGAAUUGGGUAUUAGCUCUCCAUUUGGUUGGUACCAUUCAAUUGAAUCCAACUCAAUUGUUUCUUUAUUCAAACAAUGAAUUUUCAAAUUCAAUCAAUCUUAAGGAAUUUAUGAAGUUGCUCCUGUCCAGGCUUAGAAGGUCUCAACUUUUACACAUGAAAUAGACAUCUCUAUGUGCAGGGAUAAGGCGAACUAUACUUAGGCUCCACAGCACCUGGAGAUUACAAUAAUAACAUACUAGAUAUAUUCUUAGAACCUAGCCAACAUAAUUGGCAACCAGUUUCUAAGCAACCAUGUCAUGACAAAACCUAAGACCUCGGGUAAACACUGCAUGGCAUUAAUGCUCUAAAUAUUUCAGGAUCUCCUGCUCCAAAAUUCCAGGUGAUCAUAGCGCUUGAUCUAAGGAGAAGCCAGUCCAUGCCUAUGCAAAUAUUGUACAUUGGAAUGGAAGCAUGCUUCAGUAUGCUUCUGGAGUCCCUAAACUACUGGUUGUUGUCAUUGUAAACGGGGGCAAUCAAAUGAUGUCAAUAAACUAGGGAGACAUACCAUCCAGUUAGUGAGGCAAUUACCUUUUAUAUCCACCUACCAUAUCGACCAGCAUAGCAUGCAUUUAACGGUUACCAUGUGACAACAGUAUGUGUCACUCUAAUGUUAAAAUUUAAGUUGGCGCUUCUUAAUACCUGCCAGAUUUAUACUUUUUCAAGUCAAAGGCCACACGCAACCUCCUGAAAUGCCCAUCAUUUAUCGUAGUUUUGAACUAUAUGUUGACCUGGGUAAAUCAGAAAGCUUCUCCUGAAUGCAACGUUGCAGAUUAAAGUCUUCAACCUCACCAUCCGACAGGUUUAACAUUCUCAACUUUUUCAUGUUGAGCACUCGAGAGUUCUCAAUUUUGCCAGGUAAAAUUCACAACUUUAACAAAAUUCUCAACUUUGCAACGUAAGGUUCUAGAAUUUGAUAAUGAAGUUCUUGCUUUGUAACAUGGCAGCUCUAAAACUCCUUGGUAGAUAUACCUCCCAUUUGAACACCGUUAUUUUGUCAGCAAUUUCAAUAUUGUCAACGGAAGAAUCAAAAUCCAACCGAAAUACACAUCAACUAAUGAAGCGUAUAACAGAGCAAAAAAACAGAUGGCUAAGCUAAGAGCCAAAGUUCUGAUAUCCUCCCAUGGUGAAAUCCUGGAACUUCAAUCACAACAUAUAGUUCUCUUAUCUGCUAACAGCCAAUGAUUGCUCAAGAAUUUAUCCAAAAGUCACCUUAAUGCUUCAUAGAAACUACAAAGGCAACAAUUAACUAAAAGUAGCCAGAAAAAGUAGAAUAAUCCCAGGAAAGGGCCAAGGAGUUAACUUCCAUGACAAUCAAAGAUUCCAUUUUUAUCCCAGAUAUCCAUCUAAAAUUCCCAACAAAGAACAACCCAGCAAAAAAUAAAAGGGCUAUUGCGUGCACAAUGAUUCAGCAAAACAGUACCGAAUUACACUCGUACACCCAGUCAAAAUUUGAGGUACUGCUGGUCACUAAUCAAGAUUAAAAAAGAAAAGAAAAGCUCACCUCAGAUUCCGAAGUGGUUCGCUCCGCUACUGAUGCAGAAGAAACGGUGCUUCCGUCAAAGGCUUCCCGAUUGGAGUGAAGAAGUUGAAGGUGGUGAGUUAGGGUAUUGAGUUAGCAGAUACUUCGUCGUUUUCAGCUGUUCUCUGUUACAGAAAUAAAAACCCUAAUUCUUGUUCCUGGAAAACUGGUGACUCCCACUCCGGUUAUGAAAGAGGGAACGAAAAUUGGGCUCCCUUCUUAUUAUUUUCUAUAUGUUGUCCGAUGUCGUUUGGGGUGUCAAUCUACUGCUAUUGUGCUUUGUAUUUCUGGGGCGAGGCAUUGUGUCAUUUUUUUCUUUUUUAUGUUGUUUGGCUGGUGAUAUCGUCAUCAUGCACCGUGUUUCCCUUCCCGCAGCUGGAACGCUUUGACUUGAUUGCCCUUCUAUUCAUGCUGUAGGAGGGGGUUUAUUGUCAUUUUACUCAGAUACCAACUUAUCCGGUUUCCCCCCCUGAGAGCGUAAGAAUCCUUUUUUUUUUUUGGGAAAAAUUUUUUUUGUUGCAUUUCAAUAAUUUGAUUUUGUUUGGAUUAAAGAUUAUUUAAAAUUCAUUUAUAAUUAUACUGUAACACUUUUUUAUGGUGUGAUAUAUAUAAUAUAAAAAUUAUUACUUAAAUAAUAUAAAAAUAAUUACAAAAUAUAUUUAUGAUACAUACGAAAAUCUUAUCACAAAAUAAUGACAAAUCAAAUACUAAAUUUCUUUUUUUUUUUUUAUUAAAGUGGGAUGGUUUGAAUUUGGGGCCUGUACUUAUUCUCCUCUCCCAUGAGCUACCCUGUCCAUUCAUCUCCUCAAGUUCUACACCUUCAUUCAUAGAAUACUAGGAGCAUUUUUUUUACACAAACUAUAUAGCAUUUCAAUAAAAUGUAGGGAAUAUUAAAAGAUAGCUAAUUUUAGUGAAACAAGCAUAUUGCCCAUCGAAAUAUGAGUGAUUAUAACUUAUUAAUAAUGAAUAUUAUCAACUCUGAAGUUAUUAUCCUUAUUAGGACUAUUGAUUUGUGCAUUUAUAUUUACACUAAUAAAGUUUAAGGUACUAACAAAAUUUUUAAGAGCAGAAGUCAAGCAAAGAUACCUAGGGAAUAUUCUCAUUUGCAAAAGAUAAAUAUGGAGAUUUAUUAUAGAGAAAAUUCAGAAUUAGUUAAAGCUAUUAUUGGUAACUAUUAGAGUUUACCUUUUUGAUUAAUUUUUCUUAUACUAUCAUACAUUUAACAUUAAUAAUGUAUACACUGUUAAAUAUGAAUGUAUAUAAAAUUUACACCUUCAUAUAUCAAACGAUUAUAAUAUAUACAUUGUUAAUAUAUAUAAGAAGAUUUGCUUUUACUUUUUUUGCUAUUAAAAUUUUAAAAUCUAAGAUACAAGAUCAAACAAGUGUGUCAAAUAAAUUUAUUAUCAAAAAUAAAAAUUUUAAACAAGGUGAAAUAAUAAAAUAAGAACUUGUAUUGUGUUGUUAAGUUCGUACAACUUAUUUAAAUAUUAAAAAAAUGAUCGUGCUGUUUCAUUGCCACGAGAGUAAAGCUUACUAGUCAACAAUUCUUGCAUCGGCACGAGAUAAAAAAAAAAAAGCCGUGUACAUGGUUGUACGGGUAUAGGAUAUAUUUUUCAUUGCAAAACCACACUCGUACCAACAAAAAAAAUGUAAACAUACAAGAUGUAUCAUGCGUAAAGAAUAACAAUUGAUUUAAGGAGUUUAAAUUGGUAAAUAAAUACUAAGUAAGGGUAUGUGGGAUUUUUUUAAAUAAUUCUUUUAACGCAUAUUUCAACUAUAUUUUUUAUUUCGGAUAAAUUAUAUUCAAAAAAUAUAUUUCUAUAAAGAGUCUCGUGUAAUUUAUUGAGGGUCUUGCAUGAUGUCAUUCAAGAACGACAAAAAUAUACACCUCUUUAUUAUUUAAGUAAUUGUUACAAGCUGCAAGAUGGUUACUUUUUCAUGUAACUAAUUUUUGCUUAGGUUUUUUCCCGAAAACUUGGCCUACUCUUUUUCUUUAUGAAAGCUUAAUAAAGGACUGUGACCAAAAAUAAAAAAUAAAAGCUUUAUAAGAAACAAAUAUUGAUAAAAAUAUAAUUUUUUAUUAAUUGCACGCACAUUAGAACAUGCCUUAAUCACUAGAGAUAAAAUAAUUAUGAGAAAGGUAGUAUGGUAGGUUAUUUUCUAAUGCAAUUUGAUCCCAGUUGGUGAUCAACAAAAAAUGUAAAUAUAUUUGGAUAUAUCAUGUUUAAAGGAUGACAAUCGAUUUAGGGAGUUUAAUUGGUAAGAACUCGGCAAGGGUACGAGGGAUUUAAAAAAAAAAAAUCUUAAUACAUAUUUUAAUUACGCUUUUAUUUCACGUAAAUUAUAUUAAAAAAAACACACAAUUAGUAAAUAGUGUUAUUUUUAAUCAGAGAUUUCCGAGUCUCCUAAAAAAAUAUAUAUAAUCCAAGAGAGCCUCUUAUGUUUUGCCAUGAUGCCUAGUAGUUGAUGUGACCUAUUAACUUUUCUAGACGCCUAUUCAUAAAUAUUUGUAAAAUCCAAUUCCUUUUUAAAGUAAUUUUGGGGCCUGAUUUUGUGGUAGAACAAAUGGGGUAGUAUAUCAAUUGAACCGGAAAGUAUGACGUGGAUAUCAAUCAUUGUACAUAUUUUGUUGGCAAUUGAAAACACACCGGUACCUGCGUCUUUCACGCCCAUACCCACUGUCCUAUCUUUUAUCCUAUCCCAAAGAGCAGAACCACAUUUUUCUACAUCUGAUGCAGAUUUAAUUAUAUUUAACAAACAUUACGAGAAAAAGUUUAACAUAAUUAAUAAUUUCGGGAGAUCUAGAGAUUAUUCACCAGAGACGAGAUUUCACAUCUUACAAUGAAUAAGCAAAUAACAGGUUGAAAAUAAAUCGCCAGGUAUGGUACUCAGAAAAAUAGGUAUGUCAAUUCCUCUCCAAAUUAAAAGAAAAAAAGAAAAGCCCUAAAAUGAACAGGACAGCCUAAUCGGGAAAUGACUGAGAUUCCCUUUCCUUGAGUGAAGUUGCUUAAAUUAGCAGCCAAAAAAAGGUUUUAAGCAGCCAAAAAAAGGAAUCGACCACACCUCAAUUUCCGUACAGAUUUUCCGCUUUCUCCCAUCCUCUUUCCUUUCUUCCCUACACCAUUUCCAAAUUCCUUUGGUUGUAUGUAACUAGCAAAUAAACUAUCUUAAUCUUCACAGUUCUCCCUUGCGUCAGCACAUGUGUUCAGCUCUAUCCAUUAGCAGACUCUUUACAUAUCCACUGCCCGACUGUUAAUUUUUUUAGGGAAAAGAAUAUUGUCGAAUUUCAUCCAAUAAUCCAAACCGGUCGUGAAUUUAGCUUUUAGAAGUUGGGCCGUCGACAAAAUUUGAACUUGAUGGCUGCGAGUGCGAAUCCAUCUGCUGCUGCUGGUGGUGGUGGUCAGAAUAAUGGUAAUAGCAACAGCAAUCACAGCAAUAAUAACGGCCAAAGAGCAAAUGGCGCCACCAAUAACGGUCUCUCCGUUCCUGAAAAUUCCGUUUUGGGGCCUAACCAGGCGGGGCUCAUGCACGACCCCGGUGUUAAUACCGACUGGACAUCCGAAGAACAGUCCCUUUUGGAAGAUUUGCUCAACAAGUCAGUAAUUUUUUGUCCUAAGCAAAAACUUUGACUUUAUUUUUUGAAUUUAUAAACUUGUGCAAAAGUUUAGGUUAGUUUGCGUGUUUGGUGGAUCUGUGCGGUUAAUUUAGACUCUUCAAAAUCGUUCAUGUAGCUGAAUUUUCUUUGAUUUAAGUUCAUGUGCUCGUUUUUGCGUGCUAUGCGUAUUAACUGGUGUGACAGAAUUUUACUCUCAAUGAAGAACUACUAUGUACAAAAGAAAAAUAAAUAAAGUUGCAACAAGUCAAGUUAUGCAAAAUAAACUGCAUCAAAAACAAACUUUGUGCGACAACUGAUAAAUUAUCUCACCUGAAGAAUAUAAUAGAAAAGUGUUUAGGAAAUUUUUUUUUUUAUCUGGUUAUGCGUUGAAUGUACGUUUCCAACUGGCAUAUGAUCACGUACGACAUACGGACAGAGUUGAAUUGAUGUCAAAUUCAUUUGCUGUCAAGAUUGUUAACAACUCUCGUCAUCUCUAAUGGAAUGUGUUUCAUUCUUUUUCAUUCUCUUUUAAUCUUGUCCUUGUGUUGAUGGUGGUAUAGCUGCCUGAACAUCAAUUUAUUGGUAACGAAGUGAAUGUGAGAUGAUGUGACCAUUUAUCAUACCGGAAAGCUACAAAGAUUUUGUUUGUGGAAUUAUCAACCUAGGCUGAGCAUGUGUUUCUCUUUGCCACCAGCUACGCUCAAUGUUCUGAUAUUCUUUUAUCAUUUAUUUCUUGGUCUUCGUGUUUUUUUGGGGGGGGGGGGAGGAGGAGGAGGUUAUUAUAGUAGUCUAGACUCUGGUCUAAUUUUGGAUAUGCUAGUGGGUCAACUCUUUAGGUGGCCAAAAAUAUGUCUUUCAUUUUCAGAGGCGGUACAUGUGUAAGCUUUAUGUUUACUUCUAAGUUGUAAAUGAUUUGGUUUAGACACUAAAAUUCAAAAGUUUGAACUUGGUAUGAUUGAUAGCACAAUCUCUUAAUGAUUUAGUCAUUUUAACUUUGUUCCUUUGUACUCCAUAAAUGUCGUUUCUGAAGUUUCAACAUUGAUUAGGUAAUCCAAUCAUUGUAUUUUCUAGUUGUGCUUAUCCAUGUAGUUACAGUACCCAUGCAUGGGAGACUUAUAUUAAGUUGACAAAUGGAUGGGUCCUGCAGAUAUUCAUCAGAUGGAAUUAUUGUUCGAUAUGCUAAAAUUGCUGGGCAGUUAAAUGAUAAAACAGUUCGUGAUGUAGCAUUGCGUUGCAGAUGGAUGAAUGUAAGCUUUCCAUAUUCAUAUCUCUCUCCCCUCCCCCCAACCCCCUUCUUUCUUCCCGCAUUCCACUUUCUGAUAUUGAAGAAACUUUUAUCUUAAGCUAUAAAUUGUUAUGCGCAUCUUGAUGAGAUUAAAGGUGCCCAAAAAAAAAAGCACAUGUUUAAUGGAGUGCCUUUUCACAACAGUGAGGUUGCUCUACUGCUGAAUUAGGUGUCAAGGAUUUGAUGUUUUAAAGUGGCUUCAGUUCAUGCAGGGUAGUAAGGCAGCAUACACUUCGUUCUUGUUAGACCUUACGGUAUUGGAAGUUGCAUUCUAAUUUAACUUGAUUUCUUUUCAAACAUUUGAUUGCCUUGAGAGGUCAAUCUAAGCGACAUUCUAGUGUUUUUCUCGUGAUUUUCAAACGAUGAUGGAUGAAAGUUGUAUUUAUAGUUUACUGGUCCCCUGUUACCCUUUCUUAAAUGUAGGAGCAAAGCAAAGAAAGGCAUGCUAUUCAGAGGGGUUGAUUUUCCUUUUGACUAAUUAGUAUGUCCUACGGUGUUGUACCACUAAAAGUCAUGCCUUUCUCUUUUGCAGAAGAAGGAAAACGGCAAGCGACGGAAGGAUGACCAUAAUUCAGCAAGGAAAAGUAAAGACAAAAAGGUAUUGCCUUACUGCAGGUUGUCAUCUCUGCCUUGCUUGAAAUCCACAAUUGUGAGAUUCAGAGGUUUCUUAAUUUGUGCUGCAACCAUUUUUUCCUUCAACACUAUUUGGUCUUUGGUAGAAUAAAUUACACUCAUGAACACCACCAUAUUGCUGUAUCGAGCCAUAAUGAAACAUGAGAUUUAUUGUGACCAAGGCGCCAACCUUACCCCUGAGGCAGGCAUGGGGCUUUGUGUUUAGGAGUAAGCUAUUCGACCAAUGUAGAAAGUCAAAUGAUUUAAACCAGAGAUGUCUGGAGUUGUUUUGCUUAAUAUUUUUCUUAUUAAAGAAAGCGAAGUUGCUUUUGCAUUUAGAUAUUCCCUUCAAAAUCUAUAUUUAGUCGUCUUAAUCCAAUAAUGACAAUUAGCUUUAUAGCAGAUGCCGUUAGUUUGUUGUCCACCUGCCUGCUCUGUUGCUUCUGAUUUGCCUCCUUCAGUGCUUCCAUCUUAAUGCUCGCCUGCUGAUUGUUGCUUUGAGAUGCUUAUCUUGCAUACCACAUAUUUCUGUUGCAGUAAGUUGAUGGAGGUCUAUUUGGACCACUAUUGAGAAUAGGACUGCGGGGCAAGUUUUAGACUUUGUUACGCCAUUUGGGACUUGGUUGUGAUGGGGUUGAAGGAACACCAAUCUGAUGGCUGUUACAUCUAGAUUUGUGCUGGUUUUUAAUGCUGAUGGGCCUUGAUCAACUUGAUGGAAUGGGAUCUGGCUCUCUUGUAUCAGGAGAAUGGAACCUAUGUAGUUCACUUAAACAACACAUCCAUUUUAGUAACGUAUUGAUCUUCUAUACACUGGCAGUGUGUUGGGCUUCGAUAUAUGACUACUAAACUUAAUAUGGAUUUGAAAUCUAAAUUUUACAUAUGUGGCAUGCAUCCAACCCUGCUAAUGUGUACACCGUCAGUGUGCGGAAGAUUAAUCCUUCGUUUUAUGUUUUAAUUUAUUUUUUGGCUCCCAGGAAAAAGUUACAGAUUCUCUUCCAAAGUCUCAUGCGGGUAACCGUACAAAUGGCCCACCCUAUGCUCAGUCAGUGAUGUCCAUGGACAGUGAUGAUGGCAUCUCUUAUAAAGGUUGGUCGACAGUUUUAUGCGUUAGUGGGUAACUAUAUAAAUCUUCCGUUCCUCUCCCGCUUCUAAUCAUGAAAUGCAAGGCUGGAUGGCUGAUAUGUUCUGUCUGAUCAGUAUAUUGCUCCUCUUUCUCUUGAUCAACAUUUGUGCUUUUCAGCAAUAGGUGGUGCAACUGGACAGCUUCUUGAGCAAAAUGCUCAAGCCUUGGACCAAAUUUCUGCAAAUUUUGCUGCUUUCAAGGUGAUUAAAGUUUUUGAUUCUUUCUCUUGAGAAGUUUUUUUUCUUCACUCUAAGGAAGAACAGGAGGCUAGUAGUCUCAUGUAGUUGCAGUUUCCUGAUGCCAUUUUCAACUGAAUAUUGAAACUAAUAAUUAGGUUGCUUCCUACCCAACUUUGAUUUCUUUUGCUGCUGGCAGUUAUUGAAGCCCAGCUUUGUGGUUGAAAAAUGAUGCAAUCUUCUAAAACUGAGAGUUCUGGCAAUAUUUUAUUCUGGAAUUCUUACUAUUCCUUGUAAUUGAGGAAUGAUGUGUUAUGUCAUAGUGAGGUUUUCUCUUUUCAUUUGUUAUCUUGUGUCAGAUGAUAUCAGUGAUUGUCCAGCAGUGACAAUAAUUGAAAUAAGUCUAGCUGCGUAAAUGGAAAUAUGCAGUUCUCUUACGACAGUGUUAUGAAAAGUUUUCUGUCACUCUGCAAUGGUAUUGUCUACAUUAUUAGUGAUGUCGCUUGAGAAUUUCUUCAUGCUAUUGGCGUUCUAUAUAAUUUCUGUUCAUUGACAUCUUUGGCAUUUAUAUUACUGCAAAACUUAGUCCCUGGUUGUGAACAGCUAAUAUUGACAGUGCUUUUCUUAUCCAAAUUUUUUGCAGAUACAAGAGAAUAUAAAUCUCUUUUGCCAAGCUCGAAACAAUAUCCUUAGCAUCAUGAACGAGUACGUCAUGCUGGCCAGUUUGCCUACAAUUUUUGCAUGUUUUUGUUUUACAUUAAGAGAAACUUAAUGUUAUCCUUCACGUUUUUUCACCUGUCCUCCUGAAUUUUCAUUUUUUUUUUCCUGUAUUGUUCCUUUCUUUUGAUUUUAAAAUCCUAAACCUGCUUUGAUCUUCCAGAAAAAAAGGGGUUCAUGACAUUUGAUCCUGAUACGCCUCUAAAAGAUGUUUUUUUUUUUCCCAUUUAAUUUGUAGACGGUUUCUUUAUCUAAAUACCGUUUCAAUGGACCAUGGUUCAAACUGCAUAGGGACUUUUCAGUAGUUAAGAUCUGGAUGAUUAUUCCCCAGGGAAGGGCGUUUACAAAUGGUAAGAGCAAGAAGACACAUUCUGAGGAAAUGAUUGGACAGUAUUUAUGCUAAUUGUCAAGAGAGUUUAAAAUGAUAUGUUGAGUUGAGAACUCCACUGGAACUCUGUUUUCGUUUUUUCAACUGAACUAUUAGUUCUUAUGAUUGUCCACAACUGCCAUGUGUGAUAAUGUGAGCUGGCUUGUACAUGCAGCUUGAAUGACCUGCCAGAGAUAAUGAAGCAGAUGCCGCCGCUUCCUGUGAAGCUGAACGAAGAUCUUGCCAACAACAUUCUUCCUCGGGCGUCCUUGCCUAAGAAAUCUUGAGAUGCUGGCUGGCUCUCCUCAUGUGGGCUGCUCACUCAUGAUGCUUUUGACUGUGUCCCUGGAAUUGGGACCAUUGUGAUUAACAGAUAGCUAAAUAAACAGGCUAAUUAUGUCUAGUUGUUCUGCUACAUAAAGUUUAGAUUUAUCUUGUGCUGUUGUUUAUUUUUCAUUUUUUUUAGGAGUAAUUUGUCGAUUGUGUAUACGGUUGGUUGGCUCAUAGUCGCGUAAGAAGGAUUUUUUUUUUUUUUUUCCUUUUUUGGUCAAAAACGUGAGAAGGAUUUUUCACCCUGUAAAUCUUUUUUCCUGUGAAAAGCGGUGAAUGCAGGAUUUGUGGUUUAUAAUAAGUAGGGAAUCGUAAACUCCUGAUGAUGGCUUUACCUUUCGUUGUCAUUUCUCAAAGAACCUCUCAACUCAUUUAAGGAUAAAUUGAAGGGAUGCGCGACCAGACAAUCUUACUUAAGUGCAGGGAUUUGCUCACCUUAUGUUUAAUAUUUCAUUUGGUGGCCAGGCCUCCGAAAGAGAGUUGAAGCUCUUCACAAAUACGUACAUCAAAAAAUGAAUAUGAUACGGCAAAAUUUAACAGCAACAAAUGUGGGUAUUGUUAAUGUGGCAAAAUUCUAUAGUAACUUUACUCUUAUAUUUUUUCAAAAUAUAAAGAUAUACGAAGAUAGUGAUAUAUAUAUAUAUAUAAAUAUAAAAUUUAAAUCAUUCAUUGCAAUUAUGGUUAAAUUUAUGGUAUAUAAAAAUUAAAAAUACUUAUUUUACUAUUCAAUUAUACUUAUUUCAUCAUAUAUUUGUGAACUUAUUUUACUAUUUAAUCAUAUUUAUUUCAUCAUAUAUUUGUGAAUUUAAGUUGAGGGCGUGAUUCUCGAAAGGAAUUAUAGAAUCUCUCUACGUGUGUAUAUGAGAAGUGUUAAUAUAUAUAUUUGACACGGGAUCAAUUGGAAUAACAACAAUAUCCAAGUGGCUCAAAAUAAUCAAAAGAAAAAUGUCAAAUUUUGAGUAUCAUAAUCUAAUUAUCUGUUGUCUCAAACUUUUUUUUAUGGAUCUUCUGAUCCGAUUGUAAGUUCAUGACAAAAGUAGUACUACUACUAUUUUGGCUUGGGAAAAAAAAAAGAAAAAUGGAAAAUGCAAAGUGCUGACAUCAGAAUGACGUGUGAAUCGGAGUUACAUAAACCCUCCACAGGUGUCCGCACCAGUUUUAAGGUGGGGAGCUGUAUAGAUACUUUUGGACAGUAGAUACAAUCCCAUGCCAUCGUCACCCUCGGCUCCGUCUGCUGUAUCUGCCGUUAUCCAUUUCUCUGUUUCGCCUAAAAAUUCCCACUUUUCCUCCGUUCAACCAUCGGUUCUGAAUCUCUCUCCGCUCUCUGGGAAAAGAAUUUCGUAGAUUACUUGUAACUUGGCUAAUUAUUGUCUACCGAUUAUUUGAGCUUUUUGUUUCUGACGGGUAAAGAAGAGUGAGGCGGAGGGAGGAGGGACAAUGACGGAGGCGUCACCGAAGCUGACGCCGGAGGAAGAGAAGCUCACUAUCCGAGACAUUACGGUUUCCGCCGAAGCCCAAACUAAAGAAGGCGAUACCUUUUAUUUACUCAAUCAGAGGUAUUUCUUAUUCCGAACCGGAUGCUUUUAAAGAUUUUAACCUGAAACUUUUUCUUAGUUUUGUUUUUUCUUUCGGUUGGUUCUUUUGUUCUGACGUUAUUUCCGCUGUGACACCUCUCUCUCUCUUUUAAAAGACUAAAAACCGUGAUUAGGACAGUUAGGGUUUAAGAGACUUCGCUCUCAAUGCCGGUCGAUGCUUAAAUUUUACUUGCAUUUUGUAAAUUAAGGCUUAAGGAUUGGAAGCAGAUAAAUAUGUGAUCUUGAGUACGGAGGUGGAGGUGAAGAACUCCCCCACCACCCCCCCCAGCCCCACCCACACAACAACACCUACCCACCCAAAAAAACGCCCGCUCCAAAAGCUUUGCUUCCCACAUGUUUCAUGCUCUCUAGUGUUUGCAGAAUAAGCCCAAGGAAGCCUUCUAAAACUUCUCAAAGGCUUUUAAAUUGACUAUUUUAUUCAUUUGCCAAAAUUGCAAUUCAGGAGGUAGGAUAUGUUUUUCUUUUUCCCUUUUUUGUUUCCUUCUAGUUUAUAGUAGUUAGCAAUACUAAAAGUUUCGACAUUAUUUUCUGUGCUGCAUUUUCUUUUCUUCCUUUGCUCUUAAGCUUUGAAUCAGAUUCUCGCUGGUUACGAUAUUGCUGCUCAUUAAGUGUUGUAAAAUUUUUGAAUUACUCGGUAUUGUUGCUCAUUUAAGUGUUGUAAGAAUUUUGAAUUACUCAGUACAUACUUCUGUGGCGAUAAAUUAUGAAGCUUUUUUUAUCCUUAUCUUUAUGACUUCUUACAGAUGGUGGCAGGAGUGGCUUGAAUAUGUGAAUCAAAGCCCAGCGACCAAUACAAAUAAUGGAUCCUCUUUUGAGCACCACGAUGCUGUCGAUUCAAGUUCUUUGAAGGGACCGUCAAGCAUUGACAAUUCUGAUUUAUUGUAUGAAGUGACUUCAGAUAAAUCUACACCGCGGACUGAGCUUCAUGAGACCCUCGUGGAAGGCACUGACUUCAUAUUGCUUCCACAAGAAGUAUGGAAUCAGUUCUGCGCAUGGUAAGUUGAAUUGUAUGCCUAUAAGUUAAUUCAUUGCUUGUGCUUUCUGGUGUAUACUUUACAACUAUUAUCCUUGUUCUGCAUUCCAACCAAAUUUAAUUUCCUAUAUUUGAGUCAAACUUAAUGUAAAAUUCCACAAAUUGGAAUGCAGAAAUGAGGCUCACGGAAAGAGGAGUAGAGGAAAACAGGGAAUGGUGAUAGUAAAUCAGGGAGGAGGCUGUUGCAUUAAGAUUAUAAACUAAAUUUACUGAUAGAUUCUCCUUUGUUGGAUUUUCAAUACUCAUCUAUCAUAUUGAAGGUUAAUAAAUCCACUUGCCAAUGUUUAUCAUACUACAGAGAUGUCCCUGAAAUUUUAGUGCCAAAAUUAUCUUUUUAAGAAAAGUGGGGUGGCUAGGAAAAUUUUAUGUUGGUGUGGACAAAUUGCCGUGCAUGCCUAGGUAGUUCCAUGUGCACAUGCAAAGGGCCCACUUGACUGCAUGCGCAUAUGCAAGUGGGCCCCACUUGGUAUAUAAAUUGGUAAGUGGGGUUUUUAUAUGUUGACACGAGACUGUCUCAUUGAUCAUGGGCCGACUACUAAGUGUGCCUAGUUGUCGGUCUGGACCAUCGUAAAACUUCUUGGGGAGGCCAUUAUAUUCAGCAUUUGAUGCCAAUUUUGUGGAAGUCUGUCCACUUUAAUGGUGACAAGCAGUGGUCAGUGGGAGUUCAGAAACACUUAGCUGAGGCCCUUGGAGUUUUGAAAAGUUUCAGCGAGUGUGUAAAUUUUUAUUGAACUUAGUUUUCUUACCUCUGGUGGUUAUAUGCAGUUACCUGCCCUUGUGCAUUAUGCUGUAUGUUAGCCUAAAUGUUUUAGUCCAAUCAAUCUUGGAUAAUAUUUGGAUUCCUUUAUAUCCUUUUGUCUCCAAAUUAUGAUUUAUUUUAAAUGAUAUUCAUAUACAUUUCUUAAUCAUUAUAUUCUGGCAAACUUAAUGAAAAUGUUUUCAACAUGGAUAAAACAAUAUAAUUUUUUCCUCCUAUUGAGAAGCUGGCUGGCUGAGAUAGGGAAUGGGGAAUUGUGAACGACCAAUUACGUAGCUGAAGGCAAGAGUGUCUUAAAUUACAAAGAGAUUAGAGUGUUUAAUGGAAACAAGCUGAACAAGACCCUGCAAUCUAUUGUUAUUGCAUCAUAUGCCUUCCAAUUUUGUUUUUUAUGGAGUUAGAAUAUCCUUUUUGUAUGAUCUUAAAGCAGCUAAGAUCAUAUUUUCUAAUGAUCCAUUCGUGUAAUAGACAUUAGAAGGUCUAAAGGAUUACUUAAUGAUUCAGUGAGGUUAAUACUAACUGCUUGGUGGGUCAGGUACGGAGGAGGUCCUCCAGUGGCUCGCAAAGUAAUCAACUCUGGUGUCUCUAAAACAGAGUUGUCUGUGGAAGUUUAUCCUCUGCGGCUGCAAUUACAUUUGAUGCCAAAAGGUGAUAGAGCUACUACAAGAAUAAGCAAAAAGGUAUCCAUAUGUUGUGUUUGACUCAUUUCUUUGUCCUAGAGGAUAAUAUGAGAAGCAAAAAAAAAAAAAAAAAACUCCUCUUUCUCCUAGUUCAAAUAACUGAACUUACUAGAUGGAUGGUUAUUGCAAUGUUUUGUCAGGAAACUAUUGGAGAACUCCACAAAAGAGCUUGUGAAAUUUUUGACCUUAAUCCAGAUCAAGUAAACACUGCUGGUUCUUGUGUUCGACUCUGGUUUGCAUUUGACCAAUAUCAUGUUUCUUUUGUACCAUAUAAAUCUGUUAAUUGCUUUCAGGUGUACAUUUGGGAUUACUUCAGUCAUCGGAAGCAUGCUUUGAUGAAUGAUAUGGAAAAGACACUUGAUGAUGCAAAUAUACAAAUGGACCAGGACGUAAGUUAAUCUGUGAUGCACAUCACGUUAAUCUUACAAGUUUGUUAUGCUCUUCUGGAAGCCUUUUUUUUUUCCUUUUAAAGGAGGUUGAUGUUUUCAUGUUUUUGAUGGAUAAAAAAUCGCUCAAUUCUAUCCAUAAUCAUUUGAUGUCAAGUUAGAUAGCUAUAGAUGUCCACUAUGGUCUUACAUGUAAAUAGACAUUUACUUCUAGCAGUCAUCGGACUCUCCUUCUAGUGCCGUUAGUAAGACGAUCUAUAGCUUAUAAAAGCAUGCUCAUAUUUGCUAUCUUAAAAAGUUUCCUGUUCAAGUGGCGCAAAGUCCACUGGAUACGUUAGUCGAUAAAAUCUUGUCCCAAAUUAAGUUUGGUGUAAUUUGUGUCUUACUAGUUGGCAAUUUUUGUCCUUCUGUGCUAAAUUUAGACGUGCAGUGGGAUCUCUGGACCUACAUUCUAAUGUGAUGAUUCUGAUGUAGCUUCACAUGUGCACUCUGUUUUAGCUUGUCCAUAUAAGUUGCACCUUAGAUUCUCAAUGGAUACAUUGUUUGGUUCCUCAUUUGCAUACCAUUCAAGUAUCUAUCAUUGUCUGCUAUCGAGUUUUUCUGCUUCCAGAUUUGCCAGUUUUUAGCAAGUUAUCUACAUAUUUUAGUAAAUUCUGGUAUACUGCUGGAGAUAUAGCAAUAUGCAUGUAGACAAUGUGUGUGUUUGUGGUUUAUAAUGCUGUCAAAUUAUUUGAACAAAGCUUAUUCAUUAGUUUGCAUAUUUUUGCAGCAUGCUUGUAGAAUACUAAUAACUCGUAUUCCUGGUACUCGUGCUUAAGAAAGUAUCAAAGUCUAAGUAAAUGCCUUAAAUCGUCAUAGAAUUGAUAGCAGCAUCUGGCAAUAUAUGAGAUCUGACAAAUUAAAGGCAGUACAGAUCACGGAGACACAUUAUUGAUUUGUUAAUUUCAUUUAGGACUGCUUUUCUUCCAAUUCUGAUAUAAUGAACAGAGAAAGUGAGUGUUAUAAAAGAAAGUCCACCUUGCAACUGUUCAUCAAGUGAAGUUCAGAAAGUUACAGUAGUCUAAAUGCCAUGAUGACGUAACUUUUCUCCUCUUUUGGUACUAUAAUUUUGAAAGUCAUUACUCUUGUAAAUCUGUAUAUUUGUCUACUCAUUGAGUCACAUUUAAUGUUAUUAACUUCAGGUAUUGUUGGAUGAUGAGUGUCCUGCAAGUGUCCCAACUCCUGUGGGAUAUAUGUUUCCCAUGUUUUUUUCAGUGAAAUCUUCUGUUCUUUUUUAUUAGGACAUGGUCUUUGAAACACUGGUGGGUGCUGGGAACAGUUCCUAUCGUGUCUACAGAGUAAUCAAAUCUAUCCUCAAUUGUUGUUAUACCUUCAUUUGGUUCUUCACAGUCCUUAAAAUCAGAAAGAGUUCAAUUGAAAUCAAUGUUCUCUAAGGAGGAUUUUUUUUCGUCUUUAGAUUUUGAAAAUUAGUCUGUCAUGGUUUCAUGCUUCUUGCUAUGAUAUAAAUAACUUUUUUCAUAAACUUCUCAUAUUCCUCUAGUUGUACGACACAAUUCAUCUUUUUGGGAUACUGAGUCUUGUCCUAAUUGGUAAAUGUUAUUUCACUUCUUUUAUUGAGUUUUCAUCAACCCAUUGAUUGUUGCUCUCCUUUGAUGAUGAGGAUGCAAUCGUUAUGCAGUUUGUAUGAGAGGUAGAGUUGCAUUUUAAUGGUUUCCUAAUUUAUGUACAAAUGCUGAGACAGAUUUUGGUGGAGGUUAUUGAUAACAACGUUGGCAGCAUCACCAGUUCUCUUCGGGAGAAUGGGACUGCUGAUAAUGGAACACUGGCUUUUGUGGAGCCAUCUCAGUCAGGCUUCUCAAUUGCUGGAGGAUUAUCUGCAAGCAAGGGUUCAUCUAGAAAUGGCGGUUCAUUGCAAAAUCUAGGAUCGGUUAGGGAAACAGAUAAGACAUAUGGGAGCAUUGGUGUUAGCACAAGGGGUUCUUCUUGUGGUUUGACUGGGUUGUUGAAUCUUGGUAAUACAUGCUUUAUGAACAGUGCCAUACAAUGUCUUGUUCAUACGCCAGAAUUUGCACGUUACUUCCGAGAAGAUUACUAUCAAGAAAUAAAUAGGCAGAAUCCUCUUGGCAUGGUUGUAAGUCUCAAUUACCCUGAUAACUCAUGCUUUGUUUAGUUAAUUUUCUGCUAAGACUUAAUUUAGGUUAAUUGAAGCCCGGACUUAAAGUUUUGCAUCUGUGCAAUUGUGAGGUCAUCAUCCCCUUUUUUUUAAUUGGGUUCAAAGGAGGGCCAAAGGCCCUUUACAAGGAUGCCAAUGGUACUAAAUGAGGGGAUGCAACCCCCAUAACAUCAUAACUCAAAAAGGUUCCUAACUAUCUAAUUCUGGUGGCUCCCUCAGCUCUGUUUUCACUGGUUGUUGAGUUAGGCUCCAUUUUGCAAUGCAGCUUGCACUUCCAUCUCCUAGCAUGAGUCAAUGAGCAUUCCCAGUCCUCAGCCACCCAGUCUCUGAUUUGUGAGAUAAGGUUGAAAUGGGGGCUCUCUGGAUUACCAUUUUUAAUCAUGUUCAGCCCUAUUAAUGAGUACGAUUCCAACAGCACUCUCCGAUACCCUCCCUUCCAAUGCCGUGUCCAAUCCACGGAUUAUCCCCCACAACUCUGUCACCGCAUUCGUGGUUAUGCCCAAGUUGAUGCAGAAUCCUCCCCUCCAUAUCCCCAUAUCAUCCCUAAUUAAUCCACCAUCUCCAGCCGCCCCUGGAUUUCCUUUUGCUGCCCUAUCCACAUUGACUUUAACCCACCUGGAGGGAGGUUUGAACUGAUCAUAGUCCAUUCCUUCUCCUUAGGGACCUUAACCCCUGUUAGUACUUCUUGAGUUCUUCUGGCUCGAGCCACUAAGUGAUCAACAGGAACUUUGAUUUCCGAAUCAUCUUCAUUAACAUUCCAAGCAUUCCUUGCAGCCCAAUGCAUGAUAAACAAUUUGCUGAAAUAAUAACUCUCCCAUGAUGGGUUACUCUUAUCUGAAUAAGAUGUCUGCAUUCAUAGGGAGAUCCUGGAGCAGAUAAAAAUCUUUUUCUAUAGGUUUCAUGCGUUUCAGAGUGCUGUAAUAUUGCUGUGAGCAGAUGACAUGAUAAUUUUAGUAGAGAUCUCAUUCUUUUUCUGAAGUUUGUCUUUGAAAUUGCAGGGUGAGUUGGCCUUAGCAUUUGGUGAAUUGCUCCGGAAGCUUUGGGUGCCAGGUCGAACUCCUGUUGCCCCUCGGCCAUUCAAAGCUAAGCUUGCUCGCUUUGCACCGCAGUUCAGUGGAUACAAUCAGCACGAUUCUCAGGUUCAGUAUGACCAUGUUUUUAUGAGUACAUGCCGUAUAAGUUAAGCUAAUUAAAAUACCUCCAUUUGUGUGCAGGAGCUCCUUGCUUUCUUGUUGGAUGGGCUUCAUGAAGAUCUUAAUCGUGUCAAACAUAAACCCUACAUAAAAUCUAAAGAUGCAGAUGGUCGACCUGAUGAAGAAAUAGCAGAUGAGUAUUGGGCAAAUCACAUUGCUCGUAAUGAUUCGAUUAUCGUGGAUGUAUGCCAAGUGAGUUAUCAUGAGACUAUGCUUCUAAUUAGGGACGUUAGCAGAUUAGCUAUAUGUUCCUAAAGUCUUAGUUAGCCAUGUAAAUAUGCCACUUAGCAAAUAUUCUUGGUGUCAAUAUGUAAAGAUGUAUUCUGGUACAAUCCUAUGCGGGUUAUAUAUGCCUGUCAUCUAGUUGUUGUGAACUUGUGUAUCUGAUUUGAUUCUGAUUAGUCUAAAAAAUAAUUGUGAUCACGUGGAGUUCAGGGUUGGAUUCUGCAUAAUGAAAUUUAUUACCUUUUUUUGUUUUUCUUCUUUUGCUACAACCUGAAUUAACUUUGCUUGUGCAUUCAUUAGGUUUUACUUUGGGUGAUUUUGUGUUGGCUGAUUACGGUUUUGCUUGUAUAUCAUUGUCUAGAAUGUUCUCCUUUCUUUAAGGUACAAACCUGAAGAAAGAUGGGUAUUUAUUUUACUUGCAUCAUUUUGUCAGCACCAAAUAGAAUUCGGCUUCUAAAAGAAAAUUGGUUCUGAGCACUUCCAUUUGCAGAUUAGAUAUCUCUUGCUUGCUGAAUAUGUAGCCUUCCAUUCACUUACAUAUUCUGGUUACUCAUACUGUCGUUCUCUCAAACUGUUUUCCUCUUGUACAGUUGCUGUAGAACAUAACUUAAACUGCUUCUAACAUUUAUGUUUCUGUUACCAUUUUGUAGGGCCAAUACAAGUCAACUCUAGUUUGUCCUGUUUGUAACAAAAUCUCAGUUACAUUUGAUCCAUUCAUGUAUCUUUCAUUGCCUCUUCAAUUCACGUCAAACCGAAGUAUGACAGUUACAGUUUUCACGUGUGAUGGGAGUGCACCUCCUGCUGCUUACACUGUUGCUGUCCCAAAGCAGGGACGUUGCAGGGAUCUGAUCCAAGCACUUGCUAUUGCAUGUUCUUUGAAGCACAAUGAGAAGCUUUUGCUUGCAGAGGUUUGCCUGCUAAUUUCUGAUUAACUCUUGUGAAGAACCAAUCUUUUUGCAAUUUUGGGUUUUUGAUGAUCUCAUAUACUAAAUAAUUUAGAUAAACUGUUUAAGUAAAUUUGUUCCUCACAGAUACGGGGCCACAAUAUAUAUCAAUACCUGGAAGAUCCUUUAAUUUCAUUAGCUUCCAUCAGAGAUGAUGACCACCUUGCUGCCUACAAGAUUCCAAAAUUAGUGAAGAAUACAAAAUUUCUUCAGUUGAUACACCGCCGAGAAGAAAGGUAUGUGUAAACUGACUCAAAUGUGCACCAUUGUAGGUGUAAAUUUCUUCAGAUUUUUCUUCAAGUAACCUACGAAAUUGGUUGACUAGUCCUUUUACUUCUAUCCUAAGCAUUAAAGAAAAAGGAGUUUCUAAGAUCAUUAGGAACCCAAAGCACUUCUUUCUUUUGUGCUUCAUCUAAACUGCUCUACUUUAAGAUCUGUAAAACGCUGCCCAUGCCUUGAGAUUUGCUUGGUAAAAAAGGUUCCCAGUACUAUCCUGCCUCAUGGUUUAGGUUUUGCUUUCUAUUUUAACGCUGAUUGCUUUGUUCAGGGAAACUGGUGGCGCUCAGGGUGCAAUGAGUUGGAAACCUUAUGGAACACCUCUUGUAUCAUCAAUCUUAUGUGAGGAUGUAAUUACAAGUGAUGACAUACAGUCAAUAGUUCACACCUUGCUUUUGCCGAUGUUAAGAGCUGAAAAUGUGGGGCAUCCCAGUUUGACUAGUUCUCGCACCUCAGCAGCAGCUACAGAAUCAUCUCGAGCUGCUGGUUUAACUGAGGAAUGCACUGAAACCUAUGUUUCUGGACGACAUGGGAAUGGUGGCAGCUUGAGAGCGAGAAACUUGCAGAAACUUCCACUUGUGUUUGUUGAUGAAAAUAAUGUUUGCAUUGACUUAAGUGUUGGGGAGGAUAAGGCACUCAAGUACUCCUCAUCAUCACCAUCAAUACUUGUAUUUAUUGAUUGGUCAAAGAAGCUUUUAAAGAAUUAUGAUACACACUACCUGGAAAACUUGCCAGAAGUAUCAAGAUAUGGGCCCACUGCCAAGAAAGCUCGUAUUGAGCCUUUGUCAUUGUAUACUUGCUUGGAAUCAUUUUUACGUGAGGAGCCGCUGGUUCCUGAAGACAUGUGGUGCGUUUCUACUUUCCUAUAGGAACUCUUAUUUUAAGCUAAGUGUGAAGCUGUGGGAGCUGGGUUGUAUUCCUCAUGGAUGUGCGUGUAUUCUGUUGCUGCUGAUGUUUUGUAUUAUAGAUAUCUUAAAAAAUUAUGUAAUUAUCCAUCUGGAUUCAAUUCACGGUAUAUAGGUUUGAUUGGCUAAUGUUUGAAUGAUGAAGGUACUGUCCUCGUUGCAAGGAGCGAAGACAAGCGAGUAAAAAGCUGGACCUUUGGAGGCUUCCUGAAGUGCUUGUCAUCCAUCUUAAAAGGUUCUCAUACAGUAGGUCCAUGAAGCACAAGCUGGAAACCUUUGUCAAUUUUCCAAUCCAUGAUUUCGACUUGACAAAUUAUGUAGCCAACAAGAACAACUCACAGCGGCAGCUGUAUGAACUGUAUGCCUUGACAAAUCACUAUGGUGGCAUGGGAAGCGGGCACUACACAGCUCACAUUAAGGUUAUACAAUUUUAUCUACCUUUCCCUUUAAGGGAGUUGAGUUUAAGUUGUUAUUUGUGGUGCUUGUUUGUUGUCUGUCAAGAUAGAAAUGUUUUGAUGGGGUACUUAACGAUGUUGAGCAAACUUGGAUUGCAUCAUUUUUGUAGCUUAUGUAUAUUCUGUAAUGGGAUCACUAUAUAUGAGCUGUGGUAUGUGCACAUUUUUCUUUGCAUAUCAUUUUUUUUUUCCUUUUUGGGUCAUAUGUUGAUCAACACGUUGAAAGUCUGGCUCUGCUUUUGUUUUUGCUAUGCAACUAAUACAAGCAUCUGGCUCUCCUAGUCAUCUUCACUCUAUUUAGUCUUCUAGUUUUCUCAGUUUUGUGGUGCUUUACUAAAGUGCUUGUUGACUACUAUUGUUUUUUCUGGAAGAACUUGUCUCAUGAUUUUGCUGACCACAGUUUGAAUUUGUGGUAAUCUUUCAUGUACAGCUUCUUGAUGAAAAUAGGUGGUAUAACUUUGACGACAGCCACAUAUCACCAAUAAAUGAAGAAGACGUGAAGUCUGCUGCCGCCUAUGUACUCUUUUAUAGGAGGGUCAAAGCUGAUAAAGCUAUUCUGAGCAUUGGAGCAUCAUAGGCUUCUGCUGAUUCCAUAACUCAAGUAGCCUCCAGAGACUAGUUCAUAUUUGUUUGUACAUGAAAUCGUUGUAGUGCUCUUCAAAAUAUUCAGUAUGCUAACCCUUGGGCGGUUUUUGAGUCCCUGUGGGGUUAGGGAAAGCUUCACAAACAAGUACACUUUAUAGAAGAUUUUGGAGAAUUUUAAACCUGCAGCAUGUCUUAGUUUCUGUUGCAACCUCCUAUGUCUUUGUUGUAUUUUGAGAGGCUAGAUGAAAUUGGCAAGUUUGAUGGUUAGUCUGACAUUUCUUAGUAACUGAGUCGAGAGAUUGUCUAGUUUAAACGGCCAAGAUUUAGAUAUUAAGCAGGUUUAGAGGUGCAGAUCGGAUUUUGUUUAUUGUAUUUUAGCAGAACAAGAUGCUGGCUGAUAUAUGUUCAAAGCCCAUUUAAAGAAAAAGGGUAGUGUAUUCUGUCACGAUUUUGCUAGUGUUGCAUACUUUUCGUCGCGUUCACUUUCUUUUCUGUUCUUUUCCUCUUCUUGUUAUUGCGGACGUCCCUGUAUGCGGGACUGAGUCACCUCUUCUGGGAUAGUUUUGCAUCUCGUUUUACCAUGGAAGCCGGAGAGGAAGAGAUUUGGGGGGGGGGGGGGGUUAUUAUGUGACAAAAUCUCCUGUCGAAUCCAGCAAAAGGGAGAAUUUCGCCAAAUGUGAGUAAUGUUUGAGGUUUGAAAUUUUUUUAAUGCGGUUACUAUUGAAUUAGACAACCGAAACAAACGAUUUGGAGCAUACAUUUGUUUUGCGGCUUUCACAAACUAGUGAAAUAGGUGCAAUAGGUAGAGUUUCAGUGCUAGUCGGAAUUUUAUUUAUUUAUGUUUAAGUAGGGGGAUUGUGAGAUUUAAGCGGUAAUAGCAGGGGAUAUGAUCUUAGAGCAUCUAAUUUUUGGGAUUUCAAAAGUUUGGGUGAAUUGAGGCUGAUGUUUUAGUUUAACAAGUAAUAUAAGUGUCUACCGAGACUUUUAUGAGAGAAAUUAGUUGUUUAGCAAUUGAAAUCUUCAGUGUCACUUUUUCAGAGGCGAAUCAAUGCUAACUUUUUUUUUUUUUUUUUUUUUGUAUAAGCAGGAGGACUCGAAUUCGAAAUCUCUUCCUGGCACUCCCUCCUUCCGUACCACUCAACCCAUCCCUUCCCCGAAUCAAUGCUAACUCUGAGAUUAUGUUAAGUGUCUAAUUAAUUUAAAUUACCACGUGAUAUCUGAUUUAAAUUUAAAUUAACCGAACACUUGACAUAAGAUGAAUGAGUGGCACCGAGUUGUCGCUGAUUAAUUAAGUGGCACCAAGGAUUUAAUUUGGUUGGUUAGUGCAUGCUAUUCUUUACGGCUUUAGGCAUUCGGCCCUCCAUUGCGGAACAUGCCAUAGCACAAAUAAAUCACAUUUACAUUCUUAAUGAGAAUGUUUGGACUGGCUCCCCAUGUAUUCCCUUCCCUUGUCAGCUAAUUUAGACUAAUUAGCCUUACCGGCUAAGGCCAGCUGCAAUAUAGACGCGGAUUGUUUCUUAAUAUCCUCAUAACCACCAAAAGCAUGGUGCCGUAUAAAAUGAUACAACCUCAUAAAAUAAGCAAUAUAACCAAACCCGUAUUUGUUUUAUGAUUCUUUCUCUACAUAAAGCGGCAUCACUUGUUUAUUUUCACGCCCUACUGACGGAGUAAAAGAUUUCCUUUUGGACCUCCAAACCAAAACUAAAAGAAAAGAGCUUGGUCAACUUCUCCCUCCUUUCAUUAUUUGAUUAGUUAUAUUACCCAACCACUUUGAUGCUCUUAUUCGUAGAUCAAGCUUCAAGGCUAAAGAGAGAAAAACACAAGAAAUGGAGAUGAAGACAUGUUCAAUAUUCAUAGCUGCAACCAUCUUCAUGCUUGGGAUCCUAUUCUCCCGCGUAAAUUCUCAAGCAGUAGCGGAUUCAUGCAGUUCAAACAUCGACCUCGUCAACGUUCAACUACCCUUUGAUACAACUUCUUUCAAUUGCAAUCCUGUGUGGAGUCCCCAUGGUUUCAUCCUCAGAGUAAGUCCUCCAGUCCCUCUCCCAAAGAACCCAAGAAAGGAAUUCUUAACAACCCAAAAAUGAUGGACAACGUUUUUCUCCUUUUUCUGGAUCAGUAUAAGCAAACAGGAGCAAGUGAAUGGAGCUAUGUUCUGUCAGCCCCGAACUCAAAUGCUUACAUAGGAAUGGGAUUUUCACCCAAUGGACAGAUGGUUGGUUCGAGUGCAAUCGUGGGGUGGGUGGGAUCAGAUGGUACACCAGCCAUGAAGAAAUACUAUCUGGGGGGAAAGAACUCCAACCAGGUCAUGCCGGAUCAAGGGAACCUUGAGGUUGGAAACUCAACCAUAGUAACGUUCAGUUCUCGAAUCUACAUGGCUUUCCAGCUGGUCAACACCGAUACGCCCGACAGCCUGCUUAUCUACUCCUUCGGGCCUCCGAACCAAAUUCCCUCACCCCCAAGCUUCCGUUUAACACAGCACUCCGACUAUGUCUCCACCGUCUUGAAUUAUGCCACAGGUACGCCUCUUCAAACUCUGAUCUUUACCUAGAAGACCAUAAAAUCAACAGCACCUUCUUUUGAUUUUGACACAUGUAACAAAAGUCCAAGUACCACCUAAAUCACUCUGAUUUGGACACUUAUAUUUGGUAGUUGUUGCGACUUAGCUAUUUCACCCGUUCCAUCAACUGCGUUGUCAUUUUCCCUUCAAGAAAACUGUGCUGUCAUUUUUACAUGCCCUUUUUUGGCAACAAAUUUUCGUGCCUUGAAAACGAGAAUUUAUGCAAGUUUAAUUAGAAGGUAAUAAUUAGUUAAUAUCAUCUAAUGUAGGAACUACAGCCACUGCUAAAGAUUAAUAAUGUAGACUUUUGGGCAGCAAAGUGAGGUGGGAUUAGUUGUUGAACGUCCCUUCCACUACCAUGAUGACCACCCCAGUAGGUGGAGACCGUGACAACUGACAACUAUUCUUUACUUUUGUACUACUAUUUCUUUAAUUUUGUUGGGUUGUUUCAUCUUUGAGCUGGGUGCAGGCAGUUUGUCGCCCGCUAAAAACUUGCAACCGCUCUGUUGCAUUGACUUUGAAGGCAAUACUGUCGUCCAAGAAAAACUUUUUUUUUUUUUGUUCCUCUAGAAGAAGGAUAAUGAUAUCCAUUUAUUGUUUUUACGUGACUGUAGCUUCAAACUGAAAAACCAAUUAGCUGAGGAGGGUAAAAAAAAAGGCAUCUAAGGAAAGAAACCAGCCAAGCAAAUUUGAAAUGUAUUAUGCUAAGAUGGAAGAGCGAGUAAGUAGACGUUACUUUCUGAUGAUUCCUUGGUUUUGAAGGCAUCAAAUGAUUAAGCCUGUGACCUGAAAGGAUGUGGUCACAAUCAUUAGCCUUUAGAAUCAAAGCCCUCCUUCUAGUGUCCUCUCCUUGCUACAGAGGACAUCUAUAAAAGGGUAGCUUUAGCCACAUGAUUCACAGGUAACUCGAUGAAUUGGUCUCUUUAUGAGGUUGAAUUUCUAAUUGAGUUCAGCAUGUUCUGGUACGUAAGUUUUUGUUGCAGUAAUCAGCAUCUUCGUGUUUCAACUGCCAAGUUUGUGGCAUUAUUUUUAAAUAUAUUUUAGCAUGAUUUACUCCCAUAGAAACAUUGACUUUGUAACUUCUGAUAGAAAAAUAUAUUUAGAUUGCUAUUCUUAGUUGUUCGAGAAAAAUAAAAGAUAUUACCAGAAUUUCAUGCAUACACCUUUUUUUUUUAUUAAUAUGUAUUCAUUUAAACAUAAUUUCGUAAAAUAAGCAGAAACAGUAAUCCGUUCCCCAUUACCUUAGGGAAGUUUUCUUGGGAACUGGUUUCAAAGCAGUCCUUACGAACCAUUCGUGCAUAUAAUCCACCUCGUAAUUCAAUCAAUUAAUGAAUUUAAUUACAACUGUAUAUUAAUACAACCUAUUAAUUCUGCUGUACUAGGUAGUAGGUACGACUGUGUCUUAAUACAACUUGUUUAAGGUUUUCCUUGGGAAAAACAAGAUUAUGUAUUUAUGUAAGGUUGAUCUCAGAAAAUCGACUGAACAUAUACUUACCCAAAAAAAAAAAAAAAGAAAUGAAAAGGAUGACUAGGCCAAUAUUUUUGAAGACGCGUGAUCCAUUGAACUUUGCGAACUUUCUCUUGAACGACUAAUCGUACCGGUAAGGACUAAAAGGGUAUGCUGCAGUAUUUGAGUUUCUUUUUUUUUCUUGCCCAUUCUUUCCAUUUAUUUUGAAGGUCAGCUAGUUGCUGUUUUUUCACGUUUCGUCAUCAAGUUGACCACGUAUAACAUGUAAUCUUUUGGAAUCUUAAGGCUACGCGUUCACUUCACAAAUUUGUAGUCAACCGUUUCUGGCAUAUGCAUAGUCCUUGUACGUUCGCAAGGAUGGUUGAUUUCCAUGGUCUUGUUUAGUUUGUCAGAGGGGCUGAGCCAAUGAGGCGUUAGUCUAAUGGUUAAUAAGGUUGAGAUUUCAGAAUGCAGAGGUUCGAGUUUUAACCCCCUGCUCCCCCUCUCCGCUUCUUCUUAAAUCUCAUUCGUUCUCCAUCACAGUUUUGAUGGGGUCAGACUAUCCCCAUCACAGUUGACAAAUUUUACUAGUUCUCAGAACCUAAAUCGAUCCGUUCUGAAUUUAGAUGACUUUUACUAUGUAUCCUAUAUAUAGAGAAUCCCAGAAGUUGUAAGCAUUAUAUAUUUGUGUUUAAUCACUCUGGCUGAUCAUGCGCGUACAACAGGUCAAACUCAAACCACGAGUACAAACACAAAUUCGCUGAGAAAAAGCCACGGGAUCUUAGUGAUGCUAGGAUGGGGAAUUCUGAUGGCGAUCGGAGCAAUGGUGGCUCGGUACAUGAGGCAAUGGGAUCCAAUAUGGUUCUAUUCCCACGCAGCCAUCCAAUCAUUGGGAUUUAUGCUGGGUCUCGCAGGUAUUAUUACAGGUCUUGUCUUGAGCAAUCGUGUCAGCGCCAACGUGGAUAAACACAAAGCCAUCGGCAUCACCGUUCUCGUACUUGGUUGCCUCCAGGUUGGUUCGUUUUCGUGUUACAUUUUUUAUUAUUUGCAAGUUAUAAUCAGUUUGUAUAUCAUGCAUGCAUGGCAUACAAAGUCUUCUUGUUUUCUUACCAAUUUUGUUUGAACUGACUUCUUGCUAGUUGAUGGCGGUUUUGGCUCGGCCAGAUAAAGAAUCGAAAGUGAGGAAAUAUUGGAACUGGUACCAUCAUGGCGUUGGGAGAGCUUUGAUAGUGCUGGCCGCGGCGAACGUUUUCUAUGGGAUCCAUAUCAGUGAUGCAGGAAGUUCUUGGAAUGCUGGCUAUGCUGUGGUUCUUGCUGCUUUGUUUGUUGUUGCUCUUAUUUUAGAGAUAAGGAUGAGGAUUAGAGACUAAAUUAUUAGUAUUAUACUUUUCAGAUUCUGUGUUCUUUUCAGUCACGGAAACAUUUUGCUUCUGGACUGUAAUUAUGGAGAUGGAAGUCUAGCAUUUUUGGAUCAGUUGUUCAAUUGACAGACAAUCUUUUGGAUGCUUUCUUGUAUUCAUUCUUUUAUUACUUUGCAGUUUCGCCACGAAAAAAGAAGACUGCUGUUCCUGAUUUUUUUGGUAUUCUUGCUGCUAACUGAUCACAACAUUUUCCCACAUACAUGAUACUAUAACAGGACUUCCACAAUCAGAAUCAUCCAUUGUUCAGGUCUUGAUUUAUAUGAAUGAUGUGCAAACUUCUGGUUAAAGAAGAUGUGAAUCGAACAAAAAAAAUUCGAAAUUCGGAAGUCAUCAUUCGAUCCAGACCCAAAAGCUAACUGAAGAAAAACACAGACAAGACCUCAUGGUUCGAAUGAAUAUUGCACUCCAGCAGUUGUUUGACUGCUAUAUAUCCUUCUCGUUCUAGCAUCAGCUUACAAACAAGGUAAUCAAUCCUUCUCUCGUGCUAACAAAGACAGAAGUAACAUGGGAUUCUUUUCUUUUCAAUGGUAAUCAAUAAGAUUUGAUUCAUAAGUUGACAGGAUCGAUGUAGAAUACAGAAGAAAUCAAGACUACGGAUUCAUUUGUCCAAGUCGGCCAAAACUAGAAACGAUACUCUUUCUUCAGAGGCAAAUCAAAGGGCUUAAAAAUGUCCAGAUAAUUGUCUGAACUCUGAACGCUAAUACUAAUAGACAAGGGACUUCACUACGUUACUGAACUUCAUUAAAAUAAUACAAGUGCAUUAUGCAUAGAACUGUAAUAAAAAUGUCUGCAUUAUGUGCAUUUUAUUCCAUCAUCUCAAAAACUAAAGAACUGUCAGAUAUUUAUAACGUGUGUCUUAUUCUGAGUCCAAAGAAAAUGAAGUACAUUCUAUAUUAUUUUUAACUGUCUUCCCAAGAAAAAGUGAUUAAUAUCUUUUGGCCUAAAACCCACCACCCCCCGCCCCCAAAAAAACCAAAAAAAAAAAAGUAAAUGUGUUUUUGCAAAUAUUGGCACAAUCAACCUUCCAUCCACAAAAUGAUUCAUGUGCAAAGAUCAAUGGUGAAAAACUCAUACUUCACCUCGCCUGUCAAACUUUAGAGUUUAGCACACAAAUUAUGUGUUUCUUGGUUAUAUCUACACUGACACACUUAUAGCUAGUUUGUGAGUUUAGGGUAGAGAGAAAAGGAUGAGAAAACUUAAAUUAUGAGAGAAAAAAAAGAAGAAAUGUGAUUCUAAUAUUUGUGUGGGAUUUUUGAAAAGAAAUGGAAUGAUUUUGAACAUAAAGUCGACACAAAUUCAUGCAAUAGCUUUUUAAGGGCAAGAUGGACAGGCUUUCAACCAGUUUCUUUCAUUUUUUGCCCGAAUUUGGUUGGAAAAAUAUUUUUUAUUGUAGUAUAGGCUUCAUCCCUCUAAAUCCUUUCCUUUCCUUUCCUUUCUUUUCUAUUUCAUGAAAAUCUUCCAAAUAUGUGAGAAGUCAACUUCUCCUACCUUUCUCACCAAUAAGUACUUUGUAUAUUUUGUACAGUUGAAGUGAUAAGCGCAAAAGUAAAUAAUUCGGAUUACUAAAUGAAGUUGGAGAAAUAAAUGUCAGACACAAAAGGUAAAUAACCAUCAAUAUCCAUGGUAUAAAGUGUCAUUCGGGGUACCCUACCCUAUAAUUUUUCGGACAAAGUUCAAAUUCUUAGUGUCGUUUCCCCACCUAGCAGGGACUAAUAACCUCUUUGUACAACUCUAUAUGGUGAGGUAGCUCAUUAAUCACAAGAAGUUAAGACAGUCAUGGUAGUUUUGAAUUUGAUAAUGUGUAUUAACAAAACUAGUAAGUGUAACAGUAAUACUAAUUUAUUUACCGGUAAUUACACGUUUAUCUAGCAUGAAAACAAACCUUAUGUUACUCUUUUAUUUUUAUUCUUUGUACCUGCAAGAAACUUCAAACUUUAUAAAGGAGAUAUGAAAAGGAGAUGAUAUGAGAAUUUAAUCAUAAAUUUUACUAUCACCUGUUUAAUGUCUCUGUCAAUCAAGUCAAAUAUUGGGGAAGAUACUUUACUCGUCACAAAUAUUGGCAAUCCAAUGGAUCAGUGUGGAUGACUAAAAAAGGGAUAAUUGCAGAGAUUUCCAACACUAGUAUUUACCUCUCCUGUGAUUUCUAAAAUUGCACUAACCUUCCCUAGGAGGAAAUUGGACCUAUUACUAACAAUAAAUUGUAUGAAUUUACUUUUAUACCCUAACUAAUUGCAGAAACUUAAUGAACGAAUUUUAGAAAAGCAAAAUUAUUUUUUGUCAACAAAUUGAGUGACUAAUUAAACUAGAUUACCUAUGAGUUUUAGCAUCAUUAGCCAUUGUAAGCAAAACUAAUGAAUGGUGCCAAUUGAGGAGAGAAAACGACAUACAUAUUUCCAUAUUAUAUUCUUCAAACUAGUCAAUUUAAAUCUAAAUUUAUACAACUGCAGAGAGGAAGACCAAUAAGCAAUUUUGGAGUUUCUACUAAAGUAAGUAUAAAGGGAACUUGCACAAAUAUAUCUGCUCAAGUCAUUUCUAUUUCAAAAUCUCCUAUAGUUCAGCCUACUACUACUUAUCAAAUUGCUACAUCUUUUUCCAUUAAUAUAGUUAUAACUCUGUAAUUUGGAAAUAUCAGCAAUAGAAGCAGUUUUAGUACGUGGUUCUAACGCAUUCACUACAAUUUUUAUUUACUAAAAACAAUUUUAUCUUAUUAGGAUACACUUCUAAUUACUUGUAACUAGGCUUAUAUCAUGUUCAAUAACUUUUAAUGAUACUUAAGUAUGCUGUUAAUUAACUAAUUGUUCAACAAUAUUUUUUUUUUUGUUUAUGACUGGUGCUGACAAUAUCAGCAGUUGUGUUAUCCCCACAGAUAGCUAUUCACAUUACUAAUAGAAAAUUUAAAAAGUGAUAUAGAUUCUUUAUAAACUUUGCUGCAAGAACCUGGAUAUCUAGUCAUUUAACUAACCAUUAGUAACUGCCAUUCUUUCAUGUAUUGUUGGUAAAGUUCAUUCAAUUGCAUUUACACCUGUUGAAUUUUCCUAAUUCUUAAUAACUUUUCAUAUUUUAUCAUUUCUUUAUUAAUACUACUUGGCAAGCAGUAUGAAGGGCAAAUCUGGUACAAAUUUCUCAUCUUACUCCUUAAAAAAAAAAUUUAAUGAUAACUUUUUUGGUAUGGACUGAAUCUGCAAACAAACCUUAAGUUCAAGAGUGGUAAGUGCUAUUUUUCAAAAUACAAGGGAGGUGAGUGCUAAUGUCAGAAACCUUAAGGGAGGUUUAUGUAAUUUUCCCUAAUAUAUAUAUAUAUAUAUAUAAUAUGGAUAGCCAAACUCGUGGGUUAUAUAUAUAUAUAUAAUAUGUAGCAAGAUAGCCAAACUCGUGGGGAACAAAACCCAAAUUAACAAAAAUACCAAGGCAAUUGUCACUUUUGCCCAAAAUUAGUGCAAAUUGAGGAAAUGGUCAUUUCCAUCUAAUCACUCGAAAAUAAACGAAUAAAUCUAUACAAUUGUAGACGGAGAACCGAAAAUAAAAACAGAUGCAAAAUUAGAGAGGGGACGACGCCGAGCCAAGAAGGGGAAAAAAGCAAAGCACCGCACCGCAGCACCCCCCGAAUAGUCCCCGACUAAGCCACUGCCACCACCACCAAAAUUUAACAAGUGGGAAAGCAAGCAAAGCAUAUUGGAAAGGACAAGGAAAAAACACAAGACAACAGGAUACCAAAAGCCACCCCCUGUUCAAAAUUUGUCUUCUCAUUCUCCUCCCUCUGUUUCUGCUGUAAUAAAAUGAUAACUCAUCUAUAAUAAAUCUGUGUACAAAGGUAGAAGAUAUAUCUUUGUAGAAUUAAAUAGGCCUGAUUGCCUCGAUUCAUUUCUUUUUUUCUUUUUUCUUUUUUUUUCUAUCAUUCUUUUCUAAUCAUCUCACCGGCUGAAAAUAGUAAGACCAUUUUGCCCCUCCGAUUCCGUUAAAUUUUCAGAUCCGUCCGACACCCCCACUUAUUGCUCUUAGUGGGACGGGUAGUUCCAGUUCCCUGCAGAUCCGCCCGCAAGACUCACCGGAGCUGCUUUCCUCGAAAUGGACGACUUAGAUGUGCUCGCACGCGACUUCGGCUUCAGACCCCAAGGCAAAUCCAACCCUAUGAGAUCCGAAGGUGGAGAUCGCCGCUCCUCCUCCGCUCGAUCUUCCUCCUCUGCCGCCUUUUACGACGAUCAUGGUAGUAAUCGCGAUGGCUUCUUGUUCAAUGACGUCUUCGGCGGACCUCCAAGAUAUAGUAAUAACAACAAGUCCUCCUCGCCGGGGAAUGAUUUCGAUUACGACUCCAUUUUCAAAUCCUCCUCCUCUGCGCCCGCUAACAGUAACAGUAAUAACCAUCCCAAGACUUCCUCGGCUCCAGUUUAUGAUAAGCCCGUGUACGACGAGGAUAUAUUUGACGGAUUGCCGGGGAUGAAAAGCAAAUCUGAGUCGUCUGCGGGGAAGUUUGAUGACGAUGUGUUUGCAUCCAUGGCGUCGCCUCCUAGGAGGAGUCAGAGUAAUAAUUCUAGUAAUAAUCGGAAUGAUCAGUUUGAUGAUCUGCUCGGGAAAUUGGGGAGGAAUGAGAGGAAUAACAACAAGAGCUCGAGUUCAGCAGGGUUUGAUGAUUUAUUGGGGAAUAUAACGAUGAAUGAACGAAAGCCAGAGGUCAAGAGUAGUAGUAGUAGGAGCUCCAGUUCGAGAGGUUUUGAUGAUUUAUUUGGCGGUCUUGCCGGUGGCACUCCUGCUAAUAGUAACAGGUACUUGAACACCUUAUAUAUAAGCUUGUCAAUGUAAAGUUAAUUGAAUUCCCAGUGUUUGGUUUGGAAUUGAAUCUGAAGCUUGAAUUGCAUAGUGUCUGAUAGAAUUGGUGAACCAGUUGUUAUUUCAGCAUAGGGAUGUAGCAUUAUUCAGCUCAUGUAUGGCAAAUUUCGUUUGAUAAAACUUGUGUAGCCUUGGACUUCGUAUUCUGUGUUAGGCUGUAGUUGGUCUUUGUGAAUGUUGAUUUAAGCCUUGUUUUUAAGUCUAUUAGAGGAUGAUAUUUGCACUUUGAACUUCUAGAGCUUUUCCAGUUACAUUUUGGGAUAAUAUAAAGAACAUUUACAAUGAAGCAGCAUUUGUGUUUGUAGACUGCGUCAUAACUCUGUAGCAUGCUAAAAUGAAAUUAGCAUUUACAAGGCAUAUGCAUCUUGUUUGGCCCUUGAUUGCUCCCAUUCUCUCUCUCUCUCUCCCCCUCCGCCCCCCUCCUUUUGAUUUAUUCUUUAUCAAAUAUUUUAAUCUGGAAAAACUCAACUUUUUAGGAAAGAUUUUGUGGUAUAAGUAAUAAUUCAUUUCUGCCUGAAAAGAGUCAUUUACUUGGUCCAGCGAAAUAAGAGUACAAGUAAUUAUGGCGUUGUUUGGGAUGUUCUGUACUAGGGGCCAAGGUUGUUAAUGUUCAAAAUUUCAAGAAUCCUUGUUGUCAGCAUCUGAAGAAAAUAUGGAAAUAGGUUGUUGCUGUUCAAAAUUUCAAGAAUACCUGUUGUCAAUACUGUUGUCUAUUCCACGUAGUUUUCUUAUUUGUUAGAAGAAUCUGAAUUGUGACGGUAGAAGCACAUCUUCGGUCCUUUUUUAUGUUUUAUUAUGAUUGCAAACCUCAAACAUCCACAAUGAUGUUUAUGCAAGACUAUCUGAUUAUGAAUCCUUCUGUCACUUGUGGAGGAAAAGAUUCUACUGGAUAGCUUUGCAUCCACUUCUAUUUGAUAUUGGGAAUAGUGAUUGCAUUCCGGUUACGCCAACAAAAUUUAGUAACCAGAAAUUCUUGGAAUUUUGAUAGAAAAAAUUAUCUUGCAGCAUUUCGCACAUCCGAUACUAAUUUCUUCAGUUGUUUCGUUUCAAUUUUUGGGGAAUUUUUCUGGAAGUUAGUUUAUAUUUGUUGCUGUAUCACUAUUACCUCUAAUCAGCUCAACCUUCCUUCCCUUUCCUGUGUUGAUUUCUCUUCAGGCCAGUUUCAGAGUCAAAUCAAGGCCGAAAAUCCACGAGCAGCUUCAGUCAAUCAACUCCGAACACAAUGGAUGAUCCUUUUGUAGUUUUAGAUUCAACUUCACCGCCUGUGUCUUCAUCUGCAGGUGUUUUUGUUGAUCCACUGGAAGAGAUUGGCAGGCUUGGUAAAUCUGGAAGCUCCAAAGCUGGUGGGGUAUUUGAUGAUCUAGAUCCCUUGAAUGGUUUUGGCAAAUCUUCAACUCCAUUUUCUCCAGAGAAGGGUAGCAGAGGGAAGGACAGGAGUCCUUUGAUGUCAGGAUCAAGUGCGAGUGAUACUCAAACACCUGCAGGUCAGGAUCAUGCGAGAUCUUCUGUUAGACAAUCUGAAAGCCACUCAAAGAGGAAUGCAUCUGAUGACAGUUUUCAGGAACCCCCACCUUUUGACGUUCCAAAUGUUUCAGAGAAUUUGCAGAAAUCUUAUCAUCAAAAUGCUUCUUCACCUCCACGUGUCAGUUCUAAUGUUAACGAGAUAAAUUCCCCGGCAGAUGCGUCUCCGAGAUCACAAGAACAUGGCCAAACACUUGAUGAUAUUUGGUUAACUGUGUUCGAGAUUCCUCUUUUCACUCCACCCACAAAUGCUCCUCCUCCUUCGCGACCUCCACCUCCUAUACCAAGGCGAACUUCAAAAGCAGAAACAGGAUUCUUUUCUUCAAAUACAAAGAAGAAGAGUGAUGACUUUGCUUCACCACCAAGCUACAGUUCCUUCUCUCAAAGUCCUAAUGCAGCUUGGACUGCAGGGAAGGGCAAUUAUGCUUCUCAAAUAGACGAACUUGAGGAUUUUGCCACGGGCAGAACUCAAAACAGUGUUGAUGAAUCUAAUGUCCAUUUGGAAGAAGAAAUGAAUGCAAGCUCAGUAGCUGCUGCAUCAGCAGCUGCCAUGAAGGAGGCUAUGGAUAGGGCAGAGGCUAAAUUCAGGCAUGCCAAGGAAGUACGCGAGAGAGAAUAUGCAAAAGUGGCUAGAAAUCGAGAAAAUGUGCAUGACAUGCAAGAUGUGCAGGAGAGAGACUACAGGGAAAAUCAAGAGAGGUUGGAAAAAGAGCGGCUACAUAGGGAAGAGGAGGAGAAAGAACAGAGGAGACUUGAGAGAGAAAGGGAGAGAGCAAGGGAGAUUGAAAGAGAGAGAGCAAGGGAGAUUGAAAGGGAGAGAGCUAGACAUGCUGUGGAAAGGGCAACUAGGGAAGCUCGUGAGAGAGCAGCUGCUGAAGCUCGCUUAAAAGCAGAACGGGCUGCUGUUGAAAAAGCACAAGGAGAAGCUCGAGAACGGGCCGAGAGGGCAGCAGUUCAGAGAGCCCAAAAUGAAGCCCGUGAAAGGGCAGGAGCAGAAGCUAGGGAAAGAGCAGAGAAAGCUGCUGCCGAAGCCAGGGAAAGGGCAAAUGCAGAAACUAGGGAGAGAGAAGCACGAGAUAGAGCUGCGUCUGAAAAGGCUGCUGCAGAAGCACGGCGUCGAGCUGAGCGAGCUGCUGUUGAAAGGGCUGCUGCAGAGGCUCGGGAGAGAGCAGCAGCAGAAGCUAGAGAAAAGGCGGCUGCUGCUGCACGGGCGAAUCAGCAGAGGAAUGAUAAUGAUUUUGAAUCAUUUUUUAGCAUGAAUUCUCGACCCAGCAGUGCACCAAGACCAAGGGCCAAUUCUUCUGUGAGUAUGAAAAGCUAUACGAGCAUAUGAGCUUGCAAUAGUCUUCUGCUUUUUAAAAGAUUUAGUGAUCAUCUCAUUUUCUUUUCCCUUUCAUUCUUCCCAGGAAACAAUGUUCGAUACAAAUUUCCAAAGUACUGGUGGACCUCAAGGGCCAAAACCAACUUCAUUUGGUGGAACCUCGUCCAACAUGAGGAAAGCAUCUUCAACAACCAACAUCGUUGAUGAUUUAUCUUCGAUUUUUGCAGGUACUUUUUGUUGCAUUUGGCCUUGUAGCAGCUUUAGAUUAGAUUUUCUCACUAUUUUGGAUUUUUCUGAACAAUAUUCCUUUGAAAGCAGCUCCAUCAUCUGGAGAAUUUCAGGAGGUUGAAGGAGAAACUGAAGAAAGAAGAAGAGCUAGAAUGGAGCGCCACCAACGGACUAAAGAGCGUGCAGUAUGUCUUCUGUUCUCAGGAUGAACUUACUUUUCACACGAGAGUUGUUAACCUGGAUGUUGCAUAAUUCUGUAGAUCUUUUUUCCUUCUUUUCCCCAUUUCCCUGGGUGCCUGUCCCUAGUGGGUGGUGCUUUUAUUCUUCUUGAUCUCUGAGGGUUAUUAAUUACUGGGUUAUUAAUCAGUAAUUUUGAUUGAUUUUGGUAGUUUUUUCUUUUUGGUCCUUUAAUAUUUUCUUUUUGGGCUCCUCCUGCAAAUGGCUGGUGUGGCUUUUGUAUUGAGGCUUGAAACUGAUACUUGAUUUCUCUGCUCAGGCUAAAGCACUAGCAGAAAAGAAUCAGCGCGACAUUCAAGCUCUGAAGGAACAGGAAGAAAGAUAUGUGAGUAUAAGAAUAUUAGGGCAUGCUUGGAUCUCAUAUAGCUAUGCCUAUAUUCGUUGGUUGGAAGUAAAACUCUUUGCUUGUUGACAUUUGAAGAAUUCUCAUUCUGCAUUUUUCUAGCGUUUUCUUUAUUUGUUCAUUUAGCAUAGGUUACUUGUUCGUUUAUGAUUCAGGAAGUUUGGGUCCUCUUCUCAUUGAAAUUUUUGGCAACAUGGAAUUGCUAUUCAUAGGCCAUAAUGUAUUCAUUGUUAUGAUACAUGAAUUUAGGCAUUGAAUACUUUCUAUCAAGUCCAUUUGGUUCCUUUAACAUUGUUUUUAGGUGGUGGUGUGGUUAGGGAAUAAGUUGCACAAAGUAACAUUAAGUAUUGUUUCCUGUAAUUUUCUUGUUUUUGAUACAUCUGCAAGAUCAAGUUAAUAUAGAAAGUUGACCUUCCUCCUUUGAGUGAGUUUUCAUUUGAAAAUGCUAUCAGAUGCAUCACCUAUUGCUGGUAGCUAAACUCUACCAAUUAUGACUUACCUUUUCUUAUCUGCCUUUUGGCAUUGCUUUCAUAGUAAUUGUCUUGAAUCUACAUGAGUUUCAUCUUUUUGAUCAAUUUCAAUGUAGCCUUUCUAAUUUUUCUUUUUCAUUUGUUGCAGAGGAUAGCUGAAACAUUAGAUAUUGAAAUCAAACGUUGGGCUGCAGGGAAAGAAGGAAAUCUGCGUGCACUCCUGUCUACCUUGCAAUAUGUAUGUUUAUACUUGUGCUAUUUUAUUCAGAUGCUUCCUCAUGGCAUGUACGUAUAUGAGUGCUUCUAUCUUUGUAAGACUGGCAACGUUUUUGUUCCUUUUUCUCCUUUGAUCAAAUCUAUCUUUAUUUGUGUUUUAUUAAAUUAUUAUUUUUAAUCCAAAAAUAUUCUCUUAUUGGUGGGAAAAUUAAUUGUUUCCCCAUUUUGCUUGUAGGCAUUUAUUUUCCUUUUCUGUUGCUUGUUUAAUGCUUUCAAAAGUGGGUCGUAUAUCUUACACAUAGAAAAAACUAUUAACUGUUAACCACUCACACAACAUGGCAUUGAGUCAAUGUCCAACUUAGUUACAAGCUACGUAUAUUUUAGUGUCUAGAUACAAGUGACAAAGUUAUUUAUCCUUCUUUUAGAGGCAAAUAGAGUUAAUGCUCUUUAACAGCUUUGCGUUUGGCUGAGGUUUUACCCAUGGAUAGUGUAUAUAUGGACAUAUUAUCACUUAAAUAUCCAUAAAUACCGUAUAUAUGGACAAAUUAUUGCUUUUUUUUUUAAAAAAAAUUUCCAGCAGGGGAGGGGUGGGACUUAAGAAGCGGGGAGGGGGCAAGGGGAUUUUAACCCAGGACCUCUACCUUGGGCCUCAACUUCAGCCACUGGACUAAUGCCUCAUUGGCGGACAAAUUAUUACUUGAAUAUCCCUUUUCCAACAUGUACUUUCUAUGUUGUUCUUUUCAAGUUUUCUUUUUUCUUGAUGGAAAAACGUAUCAUUGGUCUAAGCAAGAGUUUGAUGCUUAGUUCUCUUGAAGAAAGAUUUGAAACACUAGAAAAGCCCUUUGCUUCAGUUCCUUUUGGAUAUGAGCCAAAAUAAAUGAGCCAUGUCAAGCGUCCUGGUGUAAAUUUAAUCUCAGAAAAUUGUUGUGCUUGUCAGUCUAAAUAUUGAUAUUGUUGGCGACGGUUUCCACUUCACUACCAGAUUCCCAUGCUUACAGCUACUCAAACCCUAAAAUCUGAUGUUCACUAAGUCGAAAUAUUUCUGUAGAAAUUCUGAAAUCCAUCCAUCGGAGAAAGAUAGUGUGCACAUUAGUACAAGAUUCCCAUCCUUAUUCCUACUCAAACCCUAAAAUCUGAUGUUUACCAAGUCGAAAUAUAUUUUCUGGAGAAAUUCUGAACUCCAUUUAUCAGAGAAGAUUGUUGUAUCCAUGAUAAAGUGAUUUAUUAGACCUGUGCAUUUAUGCGUAUGCAUGGAUAUGUUCUCAAGUUUUGACAUUAUUAUUGGUGUUUGAGAAAGGCACUUAAUGGUUUUCUUUUCUUCCUUACAAUGAGAGGUGCCAACUAGUUCCUAUUUGUUGUUUGUUUAGGUGCUUUGGCCUGAAUGUGGUUGGCAACCUGUUUCUUUGACUGAUCUGAUUACUGGUCCAAAUGUCAAAAAAGUAUAUAGAAAAGCAACUUUAUGCAUACAUCCUGACAAGGUGCAACAGAAAGGUGCAACUCUUCAACAGAAGUACAUUGCUGAGAAG
rnacentral:lncRNA from 1 species